rnacentral:lncRNA from 1 species
AUAUAGGGUUUAUUGCAUACUGGUCUUUGUAAAUAUAGGCCAUCUUUGGUAAUGGGAUAAUUUCUGCAGGGUUAAAUUUUUUUACUCCUAGAAUAUUGAUAUGUCAAUAUUCUAGGCUAGAAAGGAAUGAAAAUAAUUUUUUGUUUGGCAAAAUUUUUACUUAUUUUAUGCAAUAGACAAAAUGAUGUCUAUUAACUUUCUUGAAAAAAGAGAAGAAUAGUUAGUAAAGUUAAUUGAAAUAUUUAAAAACACCAAGUUUGCCCUUAUAUAUGCUGUUAAAAUCGGAACGGCGAAAAAUAAAUCCAGAAAAAUAAUUUAAUGCAAAAAGCGAAAAGAAAAGAGGAAAUAGCACACCGAUAUUUACGUGGUUCGGCCAACGGCCUACGUCCACGGUCGAAGAUGGGGCAAAUAAUUUAUUAAUACCGAAAGACGGAGUACAAGAAGAUCUCUCAAAAGAUCAAAGCUUAAUUAGAUCGAAAACGAAUGAGAGACGCGCCGUGUAAAAGACCUCAAACCUGCUCGACUCUCUUGACCGUACGAAAAGGUAAUAUGCCAUGAACACGAGAAUCACCCCCUCCUUAAUUAAUUAGCAUGGUAAUAAAAUGCGACUCCUUGAUCGUACGGACCUCCAUGCAUGAGGGUCUCGCUCCAAAAGGCCUUAAUUAAUUAGCGCAUGCACCAAAGAGAGUCCUGUCAGCACCAACCUUUUAAUUAAUUUGCAUAGCUUAAAUUUUGUCGCACCGGCUUCAUUAACUUGGCCGCAUAUAUAUAGGAUGAGUCUUCAAAUUAGAGUCCAAUUGAAACUCUAAUUUAAUUGGAUUUCUAAACACAAGUCUAAUCUAAUUUUAAAUUGAAAUUAGAUUCCGACUCAUAAUCCAAAUAUGCCAAAUUAUAUCUAAUCCCAAUUAGAUUAAGAUUUAACUCCAAUUUAGAUAACUACAAAUCUAAACCAAAUAUAACAUAUACAUUGAAUUUUUUUCUUUGUAUAAUACAUAUACAAUACUUGAUAAAUUUUAAUAUAAUUUUUUCAAAUAUAAUUACAAUACAAAAAUUAUAAUUAAGAAAUAAUAUUUUUUUUUCUGCAAAGCAGUACAAUAUGCAGUAAGUAAGAUAAUUUUAAAUUAAUUUAUACAAUUAGAAAUCUAUAAUAACUAAUAAUAUAUGCAAUAUAACUAAUUUAUUUAACUGCCAAUAAUUUUACAUAGUUAAACAAAAAUCCUAAUAUAAACACAUUGGACUAACCAAAUCUCUACAUACUUGGUAUUGGGAAAAGAGGUAAGAGUUUUGGUAGGUGGGUAAAGUGGCGCGGUUUUCAAGGCGACCCAAAAAGAAGGCCAUGCUGCCCCUCGGGUUCCAGGAAUAAGGCUUCGUUUGGGAUUGCGGGGAGAUUGCAUUACGUGCGGUGAGAAACGACGAUGGAAAAAUACCCUGUUUGUUUCCGUACAUAAUAUUGUGUUCCGCAUAUCGCGAUGAGUUGGUUACGAUAUAUUUUCUGCGGUCCCACCAGAGAACGCAGAAGCAUAUCCCUAUAUACUUUUUCCUCAACUCCAUUUUAUCUAAUAGCGUUAGAUAGACCUCAAUACCAACCUAACCCUAAAUCUUAUUCCAUGGUUGGUAAAGAAUUAAAUUAACGAGUUAUUCCAGUGAAAAUUAGAAUAACCCGUUUUGACCGGUAUAAAUUAUUUCGGUAUUUUUUUUUUCCAUUUGGCAGAAUAACGAGAAUAAAUUUGAUUAUUCUGAAGUUAUUCCGUUACCAAACGGAGCCAUAGUGAAUUACAAAUAUAUUUCUAUAAAGGCUAAAUUACAGAAAACCCUCCUGUAAUAACCCGGCUUUUCACUUUCCCUCCGUGACAUUUAAAAACCUACACUUUGCCCCCUUGUAAAAUAAAAAAUAUUCACAGGGGGGUUACGGUGUGUAAAAUGACCAUUUUGCCCCUCGCCAUUUUCGUCUUCUUCCUCAUCUUCCUCAGCAGCCACUUCGAUCGGCCUCGAUUCCCACCUCAAUCGGUCGCGAUUUCUCUCCAUUUCCUUCUCCACCUGCUUCCCUUCUCGUCCUGCACCCUCGCCGCCCCUCGAUUUCGACAAUAGUAGGGAGGAAAUCGAGGUGGGUGUUGAUGGAGAGGUAGGCAAGGGCAACGAGGGCGAAGGCGAGGCGGCAGAGGAGGACGAAGGGGAUGUGGGCGAGGGCGAGGCAGUGGAGGACGGCGAGGCGGCGGCGAGGCGGCGUGUCGGAGGGAGGCGAAGCAACAAGGAAGAGGGUGGAGGGGUAUUUUCGACAUAAAAAAAUAUUUUAUCACGAAAUCCUAACGGUAGGGGGUGAAGUGCACAUUUUUCAUUUUACAAGAGGGCAAAGUGUAGGUUUUUAAAUGUCAGGAGGGGAAAGUGAAAAAGCGGGUUAUUACAAGGGCGUUUUCUGUAAUUUAGCCUUCUAUAAAAUUUGACUUCCAUUUAUUGUUCCUAUAAAAGUUCUAAUAUUUUCAAAAUCCUAAUAUUUUCAAACAUGUCUCUACCAUAAUCCAUUAUAAAAAUUUAGUUAACCAUAGAUUAAAUGUUUCACCAUAUUUAGUUUAUGAGAUAACUCGAUAUUUUUACCCCUUUUAUAUUAUAUUGUUGUAGUUUUUGGAUGGAUAUAUUUGCGAUGGCAAAAUUAACAUUUCACUUGUUUGCUGUUAAAAUAUAAACAAUUCUCUAAACGGUAACAAACCAGAGGAAUAUAUAUUUGAAAACAUUAGAACUUUUGUAGGGAUAACAUAUAAAAGUUAAAUUUUAUAAAAGGGUUAAUUGCAUACACGUCCCUGCAAACAUAGUGAAUUGCAGAUAUAUCCCUGCAAAACUCAAUUUCCAUAUGUUGUCCCUGCAAAAGUCCUAAUUUACACAGAUAUGUCCCUCGGGUUAGAAUCUGUAAGGAAACUAUUAAUUUUUUAAAAGUUUUCAUGUGAAAUGACCUUUUUGCCCUCGCAAAUAUAUCCUUCCAAAAUAUUCCUCUUUCCCUUCUCUUUUCUUCCUCUUCGUGCUGCCGAAGCGGACGGCGGCGGCGGCGCGGGGUCGGGUUCGCCGGCGACGAAGAAGAGGAAAGAGAAAGAAGGAGAGGAAAAAGAAGAGGGAAGAGGAAGAAGAAGAGGAAGAGAGAAAAGAAAGAGGAAGAGGGAGAGGGUUCGCCGCCACCGCCACCGCCGCCGACGCAUCUCCUCCCUCGCCGGCGACGAAGAAGAGGGCAGAGGAAGAGGGAGAGGAAGAAGAAGGGGGAAGAGGAAGAGAGAGAGAAAGAGGGAAGAGGAAGAGAAAGAGGGAGAGGGUUCGCUGCCACCGCAUCUCCUCCCUCGCCGGCGAUGAAGAAGAGGGAAGAGGAAGAGGAGGAAGAUGAAGAAGGGUAAAACUGUCAAUUCACGUUAUUAAUUAACCAUGGUUAUAUUUUUAACUGUGGUUAACAAAAUUUUUUUAACAGACCCUAAUGGCAGGGACAUAUCUGCAUAAAUUAGGACUUUUACAAGGACAACUUAUGGAAAUUGAGUUUUGUAGGGAUAUAUCUGCAAUUCACUAUGUUUGCAGGGACGUGUAUGCAAUUAGCCCUUUAUAAAAAUAUAUUUAUAAUUUAUUAUAUUUAUCACAAUCUGUAUGCAUUUAAUCAUCUAUAUAUCAUAUACUAUAUAAUAUAUAUAUAUAUAUAUAUAUAUAUAUAUAUAUAUAUAUAUUAUAUAUUUAGGUUAAUUGCAUACACGUCCUUGCAAACAUAGUGAAUUGCAAAUUUAUCCCUGCAAAACUCAAUUUUCAUAAGUUAGUCCCUGCAAAGAAGUCAUAAUUUAUUGCAGAUAUGUCUAUCGGGUUAGAAUCUAUUUAGGAACUGUUAAUUUUUUAACAGUUUUUUGUGAAAUGACCUUUUUGCCUCACAAUAUAUCCCUCCAAAAUAUUCACUCUUCCCCUUCUCUUUCUCUUCCUUUUCGGGCCGCCGGAGCGGACGGCAGCGGUGGCGCGAGGUCGGGUUCGCCGGCGACGAAGAAGAGGAAAGAGAAAGAAGGAGAGGAAGAAGAAGAGGGAAAAGAAAGAAUGAGAGGAAGGGGGAAAAGAAAGAGGAAGAGGGAGAGGGUUCGCCGCCGCCGCCGCCGCAUCUCCUCCCUUGCCGGCGACGAAGAAGAGGGAAGAGAAAGAGGGAGAGGAAGAAGAAGGGCGAAGAGGAGAAGGGAUAGGAAGAGGGAAGAGAAAGAGGGUUUGCCGCCGCCGCCGCAUCUCCUCCCUCGCCGGCAACGAAGAAGAGGGAAGAGGAAGAGGGAGAGGAAAAAGAAGGGGGAAGAGGAAGAGGAAAGAGGAAGAGGGAGAGGAAGAAGAAGGGGGAAGAGGAAGAGGGAGAGGGUUCGCCGCCGCAGCCGCUGCCGACGCAUCUCCUCUCUCCCCGGCGACGAAGAAAAGGGAAGAAGAAGAGGAGGAAGAGGAAGAAGGGUAAAACCGUCAAUUCACAUUAUUAAUUAACCAUGGUUAAGUUUUUAACUGUGGUUAAUGAAAUUUUUUUAGCAAACACUAACGGCAGGGACAUAUCUGCAUAAAUUAGGACUUUUGCUGGAACAACUUAUGGAAAUUGAGUUUUGCAGGGAUAUAUCUACAAUUCACUAUGUUUGCAGGGACGUGUAUGCAAUUAACCCUAUAUAUUAUUAUCAUAGCUUUUAAAAUUUUUGUUAGACUAAAUAAUUAUUGUCCUGGCAAGACACAACAGAAGGCUGGAGGGAGAGGUGGCCAUAGAAAUAAUAAAAAAUUAUUACUAUUUUUCAUAAAAAUUAUUGUGUAGUUGAAAAACCUAUCACAAAAAAUAAAUGAUGGUGUCAGGCACUAGCACGAAAAUCCAACCAAGCACGCAAUACACCUGCUACACAAAACUGAAUCUUUCGUAUAUACGUUUAAGGUGUUAAUUUAUAUAAACUUGUAGUUAAAAAGGAAAUACUAAAUCUACAAUCUAAAAUGAAUUGUAGGAUAACAAAUUUUAAUCCAAAGGUUGUAAUACUACCUUAUAUGUCACGCCCUAAAUUACACAUUUUUUCGGGCACGCCAACAGACCUGUCGUAUACAUAGAAAUUUUUUCUGUAUACGAAGCGAUAGCUGUACCUGUAAUUAAAUCAAGCUACAACCACAAGGUAAUGAACUGCUAAAUAGAAAACAUAUGUAUAUAUAUAUAUAUAUACGCCAAAACCAAANAGCGAGUACCCAGACAACAACCAUAUGUACAUAAAAAAUUUCAAAACUACCUGUGGAAGGUACUCCUCUAGCACUGUAACCAGGGAAGGGAUCUAGCUCGCGACUCUCUUUCCUUGAUCAGAAUCGGCGACAGCAGCAACCGUAGAAGAAGACUCUGCAAAAAGGGGUUCCAAUACAUACAAAAUGUCUUCUACACCGCUUGCUCCAGCGAGUACCCAGACAACAACCAUAUGUACAUAAAAAAUUUCAAAACUACCUGUGGAAGGUACUCCUCUAGCACUGUAACCAGGGAAGGGAUCUAGCUCGCGACUCUCUUUCCUUGAUCAGAAUCGGCGACAGCAGCAACCGUAGAAGAAGACUCUGCAAAAAAGGGUUCCAAUACAUACAAAAUGUCUUCUACACCGCUUGCUCCAGCGAGUACCCAGACAACAACCAUAUGUACAUAAAAAAUUUCAAAACUACCUGUGGAAGGUACUCCUCUAGCACUGUAACCAGGGAAGGGAUCUAGCUCGCGACUCUCUUUCCUUGAUCAGAAUCGGCGACAGCAGCAACCGUAGAAGAAGACUCUGCAAAAAGGGGUCAACAACUGGGUGUGAGAACUACUGCAAAAAGAAGUAGUCCUCAGUGGGUACCGCUACCGACCUCAACGGCUCACCCACUAAGUCUACAAAAUGGUAUGUGAGAGAUUGUAAGAAAAGCUGGAAACCCUACAGCUAUAUGCCCCUAUACUAUCACUAACCAACUCUAGCUCUUUGUAGAUAUCAAUCCCCUGCAACAACGACUAUACUGUCAAGAGACUACCAACAGGCCUAUCCCACCUGCGUCCGAGCAAUACCGCACACCACCAUUGAGGUAGCCGGUCCUAAAGCACCGUCCAAACAGGGCUGCUGCUACAACAACACAAAAGCACAAAGCCCGACUCCGGAGUGAUACUCGUGGGUGCUACCCAACCGAGUAUACAAGCGUGUCUCUGCUGAGCUCAAUCAGGCUCUCACAAACUAUAAUCAAAGCAAAUGGGUCUAACAACCAACACUCACGUGUCCUUGGCACAAUCUGAUGCAAAUACAAAAUUCUGGGUCCACCGUCAACCGCGACGUCACCCGACAGUUCGAAACAGUCUACACACUUCUGUAAAAUAAACUCGGCAUCCCAGCACGAGCGUAAACCCAUCCUACACUAAUCUGGGUAUCUACCGCAUACAAACUGCAGCAAUACAAACAAACCACAACUCUUAAAACUAAAUCUGAUAGUUUUCAGAAACUGACAGUGUAGGAUCUAUAGUUUUCUCUUAAGUCAAUUCCAAGUCCAACAUGUAAAAUUAUACUACUACUUAACUAAAAAUUCGGAUUUUAAGCCUAAUUCAUGAAUCCGAGUACUAGCAAGAAAUUAAACACAUGAUACAUAUUGACGAUAUAAAAAAACAUAGAAGAUGUUCCGGCGAUUUCGGUAAACUUCAACCCACCUCGACAUGCUAGUCCAACUACGGCAAGAAGUCGAAAAGAGAGGAAAACACGCGCUCGCCCAGCCUCCAACGGCGCAACCGCGACGUCCACGCGCUCGAACGGCCCCCUGGCGCAACGUCGACGUCGAUCCGAGCUCAAGCCGUAGCCUUCACCAAGCACACAAUUAAACUAGAGAGAGAGAGGGAAAGGAUAAUUAUCCUCAGCUGACCAAGUUCAGUCAAUAAGCAUAAAGAGGGAGUAGGUGGCGUAUAUAUCCACCAACCAAAAAGACUGUUCUGCCCCUCACGAACUCAACAUCCCAGCUGGAGUACCGGUACCAGCCCGAUGCCGUACCGGUACUCAGCAUCAAUUAUCGCAACCCGAGAGCAGCAGUUCGAAAAAUACACUGGGGUACCGGUACUCCCCUACAUGGUACUGGUACUCAAUAUCGAAACCUACACUUUGCAGACUUCAAUAUCAAACUCUACUCUCGCGUCACAUUGAGUCCGUUUUGCAUCCAUUUCGCACUAAAACGACUCCGACUUGUCCCGACACUCUCCAGAUGUGUCGCUAAGCCUCAGAUGCUGAAAUCACACAGGCUGCAGAACACCAGGGAUACUACAUCCAACACAGUGUACUCCUGAACUGAGCGCUCCCCCUGCUGUAACUUCUUCAGGUCCUCUUCGAGUUUCUACUUCACGCUGUAACUCAUCCCACCUCAUCUGUAGCGCCACCAAUCCUCAAGUCUCCCUCAUCCUCCUUCAUCAGGAGUGCCCAUCGCCGGCCAAACAGUGUACUCUCAAAUGCACCUGCUCCCACUCCGGUAUAAACAAGUCCUCAAAUAAUUUCACCAUCGCGCUCACCCAGCCCUUUACAACCCAGGGCUCCGCGCAACUACCAUCCAAACACGGCGGAUCAAAUCGACGGAAAUGAGCAAGCCUCUCUGUCAUCCGCUCCUGCUCAACGUCAGACAUCUGCGACGCCUCUCCAGAGAAAGUAACAGGUGCCGUAGGAAUUGUCACUGGUGGUGGUACAACUGCGGCUGGUGCGGCCACGGGAAUAGUCGGUGGUGGAGCUGACUGCUCUAGUGCUCCAGGCGCUGUGCUCGGCGGCGGUGUAAAUGUUUCGCACAUCCUCUAUAACAGUGCCCCCUGCUGCCUCGUCGCCUCAGUUAGGCAGCCAACUGCUCUCUCAGAUCAGGGGGUGCACUCGGCCCUGCUUGCUUAGGCAUUUCAGCUGGUGCGGAGAGGUUUCGCGUCGACAGUCGACCUCAACGUCGAUACAUGGCUAUCUGAAAUCAAAACAAGGGUCAUAUACAAAACACAAUCACUCUCGACCCAAUCAUGCGAGUCUAAAAGGCCGCCCCUGUUUCUCCUCAAAAUUAUGCCGUCUGCAGCCGACAUAAUUUUCUUGGCCGAAACAGACACUCCUUCAGUCACUCACUACACUCUAGGAAGAGUUAAAACAAUUCAAUCGCUGACUUUCGCGAUAAAUCACGCCUCUCGCGUCUUGCAUUCCUAAGGUUUGCCAAUCUUAAGGUUUCCUAGGUCACACCCCGGAUUACAUGUUUCCCCCGGCAUGCCAACAGACCCGCCGUAUACAUAGAACUUUUUCCUGCAUACGAAACGAUAGCUGUGCCUGUAAUUAAAUCAAGCUACAACUGCGACGCGCUAGUCCAACUACGGCGAGAAGUCGAAAAGAGAGGAAAACACGCGCUCGCCCAGCCUCGAACGUUGCAACCGCGACGUCCACACGCUCGAACGGCUCCCCGGCGCAACGUCAACGUCGAUCCGAGCUCAAGCUGACCAAGUUGAGUGGAUAAGCAUAAAGAGGGAGUAGGUGGCGUAUAUAUCCACCAACCAAAAAGACUGUUCUGCCCCUCACCAACUCAACAUCCCAGCUGGAGUACCGGUACCAGUCCGAUGCCGUACCGCUACUCAGCAUCAAUUAUUGCAACCCAAGAGCAGUAGUUCGAAAAAUACAUUGGGGUACCGAUACUCCCCUGCAUGGUACCGGUACUCAAUACUGAAACCUGCACUUUGCAGAUUUCAAUAUCAAACUCUGCUCUCGCGUCUCACUUGGUCCGUUUUGCGUCCAUUUCGUGCCAAAACGACUCCGACUUGUCCCGACACUCUCCAGAUGUGUCGCCAAACCUCAGAGACUGAAAUCACACAAGCUGCAGAACACCAGGGGUACUACACCAUAGGUUUUCAAAAUCUUUUUUUGGGACACCUAUUGGGACCGUCAACCUCUCUUCUCUUUACGGUGUAGAUGACGUAGAUCUUUCUAGCCUCCACUCUCCCUUCUCUGUCGAGGAAGUUAAGCUGGCUAUCUUCUCGUGUGCAUCGGAUAAGGCUCCGGGUUCGGAUGGCUUCCUGAUGCUUUUCUACCAAAGAUUCUGGAACAUCCUUAAGGCAGAGAUUAUGAAUCUCUUUGAAAAAUUUUAUAGCGGGACUUCUGACCUGAGCGAACUAUUGUAGCUGCAUCGUGUGAGUGCCGGUACCCUGUGUGCGAGCUUGUGGGCUGAGAGGCCGAGUAUCGGUAACCAAGUUGGGUAUCGGUACUCCAGCUGUAUUUUGAGUAGGUAAAGGGCAUUUUGGUCCUUUGAUCUAUCGAUCAACCCAAUGUUUAUCCCCAGCCUUUAUAUUCACAGAGAGAGCAUAGAAGCUGGUUCUUCUUCUCAUUUCCUUCUUUCUCUCUAGCUGGUGGACUCGUACGUGGUUGAGGUCGCGACUCGAGCUCGGGAGGUUGUCGACUCGAUCCGGAGGGCCGUUCGAGCGCGCGGGCGUCACGGUCGUAUCGUUGAGAGGCCAGGCGAGCACGUGGAUUCCAUUCUUUCGACUUCUCGCCGUGGUUGGACGAGCUUUUCGAGGUGCGUUAAUGUUUACCGAAAUCGCCGGAAUUCCUCCAAGUUCUAGUAUCGUUGACAUGUUCAUUGGUUUUAUUUCCUUGCUAGUACUUGAAUUCAUGGAUUAGAGUAUAAAAUCUGAAUUUGGAGUUAAGUUAAUAGUUAUAUUCAAGUUGGACUUGGAAUUGACUUAGGAGAAAACUAUUUAAUCCUACACUGUCAUUUUCUAAAAGGUUACUAGAUUUAGCUUUAGGAGCUAUGGUUUGUUUGUAUCGCUGCUGUUCAUAUGCGGUGGAUACCCAGAUUAGUGUAGGAUGAGUUUACGCUCGUGCUGGAAUGCCAAGCUUAUUUUACAGUAGUAUGUAGACUGUUUCAGACUGUCGGAUGCCGUCGCGGUUGACGGUGGACCCAGAUUUUCUGCAUUUUGCAUCAGAUUGUGCCAAGGGCACGUGAGUUUUGGUUGUUAGACCAGUUAGAGCCAUUUGCAUUGAUUACAAGCUGUGAGAGCCUGAUUGAGCUCGAUAGAGACACGCUUGCAUACUCGGUUGGGUCGUGCCCAUGAGUGCCGCUCCAGAGUUUGGUUACGUGCUUUCUCAUUGAUGUCGUAGUGUCCGGUUUGGACUUUGCUCUCCACCGGCAGCUCUCGGGGUGGUGUGCGCUGUAGCUUCGACAGACGAGACGGGUGCAUUCACAGUCCCUAGUGAGUUUGGGUCAGAGAUUGCAUUGUUGUUAUAUCUACAGAUAGCCAGUGUUGGUUAGCGAUAGUAUAGUGGCAUAUAGCGGUAGGGUUUUCAGCUUUUCUUACUAUCUCUUGCACACUUUUCUAUAGACUUGGUGGGUGAGUGGGUGAGCCGUUGAGGCCGAUGACGGUACCCACUAAGGACUACUCUAUUUUGCAGUAGUUCUCACACCUAGUUUGUAACGACCUAGCCCACUAGCAAUAAUAACUCGUUGGGCCCAACCACUGGCCCAAAAUGCUUAAGCCCAAUUUAUUAUUACUAGUGUCUAAGUCUAUUAUAUACCCAAUCACAUCCCCAUUCCUAUCCGAUGUGGGAUUAUUGGGGUGUGACAAACUCCUCCCGUUAAGGCCCUGACGUCCUCGUCAGUACAAUCCAAUCACACACACAGCCCAAGAUCACCAUGCGAUGUGAGACUCGUCUCGCUAGCCUUGUCAUCCAAACCCUGAUAUAGCCGGUCACCUUGUCAUUCAGACUCCGGUAUAGCCUAUCACCUUGUCUUUCCGACCCUGGCUCAGCCAAAACUCAUCUCACACUUCCAGCUGCUGAACCGGCUCUGAUACCAAAUAUAACGACCCAGCCCACUAGCAAUAAUAACUCGUUCGGCCCAACUACUGGCCCAAAAUGCUUAAGCCCAGUUUGUUAUUACUAGUGUCUAAGUCUAUUAUAUACCCAAUCACAUCCCCAUUCCUAUCCGAUGUGGGAUUAUUGAGGUGUGACACAGUUGUUGACCCUUUUUGCAGAGCCUUCUUCUGCGGCUGCUGCUGCCGUUGAUUCUGACCGUGGAAAAGGAGUCGCGAGUUAGAUCCCUUCCAGCUUUGUUGCAAUGCUAGAAGAGUACCUUUCAAAGGUAGUUUUGGGCUUUCUUUGUACAUACUGCGAUGUUGUCGGGGUGCUCACUGGAGCGAGUUGUGUUGUAGCAUUUUGUAUGUACUGAAACCCCUCGAGGUUUUAUAUAUUAUCCUUUUUAGUUUAGCAGCUCUAUACUACUGGUUGUAGUUUUGUUGUGAUUGCAGGUGCAGCUAUCACUUUGUAUACAUGAAAAAUUUCGAUAUAUACGGCGGGUCUGUUGGUGUGCCCGGGGAACGUGUUAUCCGAGACGUGACAGAUUAAGUUGGUAUCAGAGCUUAGCGUUAGGUCGCUCGGAUCAAGAAAUCUUAAGCUUGGCAAACCUUAGGAAGGAAAGACGCGAGAGGCGUGAUUUACCGCGAAAGUCGGCGAUUUAGUUGUUUAACUUCUCCUAGAGUGGAGGGAGUGACCGAAGGAGAGUGUGUUUCUACCAAGAAAAUUAUGUCGGUUAUAGACGACAUAAUUUUGAGGAGAAACAGGGGCGACCUUCUUGACUUUCGCCUAAUUGGGUCGAGAGAUGUUAUGUUUUGUAUUUGACCAUUGUUUUGAUUUCAGGUAGCUAUGUAUCGAUGGCGAGGUCGAUCGUCGAUGCGAAACCGUUACGCACCAGCAGAGAUGCCUGAGCAGGCAGGACCGAGUGCAUCCCCCGAUCUGAGUGAGCUGUUGGCUGCCCUGACUGAGGAGACCAGGCAGCAAGGGACACUAUUAUAGAGGGUAUGUGAGACAUUUACUUAGCUACCGAGCAGAGCACUAGAGCAGCCAGUACCACUACCGACUACUCCCGUUGCCGCACCAAGCACAGCUGUACCCCCACCAGUGACAGUUCCUACGGCGCCAAUUACAUUUUCUGGAGAGGCAUCGCAGAUGUCCAAGGGUGAGCAGGAGCGAUGAUAGAGUGGCUCGCUCGUUUUCGUCAGUUUGAUCUGCCGCGCUUUGAUGGUAGUUGUACGGAGCCCUGGGUUGUAGAGGUCUGGAUGAGCGCGAUGGAGAAGUUAUUCGAGGACUUGUUUAUACUAGAGCGGGAGCACGUACAUCUGAGAGUGCACUGUUUGGCAGGCGAUGCACACUCUUGGUGGAGGAGGAUGAGGCGGACUCCAGGGGUGGUGGCGCUACAGAUGAAGUGGGUCGAGUUUUGUGGAUCGCUGUACGGGGCCUAUUUCCCAAACAGCGUGAAGCAAAAGCUCAAAGAGGACCUGAAGAAGCUACAGCAGGGAGAGCGAUCAGUUCAGGAGUACCCUCACGAGUUUACUCGGCUUCUGAACUGUGUGCCGUUUGUAGCCCGGGAUGAAGCCCACAAAGUGUAUCUGUAUGAGGGGGGCUUGAGGCCAGAGAUCCUCCGGUUGGUGCAGGCGCAGAGGUUGAGGACCUUGGAUGCGUCGAUUGAGCAGGCAUUGUUGGUGGAGAAAGGAGAUGUAUCGAUCCGUGAGUAGGCUCAGGUGAUGGGGCAGAGUCAGGAUAGGAAGCGCCGGGUCCCAGAUGAUGGAGGGCAGUCAAGCAGCAGGCAUCCGCCGAGGCCUCCACGAUCACGUUCUCAUGGCCGUGGGUCUUCGGGGCGACAACGUUCUGGGGGACCUCGUUAGCAGGGACAGUCGUAGGGGACUACGCAGUGUGUGAUUUGUGGGGGACCACAUUGGUCCCGACAGUGUGAGAAGAAAGAGGGCCGAUGUUAUGGAUGUGGACAGCCUGGACAUAUGAAGGCAGCUUCUCCCCGAGCAGCAUCACCGGCACCUUCAACAGCGUCAGCUUUGUUGGCACCUCAGCAGACUUAUGGAGUAUCGCCGAGCUACGGUCAGGAAGACAGGGUGUCAGUGCCGCGACAGAACGAGCGGCGACAGCAGGCCUCGAGUGGCAGGGUGUAUGCAGCCCAGGUGGAGGACUCUACAGUAGCCGACUGGAUGGUGGCAGGUAUCAUUUUAAUUUCUGGUAUUAAAGCUCGUACCUUAUUUGAUACCGGUGCAUCAUAUUCUUUUAUUAGCCGAGCAUUUGCAUCGUUGCAUGGUCUAAAGUUAGGACCGCUGUUACAGGCAUGAGCGGUGCAGAUUCCCGAUCAUGUGUUGCAUGUGGCGGAGUGUUGUUGGGCUUGUUCAGUGCAGUUGGGCCCUUGGAUUAUGCCUGCAGACCUGUUGGUCUUAGAGCAGCUGCAGGACUUCGAUGUUGUGCUUGGCAUGGAUUGGCUGGCGCGGUACUAUGCGACGAUUGACUGUGGAGCGAGGACAGUGAUGUUCCGCUAACCAGGCCAGGAGGAGUUCACGUACAGAGGCUGCAGGAGUACGUUGUUUGCCAUAUGGAUUUCGUCUGCGAGGGCAAGACAGCUAAUGAGUAAAGGAUGCAUCGCUUUCUUGGCGACUGUAGUAGAGGUGCCUACGGUGGCGCCGGGACUCAAGGAUAUCCCUAUAGUCCGCGAGUUUUCGAAUGUUUUUCCUCCGGAGUUUACGACUAUGCCGCCGGAUAAAGAGAUUGAGUUUGUGAUUGACGUAGUUCCUGGAACUGCGCCAAUCUCGAAGGCACCCUACCGAAUGGUACUGGCAGAGCUGAGAGAGCUAAAGACACAGCUUCAGGAUUUGAUGGAUAAGGGGUAUUUGAGACCCAGUGUAUCGCCUUGGGGAGCGCCGGUGUUAUUCGUGAAGAAGAAUGAUUGAUCACUUAGACUGUGUGUAGAUUACAGGGAGUUGAAUAAAGUGACCAAUCCUUUGUCGCGCAUUGAUGAUCUAUUCGAUCAGCUGCAAGGAUCUUGUGUCUUUUCGAAGAUUAAUCUCUAGUCAGGUUACCACCAGUUGAGGGUGAGAACCGAGGAUGUUCCCAAGACGGCUUUUCGGACUUGGUACGGGCAUUAUGAGUUCACAGUGAUGCCUUUUGGAUUGACUAAUGCCCCUGCCGCAUUUAUGGAUCUGAUGAAUAGAGUGUUCAAGCCGUUCUUGGAUAUAUUCGUAGUUGUGCUCAUAGAUGAUAUUCUGAUAUACUCCGGGAGUGAUGUUGAGCACGAGGAGCAUUUGAGGAUAGUGUUACAGCUUCUGAUGGAGAAGAAGUUAUAUGCUAAGUUGAAGAAGUGCGACUUUUGGCUUCGGGAAGUUUCUUUCUUGGGCCAUGUGGUUUCUACAGCUGGAGUGGCAGUUGACUCGAAGAAGAUUGAUACUAUUCGGGAUUGGCCCAGACUGACGAUGGUUACCGAGGUGAGGAGUUCUCUUGGAUUGGCUGGAUAAUACCGUCGGUUUGUGGAAGGCUUUGCGAAGCUUUCCACACCCCUCACUCGAUUGACUUGAAAAGAAAUUAAGUUCAUCUGGAGUGAAGAUUGUCAGAGGAGCUUCGAUGAGUUGAGACAGAGGUUGAUGUCGGCUCCCAUCCUUGCCCUUCCAGUUGUGGGGGAAGGAUUUGUGAUCUAUAGUUAAGCAUCGCACAGCGGGUUGGGUUGUGUUCUGAUGCAGCAUGGUAGGAUAAUUGCUUAUGCUUCUCGACUAUUGAAGGAUUACGAGAAGACUUACGCUACGCAUGACUUAGAGCUUGCUGCGGUGAUUUUUGCCUUAAAGUUGUGGUGGCAUUACUUGCAUGGCGAGCAUUGUGAGAUUUUUAUAUAUCAUAAAAGUCUCAAAUAUUUGUUUACCCAAAAGGAGUUGAACCUGAAGCAACGCCGAUGGUUGGAGUUGUUGAAGGAUUAUGAUAUUAGUAUUCAGUAUCACCCAGGUAAGGGGAAUGUGGUGGCAAAUACGUUGAACAGGAAGUCAGUGCAGAGCUUGAGCAUGAUGAUUACUCAGCAGAGGCCGUUACUAGAGGAGUUACAGUGGUUGAGGCUUGAGGUGGUAUCCCCUGGGUCUACUGCGAGACUGAUGUCCAUGGUCUUGCAGUCUACUCACAGUGCUAGUAUCGUCGACAUGUUCAGCCCACUCACAGGUGGUAUCCCCUGGGUCUCUUCUUUCGACUUCUCGCCGUAGUUCGACGAACUUUUCGAGGUGGGUUAAUGUUUACCGAAAUCGCCGAAAUUCCUCCUAAAUUCUAGUAUCGUUGACAUGUUCAUUGGUUUUAUUUCCUUGCUAGUACUAGAAUUCAUGGAUUAGAGUACAAAAUCUGAAUUUGGAGUUAAGCUAGUAUUUAUAUUCAUGUUGGACUUUGGAAUUGACUUAGGAGAAAACUAUUUAAUCCUACACUGUCAUUUUCUAAAAGGUUACCAGAUUUAGCUUUAGGAGCUAUGGUUUGUUUGUAUCGCCGCUGUUCAUAUGCCGUGGAUAUUCGGAUUAGUGUAGGAUGAGUUUACGCUCGUGCUGGGAUGCCGAGAUUAUUUUACAGUAGUGGGUAGAUUGUUUCGGACUAUCGGGUGCCGACGCCGUUGAUGGUGGACCCAGAUUUUCUGUAUUUUGUAUCAGAUUGUGCCAAAAGCACGUGAGCUUUGGUUGUUAGACCAGUUAGACCUAUUUGCAUUGAUUACAGCCUGUAAGAACCUAAUUGAGCUCGACAGAGACACGCUUGUAUACUCGGUUGGGUCGUGCCCACGAGUGCCGCUCCGGAGUUUGGCUACGUGCUUUUCCGUUGAUGUCGUAGUGUCUGGUUAGGACUUAAUUUGCUCUCCACCGGCAGCCCUCGGGGUGGUGUGUGGUGUAGCUUCGACAGACGCGACGGGUGCGUUCACAGUCCCUAGUGAGUUUGGGUUAGAGAUUGCAUUGUUGUUAUAUCUACAGAUAGCCAGUGUUGGUUAGCGAUAGUAUAGUGGCAUAUAACUGUAGGGUUUUCAGCUUUCCCUACUAUCUCUUGCACACUUUUCUGUAGAUUUAGUGAGUGAGCCGUUGAGGUCGGUGACGGUACCCACUGAGUACUACUCUAUUUCGCAGUAGUUCUCACACCCAGUUGUUGACCCUUUUUGCAGAGCCUUCCUCUGCAGCUUUCAGACCAUGGAAAGAGAGUCGCGAGCUAGAUCCCUUUCAGUUUUGUUGCAGUGUUAGAGCAGUACCUUCCAGAGAUAGUUUUAGGCUUUCUUUGUACAUACUGUGAUGUUGUCGGGGUGCUCGCUAGAGCGAGUUGUGGUGUAGAUAUUUUGUAUGUACUAGAACCCCUCGAGAUUUUAUAUAUUAUUUUUUCAGUUUAGCAGCUCAAUACUACUGGUUGUAGUUUUGUUGUGAUUACAGGUACAGCUAUCGCUUCAUAUAUACGGAAAAUUUCUAUGUAUACGGUGGGUCUGUUGGCAUGCCCGGAGAAACAUGUUAAUCCGGAACGUGACACUUAUAUAUUGAUAAACAAAAAAUAUUAAAUUAUAAUUUUUUGAACUUACCUAAUAAGUAGAUUUUUGAUUUAUAAAGUGUUUGGGAGUGUGGGGUACAUAAAAUGUUUCGAGUAGCCAAAUAAAAAAUAAAAAAAUAAAAAAUAGUGCCGGUAUGAUAUAGUGCCACGGCACCCACUCGUGUAGGGCGCUGUCAUGCGUGAUACGCAGGUGUGUGCUGCGACACGGCGAAGGAUUCCCCCAGUACUGUGCCUCCUUCUUGGGGGCACAGUAUGUACCACUCCGUGCCCCCUUCUUGGGGGCAUAGUAUGUACCGCCCCGUGCCGUACGGUAUGGGACGUGCUUGAAACAUUAUUCACUGAUCAAUUGGGCUGGUGUUAAUUACAUCCUACGUGUCAUCCAUCUCACGAUGAUCAAUUGGGAGGGAGGUGACCUCUAAAAGGCAAUAUUACCAUCUUCUGAAAAGUAUCUACCGAAGAUUGCGUAUUCAAAUGGAUGCGUAUUAAGCAUGCGCAAAAUUUGCGGGAGGUCACACACGCCCGAUCAUUGUUAUUUACAAGUGCUGAUUAGAUUUUUUGAUUCAACACAGAUAACUGUUUCGAAAUUCUGAAUUAUUACUGUCGUGAAUAAGAUGACUAUUUUUUUUUUUUGAGAAAAAUAUAACUUGCUACCCACUUAAUUCAUUAAAAAUAUGAACUAGGCUAUAUGGGUGAGGUAAUAGACCUCAGUCGAGACGAAAAAACGAAAAAACAAAAAAACAAAAAAAACAAAAACAAAAACAAAAACAAAAAUAAAAACAAAACUAAGCAGCUACUUUGCCGAGGUGAAUUCCUCCCACGAGUCCUUCAAGUACCUGAUCUUGCAGAAAAACUAAUAACAGGCACAAUGUAAAACACAUUAUUGUUUUUACUGAAGUAAUUAUUUGUGCCCAAGUAGUUUGCAUAACAUUUUCUGAUUGUGACUCAUACAUGCAAAGCACACAAGCAGGAAGCGUGCGAAGGUAUGGAAACAUCUAGUAAAUGAUAAAAAUAAUAUAUGUGUAUUAAUUGGCCCCUUUAGUAAUUAAUUAAGUGCAGGUUCAUUUGAGGAAGGUUGAGCAGCUUCUAGCGAAAUGACAAAAAUAAAAAAAAAAAGGAUAUAUUUGUCCCUGAAGUAAUUAAGAGCAACUACAUUUGAGGAAGGUUAAUUACGUGAAGAGCGAAAUGAAAAAGAUCCGUCACAUUCAACAAUUAAUUAAAACAUGAACCCCAAACUUGGUUUUGUUUGUCUUGCGCUUUACUUGUCAAACCGACUUUUUUUGGUAUAUUUUUAUUUGGUGAAAUCUGCAAAGAGUAUGAACAAAGUGUUCUGCCUAUAAACUACUAAUUUUAUUUAUUGGACUACUUCAUCUUAUAAUAAAAGAGUUCGAUUCAUGCUGAGAGUAGGUAGUCAAUGUAUUAAGUUGAAAUUCGAUACAGGAUUUGUGACUGUAUGAUUAAUUAAUUACUAAAAUAUUCACUUUUAGAGAAAAAAAUAAGUUUUUUUUUUUUUUUUUCUAGAGAAAGAUAGCUAAAGGGUGUGUUUGGUUUGAUGCAAAAGAGGAUGGAAAAAAAAUUUCGGCAGAAAUAUAGUUUGCGAAAAGUUUGGUUCGGCGUAAAUUUUUUUUUUUUUCUGAACAUAUUUGCAUGAAAAUUUCCUUUCUCGUUUUUCGUGCUAGAGCGACGGAAAACAAAACAGCGGAGCCAAAAAUCACGGCUUAUGAGUAGUGUUCUCAGGUAAUCCACGAGGCUAUUUCGGUCUCAUGGACCGCAUGAUGGACCUCUCUCUCAUUAUAUAUAUAUAUAUAAAAUUAGGCUGGAAUACUAUUAAUAGUAAAACGUUCUUUUUGCUAUCAAGUUUUUAACCCUUGGAUGAAAAAUUGUAGGGUCAGGAUGAUAUUAGUCAGUUAGAGUUGANNNNNNNNNNNNNNNNNNNNNNNNNAUAGCUUAUAAAAAUAUAUAAAAAAAUUAAGACUUUUUAAAAUUUUUAUUUAUAUAUAAAAUUUGAUGUUCAUAGUUUUAACUUUUCAAUUAUAUUGUUUUUUUAUAAUCAUCUAUCUAUUUUUAUUAUAUAUUUAUAAAUAGAAUUUUUCUUUUCUAUACCUUACUAUUUUUAUAAAUUAUUUUUUUAUUUUAUAAUUAUCAACCUCUUUUUUCUCCUUGAUAGAAAUCUAAUAAAUAAAACACAUGCUUUUUUUUUCUUUAAAACUUUAUCUAGAUAACUUCCUGGCUUUAAAUUUCAUGCAUUAAUAUAUAUAUAUCUAUAUCUACACUAAUAUAUAAAUUUUAUAAAAUAAAAAAUAUAUUAUUAUUGUUGGCAACAACUAUUUAAAUUUGAGUUAGAAUAUAAUAGAUAUUUUCUAAUAGUAUAUAAUAAAUAAAUUUAUUUUUUAAAAUUUAAAUUUUAUAUUAUAAAUUUUUGAAUAAAUAUAAGAUACAAAUUUAUAUGAUUUUAAGAUAAUUAUUAAAAUAUUUGUUACGUAUAUUUGUGCGUACACUCAACUAGUAUAUAUAUAAAAAUUUAUUUGUAAAUUUUUAUUUAUUUAUUAUAUAUAGCAUUUUAUUUUUAUAGAAAGUUUCUUAUUUAUAGAGGGUUAUUUAUGAUAUUUCAUUUUCUAAAGGGGCAUCUAUACCUUUAUACCUAUCUAUUAUUGGCUAAUGGCUAAAGCUGACGUGGCGCAACCUCAUUUUUUUUAUUUUAUUUUUCUUUUUACGGUGUGCCCAUCCAUUCUCUCUCUCUCUCUCUCUCUCUCGCUCUCUCUCUCUCUCUCUUAACUGUGAGCAUGCAUGAUGGCUUGUUACUAGGAAAUAACAGGACAGAUGGUUACUUGAGUUGUGUGUUUCAAUCGAAUGUACAAACUUUCUUAUGAUGUUAUCCUAGUAGUUUAUUGCCAUAUGCCUGCUUGUGUUCUUAUACUUACGAUUGCUCAUCCAUUCUCAUUUUGUGUUUGAUCAUUCAAUGUUUGAUAUGCAACCCAUUACAUCCACUAUCUGCGGUGCAUAUCUCACAAAUAGCUAUUUGUGUAUUUGUUAUCAUUAAACUACCUGUCAUAAUUAUUUUAGCUUCUCAUGGUGAUGGAAUACGUGCUAUGGUCUAUAAUGCCACACAAUGGNAAAGGAAACAAAUUGUUUUCACAAAAAAAAAGUAAAAAUAAGAUCUCUUUAUAUUUUUUUUCCUCACGUUUUUUUAUUUUUUCAUUUUGGGGCACAAGAAGGGUACACAUUUUAUAAUUUUCUUGAUUUUUUUUCUAUUUUGUUUUAAAUUGUGUGGGGGUUGAAAUUAGAUUUCCAGAAAUAGCGGCGCGGUGCAGCGAGUAGAAGUGGCGAUGGAUUUGGAAUCCGUGAGGUGGAAGAAGCGGUGGGUGUGAGGGUAUCUGUACGAAAUUGACGUGACCGUGACCAAGGAGGAGCACGAAGCCGACAAUAGUGGCGAAGGCGCUACGGAGAUCGGGAAUUUGCCUCCCCAGUGUCAGCGACUCGAUCAAGAUGCAUUUGCCUUAUUCGAGCCUGAUUUUUUUUCCUAAUUUUUGGUUGAUUUUUUAGGGUGACUAAAGUGGAUUUCUCUUUUUUGUUGGUUUUUCUUUAUCAUUAUGCUGGAUUUUAUUGAUUUUUUUUGGGGUGAUUAUACUGGACUUCGAUCUAAGGUUUUUUUGGGUCCCUUUUUGGGGUUGUUUUAGUGAAUUUCGAUAUUUUUGUCAAAUUAAAGAUGUUAGCAGUGGCUCGAGGAGGGCGAGAAAAAAGUACGUGCACGAGAUGCUCUCCCGAUGAGUCGGGGGUACGAUGGAGUGCAAGAUUGAGGAAUCGCAUUAAUUUGUUUGCUACUACCAUAUCUCUAAAGGAGAAAAUAGUAGCUUCAUACAGUUGGGAAUCCGGUACUCGCCCCGGUACCNNNNNNNNNNNNNNNNNNNNNNNNNNNNNNNNNNNNNNNNNNNNNNNNNNNNNNNNNNNNNNNNNNNNNNNNNNNNNNNNNNNNNNNNNNNNNNNNNNNNNNNNNNNNNNNNNNNNNNNNNNNNNNNNNNNNNNNNNNNNNNNNNNNNNNNNNNNNNNNNNNNNNNNNNNNNNNNNNNNNNNNNNNNNNNNNNNNNNNNNNNNNNNNNNNNNNNNNNNNNNNNNNNNNNNNNNNNNNNNNNNNNNNNNNNNNNNNNNNNNNNNNNNNNNNNNNNNNNNNNNNNNNNNNNNNNNNNNNNNNNNNNNNNNNNNNNNNNNNNNNNNNNNNNNNNNNNNNNNNNNNNNNNNNNNNNNNNNNNNNNNNNNNNNNNNNNNNNNNNNNNNNNNNNNNNNNNNNNNNNNNNNNNNNNNNNNNNNNNNNNNNNNNNNNNNNNNNNNNNNNNNNNNNNNNNNNNNNNNNNNNNNNNNNNNNNNNNNNNNNNNNNNNNNNNNNNNNNNNNNNNNNNNNNNNNNNNNNNNNNNNNNNNNNNNNNNNNNNNNNNNNNNNNNNNNNNNNNNNNNNNNNNNNNNNNNNNNNNNNNNNNNNNNNNNNNNNNNNNNNNNNNNNNNNNNNNNNNNNNNNNNNNNNNNNNNNNNNNNNNNNNNNNNNNNNNNNNNNNNNNNNNNNNNNNNNNNNNNNNNNNNNNNNNNNNNNNNNNNNNNNNNNNNNNNNNNNNNNNNNNNNNNNNNNNNNNNNNNNNNNNNNNNNNNNNNNNNNNNNNNNNNNNNNNNNNNNNNNNNNNNNNNNNNNNNNNNNNNNNNNNNNNNNNNNNNNNNNNNNNNNNNNNNNNNNNNNNNNNNNNNNNNNNNNNNNNNNNNNNNNNNNNNNNNNNNNNNNNNNNNNNNNNNNNNNNNNNNNNNNNNNNNNNNNNNNNNNNNNNNNNNNNNNNNNNNNNNNNNNNNNNNNNNNNNNNNNNNNNNNNNNNNNNNNNNNNNNNNNNNNNNNNNNNNNUUCAUUAAAUAAGAGAAGAUUACACCUGACUCCUCUUCUGCAACAGAGUAGCUACAACCCUAGCCCUCUUUUUGAAUCUCUCCUACCUUUCUCUCGUCUUCUAUGAACCCACAAAGAAGACCUCUCCGCGUGCACCCGUGCACGAGGUGCACUAAAAUAACUCUCUCUCUCUUUUUUUUCUCUCUCUGGUACGACACCCCAAUGGUUCCAGCCGUACUCCUCUCAAAAAAGAGAGCCACAAUGCCUAUUUAUAAUGCUCAACUUAAAACGUACCCCAAUCCUAAUAUAUUUAGGAUUCAUACUUUAAUUAAUAUCUAAAUCUAUCUUAAUCAAUCUCUAAUUGAUUUAAAUAUUAAUCCUAAUCUAGUUAGGUUUAUCCUCUAUUUAAUAUUUAAAUCUUAAUUUAUCUCAAAUAGAUUUAAAUAUUAAUUCUUAUCCAAAUAGGAUUUAACUACAAAUCUAACCAAAUCCUAACACAUACUAUGCACAUAUUUAAGUCAAGAUUUAUUAUCUUUACUGGUUAUGGUCUUAUUUGUCAUACUAAGGUAUCAUUUGGUUCAGAUAUAAGCAAGAAUUGUCAAUUUCAGAAAUAGAUUUAACUACAAAUCUAACCAAAUCCUAACACAUACUAUGCACAUAUUUAAGUCAAGAUUUAUUAUCUUUACUGGUUAUGGUCUUAUUUGUCAUACUAAGGUAUCAUUUGGUUCAGAUAUAAGCAAGAAUUGUCAAUUUCAGAAAUAGAUAUAAAUUCGAGUAUAAGUAUAUAAGAAAUAUAUUACUUUUGCAUAUGAAUGAAAAUUGGUUUGUUACCGAAAAUAAGAAAAUUAGCAUUUGGAUAGAAAAGAUAGAAUAAGAAGAAUAAUGAUUAAUAUAUAUAAAAUAUAAUAUUAUUACCCUCUUAUUAUAUUUGAAUUUGAAUUUUUAAAUUUUUAANNNNNNNNNNNNNNNNNNNNNNNNNNNNNNNNNNNNNNNNNNNNNNNNNNNNNNNNNNNNNNNNNNNNNNNNNNNNNNNNNNNNNNNNNNNNNNNNNNNNNNNNNNNNNNNNNNNNNNNNNNNNNNNNNNNNNNNNNNNNNNNNNNNNNNNNNNNNNNNNNNNNNNNNNNNNNNNNNNNNNNNNNNNNNNNNNNNNNNNNNNNNNNNNNNNNNNNNNNNNNNNNNNNNNNNNNNNNNNNNNNNNNNNNNNNNNNNNNNNNNNNNNNNNNNNNNNNNNNNNNNNNNNNNNNNNNNNNNNNNNNNNNNNNNNNNNNNNNNNNNNNNNNNNNNNNNNNNNNNNNNNNNNNNNNNNNNNNNNNNNNNNNNNNNNNNNNNNNNNNNNNNNNNNNNNNNNNNNNNNNNNNNNNNNNNNNNNNNNNNNNNNNNNNNNNNNNNNNNNNNNNNNNNNNNNNNNNNNNNNNNNNNNNNNNNNNNNNNNNNNNNNNNNNNNNNNNNNNNNNNNNNNNNNNNNNNNNCAUUAAUUUUGAGAUUAAAUAAUAUAAAUUUUAAAAAGUAAAAAUUAAAAAUUAAAUUUUAAAUUAAAUUUUAAAAUUAAAAAUUUUAAUUUUAAUUUUUAAAUUAUAAAAAUAAAAACAUGGUGGACUUUAAAUUUAAAUUUUUAAAUAUUUAAAUUUUAAAUUUUUAAAUUUUUGAAUAUUAAAAUUUAAAUUUUAAAUUUUAAAUUUUAAAAUUUUAAAAUUUUAAAUUUUAAUUUUAAAUUUUAAAUUUUAGUUUUAAAUCUUAAUUAAAAAUUUAAAAUGUCACGCCCCGGAUUACUCGGUUCCCCGGGUUCGCUAACAGACCCGCCAUAUACAUAGGUAUUUCCUCUGUAUACGAAGCGAAAAGUAAAGUAUCUGUAAUCAUACAACACUACAGACAGUAGUAUAGAGCAGUUAGGAGAAAAUAAACCAUAAAUAUAAACUAUGGUUCUAUACAUACAUAGAAUCCAAGAUACAAAAGCACUCGCACUGGUGAGAGUACAACAUCUGUAUAUAUAAACCAAAACUACACUACCUGCAGCGGUCCUCCACUAGCUCAGCAACUCGACUGGAAGGGCUCUAACUCGCGACGCCCUUGCCAUGAUCAAAAUCAGCGACAGCAGCAGCCGAAGACGAUGGCUGUGCAAAACAGUGGAAACAAACUGGGCGUGAGAACUACUGUAUAAAACAAGUAGUCCUCAGUGGGUACCGCCCUCAAACUCAUCGGUCCACCCACUAAGUCUACAGGGGUAAGCAAGAAAUAGUAAGGAAAGCUGGAACAAAUUUACAGCUAUCUGUCUCUAUACUAUCAUGCUCUAAUCUAACCAGCUGUAGAAUAGUGUCAACUCAGACCUAAUCUCGAAUAGAGACUGUAAUCAUACCCGUCCCUGAGGCUGUGAACACACCUGUCCCGCCAGGUUGCAACUAAUCAGCUACCUCCACACUAACAAGUCCGUGGAUAGCAAGUCCAACCUGCACGAACGACACCAACGCAAAUGCACUAAGCCCGACCCGGAGUGGCACUCGUGAGCGCUACCCAACCGAGUAUGCAAGUAUAUCUCUGUCGAGCUCAAUCAGGCUCUAACAAGCCAAAGACAAGUAGCUAGGGCCAAAACAGGUCAAGAAACAGAACCCACGUGCCCUCGGCACAAUCUGAUACCAAAAACAGGAAUCUGGGUCCACCGUCCAUCCCGGCGGCACCCGACAACCGGAAACAGCCUAGACUCUGCUGUAAAAAUAAGCUCGGCGUCCCAGCACGAGCGUAAAUGCAUUCUAAACUACCCCGGGUAUCCACCGCGCUGAAACAGCGGUGAUACAACCAAAUCACGACUCCUAGAGCUAAAUCAGGUAGUAAAAUCAUAUGACGGGUCAAAACACGGAUUUUCUCCUAAGUCAAUUUUCAAGUCCAACAUGUAUAUUUUUCGAAUUAAGAAUCAUGCUCCAAAUUCAGAUUUCAUACUUUACCAAUCGAUGAAUUUGAGCUACAACAUGCUAUAUCGAAGUCGAACAAUACAUGUUUGCUAUACACAUAUACUUAGGAGCAAAACCGAUGAUAAACCCACCUCAAAAGCAAUUCCUGGCAGCAAGAAGAUCUCGGAGGUGCUGGAAACUUAGCCGAACUCCCUCUCAGCGAGCAAGGGUCCACAAUCCGGCUCAGAACUUCCGAAUCCACUAAAAUCCAUCAAAAUGCCACAAUCAACACAAUUUUCAGCACUUAAGCUAAAUUAACCCAACUCCACAGUCCAAACUCAUCUAAAAAGCUCCAAUUCAGGUGAGGACAGUCCCAAAUCCAAUGGAGUAUAUUGGAGAAUGAUUCUCAGGUCCCAAAUUCUCCUGCUUCCAAAGAUGGCAUCAAAAAAAGCUCAAAAUCCACAAUUCUGUCCAAAUACAACAACUGCAGAGUAAAACUUGAGUUCGACCAAGCUAACCUCAACCAAAUUCUGCAAUUCAGGACUUCUGGAUUCUUUUGGCAGUCUAGAAUCCAGCAAACCAAGUUUCACUGCGAUCCGACCUUCCUACGUCGCACACGAGCCAAAACACUGGAGGUCGUCGCUGAAGAACUGUAGAAUCAGCACCUGUCAAACUUGGAGUUGUGGAUCUUGAAGCAAUUUGAGGGAUUUGGAGGGGUUAGAAUGCAAAGUAGAGGAUCACUGUGAAGAAGAGAGGAAAAGAGCUCACCAGGGACGCUCCUCAGCUAUUUAUAGGGUGAACAUAGGGUCAGAUGAAUCUCAGGAACAAAGGGUGCAAUUCUGUUACCCCUGCAGAAAUGGCCACUUUCGGGCACCCUAAACCCAUUUCUGGGUGUCCCAAACAUGCACGUUUGCUCCCCUUUGGUUCCAUCGCCGGCGGUGUGCUGCUCCCGAAUCCGACUCGGGCGGAACUCACCUACCACCAGCCACGUGUCAGCGCAAACGAUACUCAAGAGGUGUAAUUUUCGGACCCACUUCCGGGCACCCGAAACAUGGACCCGAAUUGGCUUCCAGUUCUGAUCAAAUCUGCACUCAACUUCUGGGUGACCCAAGACCAGUUCUGGGAGCCCAAAUCUGGCAAAACUCCAGUUUUGCUUAUUUGAGUGCGCCGAAUCCAUUUCUGCAUCCAUUUUGCGCAGAAACGACUCUGACUCAGUCCGACAUUCUCCAGAUGUGUCGACCAGUUACUAACACUUAAGCCAAUCCUAUCCAAAGCUCAGAAACACUACAUAAAAUUUUUGAAAUUUAAAAUUUAAAAAUUUAAAUUUAAAUUUUAAAUAUUUAAAAAUUAAAUUUUAAAUUAUAAAUUUUGAAAAUUUAAAAUCUAAAAAAUUUUUAAUUUUUAAAAUUUAAACUUUUAAAAUUUAAAUUAAUAUUAUUAAUUUAAUAUUAAUUAGAUUAAUUAAUUAUUUAAAAUUAUUAAUUAGAUUAAUUAAUGAUUUAAAUCUAUUAAUUAGAGUUUAAUUAAUCUUGUUUUUGGAUGUUUCUGAGAUAAGGAUGGAACAACAAUUUCAGAUUUAUACUAGAUUAUACCAGCUUAUUAUAGAUACCUGAGAACUAUUAUUUUAGGGUAUGAAAAAUAGCGUUUGUGUAUAGAAGGGGGAUAAGGGGUUAUUCCACCCUUUAUCCCCGAACCAAACGGGGGCUAAGUUAAUAAGAUUCUACGGAUUCAUAUGGAGUAGUAUCAUUGUUGCUUCUUUCAUUAUUGUUAUGUAUAAUUUAUUUACUGAAAUUGUAAGUUUUGCUACAUAUGUACAUAUAUCUACUUCAUCUCUUCUAUUUGUAUAUAUUGAUAUAUAUUAUUUUUGUUUAUUGAUGUCUUAUGGCAAGUCAAAAAUUUUUAAAAUUUUUUACUUUGUCAAUCUUCUGUCUUACUAUUAUUUUUUAAUUUAUUGUUAUACAUUCGUUUACUUCUAUAGCAUUAGCCGCCUGCAACGUGCGGCUAACUUCACUUGUCUAUAGUAAUAUAUGGUUGUUAAUUAAAGUGCAAACAUAAAUUUCUUCCCAAUAUAUAUAUAUAUAUAUAUAUAUAUAUAUAUAUAUAUAUAUAUAUAUGUAUAUUAUAUAAUAUGUAUUAUUAUAUAUAUAUACUAUAGUAUAUAUGUAUAUAUAUAUAUAUAUAUAUAUGUACUAUAAUAUUAUAUAUAGAGAGAGAAGAGAGGGAGAGAGUACGGCGUAGUGCAUUCUGAAGCACGAGCCCGCUCCAUGCUUUUCCAAGUCGAUUUUCGCAUAGUUCGGGAUUUUCGAAAUCGCCGAUCGGGCUUCCGUUAGAUUUGAUAUAGAGUAUUUUAAGUAUUUAGAAAAUAUAAAUUUUUAGCGUUUUUUGUAUAUAAUUUGGUUAGUGAUCAAAGUUGACUCAUCAGAUACGAAAAUAAAUUUACAAAAUAUGAUGAUAUGACAUUAAUUUAUAGGAUCAAAAAUAAUUGAUAAUGUUUAUAUAGUAUAAAGAUUUUCUAUCAAAAUUUCACUGAAUCUGUAGAUAUUUUACACCGUUAAACUUGCAAAACGGCUCACUUACGGCCAAUUAAAUUAUUGAUUUUGGAGCCCCUGUCCGAAUCACUAGGAAAAUAAUAUCGAAAAAUUGCAUAAUUUAUUUUCUAUGUACUUCAAAUACUCUAAAUCAAGUUUAACAGAGCCGAUCGACAAUUCGAAAGUCGCAACAUGGAAAACGACCUGGAAUGGCUCUGUGCUUUCAGAAGCAUAGUAGCCUCACACUAUAUUCCGUGCUUCCAGAAGCACAGUAGCCUCACACCUAUAGUGUGAGGCUACUAUGCUUCUGGAAGCACGGAAUCUUUAGUGCUUCUAGGUCGUUUUCCAUGUUGCGACUUUCAAAUCGUCGAUCGGCUCCGUUAAACUUAAUCUAGUGUAUUUGAAGUAUCUAGAAAAUAAAUUUUAUAAUUUUUCGAUAUCAUUUGCCUAGUGANNNNNNNNNNNNNNNNNNNNNNNNNNNNNNNNAAGGUAGUCCAGCUUGUGCCGCCUAAGUGCCUGUGGUAGCGCAACAUCCCUACUCAUGGAAUGUGUCUGUCCCACUCGACCCCGUAGGCUUCUCAAUACCGCACGAGCGAACAAAAGUCGCGUAGGCUAACUCCGGAGUGCCGGCUUGUAGGGAGCGACCCUCACAAGCAUGUGCGAAUGAGCACAAAUGGCAAGCAAGCAAGGUCAAAGUCUCAAGUACUCUACUCUCGAGCCUCUCACAUGGCAAGGCCACUAGCAUCCCAAGGAUCUAGUCCGAAGUCUCAAAGUGACGCUCCAACGCACACCGUCGCUUAGUGCCUCUUUAUGACACUUAAGCAUCACGACUAAUCAUGCCCAAUUCAUGUCCCGUAAUCCAAUUAACUAGGUUCACUUUAGCCCGGGCCCCAUGCCUCUUUAUGACAUUGGCCCAAUCUCAAAUAGUCCAAGUUCUCAAGCCUUCUGUAGGCCUCUAAAAUCCCUAAGAUCACAAUUGGCAUAUAGGUUAAAUGCAUGAAGCAAGGUUCAUUUACAUAAUAAGGAUCAUGGUUCCCAAACAUAAACAGAAUGCGAAGUCUCCCAUGCAUGCACUCUACCACAUAGAGGUCUAAAUUUUCACUAUACAUAACAUAUGCAUGUUAAACAUUCUAAAAUUCAUAUUAAAUACAUUUAACAAGGAAAUGCAUGAAUUUCAAGUUUACGAAACAUAUUUGCCAAAUAUGAGCAUUUCUCAUAUCAUAGGCUAGGUCAAACCCACCGAACCGUCGCGUGCUCCUUCAAUUCGCCGAACGGAGUUGUCCACGAGCCUCAAGAUACCCUAAAAGUAAUCAGCGAAGAGAUACGAGGGCAUUACGACCAUCCUAUAACAUCAAACAUUAACCUAGGAGCAUAAAGGGGCAAAACUCACCUCAAGAGUAGAAAUCUCUUCCAAAGCUUCAAAAGAGAGCUAGAACCCUUCCAAACCAAUCCCAAGGAAGGUUCUAAACCAACUAAUUUAGGUCCAAAACCCUAGAUCAAAAAUGCCCAAAAUCAAACCCUAAAUCUCAAAACUAGGGUUUCAUCACAAGAAAAAUCUCAAAUCCAAAGUCUAGAUGGAGAGAAAGGGCUACCAACCUCAAAGAAGCUUCAAUCCAAGCUCAAUGGGUGAAAAUCUUCACUCUUGCAAGCUCCAAGUCCAAGCUCCAAGCACCAAGGAAGAAGAGAGGGUGAGGGAGAUGCUCCAAGUCCUCAAAUGCUCCAAACUUCUUCUCCUUCCCUCAUUCUUCUCCUUCUCCUUCUUCUUCUCUAUCAAGGGUGUAGAGAGGGUUGAGAGGAGAGAAAUGGGGAGAGGAGAGAGUGGAGGGGUCAUAUAGACCCUCUAUUGUAACAAAAUCCCAAGAGGCCCCUCAAAAAUCCAAAAAUACAUCAGCCCGGUCUGGGCAGUUUUCGCCCAGAGGGACCGGUCUCUCCCCAGCAGGGACCGGUCUCUCGCUGCGAACCCGAAAAACCAGCGUUCGGGAACCGGUCUCGCCUGCCAGGGACCGGUUGCCUCAGGCUGCCUCAACACUGCUCACUGGGGGAACCGGUCUCUCCUUCCAGGGACCGGUCCCCGAGAGUAAAAACUCUCAGGACUUGACCAAAGUUCCAGAUUUCGAACUUUUCGGGUCGGGAAGCAUUUUACAACCCUCCACCAAGUGUGGAAAAGCUCGAAAUACAUCCAAACACUCGAACCUCGCAAUUUGCAAAGGUCCAGUGUGUUACACAAUGCUUGGACCAGUACGGCCUUCGAGGGCCGCCGCCGCCCACCGUCGGGAGCACCACCUCCUCCUCGACCUCCGCCGACGUACCGUCGCCGCCCCGACCUCCUCCGACCGCCGCCACGCCGCCGGGAAGCUUUGAACCCGAGAGCAAGAGAUCGAGUUGAUCUCCUCCGCCGCGCAACUGGCCGCCUCCCGCCGCCGGCCAGCAGGUGCCCCGGACUCCACCGACCAGCCGCACCAUACCCUGGCCGGGCCGCCCGCCGUCCAGCCACCGGUGGCCAACCCUAGCUCUCCCCUGGCCGGUAAGCUUGUUUUCAGCCUUUCUGCGCAGUGUUUCCUAUUCUACUCACUGUUCCGGCGACCUGAGGCUGUUCCGAUGCCUCCGGAGGUGAGCACGGUGAUCGUCAGUCAGUCCUGAUCACAGUGCUCACCUCACUUAGGGUCAACGAGCCCCUGGUUAGCGAGAUAAGCAUGCUUUUCCUACUGUGCGCGCUGUUUCACUAAUUUUGCGUCGCCCGUGCGCGUGCCACAGUGGCCGGCAGUGCUCCGAAAGGUGAGCACGGCCUCCGGCACGCUGAGACCAGUUAGCGGGAGUGUCGUCUUGGCUGUUUGACCUCUGGUUUGCGUUCUCGGACCAUAAAAGCGCCGAAAUCGCAUGAAAUAAUGCGAUUUCAGGUAUUCAGGAGGGCUUUUAUGCAUUUUGGUUCAUCGUAGCUGUUGUUGGCAGCAAGUGUUCGUUGAGGAUAACCUCUGGACUGAUUGUCCAAGGCCCCAGACCCUUGCGAAGAUCAGAAAUGCAUUUCCGGUGCGUUUUUCGGCGAAAUCCGCCGACGGAACGCGGGUUCGGUUCGGAAUUAUUCCGACGGUGCUUCGUGAGCUUUUGCAUAGUCGCUGAGCCUUGUUGGCUGGUCACUUGCGUCAUUUCGAGAGUUCGGAAAUGACGGGUGAGCGAUGGUGGGUUCCGGUGUCGAAUUAGACACUUCAGGGAACCUGAAUCGAAACGAUUAUCCGACGAUAAUUGUUUCAACACGAGGAGUUGUGUUCGCUGCCAUGAUGCAUGAUUAUUUAUGUUUAGUGGCAGCUAGUGACUCGUAGCUCGAGUCGGUAUGUUCCGGGACAGUUCGUGGCUCCCGGCUGAGUCCCCGUGCGAUUACGGGACUUCCGGCGUAUUACGGCGUCGGUUUGGGAAACCUAUCUCCAUGGGUUUGCUUGUAGGUUGUGGAUCUAGUGGUUAUUAGCUGUGGGUUAGACACUAACCCGGUGGACCUUCCUUAGGUCCGGUUGACGUCCUUUUGCAGUCAGGAGACAGGCGCAGCAUUUGUACAGGUGGGUACUUCGAUCCGACGUCGGUACAGUGGUGCACGCUCGGUGAUAUUUCUUCUAUCCCUGUUCUUCUGUUGCUAUUUUCGUAUUAUAUAUUGAGCUUGCAUCCCCGUUGUUUCUAUUAUACUCUACUCAUAUGUUUCUAUGCUUAGUAUCAUGUGUAGGAGUAGAGUAGUUUAUCCAUAUGUGAUAUCAGUGACCUGAUUGGUCGGUUCUCGUACUUUGUUUCGGUGACUUGAUUGGUCGGUUCUCGUACUUUGUUUCGGUGACUUGAUUGGUCGGUUCUCGUACUUUGUUUCGGUGACCUGAUUGGUCGAUUCUUAUACUUCGUUUCGGUGACCUGAUUGGUCGGUUCUCGUACUUCGUUUCGGUGAUCUAGUUGAUCGGUGCUUUUAUCUUAUAUCUGUUGACCUGGUUGGUCGGUUGUUGCAUUAUGUAUUGGGUUGGUCUGUUUCUUGACUUCUGUCGUCUGAUGACCUUUGAGGUCGGUGUACCCUGAGGGGUAGGAUUGUCGGCCAUGGCCGACGGUAGUUCUAGAUUAUAUACUCAGAUGACUUGUUGAUCGAUUCUUGCAUAUAUACAGUAGUUGACCUAUUGAUCAGUAUCUACAUACUUUUGGUAGGAUGUUGAGUUGUUCCAUCCCAGUUGACUUGAUUAGUCAGUACUUACAUACAGUUGAGAGGAUGUAGAGUCGUUCCAUCCUAGUUGACUUGAGUGGUCGGUUCUUGUGCUUCUUUAUAGUUUGAUGACCUAUUGGUCGGCUUGCCCCGAGGGGCGGUGAUUGUCGGCUAGUUGCCGACAUUUGGCUAUUGAUCAUAUCCGCAUUGAUCGCCACAGCUCGAGUGCAUUUCACGUACACCAGCGGGUUGAUCCCCCGCAGGAGGGUGUUCUUUUCCGGAAAAGUGGUCGUACAUCCGACCCGUGAGCCCAGCGGUGUUCUCUUUGUGCUAGGGUUACAUGCCAGGUGUGAGCAGGUAGUGGCUUUUGCCUGAGGUCCUUAGACCGACACGGCGGUUUAGAUUGGGUACUUUUGGACUUCUCGUCCGGUUGACGCAUAUAGCUAUAGUAGCGGUUGUUGCAUAUAUACUUCUAGUUCUUUCUUUACAGUUGUCUUGCUACUAUAGUUUUGAUAUCCUUGUAUGCUUGCAGUUGUACAUUACAGUAGCGGUAGUUGUGCUUUCAUAUAUAUAUCUCAUUCGUUCAUUAUCGUUGCUACUGUAUUUUACUUACCCAUACUGUUGUUUAUCUCUUCCUGAUCCGGUGAGUACUCCUCGCCUUCUUCGGCUUGCGGUACCCACUGGGAGGGGAGACAUGUUUACAUGUUCUCACCUCCCCCACUAUUUUUCAGGUAUUACAGGCGUUGAGUUUUGGGACGAGACGUGAGGUACGUUCGUAGCGGUCGAUAGAGCUUCCGACCCAGGUUAUCGGUUUAGUUUUAUCCCUACUAUUCUGUUGUUAUAACUUAGUCAGUUUAUAUGGUUCAGUAUUUUUAUUACAUUGGAAUAUGUGGACUUUCAUGAAUGGAAUAAAAGGAUUUCUGGAUUUGGUAAAAUAGAAGGUUUUCUACCCCUCGUGGUAGCUUUUAUAAAAAAUAAAAGUUUUCGCGUAUGGAACAGUUUUCAAAAGAUUUUUCGUGGACUUUUGUUUAAACAUCGAAUGUAAAACUACGGUGUGAAUGGUGAAUGUAUGAAGGUAUAGCUAUCUGUAUAUUCAUGUAGUUGUGGUUGUAUACUGUUUGUACUUUUGUACUUGUGCGACGCCGUGCAAAUACAGGGGAGACUCUGUCCGUGUGAACAGUGGAUUCCCUGUAUUUGUGGCGGAUCUGGCAUACUCUGGGGUCAGGUUUUCAAAAAAAAAAAAAUUUAAACGCUUUUCCGCUGUGUUUCAAACUAAAAGGGGACCCCGGGGCGUGACAAUCGGUCCACCCACUAAGUCUACAGGGAUAAGCAAGAAAUAGUAAGGAAAGCUGAAACAAAUCUACAGCUAUCUGUCUCUAUACUAUCAUGCUCUAAUCUAACCAGCUGUAGAAUAGUGUCAACUCAGACCUAAUCUCGAAUAAAGACUGUAAUCAUACCCGUUCCUGAGGCUGUGAACACACAUGUCCCGCCAGGUUGCAACUAAUCAGCUACCUCCACACUAACAAGUCCGUGGAUAGCAAGUCCAACCUGCACGAACGACACCAACGCAAAUGCACUAAGCCCGACUCCGGAGUGGCACUCGUGGGCGCUACCCAACCGAGUAUGCAAGUAUAUCUCUGUCGAGCUCAAUCAGGCUCUAACAAGCCAAAGACAAGUAGCUAGGGCCAAAAUAGGUCUAGAAACCGAACCCACGUGCCCUCGGCACAAUCUGAUACCAAAAACAGGAAUCUGGGUCCACCGUCCACCCCGGCGGCACCCGACAACCGGAAACAACCUAGACUCUGCUGUAAAAAUAAGCUCGGCGUCCCAGCACGAGUGUAAAUGCAUUCUAAACUACCCCGGAUAUCCACCGCGCUGAAAUAGCGGUGAUACAACCAAAUCACGACUCCUAGAGCUAAAUCAGGUAGUAGAAUCAUAUGACGGGUCAAAACACGGAUUUUCUCCUAAGUCAAUUUCCAAGUCCAACAUGUAUAUUUUUCGAAUUAAGAAUCAUGCUCCAAAUUCAGAUUUCAUACUUUACCAAUCGAUGAAUUUGAGCUACAACAUGCUAUAUCGAAGUCGAACAAUACAUGUUUGCUAUACAUAUAUACUUAGGAGCAAAACCGAUGAUAAACCCACCUCAAAAGCAAUUCCUGGCAACAAGAAGAUCUCGGAGGUGCUGGAAACUCAGCCGAACUCCCUCUCAGCCAGCAAGGGUCCACAAUCCAGCUCAGAACUUCCGAAUCCACUAAAAUCCAUCAAAAUGCCACAAUCAAUACAAUUUUCAGCACUUAAGCUAAAUUAACCCAACUCCACAGUCCAAACUCAUCUAAAAAGCUCCAAUUCAGGUGAGGACAGUCCCAAAUCCAAUAGAGUAUAUUAGAGAAUGAUUCUCAGGUCCCAAAUUCUCCUGCUUCCAAAGAUGGCAUCAAGAAAAGCUCAAAAUCCACAAUUCUGUCAAAAUCCACAACUGCAGAGUAAAACUUGAGUUCGACCAAGCUAACCUCAACCAAAUUCUGCAAUUCAGGACUUCUGGAUUCCUUUGGCAGUCUAGAAUUCAGCAAACCAAGUUUCACUGCGAUCCGACCUUCCUACGUCGCACACGAACCAAAACACUGGAGGUCGUCGCUGAAGAACUGUAGAAUCAGCACCUGUCAAACUUGGAGUUGUGGAUCUUGAAGCAAUUUGAGUGAUUUGGAGGGGUUGGAAUGCAAAGUAGAGGAUCACUGUGAAGAAGAGAGGAAAAGAGCUCACCAGGGAUGCUCCUCAGCUAUUUAUAGGGUGAACAUAGGGUCAGAUGAACCUCAGGAACAAAGGUUGCAAUUCUGUUACCCCUGCAGAAAUGGCCACUUUCAGGCACCCUAAACCCAUUUCUGGGUGUCCGAAACAUGCACGUUUGCUCCCCUUUGGUUCCAUCGCCCGCGGUGUGCUGCGCCCGAAUCCGGCUCGGGCGGAACUCACCUACCACCAGCCACGUGUCAGCGCAAACGAUACUCAAGAGGUGUAAUUUUCGGACCCACUUCCGAGCACCGGAAACAUGGCCCCGAAUUGGCUUCCAGUUCUGAUCAAAUCUGCACUCAACUUCUGGGCGACCCAAGACCAGUUCUGGGAGCCCAAAUCUGGCAAAACUCCAGUUUUGCUUAUUUGAGUGCGUCGAGUCCAUUUCUGCAUCCAUUUUGCGCAGAAACGACUCUGACUAAGUUCGAUAUUCUCCAGAUGUAUCGACCAGUCACUAAUAUUUAAGCCAAUCCUAUUCAAAGCUCAGAAACACUACAUAAAAUUUUUGAAAUUUAAAAUUUAAAAAUUUAAAUUUAAAUUUUAAAUAUUUAAAAAUUAAAUUUUAAAUUAUAAAUUUUGAAAAUUUAAAAUCUAAAAAAUUUUUAAUUUUUAAAAUUUAAACUUUUAAAAUUUAAAUUAAUAUUAUUAAUUUAAUAUUAAUUAGAUUAAUUAAUUAUNNNNNNNNNNNNNNNNNNNNNNNNNNNNNNNNNNNNNNNNNNNNNNNNNNNNNNNNNNNNNNNNNNNNNNNNNNNNNNNNNNNNNNNNNNNNNNNNNNNNNNNNNNNNNNNNNNNNNNNNNNNNNNNNNNNNNNNNNNNNNNNNNNNNNNNNNNNNNNNNNNNNNNNNNNNNNNNNNNNNNNNNNNNNNNNNNNNNNNNNNNNNNNNNNNNNNNNNNNNNNNNNNNNNNNNNNNNNNNNNNNNNNNNNNNNNNNNNNNNNNNNNNNNNNNNNNNNNNNNNNNNNNNNNNNNNNNNNNNNNNNNNNNNNNNNNNNNNNNNNNNNNNNNNNNNNNNNNNNNNNNNNNNNNNNNNNNNNNNNNNNNNNNNNNNNNNNNNNNNNNNNNNNNNNNNNNNNNNNNNNNNNNNNNNNNNNNNNNNNNNNNNNNNNNNNNNNNNNNNNNNNNNNNNNNNNNNNNNNNNNNNNNNNNNNNNNNNNNNNNNNNNNNNNNNNNNNNNNNNNNNNNNNNNNNNNNNNNNNNNNNNNNNNNNNNNNNNNNNNNNNNNNUGAUCUAGUGCACUUUAAAACUAUCUUUUAAGAAAUAUGAAAUAUUUUGUACUAGUUAUAAAAAAUAGAUUUUAAAAUUACAGUAUAGUAGUAUAAAACAUUCUAAAAAUAAAAGCCAGUAACUAAAACUCAGUGAAACUAGUGAUGCGUUUACUAUAUUUUUUUAGCGUUUUAAAUAAAAGAUUUAUGAAUUUUAUGAGAUAUAGUUUAGAUUGCCUCGACUAGCAGCUAAGCUUUCAGGGUUGUAGCUUUUGCUGAACCUUCGUACCUCGCGAGGCACGAAGGUCUUCGUAUGUAUUUCUACACCGUUAAACUUGCAAACGGCUCACUACGGCCAUUAAAAUUAUUGAUUUUGAGCCCCUUCGAUCACUAGGCAAAUAAUAUCAAAAAAUUGCAUAAUUUAUUUUCUAUGUACUUCAAAUACUCUAAAUCAGGUUUAACAGUGCCGAUCGACAAUUCGAAAGUCGCAACAUGGAAAACGACCUGGAAAGGCUCUGUGCUUCCAGAAGCAUAGUAGCCUCACACUAUAUUCCGUGCUUCUCGAAGCAUAGUAGCCUAGGUGUGAGGCUACUAUGCUUCUGGAAGCACGGAGUCUUCCGUGCUUUUAGGUCGUUUUCCAUGUUGCAACUUUCAAAUCGUCGAUCGGCUCCGUUAAACUUAAUCUAGUGUAUUUGAAGUAUCUAGAAAAUAAAUUUUAUAAUUUUUCGAUAUCAUUUGCCUAGUGACCGAAGGGGCUCAAAAUCAAUAAUUUUAAUGGUCGUAGUGAGCCAUUUGCAAGUUUAAUAGUGUAGAAAUAUUCAAAUCACGUGAAAUUUUGAUAGAAAAUUCUUUAUACUAUAUAAAACAAGAUCAAUAUCUUUGAUCUAAAAUUUUAAUGUCAUAUUAUCACGUUUUGUAAGAUUUUUAUUUUCAGCCGUUGAUUUUGAGCCCCUUCGUUCACUAGGCAAAUAAUAUCAAAAAAUCACAUAAUUUAUUUUCUAGGUAUUUCAAAUACUCUAGAUCAAGUUUAACGGAGCAGAUCGACGAUUCAAAAGUCGCAACAUGGAAAACGACCUGGAAGCACGGAAAGCUUCGUACUUCCAGAAGCAUAGUAGCCUCACUCUCUCUCUCUCUCUCUCUCUCUCUCUAUCUAUAUAUAUAUAUAUAUAUAUAGAGAGAGAGAGAGAGAGAGAGAGAGAGAGAGAGAGAGAGAGAGAGAGAAUUGGGCUGAAAUAUUAUUAAUAGUAUUUGAGAUUUUUUACUAUAAAGUUUUUUUAACUCUUUGAUGAAAAAUUAUAGGAUUAGAAUGAUAGUGAUCCCCUAGGGUUUAGUGGUGAUUACUUUAGGGUUGAGUGGGUGGUUAGUUGAAUAAUACGAUGUAAAAGGUAGAAUUGAUUAAAGUGUAGAUCUAACGGUUAAAAAAUCGAUAGUAAAAGAGUCAAAAUACUAUUAAUUAUAUUCAUGUUCAACUAUAUAUAUAUAUAUAUAUAUAUAUAUAUNUAACUAUUUAUAGGGAAUAGAUUUUUAUAUAUAGUAGAGAUUUAAUAGAUUGAUUAUAACGGUACUUUUUUAUUUGAGAUAUUUUUAACAAAUUAAUCAUAACCAUUCAUAGGGAAUAUAUUAUUUUAUAUUUAAUAGAUUGAUCAUAACCAUUUAUUUUUAUUUGAGAUAUUUUUAACAAAUUAAUUAUAAUCAUUCGUAGGGAAUAUUAUUUUAUUUCUUUUUGGAUUCCGUCUGUCAUUGUCGGAAUUCCUAUACGCUUUUAUAUAUAGUAUAGAUAUAUAUUGCAAAUUAAACUCUUACCUAUAUAAAUGACCAUUUAUGAAAAUAUUUUUCUUAAUCGAAAUGUUCAACCCUCUGCUGAAUUGGAUUACUCAAUUCAUGAUUCGUAUUGUAAUUUGCAUGAAAAUAUAUGAAAAUUGAUCAACCUUGUUCAUGAAUUUCUUACCUCACUUUGGAUUUUUGUAUGUAGAUCGAAAUUAAGAGCAUGAAAGUUGUACAUUUUAGCCAUAUUCUAAUUUUCUAUAUAGUUGUUAUAUAUGGAAAAGAACUAUCUGUUUUGUAGAGUAUCUUACAUAUAUAACAUAUUAAUUUUUCUAGAUUAUAUUCGAUAUUGCAUGUGGCGUGAACAAGCGCACACAAUUUAACCAAUUAAUUUAUUCAACUAGCCUCUGUAGCUCUCGACACAACAACAAAUAUAAUGAGCGAGCCAACAUCAGCGCCGUUUAGCCACCAGAAAAAGAAAUAGUUCUCUAUUUGUAGUGAAAACGAAAGAAUGGUCAUAUUAGAUGUCCCAGAAUUUACAAUUCAAAGGUACAAGAUCAAACAUCAUCACUUUAGUGACGUACCCCUCUUAUACACUCGAAUUAAUUAACGUCGCAAUCUUAAUUGGUAAAGUGCUACGAUAGUUAUUCACACUAUUAAAUUGUAACUCGAUCGGCAGCUUGACUGAUUAGCUACUCUCAAUCCCUGCUGAUCAGUUCUUCAAAUUAAUGGCGAUCACGGUUGCCGACGUACCGUCGGAAAGCACGCGAAGGGGUCGUCUUGCGGCAGUAGGUCGUUGGUGCGGAUCGCAGUGAAGACCAUCAGAGCUAGGGUGACAACGACCGAUAAAAUGGAGAGCACGAGCAUGAGUGCAUUUGCGACUUCCCCUUUGACCUCCUGGGCAUACUCGGUGGCAGCGAGGGCGAGGGCAGUGAGAGGGAAAGAGUAUGCCCACCACGCCACGCUGAACCGUCUCAUGGAUCUCUUGAAUAGGGCCGGCCUCGACACCUGCAGUACGUGCAUCCAUGUUAUGAUCAUAUGUUACACGAAUUUACAACCGGAUCAAGUAUAUAAGAAGAGCAUCCGGUGUAGUAUUGACUGAACAGUGCUAAUUAUAUGGAAGAAAUAGCGCAACUAAAUCUUGAUUUCCAACAACUUUUUCUGUGAAACAACUAAAAUUUUCAAGUCAAAAUUUAAAUUUUGAAACUUCAAAUUAUACUUCUAUUUUAACUAUAGGGACUAGAAAAUUUAGAGUUUGUUGAAGACUAAAUUAACCUGGCCCGUGCUAUAAAAUAUAGCUAGAGCAGAAGGCAGAAGCAGAUUCGCUAAUAUACGUAACAGCUGAAAAGGUAGCUAAAGAAAAGGAAAGGGUGGAAGGACAUUGGUUUCCUAGUUGAUGAUGAAUAUGCACGCACUAUGACGUGGUGGCGUGAGUGGCCAUGCAACAUAUUUGUAGUGUUGUAUCCAAGUAAGCGUUUUCUUACAUAAGCCGAAGGUAGUUCUAAUUGAGGAAUAUCUGUCGAUUUUGCCGCUGAAGGAAAAGCGCUAAAAAACUGUCAGGAAAGUUAGAAAAGAAUUGGAUUAUUCCAGGAAUUUCGCAUCCUAUACUCUUAUUCCUACAGCUAAACGAAAAAACUAACUUCCUUAUUGAACACUCAACUAAAGCAAACUUGAUAUUUUAAAGAGUUUGAGCAGACUCUUAGCUAGGGCAUUUUUUAUUUAUAAUUGGAGUAGUAAUUAAUGAAGAAUAAAAUUGAAUUGCAUUGAAAUGAAAAUUAGAAUGAUGAAUCAUCAAAAAAAUGCUUGGUCGUUACUAGAUUGGAAAUUGGAACAAAAAUCUGGAAUUUUGAGAGAGGGUUUUGGUUGAGAGAGGAGAGAGCGAUGAAGGAAGAGGAGGGGGAGGUGUUUGUGAGAGAAAGUUUUGAGCGAUUUACUUUGAAAUAGGCAGCCAAUCCGGAAUUCAAAGUCUGAUUGGAUCACAAAUUGACUGGGUUACUUUCAUUCCAGAAUGGAAUGAAAAUCGAAAUUCAAUUCCUGUAAAACAAACAAUAACUAUCAAAAUUAAUGAAUCUCAUUUCAAUUCUAUAGUCAAAAUAGGUGAAUCAAAAAUCCCUUGAAAGCCCAGUAUGCUUGAUGUAUUUUUUAGAAAAAUCCAUCCACUUUAAUACUUCAGCGAGAUCUAGAUGACAAGAAAGUUCCAGAGAUUCUUCUUUAGAUACUUUAGAAUGAUAGUGAAAACUACCAACAAAUUGAAGAGGCAUAUGUGGUAUGCUUUCUGUAUUAUAAUUGAUAUCGCUAAUUUGAAAGUUUCUAAAAUAUCAAAACGGACAUAUCUAAACAAUUUUUUUUUUUUCCAAAGAGAGAGACGGGUCUAUCUGUUUUGUUUAUUUUUAAAAAUAAAUCAAGAUAAAAAUAUGAAAUAAUUAAACUUUAAAUUUUGUAUUUUUGAUAUCCCAACCAUCAAGCCCUUUAACCAACGGCACAAAGGAUGGUCAGUGAACAAAACAUUUUUAAACUAGAUUUGAAUAGGUUUUGGAAGUAGCAGUGACAGUAAGGGACGAAGAAAAAUCCUGUUUUUCUACUCAACGUACCUAGGAUGUUAAACUCACUAAUAAUUUGUUGACCCGGAAUAAUACAAAAAAGAAAAAGAGGGAGAGUAAAGCAGCUAAAGGUAGAGCAAGGAAUAUUGUCAUACCACGGAGGCAAAUAGGAAGAGAGAAAGGAAGAAGAACAUCUUGCAGGAGGUGUCGAAGGUGGAGGAUAUGGCGUCCCAGGCGAGGCUGGCCAUGCUCGGUGCCGCGAAGAAGAGGAAGAAGACGGGCCGCAGCAUUGCAGGCAGGGAGUUGCUGCCGAGAAAACGCUGGUAGAGCGUGACAAAGAGCACGAGGUAGUGCGCCAUGCCGACCGCGAACAUGCACACGGCGGUCUCCCUCCAUCCCAUCUGCGCCGCCGCGCGCGCGCCCACCAGGUUCGCGAUCACCGUGAUCUGGCUCGCCGGGUUCGCCACCAUCGACAAAAAUUUCUUCCCCUGCGUGAACCACUGCCCGUAGAUUUUCACGUCGAGCGCGAUGAUCGGGAGCGAGAAGGCCAGCCAGAGGAAAUGGUAGCAGCCGUCGCUGGGGCGGGGGAAAGAGCGGGGCGCAGACUGCAGGAGGAGCAGCCAGGAGAUCCAGGGGGCGAAGAGGUAGUUCAUGCCGACGUGGUGGGCAAGCUCGGCGCGCACGCAGCGGAAGCGGAGCGCGCAGCGGAAGGCGUAGAGGACGCAGAGGGUGGCGAGGGUGAGGAAGGAGAGAGACCAGAGGAGCGCGAAGGCGAAGGACGGCACCGCCCGGACGACGGGGCGGAGGGCGCGGGCGUCGGUGGUCGGCUCGCUAAGCGUCUUCCACAGCAGGGCCUGCCCGCACAGCGCGAGGCUGAUGCGGAAGUACCCGGCGUGGAAGCGCGUCAGCACGUCGAGACGUGAGACGGCCUUCUUCGCUGCCGUCUUGUCCGGAAUUGAUCCGGCGUGCGCUGCGUCGGCAUGCGCUGCGUCGGCGGCCGCGGCAGAAAGGAUCUGGAGAUGGAUUUGGUGGGGUUUAUUGUUGUCCUCCAUGUAUUUUUGCUGACUAUGUAAUUUAAUUUGGUGGAGUGGGAAGAAGGGGCGGAGGGAUGGCAUUUAUAAGGAGGUGUGUGUUGAGGGGGAAGAUGGAGAAUUAGUAGAUGCCUGUCUGGAUUCAGAAAAAUUCUAGAAUGCAACGGGUAUAUUAGUGACGUGGCGUAACAAACCAAUCAAAUUAAUCCUUUUAAGAAUAUAUGUCCCAUCAUGAUUGUAAAAAAGUAUUUUUAUUGUACUUUUAUUUGAAAAGAAAAAAUGUGAUUGGCUUGUUAUUGAUGACGUGGUGCAAGUGUGACAGUGUAGAAUUCCUCCUGGAUUCAAGUGUGAGGGAGGGAAAGAGGAGAGGAGAGAUGUUGGGAGGCGGCUGCCACGUGACGCGUGACGUCGGAUUUUCGUUGGCAAUGGCUGCCUGCGGGCUACGGCUAAGGACCGGGAACGCGGGAUGUUGCUCCUUGCUUGCUGCCCGUUUUAAGCUGCGGCGGGUGGGGCCCGGUCUUCAUUUCCGUGGUGCCUCGAAGGCUAAUAUUCAGGAGCCUAUUUAGACUUCAAUUUCCCGUCCGCAUCCUCGGCGCUUCGCUAUGAAAGUUAAAAUUAAGUUUGUACUACUAAUUUGUAUAUGUAUAGAAACUACGGAGGACAAAGGAUAAAUUCCGUUUUGCACUUUUAGCCCUCGCUCGGUAAAAAUGUAUGACAACUUUCACAGUUGUCUCCAUGAGUGAUUGAAUUGACUUGCAAAAGGCCUCCGCAUUGCUGCUAUUUAUUUAUUUAUUUAUUAUUAUUAUUUUUUUUUACGUACUUAAGGAGUGUUCGUUUAUAUUCUGAAGAGAGAUUUUAGUUCUAUAAGUAACUUUUUAAGGAGCGUUUGAUAAUUUAUUUUUUUAAAUUUAAUUCUAAUUCUUAGAAAUUUUUUUUUUUUUGAUUUUAGAGGCCAAAAUUGGAGGCAGUUAAAACCUUCUUUUUAAAAUCUAAUUCUAAUUUUAGACUCAAAUUUUAAUUUUAAAUUUAAAUUAUAAAUGUGAAUUUAGAUUUUAAAUAUUAAAUUUUGAUAUUCAAAUAUUAAAAUUUAGAUUUCAAAUUUAAAACAUAAAAUUUCAAAUUUUAAGCUUCAAAUUUCAAAAUUAAAGUUUCUAGUUAUAAAUUUUACAAUUCAAAAUUUUAAAUUUACAUUGUGAAUUUUAGAUUUUAAGUCUUAAAUUUUAAAUUUCACAAUUUUCAAUUUAAAAAUUCAAAUUUAAGUCAAAAUUUAACUUCUGCGAUAUAAAAUCAAAAAUUUGAAAUAUAUUUUUUAACAUUUUAAAUUAUAAANUUUUAAAUUAAAAUUUUAAAAUAUAUUUAUUUAAGUUUAAAAUUUGAAUUUCUUAUUUUGAAAUUUAAAAGUUUAAAAUUUAAAUUUUAGAUUUCAAAUAAUAAUUUUAAAUUUUAAAUUUUAAAUUUUAAUUUUAAUUUCAUAUUUUAAAUUCUAAAUUCUAAAUUUUAUUUUAAAAUUUAAAUUUUAAAUCCUAAAUUUUAAAUUUUAAUUUAAAAUUUAAACCCUAAAUUUUAAAUUUUAAUUUAAAAUUUAAAUUCUAAAUUUUAAAUUUAAUUUUAAUUUGAUAUUUGAAAUUUUAAAUUUUAAUUUUAAUUUUAUAUUUGAAAUUUAAAAUUUUAAAUUUAAAUUUAAAAUGUAAAAUUUAAAAUUUUAAAUUUAAAUUCUAAAUUUAAAUUUAAAUUUUAAAUUUUAAAUUUCAAAUUUAAUAUUUAAAAUUUAAAUAUUAAUUUUAAAUUUAAAUUUUGAAUUUUAUAUUUGAAAUUUCAACAUUCAAAUUUAGAUUGAAAUUUAAAAUUUUAAAAUUUAAAAAUUUUAAAAUCUAAAAUUUUAAAUUUUAAAUUUUAAAUUUUAAAAUUUAAUAUUAAUUUUUAAAUUUAAAUUUUUAAAUUUUAAAUUCAAGAGAUAUUGGUAUCUCUCCAAUCGGUAGGCAUACACCUCAUAGAGAGUGGAGGAAAUUGGCAUUUUUUCAAUCAGUAGUUACUAGUGUGUUGAGGGAGAUAGGCAUCACCAAUCUUGGACGCUUCUGAAAAAUCAUACAUAUAUGUUUUACUAUUUCUCCCUAAAUUUAUUAUUUUUGGGAUUUUUCAUAUUAUUUACUUACCAUUCGCUUGUUCUCUGGCUUAACUUUAGCCUAAAAUUCAAUGCCGCUAUAAUCACACCUUAUAUUUUAACAUAGAUUCUAUACCACUUGUUUUAUAUUUUAGGUUCCAUCCUAGGUUAAAUGCCACGUAUACGUACUAAGCCUAUAAUUCAAGGUUCGCAUGGAUACGCAUACAUGCAUACCACUUUUUUUUUUUUUCUUUCAAUAUUCUAAGGGUUAAAACCCUAAUUUUCUCCUAGNUAAAUUUAAAUUUUAAAUUUAAAUUUUGAAUUUUAUAUUUGAAAUUUCAACAUUCAAAUUUAGAUUGAAAUUUAAAAUUUUAAAAUUUUAAAAUUUUAAAAUCUAAAAUUUUAAAAUCUAAAAUUUUAAAUUUUAAAUUUUAAAUUUUAAAAUUUGAUAUUAAUUUUUAAAUUUAAAUUUUUAAAUUUUAAAUUCGAGAGAUAUUGGUAUCUCUCCAAUCGGUAGGCAUACACCUCAUAGAGAGUGGAGGAAAUUGACAUUUUUUCAAUCAGUAGGCACUUGUGUGUUGAGGGAGACAGGCAUCACCAAUCUUGGACGCUUCUCAAAAAUCAUACAUAUAUGUUUUACUAUUUCUCCCUAAAUUUAUUAUUUUUGGGAUUUUUCAUAUUAUUCAAUUACCAUUCACUUGUUCUCUGGCUUAAGUUUAGCCUAAAAUUCAAUGCCGCUAUAAUCACACCUUAUAUUUUAACAUAAAUUCUAUACCACUUGUUUUAUAUUUUAGGUUCCAUCCUAGGUUAAAUGCCACGUAUACGUACUAAGCCUAUAAUUCAAGGUUCGCAUGGAUACGCAUACAUGCAUACCACAUUUUUUUUUUCUUUCAAUAUUCUAAGGGUUAAAACCCUAAUUUUCUCCUAGGUCAACCGCUCAAAAGCUAUCAUGACCUAUUUGAUCUCUCAACAUGAAAAUAAAACUACUUUAGCGUAUAUAUUAGGCUAAAUUACAUAAAACCUUUCUGUUAAUACCUGUUUUUUUUAUUUCCCCCCCUGUCAUUCAAAAACCUACACUUUGCCUCCUUAAAAAAUAAAAAAUAUUUACAGGAGGGUACGGUGUGAUAAAAUAACAAAAUUGCCCUCAUCUUCUUCAUUUCCUCCUUCCCAAUCUUACUCAUCCCGAUGGCGGAGAGUGAGGGCGCAUAUCUAGGCAUGGACAGAGGAAUGGGCGAGGGCGAGGUGGCGGCGGAGGGCGAAGCGGCGGCCAAGGGCAUGUGUGUGGGCAUAGAUGAGAGUUUCAGGGGUAUUUUGGGUAUAAAAAUAAAAUAUAAACAGAACGCUAACGGAACACUAAUGACGGGGGCCGAAGUGAAUAUUUUUUAUUUUUUAAGGGGGCAAAACGUACGUUUUUGAAUAACAGGGAGGAAAGUGAAAAAGCGGGUAUUGACAAGGAAUGUUUAUGUAAUUUAGCCUAUAAAUUACUCAUAAUAUAUUUUUGCAAUCAAAGAAUACUCUGGACAAUUGGUAGAUUAAACCCAUUUCUGUGAUACUACUCACUUUCUUCUAGAUCUCUUUUAAGGGAUGAUCCUUAAUCACCUUAGAUUCAAGAAAACUCUAAAAAGGAGUUCUAUGACUCUAUCCAAGUUAGAACCCUUAAAUGUAACAUUUGUGAAAAACUCCAAAAGAAAUCCUAAAAUGAUAAUUCUGUAAGGACUGAGAUUUUGCAAUGUAGAUAAACUCUACUCUUUGUUGACGAUAUUUUUGUGUGUAAUUUAAUUACAUAAGUACUCGUCAAGUUUCAGCAGAAAAUGAAUUAGAAUGGAGAAGUUACGCGAUCAUUACUAAUCACUUAAAAUGAAACUCCACAAUGAUAUCGGAAGGGUAAAAUUACUGAUCAUGCUCUUGCACAUGUCAAUUAAUGUGCAAUUCUUUCUUUCAACAACACCAUUCUGAUCAGGUGUCCAUGACAUAGUGUACUGUGGAAUAAUUCCGUAAUGCUCCAAAAUCUUAGCAAAAGGCCGAGGGAAGCCUUUAUCUGUUUGUACCAAAAUAUUCACCACCCCUAUCUGAUCUGGCCACUUUUAUUCUUUUCUCGAGUUGAUUUUAUAUUUCAGCCUUAUAUACCUUAAAGGUAUCUAAUGCUUCAUAUCUUUUCUUUAACUAAGUAGAGAUAGUCAUAUCGAGAGUAGGCAUCAGUAAAUAGGAUAAAAUAUUUAUAACCAGUAAUUAAGAUAGGAAGAUGUCUGCAUAUAUCGAUAUGAAUCAACUCUAAUGCUCCAUCACGUCUUUUAGCACCUUUAGAGGAGAUUUUGGUAUGUUUCUUCUUUAUGUAAUCCACAUACGUUCCAAAGUCAGAGAAGUCGAGAUAAUCUAAAAUACCUUAUCUAAUUAACCUUUGGAUUCUCUGUUUCGAUAUGUGUCUCAAACUCUUAUGCCAUGACAUGGAUGACCUUUCAUUAUCAAUGCCAUAGUUUGAUCCAAUAUUUCCGUGCAUGGUAAGAAGGAUUUCACCAUAUGAAUGAUCUAAAAAUACUUUAUAUAGAUUAUUUUUCAAAACACUAGAGCCAACUAUCUGAGAUUUGUUGGAUAAAGAAAAAAACAUUAUUAUCAAAAUUGAAGCUAUAUCCCAAUCCAACAGGUUUCGAAAUAGAAAUUAAAUUCUUAGAGAAUUUGGAACAUAAAAUGUAUCGACUAAAUCCAAAUAUAACUAGUAGAAAGAACUAAUCUAAAUGUUCCUACAAAUUUUACUUUAGAUGAAUUUCCUUCAGCUGUAUAGAUAGUGGGUUCAUCUUUACUGGAUUUUCUGUAUUUUCGAAAUCCCUCAAUCCACUAAGUAUUAGACGGAACAGUAACUAAAUGCAAUUCAUGCAUCAAAACUAGAAACUUACCCUUCUUCUUGAACUAUUUUUGAUACUUUUGGCAGUCCUUCUUCGUAUAACCCUUUCUCUUACAAAAGAAACACUUGGGAGUCUAAUUACUUGAUUGGUCUUAUGAACCAGAUGGAACUUUUUUAUUCUUUCUUUUUGAGUCAUUCUUGCCCUUACCAUUCUUAGCUCAGUUUAUUUGUCUCUUUUUAGAAAUAAAGUCAACUGCAUCUUGUUUCCCUUCUAUUAAUUUGCCUUUCUCUUGCACACACAUAGUCAACAAUUCAUUAAUUAACCAUUUAUCUUUAUGUGUGUUAUAAGAGAUCUGAAAUGGUCCGUAUUUAAAUAGCAAAGAGUUCAAAAUAAAGUGAAUUAAGGAUGAAUCAGAGAUGGUUACUUCAAGUGCAGUGAGUUGCACGGCAAUAUCUCGCAUUUCCAUAAUAUGCUCGCAAAUUGAGCCAUUUUAGGAGUACUUCAUGGAAGAAGGUUUAUUUAUUGGGGUGCUCGUCAAAGUUUUACUGGAGCUUACAAACUGUUGGUCCACAGCAUUAAAAAAAUCGCGGGCUAUCUUACAUUCUGGAUUUGAAUUCCGAAUGUUUUUACCAACACGCGCUUUCAUCAACAUUAAACUAAGCCGAUUAGAGUGCUUCCACUUUUCUAAAAAUACUGUUUCGAUUGGCAUACUUUUAUCUAUAAGAUGAGCAGGUUUUAUCAUCUCUUAAAGGCAAAUCAAGAUUCUAUACCCUAAUGUAAGCAUAAUCUGUUCUUUGCACUCCGAAAAAUUAGAACCAUUAAGCAUAGGAACAGAAUCACCAAUAGGAACAUAGGAUGAACUCAUAGCUGAAAAAUAAAAUGCAUGUUUAUCAAUAAAAUACCACAUCAAAAAUUAUCACACCAAAAUUAAAAAAAUACACUUUAUAUGACACCACAACACCUCCUUUGGAAGCAAAGUUAUAAGCAUAAGUAUUUUUUCAUUCUUUAUGCAUAUAUUUUAUAUGACAUCACAACCGCUCCUUUGAGAGUAGAGUUAUGAGUAUAAAUAUGCAAUCUCUUUAUCAGAAACUUAUUUAAACUUUUUGCAGGUCGUGGUAAUUUCAAAUUUUCUAAAUGAAAAAAUUGUCAACUUUGGCCAGGCAAAUUUCUCCAAAAGAGUUAUAAGAAAAUUACCAUCCUGUACCACCCAUGUACCUUUAUGUCUACGCAUCCUUUGGGAACAGAUUAAAUAUAAUAUUAGGGUGCAAUUUUAGACUAAAUAUAAUAUUAUGGUGCAAUUUCUGCAUGCACUUAUUUAAAAUAAUUAAUUUAUCUUUUCUUCCGGUCGGGGCCGCUUUGACUUAUAUCUAACCAAUCGAAAUAAUAAUUUAAUUUAACUUAGUGCUGCAUGAUUAAUAUGAAAAUUAUCCAGAAGCACUACAUUAAAGUAAAUUAAAUCAUUAUUUCUUUUAAUUAUGGCUGCUUUGGCUUGCACCUAACUAAUCGAAAAAAUAAAUUAAUUUAACUUAGCGCUAAUUCUUAAAUAAUCUAAAACAAAUAUGAUUAUUUAAUUUUGCAUGUUAUAUCUUAUCAAAAUAAGAAUAUUGAUGCAAUAAAUACAAACAUAAUAUCACAAUUAAAAUUUAACUUUAUAUAUUCUAAUUUAACCACAAACACAAGAUAUUUAAAAAAAUUAAAUUUAUAAUAAGUCAACACUGUAUGCAAAAUACAAGUUCAUGUGAACAAAACUUUACACUCACAGCACUUCAUAAAGGUCACGGGUCAAAAUUAAUUAAUGAAGAAUAAUAAAGGACUAAUUUGCAAAAUUAUUACAAAGAAUAAGUAAGAUCUGUAAUUUUCAAAUUAGUCCCUUAAUCAAGUUUUUAUGCAAGGAAAAUCCAGAAGGGAGUAAUGCUUCUAUACUUUUUUUUUUUCGUUACCGUUCAUUCACGUGUAUUCAACGGCUCAGAUUUAAUUUCUUUUAAAUUGUGACCUGCAAUAGCAGGUCAUUUUAGGAGAGGUAUCGGUUACCUGGUACCUCAAAAAAAGGAUAUUUUUGUCUUUUAAUACAUAGACAAUUUAGUCAUUUUAUCUCUACUAUAUUUUCAAAAUUUUUAUUUUCUCUUUGUUUCCUUUUUUAUUAACUAAAUUAGAAAAUUUCUUAAUUUUUUUAAACAUAUUAAAUAUGUUGAAUUUAAAUAUUUGCCCACAUUUAAUUUUUUAAAAUUAGUAUACAAAAUUAAUGACUAAGAUGAAUUCAUAAUUUUGUUAAACGUAUUAAAUAUGUUAAAUUUAAAUAUUUACCAACAUUACAAAUGUUUUUAAAUAGUCAUACAAAAUUAAUGUCUAAAGUAAAACAAUUCUAAAUUCUUUUAACAUAUUAAAUACAUUUAAAUUAUAAAUUUUUUAACCUACAUUCAAAAUUUUUUAAAUAAGUGAUACAAAAUUAAUGUCUAAACUAUAGGUAUUUAAAAGUUUCUUAAACAUAUUAAAUAUGUUGAAUUAAAACAUUUACCAACAUUACAUUUUUUUUAAAUAGUAAUACAAAAUUCCUCUAAUUUAAAUUUCACUUUUAAUUUGAAAUAUUUAAAAUUUAAAUUCACCGUAUUUAGAAAUAGAACUAUUUCUAAAAUUCCUAUAAUUUAAAUUAAUGCAUAAUUUUAGAAACACUAAAACAUUCAAAGUAGAUGCUUAAAUUAAUGCCUAAUUAAUGCAUAAAUUUAGUUAAUCAAUUAAUUGCCUAAAUUAGUGCAAAUUAAUGCGUAAAUUUAGAACCUUAAUUAAAAGUUUCUUUAUACGUUGUAUUGUUUAAUUACCAAACUAACCUUGAAUAAAAUAAUUCUUUUACUUGUUAAAUAUUAAAAUUAUAUUUUUACCCUCUAUUAAUCAGCGGUUAAGAUCUUUUUUAUUUUUAUUAAAAAAAAGUACCGAAUCAGUUCUCAUCUCAUCCAGAGUAAUGCUUCUAUAUAUAUUUUUUUGUUACCAUUCAUUCACGUGCAUUCAACGGCUCAAAUUUAAUUUUUUUAAAAUUGUGACCUAUAAUAGUAGGUCACUUUAGGAGAGGUACCGGUUACCAGGUACCUCAAAAAAAAAAGAUAUUUUUGUCUUUUAAUACAUAGACAAUUUAGUCAUUUUAUCUCUAUUAUAUUUUCAAAAUUUUUAUUUUCUCAUUGUUUCUUUUUACCUGUUAAAUAUUAAAAUUACAUUUUUACCCUUUAUUAAUCAAGGAUUAAGAUCCUUUUUAUUUUUCUUAAAAAAAAGUACCGAAUCAUUUCUCAUCCAGAAGGUACCAACUGAAGCUGGAAACCGAAGUAACCAAAUUUAGCAUCUAUAAGCCUAAUAAAUAAAACUACUCUUCAUCUUCUUUUCCAAAAAUUAAAGCUAAUCUCACAUGAACCUUAGGGUACGUUUGGUUCGCGCUAUCUUUUAAAGAUUCCUACUAAUCCAAUGGGAAUAAAAAAAUAUGACGGUGUUUGGCUAAACGCACUAAGUAAUCUAGUUAGUAAUAUUGGAUUCAUUUGGGAAUAAGAUUCACNUUAAAAAAAAGUACCGAAUCAUUUCUCAUCCAGAAGGUACCAACCGAAGCUGGAAACCUAAGUAACCAAAUUUAGCAUCUAUAAGCCUAAUAAAUAAAACUACUGUUCAUCAUCUUUUCCAAAAAUUAAAGCUAAUCUCACAUGAACCUUAGAUUCAUAAUAACUAUAUAUGCUCAAAUAAAUUAAGGCUUGAGAUCUGAUCCCGUGUGCUUCUCAUCCACGCUCAUCGUACGACCAUGCUUUCCGAAUCGACCAUCGCGAUAAUCAGAAUCAGAGUCACACACGGUGUAGAUUCAGGUCAACAACCAUGCCGCCGAGAUCCGAGUCUCGGUCCAUUCCGCAAUCCNUCUCUCUCUCUAACUUAUACUCUCUCUCCCUUUUUUCUAAAAAAAUAUUAAAACUUUUGGUAACAUUAUUUAAAAUUAAAUUAAUUAAUUAAUUAAUUAAUUGUAUAAUUUUUGUAAUAUUAAAUAACAUGGCUAAUUAAUAUUACCGUGCGAACCAAAUACAGAAAUUCCACAUUUUUAGUCAUAGAAUGAAUAGGAAUAAAAUUUUCGGAUAUUUUUUAUUCCUAGUAAUUUUUCAUAAUGCGAACCAAACGCACCCUUAGAUUCAUAAUAACUAUAUAUGCUCAAAUAAAUUAAGGCUUGAGAUAUGAUCCCGUGUGCUUUUCAUCCACGCUCAUCAUACGACCAUGCUUUCCGAAUUGACCAUCGCGAUAAUCAGAAUCAGAGUCACACACGGUGUAGAUUCAGGUCAACAACCAUGCCGCCGAGAUCCGAGUCUCGGUCCAUUCCGCAAUCCGAAUCGUUGUCUAUGCCGUCAUAAAUAAGAGCCCUGCUCUUUGAACGUCUCAGAUCCCAUGGUAUAAGGGUCGGUGUCCACUUCAUAGUUCAUACGACAACAAGUCACUAAGGCAUGUUUGUUUCAUCGAAACUAGACUUUAGGUUGAAGUGAACUUUAGGUUAAACUGGAGUUCGGUGAAAACUAUUUUUUUUUCACUGUUUGUUUCAUAGUUAUGAAAGUGAAGUUUCAUCAAUUUUGCUGUUUGUUUGGUAGAAUAUGUAUAAUAUAAAACUAUAAUUUAUACAUAAAUAAUAAAUAUUUUAAUAAAUAAAAAUAAUAUAAUUAUAUUUUUAUAUAAUUAAAAUUUAAUUUAAAACAACUAAAUUAUUUGUUUAUACAUAAAUUAUAGUAAUACGAUAAUAGAAUUAUAAAGUAAAAAAAAUUAAUACUUAAUUAAUCAAUUUUUAUCAUAUUUUAAAUAUACAAACUAAAUAAAAAAAAUAUUAAAACUUAACUAAUCAAUUUUUAUCAUAUUUUAGAUAUAUUAACUGAAUAAAAAAAUAAUUAGUAACAUAAUUAAAUAUAUUUAAAUAUAACUAGCUUUAUCUAUUAUAUUGUUUUAUUUUUUUUUCACCUCUCUUCACCAUAAUUAACUUCGGCCCACGAUGGAACGAAGUCAAUUACGCCGUUUGAGAUUAACUUGAGUUUCAACCGUAACUUUUUUACGGCAAACCAAAUAACGGAAGUAGUCGUUUAGGGCAAAAAUGACAUCCCUCCUCUUCACUUCCACCCUACUUCCACCCAAACAAACAUGUAGACUAUGGGUUGAAGUGGACUUUGGGUUGAACUGGAGUUCGGUAAAAACUAUUUCUUUUCUGCUUUUUGUUUCGUAGUUAUGGAAGUGAAGUUGUAUCAGUUCUGCUGUUUGUUUGGUAGGAAGUGUAUAAUAUAAAACUAUAAUUUAUAUAUAAAUAAUAAAUAUUUUAAUAAAUAAAAAUAAUAUAAUUAUAUUUUUAUAUAAUUAAAAUUUAAUUUAAAAUAACUAAAUUAUUUUUUAUACACAAAUUAUAGUAAUACAAUAAUAAAAUUAUAAAGUAAAAAAAUAUAAAUUCUUAAUUAAUCAAAUUUUACCAUAUUUUAAAUGUACAAACUAAAUAAAGAAAAUAUUAAAACUUAACUAAUCAAUUUUUAUCAUUUUUUAGAUAUAUUAACUGAAUAAAAAAAUAAUUAGUAACAUAAUUAAAUAUAACUAGCUUUAUCUAUUAUAUUAUUUUAUUAUUUUUUUUCACUUCUCUUCACCGUAAUUGACUUCGGCCCACGAUGGGGCGAAGUCAAUUACGUUGUUUGAGGUUAAUUCGAGUUUCGACCGUAACUUUUUUACCGCGAACCAAUCAAUAGAAGUGGUCGUUUAGGGUGAAAACGACUUUCCUCCUCUCUACUUCCACCCCACUUUCACCCAAACAAACAUGCCCAAGGCGCCGACUAAAAAGCCUUCCCCCUUCCCCUUUUUAUUUUUAUUUUAAUGAAGCAUGCAUUAGGAAGAAGACAAUGAACAAUGAACAGCACAGCCUCAAUUAAGGCUGCUGUACAUGCAUACGUAAUUAAGACGUAUUGCAUAAUAAGGUUUCAAUAGAUAGCUUGAGAUUGGAACCCAGUGUCAAAAAUAAUUCCAGCAGUUCGGCGCAAUUGAUUAGAAAGAUUAUGCAUACAAUGUUUAAUAUUAUCAACCAACGCUCUGAUAUCAAUUAAUAGAUUUUUUUAUCAGUAUAUAAAAUAAUAAUAAAUUAAAUAUAUACCGAAACCAAGAUUAUAAAUAAAAUAAAAUAACUCACAUAGCGCCAUAGAGAAGAAAUUUUUUAUCAAACUGCGGAAGCGAGAAGUUCGGCUAUGAUUUGAAAGUUACGAAUCGAACUUGGAUAAUUUAGUUUCUCCUCCUAUCUUAAGCACUCUCCCAUAUGGUGUGAAACAAAUAGUAAUUUUUCAUGCGUGUGAGAAGGUGACAUGAUUAAUACCCCUUCAUAUAGAGUCCGGAUCGACUUUUUUAUCAAAGUCUGAUUAGGAUUCUAUUUAAUUUAAAUAGAUAGGAUGGGGAUAAAAUAUAUCAUAUCAAGUAGUUCUAUAUCUAUUAGGAUUGACCUUUAUCUAUAAUAAAUUCAAAUUUGAACAUGGGCCACAUUUAUAGAAACCCUAACACAUCUAUUAGGAUUCACGACUCUUUUUCUCACGCAGAGUUAUUAAUUAAGAAGUAAUUAUUGACACGUCAUGUAUGUAAUCUCGUAAUGUUUUAAAAGACAUUAAUACUUUUUUAUAUUUGAAAACUGUGACACUUAGAAUUUGAAAGUUUUAAAUAAGAUUAAACCUCUUAGUCCGACUAUAACAUUAUAAGCUGUGGAUAGAUGCAAAAGGUUAAGAGUAUUAAGCGUGCUAAAAAAAGUAUGAAUAACCUCCGGGAAAGCGUCACAAAAGUUUUUAAAAAAAGCAAUAAAAAUUGGGUGAUGAAUUCAAUUUGUUCUUCAAUGCUGAAGUUUUAUUUUCGUACACAAGACGAGAGAAAGUAGAUUCUUUUUUUAUGUUAUUUUUAAUUUUUAUCAAAAUUAUUUAUAAAACACGCUACUGCUAUGAUUAUUUAAUUAGUAACUUCGCUUCAAAGGGUCUAACCAGUUGAAAAUACUGAAGUCUAAAAUUAAGAGGUGUUUAUAGAUUAAGCCAGCCUCCAUAAACUUAUCUCUUUUCGAUUUGGCUUUUCUUUUUUGUUGGACCAAGCUUUUGGGUAUGUGCAUAUUUAUGUAUCUCCGGUGGGUUCAGGCAUGUCAAUGGAUAUGGAUACCCUGCAUUUUAUCUACAUUCGAACCAAAAUGAGACAGUUUCAAUCGAAGCUAAUUGGAGAUGGUUUCAGUUAUAGAAAUAAAAGGUCAAAAUUUGGCAAUUGCAGUUUCGAUUAUGAUCGAAAGUGCGCAAGUUUUUAUAUUUGUAAGUUAUUUUCGAUUAUGGGGCAUCCGACUCGUCUAUUGAUUUCAUUUGACAUAAUCCAUAGGGAUUGGAACUGUUUAGAAAUCAAGUUUCAUAAUAUUUUGACUUCGUUUGUCUAAUGAACGAGUAUAGCCAAAUUAACGGCUAAAAAUAAAAAUACCGUAAAAUAGUGAUAAAAGACUCAAAUUUCAAAUCGAAAGUACUAAUCUUGUUCUUAAUGUUAAAUAGAAUUUUCUAUUAAAGUUUUAUAUAAUUUGGAUUGUUUUACACUAUUAAACUUACAAACGUGUCAUAUCGAUCAUUAAAAUAGGCAUUUCUGAGAUUCUUUGAUCACUUGGUAAUAACGUUGAAAAAUUUAAUUUCUAAAUAAUUUAAUAGUAUAGACUAUGACUAACAAAAUGAAUUGUCGAAUCAAAUAUCCUAUCAUCGAAAACAACUUAAUUACAAAUAUAGAGACCUCCGUGUUUUCAAAAACACGAAGAAAGUACUCUAUAUAUAUAAUAUAUAAAUAUAUAUAGAUUAAUAAUUGGUAUAUAUUAAUAAUUUAGUUUAAUGCUUAAUAUAUUAAAUAACCGAGUUCAAUUUGGCAGUUUCUGAUACAAAUUUUCUCUAAACUGUUAUGUCUGAUCCGGAGUCAGAUAUGAUUUCGUGUUUCGAUUUUUCAUCCGAGUUCAGGUUUGAAUUUUGCAGAGAUCGCCUGCAGAAACUAAUUUGUUGACGUCACUAGUGUUGUUGCCAGGCAAACGCCGAUGGACAGCUAGCUUCGUCGUUAUCUAUCAACUUGACUGACUGCAGAAGAAUGUCUUUUUUUGGAUUCGAUCGUGGCGGUGGGCCGUCUGCCGUCAUGCUUUACUUGUAGUUAGCCAGUGGCUGCCAAUCUUUAUUGUGGCCUCCCUGGCCCCCUCGUUUUUUGGGCNAAUACAAUAAUAAAAUUAUAAAGUAAAAAAAUAUAAAUACUUAAUUAAUCAAAUUUUAUCAUAUUUUAAAUAUACAAACUAAAUAAAGACAAUAUUAAAACUUAACUAAUCAAUUUUUAUCAUAUUUUAGAUAUAUUAACUGAAUAAAAAAAUAAUUAGUAACAUAAUUAAAUAUAACUAGCUUUAUCUAUUAUAUUAUUUUAUUUUUUUUUUCCACCUCUCUUCACCUUAAUUGACUUCGGCCCACGAUGGGGCGAAGUCAAUUACGCUGUUUGAGAUUAACUCGAGUUUCGACAGUAACUUUUUUACGGCAAACCAAACAACGGGAGUGAUCGUUUAGGGCGAAAACGACUUCCCUACUCUCCACUUCCACCCUACUUUCACCCAAACAAACAUGCCUAAGGCACCGACUAAAAAGCCUUCCCCUUCCCCUUUUUAUUUUUAUUUUAAUGAAGCAUGCAUUAGGAAGAAGACAAUGCACAGCACAGCCUCAAUUAAGGCUGCUGUACAUGCAUACGUAAUUAAGACGUAUUGCAUAAUAAGGUUUCACUAGAUAGCUUGACAUUGUAACCCAGUGUCAAAAAUAAUUCCAGCAGUUCAGCGCAAUUGAUUAGAAAAAUUAUGCAUACAAUGUUUAAUAUUAUCAACCAACGCUCUGAUAUCAAUUGAUAAAUUUUUUUUAUCAGUAUGUAAAAUAAGAAUAAAUUAAAUAUAUACCUGUUGCGUGCCUAAAGUCCCGACCCUUGAUCCUGUCAAGUAUCCUCCUCGGAAAGAGCGUUGGGAUGAUGAGCGGCCGCAGAUGAUGACCCUCGAAGUUUGCGCCCACAGAGGAUCAAGUGAUUAGGCCGAUGAGGGGUCCAACCAGCCGGGUUCGAAAACCUUCACAGUAAAUUCGCUUCGGCAGGAUGAGCCGAAUGAACAGGGGAAACCUAUAUCUCGGCUGAGAGAUGAGCCGAAUGACUAGAACAACACGAGAUCUGAUCGGCGGGAAGAGCCGAAAUGAUUUUCUAUUGAUUAGCGAGUGGAAAGAGUACAGGAAUAAGGGAGUGAUGCACGUAGGGCAAACAGACUCCGAAUAUGAGGACAGGGGAGUGAUGUCCGUAGGGCAGACAGACUCCGAGUAUGCUAAAUUACAGGAACUACUCCUAAAGAAAGCGGUAAAUGCGAGAAUAGAAAGAUGCAGGAAAAUAAAGGUGGUCUUUUGUGCGCAGGGGCGAAGACCCCUAUUGCAGGCUUCAAAGUUACUAUUUAUAGCCCACAUUAUUAGUUGGUUGAAAGUAGUUGGGGGGAGUGGUUGUAACCAUGAUCGUGGAAGUUAUACUAACUCCUCAUGGAUGUUACGCUAACUCCUCAUGGAAGUUACACCCCAAUCUUCAACCGUUCCUGCCUUCUUGUUCUUCAGACGUCUUAUUGCCGACUCCCGGUGUACCACGUGUCCUUAUUGGCUCAUACGUGGGUUAGGUCGGCUCAAUUUUGGUAUCAACAAUACCGAAACCAAAAUUAUAAAUAAAAUAAAAUAACUCACAGAGCGCCAUAGAGAAAAAAUUCUUGAUCAAAUUGCGGAAGCGAGAAGUUCGGCUAUGAUCUGAAAGUUACGAAUCGAACUUGGAUAAUUUGGUUUCUCCUCCUAUCUCAAGCACUCUCCCAUAUGGUGUGGAACAAAUGGUAAUUCUUCAUGCGUAUGAGAAGGUGACAUGAUUAAUACCCCUUUAUAUAGAGUUGGGAUCGACUUUUUAUCAAAGUCUGAUGCGGAUUCUAUUUAAUUUAAAUAAAUAGGAUGGGAAUAAAAUAUAUCAUAUCAAGUAGUUCUAUAUCUAUUAGGAUUGUCCUUUAUCUAUAAUAAAUUCAAAUUUGAACAUGAUUAAUUAGGCCACAUUUAUAGAUAUUGAAGAAAAUCCAAUAAUUUCUCAAUUACUAUUAUUACUCUUUUAUUUUAUUAAUUCUUUUAUUCUCAUUUAUUAGUAUUUAUUGUUCUUUAUUUUAAUUAAUGAGAUGGAUUAAUUAGAUGGAAACGGUUUCCACUAUUGGAAUCUCUUGAGGAUUCCAAUGUUCAACCCUUUCUCUUUAUAAAUUAGAUUNUAUAUAUUUUUAUUUUUUAAUUUUUAGCAAAAUAAAAAUAUAAAGGCAAGCUCAAUUAUAAAAAAACUCAUUUAUAUGUAAAGUUUCAACUAUUAGAUCAAAGUCUAAUGGAUAAGAUUUUAUAAAUUUAUUUUGUAUAUGUUCAAUUUAAUCCUUUUAACUUAUUGUUCGUUGGCCAGCUUGUGAGCCAGUUCGUGUUCAGCUCGUUUAUUAACGAGCCGAACACGAACUGAAUUUUUUGGCUCGAUACUUUAACGAGCCAGCUCGUGUUCGGCUCAUUUACACCCUUGCACGUGGGAACCAAAUAAGACAAAUUAAAAGAAUAAUUGAAACUGUGCUCCUAAAUAGUUUUCAAAUAUCAUAAUUAUUCUUAAAAAUACAGAAAUAUCAAUUAUAUACAUUCCUCUCAUGGGUCACCUGUUUUAAUAUUGUUUAUUGAGUUAUUUAAAUCAUCCCCAUGCAACUGCCAUUGAGAAGUUAUAAAGGACGUUGAUGCAGUAAUAAAAUUAUCAUAGAUUCCAGUUUAGUAAAAAAUAUUACAAUAGAAAGGGUUACAAUGUUUUGUCAAUCAUAUAUCUACAUAAUCAUAUAUAGAGAGAGAAAGAGAGAAAGAGAGAGUCCAGCUACUAUGGCUAUAUAUCAAUAGCUCCAAAUGCUUGAUACUAUCAAAUUUUUCGCCGUUAAAUUUACUCCUUGACCAUUUCCAUCCGUUAGAUUAUACUAUUCAAUCAACUACUCAUUCAAGUACCCUAUGGUACCAUUACCAUUUGCAGAGUAGUGGAUUUAAAUUCCUCUCUUUCUCUAACGGGUAAUCUUUUAUUUUGUUUACUAAAUAUUAAUUAAUAUUAUUCUAAUUUUUUUCUACAAUUUAAGAUUAUCUCAAAAUUAAUCUAUUAAUGUAGUAUCCCUGGUGUUCUGCAGCCCGUGUGUUUCAGUAUUUGAGGCUUGUCGACAUAUCUGAAAAGUGUCAGGACAAGUCGGGAUCGUUUGACGCGAAAUAGACGCAAAAUGGAAUCAGCGCAAGGCGAGAUUGGGGUUCUAGUACUGAAAUUUGCAAACUGCAGAUUUCAAUGUUGAGUACCGGUACCAGUGAGAGGAGUGCCGGUAUCCUAGUCGGAGUUCAGAACUGGUGCUCUCGAGUUUGCGCAAGGUGAUUCUGAGUAUCGGUACCUACUUGUUGAGCACCGGUAUUGAGCUCGGGUACCGGUACUGUAUCGGGCUGGUAUCAAUACCCUGUGUGUGAGCUUGCGGGUUGAGAGGCCGAGUACCGGUAACCAAAUNAAGAAAAAUAAAAGAAAAAAAAAGGAUUUGAUUUCUUUAAGCUUUAUUGUUUAACAUUAUUGUUUCUAUAUUCGUUUUGUAGGGACUUUCAAACCCCUGAAGUAGGGACUUUCAAACUUGCAACAGCACUUCUAUUUCUUACUUUAUUAUCACUUCUAACAAUUAUAUAUUGUAUACAUUGUUGGCAAUAUAGUUGUUUGAUUGCAUCUAUAAUUUACUCAAAGUUUUCUAAUUAAAUCAAAUUUUUAAAAUUGUUUGGAUCAUCUAUUUGCUGUUGAACCAAACUCUAUUAAACAUGAUUAAAUUUUAUGAUUUUAAAUUUUAGUAUAUCUCAGAACUUGUGGGGGGAGCUCUUUUAUCAGUUUGAUAACUUUUUAGAUUAUAAUUGCCCUCAUGAUUUCAUUUUGUUAUCCCAAUGUUUAGCUUAUAAAUAAAAUUGAUAAAUUUUAAAACUAACUGUCAGACAUAUUAUGUUGAGACAGAAAUUUUAUUAAAUAGUUAACUUUGUAUGAUAUUAUUUAUUCCGGUUUUGUCAGAUCUGAUUAGAAAUUUUGCAGAUUAUUUGAUUAAAGGCCUGAAGAGGACUUUGGUCCUGCUGUCAUCGAGGGGGAUGGGAUAUUGCCCAUAAAGGGCCUUCCUGCAGUGAGAACCCAACAUUUGUGAUAGGAGAUCCCUUGAAGAAGGUUCAAUGUGGUAAAAACAAGCUGCUAGGUUGCACUUUCUACAGUUUAUAUAGAGGAGUUUUCGCUCCAAUUCCAUCCCUAUGGUGAGUAGUGCUCUGUGUAGUGGAUUAGGUUGAGCUGAUAGCUCUUAAUGGGAUCCAAGGCAAUAAUUUUCGUGAGAUAUGACUCUACACACAUCCCUGGAGGAAACCACCUAUAUAAGAGUAUCCGUAUGUGGCCGCGGCUAUGAGAUGUGGGCUAUCCAUAGAAGCUCUUAUGAAAAAGCAAGGUACUGUGUAUGGCCAUUAACGCACAGACCCGCGACGAAGAAUUCUGUACUGUGUGUGUGGCUGUUGAAGUCAGGGCUAAAGGAGCGUAGUUCAAGACCUGAUUCACUCCGAUUCCUUCUGAUGGAAACUAUUUACACUAAGUGAGGUUAAGUCUCUUAAAACACCUUACCUAUUGUAUAGUAUAAACACCCGGUGAUUUAUUCAUCUUUUUGAGUUUAAUUCUUAUUUCGAAAUCCAAUAAUUUCUCAAUUACUAUUAUUACUCUUUUAUUUUAUUAAUUCUUUUAUUCUCAUUUAUUAGUAUUUAUUGUUAUUUAUUUUAAUUAAUGAGAUGGAUUAAUUAGGUGGAAAUGGUUUCCACUAUUGGAAUCCGUUGAGGAUUCCAAUGUUCAACCCUUUCUCUUUAUAAAUUAGAUUAUUUCUCUACAUACUGUUCAUAAUAUAUGAAUAUUGUAGAGAGAAGUAAAAAUGAUGAAAUUUUAUUUUGUUUAAUAAUUUUUAUCAUCGGGUGUUGAAAGAGUCUUCAUCAACCUCUUCCGCGUUCGUACUCGUAGGAGGCGGAAUUCCGGUCGUACCUUGGGGCGGUGUUUCCGGUUAAUCUCGCACAUAAGGACGGGAAUACGCAUUAGGGCAGUGCCUCGCACGCUUUCGGAUAACAUCAAAUCUUUACUUGGAUAUUUGCGUUUAUCUGUAAGUUGAUUUAUUUAUUGUUAUCACAAAAUUAAUUAAAUCUUUAAUCAUAAUCAGAUUUCUAUGCGGAAUUUGUUCUAACAAUAGAAACCCUAACACAUACCUCAUGGAGAGUCAAGGGAGAUAAGCAUCUCUCCAAUCGGUAGGCACUUGAUGUCGAGAAAGAUCGUCAUCACCAAUUGCGGUUGGGAGUUGAGAGGAUCAAUAUCUCCGUUUACAACAUUGGGGGGGGAUCGACAUCUCCCAAAUUAGACACUUUUGGAAAGUCGCACAUUAUUAACCAUUUCAACCUAAGUUUAUGAUUUUUAAAGUUAUUCACAUUAUUCAUUUGCGAUUCUCUUGUGCUCUAGCUAGAGUUUAACCUAGAAAAAAAUGCCAUUAUAACCACUGUCUGUAAGACAGGUUUCUAUGCCCACCUGAUUUGCAUGUAAUUGCAUCCGAUCCGAGAUCCGAACACCUGCUUAGUCCACCCGGUUCACAAAUUGGGCGUUGGAAAGGGAAAUUCGGUGUUCGAUUCUUUAGUUACUUACGCAACUUGCGCUUUCAGGUUGAGCAUCUGAAAGGCAUUCUAACGACCCCGAAGGACCACUCAAAAGGUGUUCCGAAUCCCCGUAGGGCAUUUCGGAUGUCUGAAUGCAUUAUAUAUCCAUAGUGAUCCAACUCCCGGGUUGGGAAUCUGGAGGGUUUCUCAGCGCCCUUGAGUGAGAUCCAAAAUGACCCAAGCAUCCACAAGACAAUCUGCGCCCUAAAGUGGGCCUCCCACCAACAUUGCUCUCUUGAAGAGCUUCCGGUUGAUUUGGCCGCUCUACCUGGCCAUCCAAAUCAUUUCUGGUUCCCAAAUUUUCGUUCCAGGUGUCCGAAAUGUUUCGAACUCAGUUUUCCUCUUUUUGAAACUCUAUUUCCAUCCAAAUUUAUUUCAAUUCGAUUCAUACUCAGUCUAAAUUUCUCUAAAUUCACUUUAGUCAUAUCUAGCAUGACUUAUCAAUUUAAUCAAAUUUGAUACAUUACAAUAUAAGUAUCGCAAAAAAUCUAUCAUUUGCUCUUAUAUUAUUUCAUAUGGAAUUGUUUUUGAAAAAAUAAAUAUAUAGCCUCUGUUCCAACAAAGUCAAAGUUUUACUAAAAUAAAUUUAGAUAUCGUUAAUUCGGUGCAUGAAAAUCUUAAUAAAAAUCUAGCCGAGUGUCAACUUGUACGGGAGACAUCUACGACUGAAAAAACAAAAUUUAGUUUUUAGUUAAGAAGCUACCAAAUUGAUAAUUUAUUAGAUAACCUAUUUUGUCUAUUUUACUCGAUACAGUACAUCUAUCAUCAUUCACCAACAUUUUAGAAUUUUUAUAUUAUCACUACAACAAUUUUUUCAAAAUUUGAGAUAUUAAUAUUGUAGUGUUUCUGAGCUUUUGUAAGGACUGAGAUUUUUUUGACAGUGCUACUAAACUCUCUGUUGAUAAUGUUUAUGUGUGUAAUUUAAUUACUUAAGCACUCGUCAAGUUUCGGGCGAAAAUGAGCUAAAAUGGAGAAGAUACGCGACUUUUAGUUUUCACUUAAGUGAAUAGUAACUCCGGUUUUCCGGAUAAGCCACGGAGUAGAGUUGGCUUCUGGCGCGUAUCGGACUCCGUUCAUAUCAGUCCAAUAGCUCGUUUCGACCGGUUCAGCUGUUCUGGAACUUGUGGCGCUGAUGGAUUUUGAGUUUGACGCACGGAUUUCGAGAAAAUCCAAAAAUACAUGUUUUAUAUGUAUUUGUGUGUGUGUUUCCUUCUAUUGGAAGAAGGUUGGAUUUUGUUGUGAAUCCGUGGUCAAUCGAGAUGAAUCGAAAGUGUAGCUUUGUUGUCUCCGAGGUGCUGAUCGCACUGGUGCAAUCCGUUCGCAAAUCCGACGGACGGAUCUGCGGAGAUCGCGCGUUGAUCAAGGAGAGGUCGGUGAUGGCAAAACGGUAAUUUCGCAAAAGUUGCGACAUUUUAUGUACCGUUUCGCGUGAAAUCGCGCGUGGAGGGGUUUAUGCACGUUUUACUCGUGCUGUGAGGGACUGAAUUGCAAAUUAUCGAGUUUGGAGGGACUUUGACGCAAUUUAUUGCCUUGCAUAUAUAUUAAUCUAGGGUUUUGCUUUAAGAAACCCUAACCCUAACCCAUCCCCCGGCCAACCUAGCCUCCUAACCGACUCAGCUCUCUUCAGCCCACCUCGUGUUCAUGCCCUGGCCGCUGGCAGGCUGCCCCGACCACCGAAAAACCCUCCCCAGCCUUUCCCCCUUUGCUCUCUCCCUCCAUAUUGCUUCACCCUCGGCUGUGGAACCCGGGGGAACUUCAAAUCAUCCUUGGAACCCUUCUCCUGGCCGAGACACCCCCUCCAGCACCGUCACCGGCCGUUCCGGCCGCCUGCACACGCCACCGGCGCCGCCCGAGCAAGUCGCAGCUAGCCCAGGGUCAGCCCAGGCCGAGCCGACUUCAGCUCGAGGCCCGCGUGUUGGAACCACCCCAGCUUAGUCGCCCCGACUCCCUCUGGCUUCCGGCGACAUCCCGCUCGCCGCCCCGCCGUCCCGGAGCAGCCCCGAAGCCGCCCUAGCUCCUGGGGGCCAGCUGCGGUCACCCAGACCGAGAUCGGGUGGGUUUGUGAUCCGCGCACCGCCGACACUCCAGAUCGGCCGCGCCGUCAUCCCUCGAUCUCCGGCGACCUCCGGCGUGCGUUCCCGGUCGUCCCCGUAGCCGCCGGCCGCCGGCCGAGCCUUUGCGGCCAUCUCUCAACUCGUGCUGGCCGGGGCUGGGCCCACACCGUUUCUGAGUGUCGCCGCCACCCACCGCCGGGAGCCUCACCCUUCCCUCGACCUCCGGCGACGGGUCGUUGCCGCCCCGACCUCCCCCGGUCGCCGCCUCGCCGCCGGCAAGCUCCAACCCGAGAGGAAGUCGGCGGGCCCGAUCUCCGCCGCCGCGCCACAGGCUGAUGCCGCCGGCGGCCAGCACCUCCCCCGGACCUCCCCGACCUGCUGCUCCCAUCACCGGCCGGAGCGCCCGCCGCCCGAUCGCCGGCGACGAGCCCUAGCUCCCACUGGUCUGGUAAGCAUUGUUUAUGUUGACAGCACUGUAGUUUAGAGUUCCUGUCACCUUUCUGGUGAUUCGAGGAUACUUUGACACUCCGGGAAGUGAGCACGAUGAUCUCAGAUCCGUGCUGAACAUCGUACUCACCUCCGACAGGGUCAACGAUGCCCUAGUUAGCGAAUUAGAGGCGAUCUUAGCGCUGUGCGCGCAAUUUCGCUGAUUUCUGCGUCACUUGUGCGCAUGCCACAGUGGCCGGCAGUGCUCCGAAAGGUGAGCACGGCCUCCGGCAUGCCGAGACCUGUCAGCGGGUGUCUCGGCUCGGUUGAUUGACUGCUGGUUUGUGUCGACGGACCAUAAAAGCGCUGAAAUCACAUAAAAUAAUGUGAUUUCGAGCAGUCGGAAGGGCUUUUGUGCAAGUUUGUCUGUCAUGGCUGCUGUUGGCAGCAGGUAUAGGCUAGGGGUAACCUCUGGACUGAUCGUCCAAGGCCCCAAGCCUUUGCAAGUGUCGGAAAGAGAUUUUCGGCGCGUUUCUCGGCAAAAUCCACCGACGGAACGCGGGAUCGGUUCGGAUUCCUUCCGACAGUGCUUCGUGAUGAAUUGUGUAGUCGCUGAGCCUUGUUGGCUGGUCACUCGCAUCAUUUUGAGGGUUCGAAAAAUGACGGGUGAGCGACGGUAGGUUCCGGUGUCGAAUUAGACACUUUCAGGAACCCGGAUCGAAACGAUUAUCCGACGAUAGUUGUUUCGACGUGAAGAGUGGUGUUUGCUGCCAUGAUGCACGAUUAUUUAUGUUUAGUGGCAGCAGGUGACUCGUAGCUCGAGUCGGUAUGUUCCGGGACAGUUCGUGGCUCCCGGCGGAGUCCUCGUGCGAUUAUGGGACUUCCGGCGUAUUACGGCGAUCGGUUUGGGAAACCGAUCUCCAUGGGUUUGCUUGUAGGUUGUGGAUCUAGUGAUUAUUAGUUGUGGGUUAGACACUAACCCGGUGGACCUUCCUUAGGUCCAGUUGACGUCCUUUUGCAGUCAGGAGACAGGCGCAGCAUUUGUACAGGUGGGUACUUCGAUCCGACGUCGGUACAGUGGUGCACGCUCGGUGAUGGUUUCCUACCUCUGUUCUCUCGUUAUUAUCUGGCAUAUAUAUAUAUAUAUAUAUAUAUAUAUAUAUAUAUAUAUAUAUAUAUAUAUAUAUAUAUAUAUAUAUUGCUAACUAAUCAAAGAAGGUGAGUCCAAGAAUAAUAGCAUUACUUCUUCCAAGACCGAGCUGACCGCUGGAGUUGUCUCCCCAAACAAAGAGCUUCCCAUUAUCUAAAUCAAAAAAGCAAAGGCAAUAGUUUGGAAAAGAAUGUAAAUUUUCUUCUAAACAAAGGACCAUCAAUACAAGAAAACUGUCCAAAAGUUAAAUUAUUACCUAGUAUAAAUAAAAUGACCUAGAAUAAUGCAGUAGUAAAACGAUAAAUCUAUCAAAGGGCAAAACUAUUAAGUAUUAAGGACAAACUAUAUAAACUUACCUAAACUAUAGCACAUUCUAAAAUAGGUACAUGAACUUUGAAAGCUCUGAUUUCACUACCUAACAUAAAGUGCUUUCAAAAUAGAUACCUAAAGUUUAAAAUUUUGAUUUCACUACUAACCUUGGGGUGUUUGGUUCAAAAUAAGAAAUGGAAUCGGAAUUGGAAUUGGAACGGACUGGAAUUGGAAACGAAAUGGUAAAUUCUCUCAAUUUGUUUAGUUUAGAAUAAGUGAAUAACAAUCGGAAUCGGAAUAGUUGAUUCCUGUUUACACAGUCUAGUUGUGAUAGAAAAAAUUGUGGUUAUCAAACAAAUAAUUAAAAUAAAAAUUAAAAUUAAAAUACGAAGAUAAUUUAAAUUGAAUUUGCAACUCAAAACAUAGAAUUAAAUUUAUAAUUUAAAUGCAAACAAAAAAUUAAAUAUUAAAAAUUUACAUCAAAAUUUUCAAAUGAUAAGCCAAAAUUUUGAAUGUAAAUUUUUAACAAUUAAAAUUUAAAGUUGAGUGCACAACUCAAAGUAUAAAAUUAAUUUUUGAUUUGAUUCAAAUUCAAACUUAAAAUUACAAUUUAAAUUCCAAAUUAAAUCCAUAUAUUUAAUUUAAAAUUUAAAUGAAAAUUUUAAAAUUUAAAAUUUGAACAUAAAAUUUAAGUUUAAAUUCAUAGAUCAAAUUCAAAAUGCUAAAUUAAAUUUAAUUUAAUUUGAGUUUUAAAUCAAUAUUAAAAAUUAAAAUUUAAUUUCUAAAAAUUUAAACUUAUAUUUUACUUAAAACUUGAAGUUAAAAAAUUAAAUUUAGUUUCAAAAUAUAGUUGACAUAUUUUUGGNUCUACCCCUCGUGGUAGCUUUUAUAAAAGAUAAAAGUUUUCGCGUAUGGAACAGUUUUCAAAAGAUUUUUCGUAGACUUUUGUUUAAACAUCGAAUGUAAAACUACGGUGUGAAUGGUGAAUGUAUGAAUGUAUAGCUAUCUGUAUAUUCAUUUAGUUGUGGUUGUAUACUGUUUGUACUUUUGUACUUGUGCGACGCCGUGCAAAUACAGGGGAGACUCUGUCCGUGUGAACAGUGGAUUCCCUGUAUUUGUGGCGGAUCUGCCAUACUCUGGAGUCAGGUUUUCAAAAAAAAAAAUUUAACGCUUUUCCGCUGUGUUUCAAACAAAAAGGGGACCCCGGGGCGUGACAGCUUUGGAUAGGAUUGUCUUCAGUAUUAUAGACUGGUCGACAUCUCUGGAGAGUGUCGGACUGAGUCGGAGUCGUUUUUAUACGAAUUGGAUGUAGAAAUAGACUUGGCGCACUCAAUUAAGCAAGACUGAAGUUUUGCCAGAUUCAGGCGCCCAGAACACGAUUUAUGUCGCCCAGAACUGAGUGCUGAAUUUAACUGAAAUUGGAAGCCAAUUCGGAUCCUAUGUUCUGGGCGCCCAGAAGUGGGUCCGAAAAUUUUACAUCGUGAAUAUCAUUUGUGUUGACACGUGGCGGGUGGUAGGUGAGGUCCGCUGGAGCCGUUUACGAGCGCAGCACACCGUGAGCGGAGAGUCCGAGGAGGAAGAUUUGUGCAGCCUGGAGGUUUUGGGUGCCCAGAAUUGGGUUUCGGGCGUCCAGAAAUGCCCGUUUCUGCAGGGAUACCAGGUUAGCAGCUAUUGAAUCUGGGGCUUAUUUUAUCCUUCCAGCACCCUAUAAAUAGGGGGAGCUUGACCCCAGUGAAGCCUUUUCGUACAUUCUUCACAGUGAACCCUUAAAUUGCAUUUCCAACCCUCAAAUCUACUCAAAUUGCUUCAAGAUCCACAACUCCAAGCUUGAUAGGUGCUGAUUCUGCAGUUCUUCAGCGACGACCUUCAGUGUUUUUGGCUUGUACGCCACGUAGGAAAGUCAGAUCGCGGUGAAACUUGGUUUGCUGGAUUCUAGACUUCCAAAGAAAUCCACGAAGUCCUGAAUUGCAGAAUUUGAUGAAGGUUAGCUCAGUCGAACCCAUAUUUUCCUCUGUUGUUGUUGCUUUUGACAGAAUUGCAAGUUUUUGAGCUUUUCUUGGGGUGAACUUUGGAAGCAGGGGCUUUGUGGAGUUGAGACACAUUCCCUAUCAACCAGUACUGGAUUUGCGGCCCUCUUCACCUGUUUUGGAUAUCUUUUGGUAGGUCUUGACAUUGGAGUUGGCUUAAUUUAGCUUAAAUGCAGAAAUUGUGAGUUUUGAUGCUAUUGUUGAAUGUAUUGAUGCAAUUAGUUGAAGGAGCUCGGUUUAUGGAUCUAGGAGGAUAGUCCAUCACAGCACCCUGUAAUUGGAGUUUCAUCUCAACUGAAUUGGCAUCUAGAAGGUAAAGUUAGCAUCGCAAUUGGGCUAAAUUAAACCUUAAUGCUGAAAUUGUGCGAUUUAUCAAAUUUUCUUGUGUAGAGCUUGGAGAUAGCUCGACUGCUGAUUCCUGAGGAGUUCGAUUGAUCCAGCAGUAUUAGCUUUGAUUCGAAACCCUCUUUGCUGCCGAGGAUUCGCACUUGAGGUGAGUGUAUCAUCGAUUUUUACUCCUAAGUACAUGUUAGUCGACUUGUAUGAAUUGCGGCUAUUGUUAUCUUGUUGUAGCUCAAAUUCAUCGAUGAGUAUGAUAUGUAAAUCUGAAUUUGGAGCAUACUUAGUAAUUAGAUAAAUUAUACAUGUCGGACUUGGAACUUGACUUAGGAGAAAACCAGCGUUUUGACCCGUCAUAUGAUUCUACUACCUGAUUUAGCUCUAGGAGUCAUGGUUUGAUUGUAUCACCGCUGUUUCAGUGCGGUGGAUACCUGGGAUAGUUUAGAAUGCAUCUACGCUCGUGCUGGGAUGCCGAGCUUAUUUUAUAGCAGAGUCUAGGCUGUUUCGGGUUGUUGGGUGCCGUCGGGGUGGACGGUGGACCGAGAUUCCUAUUUUUGGUCUCAGAUUGUGCCGAGGGCACGUGGGUUUGAUUUUUAGACCUGUUUUGACCCUAGCUACUUGUCUUUGGCUUGUUAGAGCCUGAUUGAGCUCGACAGAGAUACGCUUGCAUAGUUGGUUGGGUAGCGCCCAUGAGUGCCACUCCGGAGUCGGGCUUAAUGCUUUUGCGUUGGUGUCGUUCGUGCAGGUUGGACUUGCUCUCCACGGACUGGUUAGUAUGGAGGUAGCUGUAUAGUCGUGGCCAGGCCGGACGGUUGUGUUCACAGUCCCAGGGACGGGUAUGAUUACAGUCCUUACUUGAGAUUGGGUCUGAGUUAACACUGUUCUACAGAUAGUUAGAUUCAGUGCAUGAUAGUAUAGUGGCAUAUAGCUGUAGAUUUAUUACAGCUUUCUUUACUAUUCCUCCUUAUCCCUGUAGACUUAGUGGGUGGACCAAUGAGUUUGAGGACGGUACCCACUGAAAACUACUUGUUUUUACAGUAGUUCUCAUGCCCAGUUAUUACCACUGUUUUUGUAGAGCCGUCGUCUUCGGCUGCUGCUGUUGCUGAUCUUGAUCGUGGCAAGGGCGCCGCGAGUUAGAACCCUCCCAGUCGAGUCGCAGGUAGUUGUAGUUUUUGGGUCUUUACAUACAGUUGUUGUUAUAUCGCCAGCGCGAGUUUUUAUAUACCCUAAUGACAUGCAUGUAUUGAACCGCAAUUUAUAUUUAUGGUUUAUUUUCCUAUCUGCUCUAUACUACUGUUUGUAGUAUUGUAUGAUUACAGGUACUUCAACUUCUUCGCUUCGUAUACAGGAAAAAUACCUAUGUAUACGGCGGGUCUGUUAGCGAGCCCGGGGAAACGAGUAAUCCGGGGCGUGACAAAUAUCGAUGAAGUAAUUAUUUCUAUUUUAUGUCGAGAGUAUUAUAUAUAAUUUUUUCAAAAAAAUUUUCAGUUAGCUUUUUAAUUGGAAAAAAAAAAACAAGCACAUUCUAAAUUUUAGACCUUAAUUUGAGACAAAAAUACUUUAAACUUUUAAUUUUGGCAAUCGAAAUUUUACACCUUAUUUAAUAUUUCACACGACUCUUUUUCUCACGCAGAGUUAUUAAUUAAGAAGUAAUUAUUGACACAUCAUGUAUGAAAUCUCAUAAAGUUUUAAAAGACAUUAAUACUUUUUUAUAUUUGAAAACUAUGACACUUAGAAUUUGAAAGUUUUAAAUAAGGCUAAACCUCUUAGUCCGACUAUAACAUUAUAAGCAAUGGAUAGAUGCAAAAGGUUAAAAGUAUUAAGCGUGCUAAAUUAAAAAAGUAUGAAUAACCUCCGGGAAAGCGUCACAAAAGUUUUUAAAAAAAGCAAUAAAAAUUGGGUGAUGAAUUCAAUUUGCUCUUCAAUGCUAAAGUUUUAUUUUCGUACACAAGACGAGAGAAAGUAGAUUCUUUUUUUAUGUUAUUUUAAUUUUUAUCAAAAUUAUUUAUAAAACACGCUACUGCUAUGAUUAUUUAAUUAGUAACUUCGCUUCAAAGGGUCUAACCAGUUGAAAAUACUGAAGUCUAAAAUUAAGAGGUGUUCAUAGAUUAAGCCAGCCUCCAUAAACUUAUCUCUUUUCGAUUUGGCUUUUCUUUUUGUUGGACCAAGCUUUUGGGUACGUGCAUAUUUAUGUAUCUCCGGUGGGUUCAGGCAUGUCAAUGGAUAUGGAUACCCUGCAUUUUAUCUACAUUCGAACCAAAAUGAGACAGUUUCAAUCGAAGCUAAUUGGAGAUGGUUUCAGUUAUAGAAAUAAAAGGUCAAAAUUUGGCAAUUGCAGUUUCGAUUAUGAUUUUUGUUCGGAUAUGAGCUGAACCCGAAUCCCAAAACAGAACUUCCAUAUGAAAGCCUCUACAUAUAUAUAUAUAUAUUUAUAUAUAUAUAUAUAUAGAGUCCGGCUACUAUACUAUUGAUAGUACCAAACCCUUGAUACUAUUGAGUUUUCUACCAUUAGAUCUACCCUUUGAUCAUUUCCACCCGUUAGAUAAUACUAUUAAACCAACCACUCACUCAGCCCUAGGGGACCACUAUCAUCCUAACAGCACAUUCUUUCAUCCAACGGUCAAAAACUCAAUAGUACCAAGGGCUUGGUAUUAUUGAUAGUAUAGUAGCAUAAUUCUAUAUAUAUAUAUAUAUAUAUAUAUAUAUAGACUUUUAUACUUUCGAAAGUGCGCAAGUCUUUAUAUUUGUAAGUUAUUUUUGAUUAUGGGGCAUCCGACUCGUCUAUCGAUUUCAUUUGACAUAAUCCAUAGGGAUUGGAACUGUUUAGAAAUCAAGUUUCAUAAUAUUUUGACUUCGUUUGUCUAAUGAACGAGUAGAGUCAAAUUAACGGCUAAAAAUAAAAAUACCGUAAAAUAGUGAUAAAAGACUCGAAUUUUAAAUCGAAAGUACUAAUCUUGUUCUUAAUGUUAAGUAAAAUUUUCUAUUAAAGUUUUAUAUAAUUUGGAUUGUUUUACACUAUUAAACUUACAAACGUGUCAUAUCGAUCAUUAAAAUAGGUAUUUCUGAGAUUCUUUGAUCAUUUGGUAAUAACGUUGAAAAAUUUAAUUUCUAAAUAAUUUAAUAGUAUAGAUUAUGACUAACAAAAUGAAUUGUCGAAUCAAAUAUCCUAUCAUCGAAAAUAACUUACAAAUAUAGAGACCUCCGUGUUUUCGAAAGCACGAAGGAAGUACUCUAUAUAUAUAAUGUAUAAAUAUAUAUAGAUUAAUAAUUGGUAUAUAUUACUAAUUUAAUUAGUUUAAUGCUUAAUAUAUUAAAUAACCGAGUUCAAUUUGGCAGUUACUGAUACAAAUUUUCUCUAAACUGUUAUGUCUGAUCCGGAGUCAGAUAUGAUUUCGUGUUUCGAUUUUUCAUCCGAGUUCAGGUUUGAAUUUUGCAGAGAUCGCCUGCAGAAACUAAUUUGUUGACGUCACUAGUGUUGUUGCCAGGCAAACGCCGAUGGACAGCUAGCUUCGUCGUUAUCUAUCAACUUGACUGACUGCAGAAGAAUGUCUUUUUUUGGAUUCGAUCGUGGCGGUGGGCCGUCUGCCGUCAUGCUUUACUUGUAGUUAGCCAGUGGCUGCCAAUCUUUAUUGUGGCCUCCCUGGCCCCCUCGUUUUUUGGGCACAGAGCUGUGGAUAGCUUUUUCAUGUGCUACCCUACGUAGUUGCUGGCAUGUGGGUAGGGAUAACAAUCCAACUCGUUGUUCGUAAGCCGGCUUAUGUUCGGCUCGAAAUGAGCUCGAAAUCGAAUCGCUCGUUUAGUAAACAAGCCGAACACGAGCCGAAUUUUUCGGCUUGUUUAUUAAAUAAGCCGAACACGAACUGGGAUCAGCUCGAUAACAGCUCGAAUACAUAUAUUUUAUAUUUAUAUAAUUUAUUUAAUUUAUAUUUAUAUAUAUAAAUAAAUAAUUAUAUAUAUAAUAUAUAUUUUUAUUAUUUAAUUUUUAGCAAAAUAAAAAUAUAAAGACAAGCUCAAUUAUAAAAAAACUCAUUUAUAUGUAAAGUUUCAACUAUUAGAUCAAAGUCUAAUGGAUAAGAUUUUAUAAAUUUAUUUUGUAUAUGUUCAAUCUAAUCCUUUUAACUUAUUGUUCGUUGGCCAGCUCGUGAGCCAGCUCGUGUUCAGCUCGUUUAUUAACAAACCGAACACGAGCUGAAUUUUUGACUCGAUACUUUAACGAGCGAGCUCGUAUUCGGCUCGUUUACACCCUUACACGUGGGAACCAAAUAAGACAAAUUAAAAGAAUAAUUGAAACUGUGCUCCUAAAUAGUUUUCAAAUAUCAUAAUUAUUCUUAAAAAUACUGAAAUAUCAAUUAUAUACAUUCCUCUUCUGGAUCAUCUGUUUUAAUAUUGUUUAUUGAGUUAUUUGAAUCAUCCCCAUGCAAUUGCCAUUGAGAAGUUAUAAAGGACGUUGAUGCAGUAACAAAAUUAUCAUAGAUUCCAGUUUAGUAAAAAAUAUUACAAUAUAAAGGGUUACGAUGUUUUGUCAAUCAUAGAUAUAUCUAUAUAAUAAUAUAUAUAGAGAGAGACAGAGAAAGAGAGAGCCUGGCUACUAUGGCUAUAUAUCAAUAGCUCCAAAUGUUUGAUACUAUCAAAUUUUUCGCUGUUAAAUUUACUCCUUGUCCAUUUCCACCCGUUAGAUUAUACUAUUCAAUCAACCACUCAUUCAAGUACCCUAUGGUACCAUUAUAAUUUGCAGAAUAGUGGAUUUAAAUUCCUCUCUUUCUCUAACGGGUAAUCUUUUAUUUUGUUUUCUAAAUAUUAAUUAUAUAUUAUUCUAAAUUUUUUCUACAAUUUAAGAUUAUCUCAAAACUAAUCUAUUAAUGUAGUAUCCCUGGUGUUCUGCAGCCCGUGUGUUUCAGUAUUUGAGGCUUGUCGACACAUCUGAAAAGUGUCGGGACAAGUCGGGAUCGUUUGACGCGAAAUAGACACAAAACGGACUCAACGCAAAGCGAGAGUGGGGUUCUAGUACUGAAAUUUGCAAACUGCAGAUUUCAAUGUUAAGUACCGGUACCAGUGAGAGGAGUGCCGGUACCCCAGUCGGAGUUCAGAACUGGUGCUCUCGGGCUUGCGCAAGGUGAUUCUGAGUAUCGGUACCUACUUGUUGAGUACCGGUACCGAGCUCGAGUACCGGUACUGUAUCGGGCUGGUAUCGAUACCCUAUGUGCGAGCUUGCGAGUUGAGAGGCCGAGUACCGGUAAUCAAAUUGGGUACCGAUACUCCAGCUAGAUUUUUGAGUUGGUGAGGGACCUUUUGGUCAUUUGAGGCGUCGUUAAUUCCAACCUUAUCCCACCUCUUUAUAUAUGUAUAGAGAGACAGAGAAGGAGUUUUUGGUUGCUGCUUCCUCUCUCUCUCUAGUCUUGGACAUCGCUUGUGGUGGAGUCGCGGCUCGAGCUCGGGUAGACUUCGACAUCGCGCCGGAGAGCCGUUUGAGAGCGUGGCCGUCGCGGUUGCGCCGUUGGAGACCGGGCGAGCACGUGUUUUCCCUCCUUUCGACUCCUCGCUGUGGUUGGACGAGCUUUGCAUGGUGGGUUGAAGUUUACCGAAAUUGCCGGAUUUCCUUCUAAGUCCUAUCAACGUCAACAUGUGUUUAUUGUUUAUUGGUUUAUCCUGCUAGUACUCGAAUUCAUAAAAAUUAUAGAUUAGAGCAUAAAAUCUGAAUAUGGAGUUAAGCUAGUAUUAUAUGCAUGAUGGACUUGGAAUUGACUUAGAAGAAAACAAAUUAGAUCUUACACUGUCAUUUUCUUAAAGUUACCAGAUUUAGCUUUAUGAAUUGAUUUUAAUUUGUAUCACCACUGUUUGUGCGCGAGGGAUACCCAGAUUAGUGUAGGGUGAGUUUACGCUCGUGCUGGGAUGCCGAGAUUGUUUUACAGUAGUGUGUAGACUGUUUCGUGCUGUCGGGUGCCGUCGGGGUUGACGGUGACCCAGAUUUCUGUAUCACUGCUGUUAGUGCGAGGUGGAUACUUAGACGAGUGUAGGUUGAGUUUACGCUCGCGCUAAGGAGUCGAGUGUGUUGUUACAGUAGAGUUAGACGGUGUCGGACCGUCGGGUGCAGUCGGGGUUGACGGUGGACCCAGACUCCUGCAUUUUUGCGUCAGAUUGUGUCAGGGGUACGUGAGUUGGGUGACUUAAGUAGUUUGACCCUUUUUAUAGUGAUUACAGCCUGUGAGAGCCUGUAUGAACUUCGCAGAGACACUUGUAAACUUGGUUAGGUCGCGCCCACGAAUGCCAUUCCGAAAUGGGGUUUCAGUGCGAUGAGGUUGCAGUUUCUGUUUCGACGGUUCUUGAGCUCGAUAUAGGUAGGAUGGGUCCGUUUGGACAGCUCGUGCGAGGUUGGGUCAGUGGUAGUUAGUGACGUCUUUCUCUACCCUCAGUGAGGUUGUGUCGUGUGUUGAGUCGCAACAGUCUUGUUAAACCUUUUUACUUAGAGAGAUUUCUUCACCGGUUACUCUCGAGGUGGUGUACAGUGUAGCCUAGACAGGCGAGACGAGCGUAUCGCAGUCCCCAGAGAGUUUUCUCCACCGGCUACUCUUGAGGUGGUGUACGGGGUCGCUUCGACAGGCGGGACCGGCGUAUUGCAGUCCCCAGUGAGAUUAGGUCAAAGUGAGGCAUCUUUCAUAUCUACAGAUAACCUAUAUUGGUUAGUGAUAGUAUGGAGACAUGUAGCUGUAGGAUUUUAUAGCUUUCAUUACUAUCUUUUGCACAUAUUUCUAUAGACUUAGUGUAAUAUACCGAAACUUCGGUAGACUAUAUCGAACUUUUGUUAAGUUGACCAAAGUGUGCGAGAAAAAUAGUUGGACAAAGUCCAUUUGGCAUUCAAACAAUGUUGGAAGGGUUAGAGUUGAGUUCCGAGUGAGAUAGACAGGUUUUAGCAUUACCCGGCGCGAAAUGAAGCCAAGCUGCCAAAACUGCAAGUCUGGGGGUCUGCUUAACUAGUAAAGCCCCAGGGGCGUACCGGUACUAGGCAGGCACCUAAGAGUAGCAGCUCUUGGGUUUGGCCUCUGUCAAGUCUGUUAACUAGUGACUAAAUCAGGUAGUACCGGUACCCUGCUGCCACCCGAGAACAGCUAGCUCUCGGGUUAGGCAGUUGAACAGGGGGCGUACCGGUGACGCCGACCCGUGUACCAAUACCCAGUGCUGCAAACAGCAGCUGAAGUCUGCUACAAAUAAAAAGAGUUGGAGGGUUUGUUUGCGAUUGUAGUAGACUAUAAAAAUAUCCUACCUCCCCCUCUCUCAUUCACAGCAGUGAGAAUACCUUCUCAACCCAUUUUUCUCUCUCUCUCUAGGAUCUCUUCCCCAAGGUGGAAAGGAGAGGAUUUGAAGGUGGAAUUGAAGGAGAUAUUGGAGAUUGGAAGAUCUAAAGCUCUCCUACAAGGUGGAGCUUGUGGAGUUCAUAGGCUAAGGUGAGGUUUCUCGUAAGAUUGAUGUUAGGGUUUGGUUUUAUAUCCUAGAACACUUGAUUUUGAUCUUCUUACAUGAAAGAAAACCUAGUAGAGACUAUGGAACCACAUGAAACUCCAUGUUGUUCAUGUACUCUCAUGGUAGAAUCCUAGGAUUUGUUUUAAAUACCCUAAGAAUGGUUUAAAUGACCUAAAAAUAAUUUUAGAGGGAUUCCUAGAUGGCAUUAAGCUUGCUUUUGCUUAUCUUAGAGAUCAAAACGGUGUAUAAAGCUAUUUGGCAUUGUUAGGGCACCAAAUUUGGAGCUUUUAUCCUAUAUUGGUUUAAAGGUAAAUUGAUCUUAUAGAAACCAAAUUGGGAAUAUUUCUAACUCGUUGGUGGACUCGAUUCGCCGAUCCGACGAGUCUACGUAAAGUUAUUGGAGAAAAAGCCUAAUUUGGCUUCGUUUUGCCGCAGGCGAGAGAAUAGGCGCCCAAAAAUCACGAAACUUGAACCGUAGCACCUUAGCAACCAUACGAGGUGGGUGGUGCUUUCUGAAAUCCUUAAAUUUUCUUUUAUGUCUGAAAUGUCAUUUCUUGAGCAUAUGUAUAUAUUGAGUUUCAUGCAUUAUAGGGUGAUAGAGAUUAUGUUGAUAUGUAUUGUUGCAUGUUGUGAGUACAAAUGCAUAUGAGAUGAUUGAGAACUUGUAAAACCCUAUGUAUGCAUGAAUGUUGACAAGAACCUAGAAAAGGCAAAGAAUCUAGUGACAUUGAGAAUAGUGACAUUAUGACAUACGGAUUGUGUGGCAUUAGUAAAUAAAAUGAAUGCUAGAAUUGGACUCUUAGUUGAGUGGCAUCAAUGAGUUUGAAUGCUAGAGUUGAACACUUAGUAUGUGGCAUUAAUGAAUCAAGAAUGCAUGUGAAUAAGUACAAAGAACAUGUAGUGUAAGUAACAGUAAUGAAAGUAGAGAAUGCAAGUACAUGAGAAAGUUGACAAUUAUGAUAUAACAACCUUAUAGUUAAGGGUCAUAUGAGCAUUGUAUCCUUAUAGUUAAGGAUUGGAUUGAACUUGGCAUUCUUAUAGUUAAGGAUUGGAUCAUACUCGCCUAUAAGUCUUGGCUCGGAGAGUGGUAGCUCCCCCUCGAGCGAUGACCUCCGGAGUAGUCACACUGGGUUGGAGUCUUCCCAGAGGACGGUCCCGUCGGGAGGCAGCUGAGGGCCCGACACAAAGGGAUUUGAGUUGGUGAGUCUAUUGAGGGUGAAACCUACGGGUUAGCCAAGAGAAUUGGAAAUUAGAAAGUGGAUCUUGCAUUCAUCAUGAGCAUUCUAUUUGAGCAUAAUCAUUAAUUAUAUCUUGUUCAGGCAUAUUAGUUGCAUUUGUAUAGUUUGGUUACUAUCUAUCUGUUAUUCUUCUAUUAUGCCUGAUUUAGAUCUAGUGGAAAAGUCGGCGAAGUCGGCGGCCGAACUCACUGAAAAUUUUGUUGUAGUUCUCACCCCACUAUUUCCAUAGAGCUGGGACCGAGUGAGCCGGUCGACGAUCGCGGUAAAGGUAUCGCGCCUUAGACAAAGACCACCCGAGUGGGUUUAUAAUUGUUUAGUUGCAUACCCUUAUGUCAUCUUUUGUAUUUGAUGAUGUAAGUAGGAUGAAUGAUAUAAAUAUGAUAAAUAAUGUAAAGAGAGCUUAAGUUUAAAUGUAAGAAGCUUAUAUUUUGGAAAAUCAUGUGAUGUAAAAAGAAAUGAUGAAAAGAAUGUAACUGUACAAGUUGAAUGCAUGUAUGUGGUUAAAAGUUAAUCAUAUUACUUGUAUGUUGUUUAGUUUAGAAUCUUUCACUUUUGGCUAUUGCUUACCCACGUGCAAGCCAUGUAUGUAUGUUUCCGCAUGUGCAAUCUAUAACUCGAUUUGUACUUGUGUUGAGCCUUGGGCGGACAUGGGAGGUGCUGUCCGUUCGGCGUCUGUUCGACGUGCCUGAACCGACCAAAUAGGAUCGGUCGCGGGGCGUGACAGAUAUAGUGGUAUCAGAGCCUAAAAGUGAAAGUGUAGGAAUGGACCUAGAGUCCCUUAGGAAUGAAAAACCUUAAGGAUUUAGGAAACGUGAGUGACGUAUAAUUAAAGUAUUGCGAAAGCUUUGUGAUUGGGUUAAUGUUAGUAUGUCUCUAAUGUGGUUAGGGGCUAAUCCAAGUUGAUAUUUGUUCUCUACUCCCGGCGUUGUGUCGGGCGACCGACGAUAUAAUGCUUUGGAAUGAGAAUAAAUACACUUGUUUGCUUUCGCCGGAUUGGGUUUGUUUGAGUAUGUUGGUUGUGUAGCUAACGUGAAUUGCUAUUUUUUAGGAAGCGAUGCCUCGUAGUAGACCUCGAACAAGGUCGAUGCCGGAGGAAACGAAUGCGGUGCCCGAGCAAUCCGGAGCAAGUGGCGAUAGGGAGCUUCGGGAGCAAAUUUCCGCACUUAUUGGCGUAGUGCGAUAGUAAGCGGAGUCUAUGCAACGCCAAGGGGAGCAAAUUCAAAGGCUUCAAAAGGCCUUAGAGCGGUAGCAGGCGGCGGCGGCUCAAGUGGGCACUAUGCAACCUGCGCCCCCUGCGGUGGUGCCGACUGUGGUCGAGGGUGUGGCCGCAGCGACCAUCCCAAUCACAGCAGUAGCGGCCGGUUCGGGAACCUCAAAUCCCGAUGGUGCGGCUAUGGAGGCGGAGCGGGAGCGUGCAUUUGCGGCUCUCAUUAUGUUCAAGAAAUUUAGCCCACCUAUGUUCGACGGGGAAAAGGUGGAGCCAUCAAUGGUGGAGGAAUGGAUCGACUCGAUGGAGUCACUCUUUGAGGAUAUAUAUAUACCUUGGAGAAGGACAAGGUUCACCUCGCCACUCAUUGUUUGGAGAAGGCGGCAAAUAUGUGGUGGGAGCGGGUGAAGCGAAAUCGGCCUUCUGACCUUCCGCCUAUGCUAUGGGAGGAGUUUAAGAGGGCGAUAUUCGCGAAUUAAUUCCCCGACACGGUGAAGCGGAAGCUACAAGAUAGGUUUCGCAAGUUGAGACAAGGAGAUCGUUCAGUGACAGAUUUCCAGCAGGAAUUCUCCCACAUUAUCGAUUGUGUCCCGGAUGUUGUGCGGGAUGAUCGGGAUCGGGCCGACUGGUUCUUGCGAGGACUUCGGCCGGAGAUUUGUAAGGCGGUGCAAAUCCUUAAGCUUACGACCUUUGCGGAGGUCUUUGAUCGAGCGUUGUAGGCAGAGCACGGCAACACCUACGCGUGAGAGGAGCGCGAGUCUAUGGCCGAGUCAAGGGACAAAGGAAAGAAGCGGGCGGCGGGUGGUGCCGGGGGCCGACCGAAUGCUAAGAAACCCCCUCAGUAUCCCCGGCAGUAGUCAAAGAAUUGGAGGCCUUCCCAAUGCGUUAUUUGUGGCGGUGAGCACCGACCGUCGGCUUGUCCGAAACGCGAGGAAAAGUGCUACAAGUGAGGCCAAGCUGGGCAUAUAGUUCGAGAGUGCCCAAGUUGGGCGUCGUCUGCACCGACGGCGGCAUCAGUUCUUUCUACCCCGAGACAGCUUGCGGGGUUGCCACUGGCUUUGUCGGCUGGACGCGCAUCAGCGCCGCGUCAGCCGGAAGGAUCUCGAGCACCGAGUGGACAGGAUUUCGCCACUCAGGUGGAGGAGCCUGCAAUACCAGAUGAUGCCGUGGCAAGUAUUAUUUUGAUCAAUGGCACUAGAGCUAGAGCUUUAUUUGACACAGGUGCAUCUCAUUCAUUCAUCGGUGCAUCGUUUGCUAAAACUCAUGGCAUUGAAGUAUUAUAUAGCCCAGAUUAUUGGUGGGUAAAUGCACCAGAGCAUUCAUUUAGCGUUCACGAAGAGUACUUGGCUUGUCCAGUUCAUAUAGGUGAUUAGAUUAUGCCGACAGAUUUGCUAGUGCUAAAUCAAAUGUGGGGCUUCGAUAUGAUCUUGGAGAUCGAUUGGCUUUCCAAGUACUAUGUGGAUAUCGAUUGUGAAAGUUGGUCUAUCGUGCAUGUCAAAGCUCGCGCUUCGCGGCGACGGUAUCGGCGACGAGGGCGAGAAAGAUGAUCAAAGGGAGAUGUGUGGCCUAUUUGGCGACAAUGGUAGAGACUCAAAGGGAGUACCCUAAACUUGAGAAUAUUUGAGUAGCAUGUGAGUUUCCGGAUGUAUUUCCAGCGGAGUUACCGGGAUUGCCAUCGAACCGGGAUAUCAAAUUCGUCAUUGAUUUGAUUCCCGGGGCAGCGCCAAUUUUGAAGACUCCGUAUAGAAUAGCACCGGCGUAGUUAGUGGAGCUAAAGGCCCAAUUACAAGACUUGCUUGAUAAAGGCUUUGUGAGGCUGAGCGUGUCACCGUGGGGAGCUCCGAUGCUAUUUGUAAAGAAAAAGGAUGGCACACUUCGACUCUGCGUGAAUUAUCGCGAGUUAAACAAAGUGAUAAUCAAGAAUAAGCACCCGUUGUCGAGGAUUGAUGAUUUGUUCGAUCAGUUGCAAAGGUCGUGGGUAUACUCAAAGAUUGAUCUUCAGUCGGGGUAUCAUCAGUUAAAGAUCCGGCUAAAGGAUGUGCACAAAACGGCGUAUCGUAUGCGGUAUGGCCACUACGAGUUCACGGUAAUGCCGUUUGGGCUUACGAAUGCCUCUACAGCGUUUAUGGACUUGAUGAAUCCAGUCUUUCGACCGUUGUUGGACCGAUGCGUCGUAGUGUUCAUUGACGACGUGUUGUUUUAUUCUCGAAGUAAGGAAGAACACGAGGAGCAUUUGAGGACCGUAUUACAAAUACUCCGAAAAGAGAAGUUUUAUGCCAAGUUGAAGAAAUGUGACUUUUGGCUUUCGGAUGUCACUUUCUUAGGCCAUGUGAUAUCUGGUGCUGGUGUCUCGGUGGAUCCGAAGAAAGUAGAGGCAAUUAAAGAUUGGCCUCGCCCGACAAGUGUUGCGGAGGUCCGCAGUUUUCUUGAACUUGCGGGAUACUACCGGCGAUUCAUGGAGAGGUUUGUUAAAAUAACUACUCCACUAACGCGCCUUACGCACAAAGGAGUGAAGUACGUGUGGAGCGACGACUGUGAUCAGAGCUUCAAGGAGUUAAAGGAAAGGUUGACAUCGACCCCGAUACUUGCUUUGCCGACUCCGGGGAAGAGCUUCGUGGUGUACAGUGAUGCCUCGUAUAUUGAUCUCGGAUGUAUUUUGAUGCAAAAUGGGCGAGUCAUCACAUAUGCUUCUCGCCAAUUAAAGAGUUAUAAAAAGAACUAUCUGAUUCAUGACCUCGAGCUAGCCGCAGUGAUAUUCGCGCUGAAGUUGUGGAGGCAUUACUUGUACGGUGAGCAUUGUGAGAUUUACACAGAUCAUAAGAGUCUCAAGUACUUGUUCAUCCAAAAGGAAUUGAAUAUGCGACAGCAGCGGUGGUUAGAGUUGUUAAAGGACUACGAUGUCACUAUUCUAUACCACCCCGGAAAAGCAAAUGUCGUGGCCGACGCAUUGAGUAGAAAGUCGGUAAAAAAUUUGGCCUCGGCAAUUACACCUCAACCGUCAUUGCAAAAAGAGAUGCAAUGGUUUGGUCUUGAAGUAGUGGCUCCGGGAGUGCCGACUACUCUUGCCGCAUUGGUUGUGCAACCGACCUUAUUGGAGAAGAUUAAAGAGCUACAAGCUUCCGAUCCAUAUCUCCAAAAGGUGCGGGGUGAAGUUGAGAGCGGUAGUACUGAUGAUUUCAGCAUUGGAACCGAUGACGCAGAUUGAUUCAGAAAUCUUUGGUGUGUACCUAAAGACGAGGACAAUCAAAAGACGAUUAUGCAAGAAGCGCAUCAAUCUCCCUAUAGCAUUCAUCCGGGCGGCACUAAGAUGUACCAAGACCUGAAAGUGCAUUAUUGGUGGCCGGGCAUGAAGAAAGAUAUUGGGAAAUUCGUGUCGCAAUGUCUCACGUGCAAACAAGUAAAAGCGAUGCGCCGGUUUCCUACGAAAAAAUUGCAAAGCCUAUCAAUACCCGUGUGGAAAUAGGAAGAUAUCACAAUGAAUUUUGUGACCGGUUUGCCUCGCUCUCAAGACGGACACGUUGCAAUUUGGGUAAUAGUUGACCGAUUGACGAAGUCGGCCCACUUCUUGCCGAUCCAUACCACGUGGUCCGGAGACAAAUUGGCUCAAGUAUAUCUCGACAAGGUUGUGAGACUAUAUGGGGUUCCGGUGUCUAUUGUAUCGGAUCGAGACCCUAGGUUCACGUCUUAUUUUUGGAAGUGCUUGCAAGACGCUUUGGGCACACGGCUUGACUUUAGCACGGCAUUUCAUCCUCAAAGUGAUGGCCAAUCGGAGAAAACAAUGCAAAUUCUUAAGAAUAUGCUUCGGGCGUGUGUACUCGACUAUAAAGGAGGAUGGCACGACUAUUUACCGAUGGCGCAGUUCGUAUCCAACAAUAGUUAUCAAGAAAGUAUUGCGAUGGUGCCAUUCGAGGCCCUUUAUGGAAAGAAGUGUCGCUCUUUUAUUCAUUGGAGCGAUGUGGGCAAAAGAGUUGCUCUUGGUCCCGAUAUAGUGCGGAAGGCGAAAGAGAAAGUUCGCCUUGCCCGCGAGCGACUUGCGACAGCACAAUCUCAGCAAAAAAGCUAUGCUGAUAAGCGUCGUAAAGAUUUAGAGUUCGUGGUUGGAGACCAGACCGCGUGUUCUUGAAAGUAUUACCUAUGCGAGGUGUAAAACGAUUUGGGGUCCGUGGGAAGCUAAGUCCCCGGUAUGUUGGGCCAUUUGAGAUAUUGGAGCAGGUCGGUGCGAUGGCGUACAAGGUUGCAUUACCACCGAGACUUGCGGGAGUCCACAAUGUGUUUCAUGUGUCAAAUCUCCACAAGUAUAUCCGCAAUUCAUCUCACGUGUUGGAGUAUGAACCGGUGGAGUUGAGAGAGGAUAUGACUUAUGAGGAAUAUCUUGUGUGUAUUCUCGAUCGAGAGGAAAGGAAAUUGCGAAGCCGUACAAUUCCAUAUGUUAAAGUCCAGUGGAGCAACCAUGCAGUGCGUAAAGCCACUUGGGAGCUUAAGGAGACAAUGCAAAAAGCACAUCCUCACCUAUUCGAGUCAACAAGCUAAGGUAUAUAUGUGUUAGUUUCGCGGACGAAACUAUUUUUAAAGGGUGGAGAAUGUAAUAUACUGAAACUUCGGUAAACUAUAUCGAACUUUAGUCAAGUUGACCAAAGUGUGCGAGAAAAAUAAUUGGACAAAGUCCAUUUGGCAUUCCAACAAUGUUGGAAGGGCUAGAGUUGAGUUCCGAGUGAGAUUUACAGGUUUUAGCAUUGCCCGGCGCGAAAUGAAGCCAAGCUGCCAAAACUGCAAGUUUGGGGGUCUGCUUAACCGGUGAAGCCCCAGGGGCGUACCUGUCGCGCCCCGCAACCGCCGAUUUGGUUGAUUCAGGCAUGUCGAACAGAUGUCGAACGGACAGAGUCUUCCCUGUCCGCCCAAGGCUAAACAACAAGAUCAUGUACAUACAAAGUUGCCCAGAAAAAACUUAACAACAUACAUAAUCUAAGCAAGUAAUAACAUACAAGCAUACAAGAGAGCAAAAGAGAGAGAGUUCUAACUAUUACAUUUGUCAUCCAACAUUUUACAUAAUUGAUUACAUUUCCAUCUCCCAAAAUGUAUGAAUAAAGUUUACAAGUUCAUCUCAUCAUAUAUACAUAACUCCCAAAAUACAUCUACAUCACAUGUGAACUGUGUACACGAGGGUACUCUAAUGCAAAAUGGAAGUUAAUAGCUACUAGGGCGCUAUACCCUUACCGCGGUCCUCGCCCGGUCUGCUCAAACUCGGCUCUACAACAAAGUGGAGUGAGAACUACGAAUAGUUCCCAGUGGGUUCGGCCGCCGACUCCGCCGAUCUUCCCACUAGGUCUAAGCAGACAUAAGCAGAUAGAUAGAUAGAUAUGAAAUCAACUGCUAUAGUAACAAAAUCUGCAAAUGUUCUAUUAUGCCUCAAUCAAUAUGAAUGUAUGAAAGAACUAUAUAGUAAUGAUGUCAACUAUCAUGCUACUAUGUUCAAUAAACUUGUUAUUCAUAUGUCACCCAAUCACUUUGCUAACUCGAAGGUUUACCUACGACUCACAGUGCAAUCCCAUAGGUAAAGAGACCCUCCCACUCGCAAACCCGAGACCGUCUGCUGGACAAGUACGUUAGUCCAUCACGUGAUGACUCCGGAGCUCACUACUUGGGUAAAGCGACCACGCCAAGCGGAAACAGACUAUGUGAGUAUAAUCCAAUCCUCGCCAACUGAGGAUGCCCUACUAACUAGGGCUAAUCAAUCAACACAGGAACUCAACUAUCCCUAAUGUUCAUGUUUAAGUGUUCCAACUACACUAAGUUCACAUGCAACAUAUCACAACCUGGGAAUAUUUAUCUAUCCCUAAUAUUCAAGUUCAAGUGUUUUAUCUACACCAUAUUCAUCAUGCCACUCGUCAUCUAUGUCAUCAAACAUUGUUUAAAUGCCACUCGUUAUGCCACUACACAUAUCAAGUUCUCUACUUGUUUUAACACCAUAGGAUUUUAAUGUCAAGUCCCAAUUCCUUACAUAUAUAUUCACUAUAUCAUGUGUUCAUCCCACAAUACGAUAUCAACUAGAAAAUCAUAUAAGGAAUGAAAAUACAACAAACUAUAAUCCUACAAUGCAUAAAAACACAAGAGAUGCAAGGUCAAUAAUACAAUCUUAGAUAUAAAAGAGAGUUCAACUGCUUCGGGUGGCACCCCCCACCUCUAGGUGAUGUCGCGAUGCUAGGAAUCCGAUUUCACGAUUUUUAGAAGUCGCCUCGGCCCUCCAGGCGAAAACGAAGCUCAAACGGUCUUUUUUCCAAUAUCUUCGCGUAGCCUCGUCGGAUUGUUGAACCGAGGCCACCAACGCGUUAGAAUACCUAGCAAUUAGGUUUAUAUAGGUUCAAUUUAGAUCAAACCCCUACAUUUUGAAAAACCUCCUUUUUGAGCCCUAACAUACUACUAUAGCAAGAAACCCAAUAACCCUUCUUGAUUCAAGCAAAUAGCAUGUUAAUAUCAUCUACGGAGUCCUCUAAAUCCAUUCCUAGAGCAUAAAAAUCAAACCCUCGAAAUCUACCAUUGAUGCUCAAGAAGCUUACCUCCAAAGCUUGCUCCAACGGUGAGGAAGGGGAUGAAGAUGCACUUUUUAGCUUCCUUCUCCACCAAUCCUUCCUCCUCCUUCCCACCUUGAAAAGAGAGAGAAAGAGCGCUUAGAGAGAGAGAGAGCACUCUUUUUAGGGUUGCAAAUAAGAGGGAUGAAGGAAAAUGAGCUCUAAAUCCUUCACUUAACUCCCCUCAUGGCACAAUUGCUGAUAACCCCCUCAAUAAUGCAAUUAGUGCACUGCCCGCAUUGGGCUAUUCGCAGCUACGGGGUCCGGACCCUGUAGCUAGGGUCCGGACCCCGAGAGCAUCCAAAUUCUGCAAUUUUGCAGAAUUGCACAGCUUGCUCUUCAAGGUCCUCUACAACCCACUAAAUGUCGUUUUUAAUGAUUUUUGCCUUUCCGAAGCGCUCCGAACCCACCGCCGAUCGAUUUUGAUCGGCGUUCGGCUUCACGUAUCGAGGUUUCAUUUCCUCACAAUACCGGUACCAGGCAGGCACCCGAGAGUAGUAGCUCUCGGGUUUGGCCUCUGUCAAGUCUGUUAACCGGUGACUAAAUCAGGUAGUACCGGUACUCUGCUGCCACCCGCGAACAGCCAGCUCUCGGGUUGGGCAGUUGAACAGGGGGCGUACCGGUGACGCCCACCCGCUUACCGGUACCCAGUGCUGCGAACAGCAACUGCAGUCUGCUGCAAAUAAAAUGAGUUGGAGGGUUUGCUUGCGAUUGUAGCAGCCUAUAAAAAUACCCCACCUACUCCUCUCUUAUUCACAGCAGUGAGAACACCUUCUCAACCCAUUUUUCUCCCUCUCUCUCUAUAGGAUCUCUUCCCCAAGGUGGAAAGGAGAGAAUUUGAAGUUGGAAUUGGAGGAGAUUUUGGAGAUUGUAAGAUCUAGAGUUCUCCUACAAGGUGGAGCUUAAGGAGUCCAUAGGCUAAGGUAAGGUUUCUUGUAAGAUUGAUGUUAGGAUUUAGUUUUAUACCCUAGAACACUUGGUUUUGAUUUUCUUACAUGAAAGAAAACCUAGUAGAGACCAUGGAACCUCAUAAAACUCCAUAUUGUUCAUGUGCUUUCAUGGUAGAAUCCUAGGGUUUGUUUUAAAUACCCUAAGAAUGGUUUAAAUGACCUAGAAAUAAUUUUAGAGGGAUUCCUAGAUGACAUUAAGCUUGCUUUUGCUUAUCUUAGAUAUCAAAACGGUGUAUGGAGCUAUUUGGCAUUGUUAGGGCACCAAAAUUGGAGCUUUUGCCCUAAGUUGGUUUAAAGGUAAAUUGAUCUUAUAGAAACCAAAUUGGUGAUAUUUCUAACUCGUUUGUGGACUCGGUUCGCCGAUCCGACGAGUCUAUGUAAAGUUAUUGGAGAAAAUGCCUAAUCUAGCUUCGUUUUGCCACAGGCGAGAGAAUAGGCGCCCAAAAAUCACAAAACUUGAAUCGUAGCACCCUAGCAACCAUACGAGGUGGGUGGUGCUUUCCAAAAUCCUUGAAUUUUCUUUUAUGUCUGAAAUGUCAUUUCUUGAACACAUGUAUAUGUUGAGUUUCAUGCAUUGUAGGGUGAUUGAGAUUAUAUUGAUAUGUGUUGUUGCAUGUUGUGAGUACAAACACAUAUGAGAUGAUUGAGAACUUGUAAAACCGUAUGUAUGCAUGAAUGUUGACAAGAACCUAGAAAAGACAAAGAAUCUAGUGGUAUUGAGAAAAAUGAUAUUAUGACAUACGAAUUGUGUGACAUUAGUAAAUAAAAUGAAUGCUAGAAUUGGACUCUUACUUAAGUUGCAUCAAUGAGUUUUGAAUGCUAAGUUGAACACUUAGUGUGCGGCAUUAAUGAAUCAAGAAUGCAUGUGAAUGAGUACAAAGAACAUGUAGUGUAAGUGACACUAAUGAAAGUAGAGAAUGCAAGUAUAUGAGAAAGUUAACAAUUAUGACCUAACAACCUUAUAGUUAAGGGUCAUAUGAGCAUUGCAUACUUAUAGUUAAGGAUUGGAUUGAACUUGGCAUCCUUAUAGUUAAGGAUUGGAUCAUACUCGCCUAUAAGUCUUGGCUCGGAAGGUGAUAGCUCCCCCUCGAGCGAUGAGCUCCGGAGUAGUCAUCACUGAGUUGGAGUCUUCCCAAAGGACGGUACCGUCGGGAGGUAGCUAAGGGCCCGACGCAAAGGGAUUUGAGUUGGUGAGUUUAUUGAGGGCGAAUCUACAGGUUAACCAAGAGAAUUGGAAAUUGGAAAGUGGAUCUUGCAUUCAUCAUGAACAUUCUAUUUGAGCAUAAUUAUUGAUUAUAUCUUGUUCGGGCAUAUUAGUUGUAUUUGUAUAGUUUGAUUACUAUCUAUCUGUUAUUCUUCUAUUAUGCCUGAUUUAGACCUAGUGGAAAAGCGGGCGAGGUCGACGGCUGAACCCACUGAAAACUUUGUUGUAGCUCUCACCCCACUAUUUUCACAGACUCGGGACCGAGUGAGCCGGCCGACGAUCGCGGUAAAGGCAUCGCGCCUUAGACAGAGACCACCCGAGUAGGUUUAUAAUUGUUUAGUUGCAUACCCUUAUGUCAUCUUUUAUAUUUGAUAAUGUUAGUAGGAUGAAUGAUACAAAUGUGAUAAAUGAUGUAAAGAGAGCUUAAGUUUAAAUGUAAGAAGCUUAUAUUUUGGAAAAUCAUGUGAUGUAAAAAGAAAUGAUGAAAAAAAAUAUAACUGUACGUACAAGUUGAAUGCAUGUAUGUGGUUAAAAAUUAAUCAUAUUACUUGUAUAUUGUUUAGUUUAGAAUCGUUCACUUUUGACUAUUACUUGUCUUCAUGCAAGCCAUGUAUGUAUGUUUCCGCAUGUACAAUUUAUAUACUCGAUUUGUACUUGUGUUGAGCCUUGGGUGAACAGGGAAGGUGCUGUCCGUUCGGCGUUUGUUCGACGUGCCCGAACCGAUCACUAAAAAUCUAAUAAAAUCCAACAACAUGCGCAUGUCCAUUAUUCCAUUUAGCAAACAAAAAAGCUAAAAUUCUAUUUCUCUAUCAUGCAGCUAAAUUUCAUUUGAUUUAAUUAUUUUAUAUAAUACAUGCAAGUAAAUUUAAGAAACUAAUGACAAAAGGCAGAUCAAACCCUUUAUUUUAUUGACAAUUUGCUCCUAUCUGACUUUAGCAUUAUGAGACCUCACUAUGCUUUUCGGGAUUAGCCCUUAUAUUUGAUCAAGUCGCACUUGAUCCCUCCACCCAAUCUGUGGGGUGUGACUUUGGUCUGAUUUCUUUUUUUGGAAAUUAAACAAACAUAAAAGAUGUCACUUUUCAUAAAAUAUCACUUUUUAGAAGCACAAUAUUUUCUUCUUGUGGCCAACCAAACACCAUCUUGGGCGUGAAGAUGCUCAACUUUGCUUUUCGAGCUUAGUCCGCGAUGUUCUUUUUUUCUUUCUUCAUACCUGAGAAAACUGUGCAGGAAGAUAAUGCUAAUCACAAUAAGAUAGAAAACUAUGGCUUAUCUUUUACUAAUUUGUAGCCAUCUUAAAGGGCAUUCUAUCAUACAAUAGAGAUUUUACCAAGAAUCAUGACAUAUCAAAGAGUAGAAGUCACCAAUUUUGUCUAUCAAGUAUUAACUCCAUGCAUGCUUGCUCAUGUCUCACCAUGCGCAGCAUUACAAUACCAUAGGCUAGGGGUCAAAAUUUGCUCAGUAGCUCACUAGGUUCUUCAUGUCCAAAAAUAUUGCCUAGUGGGCAAGUUUGAAAAAUAUUCACUAAUUAAAAUUAGAAAUUAACAAUAAGCACCAACCAUACCUAGUGUAGCUAAUUAAGGAUUUAAUAAUUGGUAUCCAAGCUUCCACAUUCAAAGCUUAGUUCUUCACAUUUUUAAGUUCAUUUCUAAAAAAUUAAAUAAAGCUAAUGGCUUAGUUGAGUGGCUAUUAUUUGGAUCGCGGUCGAUGAGAUUGGAGAUUUAAUUCUACUUGUCAUUUCACAAAAACUUUUUUGGUUAAAAAUAGGAAAUACGUACGUACGGAGUAGAAGCCUAUAGCCAAACAAGAAUAAAUAAUAAUAAUAAUAAAAUAAUUAUGGUCAACAUUGUUGAAUCAUUCAUUUCAUAUCCAUAUGAGAGUUGGAAUGGUUUUGUAGUAAUUUAGCACAUCUCACAUCAAAUACUUGUCCUCAUAUUCAAAUUUUGUCUCGGACACCAUGCACGAGCUAGUUCUACAAGUCUCAAGCUUUUGAUGCUUAAUUUAAUCAUUGUCACUCCCUACACUGUUUGAACGUUCGAAGAAAUAAUAUAUACAAAUUUUUUUUUAAUGGUACGAUAUAGGGAUUUAAUUUUAGCUUCUUGUUAUGUUUUUCAGCUAUAGCUUAGUAGGAUAGGGUAAGUCUUUCUAGAUAGUUGAACUUACUCCUUAUCUACCAGAUGAGGAUCAAAAUGACAACCUUAGAGGGGGGGUGAAUUAGGUUUAAAAUAAAAAUUCAAAUAAUCAAGCAAAUUAAAAACGCGAUGCAAAUAAAAGUGAGGAGUUUAAAGAAAUGCAAACUCAAAAAGCAUAUAAUCGAUUUGUUUCGAGGUUCGGCACUUUGCCUACGUCCCCGCCAACCUUUCAACACUAGAGAAUGUUAGAUCUCCACUAGAUGAUGCUUUUGCGGGCAAGCAGCAAGCCUUCACACCAACACCUUCUUCUUUCAAGCUUCAAGACUUUACUUUUCUCUCUUUUUACAAAAUUAAAUCUCACUACAAAUUUCACUCAAGUAUAGAGAGAAAAUUGAGAGCUAAGAGUAUUAGAGACACUGAAUUUUUAAGCUCAAAAUGAACUAUCUAGUUGCUCAUGAGAAAGGCCUCAAUACCAUCUAUUUAUAGCUUCGGGCAGCUUUUGUCCGUUGUACUUUCGGGCGGCCUAAAUCUGUUUCCGGGCGCCCAGAAGUUGUGCACGCCAGCUGCCUGUCAGACCACGUGUGCCGCUUUUCUUGACUUUGUAUGUUCGAGCCGUCAAAAGUUGUGGGCGCCCAGAACAUGAGGAACAGCUUUUCUGACACGCGCCGCUUCCUCUGGAUUUGGGCCGUCAGAAAUUGUAGGCGCCCACAUCUCGAGGGACAACUUUUUCUGACAGCCGGAUUUUUCUGGAUUCGGGAUCAUUUUGGACUUCCAGAAGAUGUGGGUGCCCAGAUUUUCAACGCGCGCGCCGCCUGCGUCAGAAUUUGUUGGGCUGAUACGCAAUCUGUCAAGUCAAACACUUUCGGUCGCCCUAAACUGAAAUUCGGGCGACCAGAUCCGGUAAAGAAGUUUCUGGACCACUCGAACAGCAAACAGGCGAGAUCCAAAAAGUCUCAUAAGAUUCGGAUCCACUUUAGGGCGCCCAGAACAGGGUCCAGAAAUCGCAACUUGACAUAACACAGAUUUUGAGUAGUUUUUGAAUAUUUAAAAAUCCUAUGCACCUAAUCAAAAGUUAGAAAAUAUUUAAGUGAUCUAUAAGGUGAUAAGAUGAAUAGUUUUAAACUUAGCUCAAAAUUUCUCAUUCUAAUAGAGCAUCAAAUAAGGCCGGAAUAGAGAGAGUGAGUUUGUCUUUUUCACAAAGUAAGCAUGGUAUAACUUCAAGUGGUGAGGCUCGGUGCUAGAAGAUUGCCCAUUUUGAGUCUUUUUUUGAAGAUAUAAAGAUCUAAAAUACAAAAACUCAAGAUAAAGAAUUAGUCCAAUCAUCGUAAUUAUUUGUUAUCAUCAAAAUCUAAUAAAAGAUUAAGGCCACUAGACCAACACCAGAUACUAUAAAUUUUAUAAACAAGUAAAAAAGAUGUACUAAAAGAAUAUUCAUACAUCUAAACAUGCUAGGCCCUAAUCUCGAGUUAAGCAAAAUCGUUAAUCGAUUUAUAGAUGUUUAAUUCGAAAAGAUGACUAUAUUCCUUCUGAAUCAGAUAGACUCGUAUCGAAAAGAAGAACCUUGCCAAUCAAGUCAAUCCUUUAGCCGAAAAUUUCUUAUAAUUUUUGUUCUCAAAAUGUCUCUUCAUUUUCUUCACAUGCGGGCGAGCGCACACACAUAUAUAUAUGUCAUCUACUAUACUAUUGAUAGUGUAUAAAUAGUGUCCUUAGUAUUCCACCAACCCCCACUAAAUCUUAGAUCAAAAAGUUGAUAGUUAACACUAUUUUCAUACUAUCAAAAUUAUUCCAACCACAUUUUAUAUAUAUUUAUAUAUAUAUAUAUAUAUAGAGAGAGAGAGAGAGAAAUAGAAAACUGAGCUAGAAUACUAUCACAAGCUCGUUAGGGACUAUCACUAGGAUUAGAAAACACGAAAGUACUAAAACUUGUUGGAAAACAGUGACGAAAUGAUUUGGAGAUGACUCUUCNUCAACAUUGUUGAAUCAUUCAUUUCAUAUCCAUAUGAGAGUUGGAAUGGUUUUGUAGUAAUUUAGCACAUCUCACAUCAAAUACUUGUCCUCAUAUUAAAAUUUUGUCUCGGACAUCAUCCACGAGCUAGUUCUAAAACUCUCAAGCUUUUGAUGCUUCAAUCAUUGUCACUUCCUACACUGUUUGAACGUUGGAAGAAAUAAUAUAUAAAAAUUUCUUUUUUAUGGUACGAUAUAGGGAUUUAAUUUUAGCUUCUUGUUAUGUUUUUCAGCUAUAGCUUAGUAGGAUAGGGUAAAUCUUUCUACAGAGUUGAACUUACUCCUUAUCUACCAGAUGAGGAUCAAAAUGGCAACCUAAGAGAGGGGGUGAAUUAGGUUUAAAAUAAAAACCCAAAUAAUCAAACAAAUUAAAAACCCGAUGCAAAUAAAAGUGAGGAGUUUAAAGAAAUGCAAACUCAAAAAGCACACGAUCGAUUUGUUUCAAGAUUCGGCACUUUGCCUACGUCCCCGCCAACCUUUCAACACUAGAGAAUGUUGGAUCUCCACUAGAUGAUGUUUUUGCAGGCAAGCACCAAGCCUUCACACCAACACCUUCUUCUUUCAAGCUUCAAGACUUUGCUUUUCUCUUUUUUUACAAAAUUAAAACUCACUACAAAUUUCACUCAAGUAUAGAGAGAAAAUUAAGAGCUAAGAGUAUUAGAGACACUGAAUUUUUAAGCUCAAAAUGAACUAUCUCGUUUCUACUGAGAAAGGCCUCAAUACCAUCUAUUUAUAGCUUCUGACACGCGCCCUAAAGUGGUACUCAAAAGAUGUACUAAAAAAAUAUUCAUACAUCUAAACAAGCUAGGCCCUAAUCUCGAGCUAAGCAAAAUCGUUAAUCGAUUUAUAGAUGUUUAAUUCGAAAAGAUGACUAUAUUCCUUCUGAAUUAGAUAGACUCGUAUCGAAAAGAAGAACCUUGCCAAUCAAGUCGAUCCUUUAGCCGAAAAUUUCUUAUAUUUUUUGUUCUCAAAAUUUCUCUUCAUUCUCUUCACAUGCGGGCGAGCGCACACACAUAUAUAUAUUUCAUCUACUAUACUAUUGAUAGUGUAUAAAUAGUGUCCUUACUAUUCCACCAACCCCCACUAAAUCUUAGACAUCCGAGGAUCAAAAAGUUGAUAGUUAACACUAUUUUCAUACUAUCAAAAUUAUUCCAACCACAUUAUAUAUAUAUAUAUAUAUAGAGAGAGAGAGAGAGAGAGAGAGAAUUGAGCUAGAAUACUUGACAAGCUCGUUAGGGACUAUCACUAGGAUUAGAAAACACGAAAGUACUAAAACUUGUUGGAAAACAGUGACGAAAUGAUUUGGAGAUGACUCUUCAACCCAGAAGGGGACAUGCCAUGCAUAAAGUCCAAGCCCCAAAUCCACCCUGUUAAGAGAUGGAUUGGCCACCGAAACCUACAUCGCAGCACAUGGGCAUGAGACGGCAUGCAUGCAUACUUUGAACACCAAAAAGUAAUGCUUAUUGCAUACGCACACGAACUUAUCAGAAGCUGACUUUUUUAACUUCAAACAAAAAUGCACUUCACCAACUUGUAGUGGGUGACAAGGACGUUGAUUCACUACCCACAAAAAAGCAAGGGAUCAGUAUAAUCAAAUACAAUGUAUCCAUGUCAGAGACGAGCCCCAAGCAUACAUCAGUACCUUCCUUUUUCCCCUCUGGUAUAACCUUUUCGCGUGGAUUAGUCAUGUUGUUAUAGCUAGUGUUGCCACAAGGCGCAUGCAUGCAAUGGGAUCGUCUCAAAGUGCUCUAUUGUGACUAAAUUAAAGAGAGAAAGUUACAUCACUAAUUAACUAUCAUAUAUAAUAGCAUGUAAAUUGAGGAGGUACCAAACUAUAUGAUGUUGAUGUCGAUGGUAUUACUUGGAAGGCACUAUUGGUUUCUUUUUACCCGAAUUAGGAAAAGGAUUAGCAAAAAUCAUGCAUGCUAUAUACACAUCCACUUGUGAACUUGGCAAAAUCCUACCAUGCAUGGACCACUUUCUAAAUUGAACCUAGCUAGUUCAUCAAUUAAUUGCAUUCGCCCAAUGGGAAGUGCAUGUGGCAGUGUACAUGGAUGCAUGCGGGAGGGCCAGGCAUUCACUGAAUAUAUGGAGGAAUUAGGUAAAAGAGUCUGUCUUAAAAAGUGGAUUAAAUCAACAUAGUGGGUAAAAAUUAGGUCAAAGAGGAAGAAUCAAGUGGAUGACAGUAAAAUAUUUGCUAUUAAUUUGCUAGUUAAAGAUCAGAACUUCCGUCACGCACUCCGGCUCAAGCCAAAAAGUAAUAAGUUGCAACUUUGGCUCCUCUUAAUCUGUAGGGACAGUUUCACAAAUACCUUCCCAAGAGACUCUAAUUUUAUUAAUGCCUUUUAAACGUCUAAAACUUUUUCUUAAUAAACAACGGGCCGGAUUGAUCGAUUUUUUAUAUCCAUUUUAACCCUUAAAAUUAGGAGCUGAAAGAUAAGCAACAUCAUCAGAGAAUUAAACUUCAUAAUUUUUCUUAUUUUUUUUAUAAUAAAGAGUUAAAACAAAAUAUCAAUAUUAUAACAAUUUAGCAAGAAAUAUUAAGAAAAAAAAUCAUGUUACAAGUUAUAAAACAACAGACUAUAUACUAAAGGAGACAGAAAAAUAUAAGAAGAACAUGCAUGGAUCACUAGAUAAUCUUAUAUAUAGCGAUUUAGCUAGGGAUAAAAAAAAUCACUAUACCACUGGCUUAAAUAGUGUUUAACCUCAACCCAAAUAUUUAAGAUUACGGUUUACUAACAUAAUCAAUUAAUACAGGAAUUAUCUUAUGGUGAUUUAGCUAGAUGUGAAACCACACCUUCCGUUCCUAGCACACGUGGUAAAUAAUUUGAUUGUUGAUACUCAAUGUCGAGGCCUAAUUAAUUACUUCAUAUUUCAAGCUAAGUUUUUUCUUUCUUUUUUUUUUUAAAGAAAAAAAAUAGCAAUUAACCGCGACCCAAAUAAGAUUACGGUUUUCUAACAGCAGUUAAGAGUAUGGAGGAUUAUCAUGUUAUAGAUUGCUAUCUUUACAGUUGUAUGCAUGAAAUUUGAAAUUAUUAUCCUUAAUUUGUAUAAACCUUCAUAAAAAACAAAAAAUAAAUUGUGGCAAUCUUCAGCUCUAUGUGCUAAUUGGUUUCAUAGCAUUCACCCCAUAAUAUUCAAUUUCCGCAAUAAUUUCUUAUAAGAUUAUCUUCGAAAGCAAUCUAACAUUAUGUAUUUAGCUAUAGUAACUGUAGUCCCAUCUAGGCGUUACGGACGCUGACACGGAAUAUAGAACAUGACAUGAUUUGGACAAGGUAACUCGGUAUUUUUUUUCAAAAAUUAGAAGACAAACACAGCAUGGACACCGCUAAUAAAAUAUAAUAUUAUUAGCAUAAUAAUAUUAUAUUUAUUAUAUAUAAAAUAUUAAUUUUGAUAAAAUAUUAUUAUAUUUCUCAUACGAAUAAAAGCUAGUAAAAUUUUCAAUAAUAGUUAAUAUAUCUUAAGAAAAAAAAAUUUCUACCAUACAUUAUUCAUAUAUAUUAUCAAAAAAAAAAAAAAUUAUAUGCAUUCACUACAACAAAAUAUGUUUUAGACGGCCCUUUUUAGACGAUGCUUUACUCUAGCGUGUUCAAUAAUUAGAAUGUACGCCGACACCAUGAUUAAGCAUCACUAAUAAAUUUUUUUUUAUCAAAUACUAAUAAAAAUUUUACGACCCUAUAUUAAACCGUUAGUAUAUUUAUUCCGACAUAUUUACUUAACAACUCUUUGCACGAGGCUUUUAGAUGCAUUAGGGUUAUUUUUGUCGACGCUUUAAAGUGUUGCUAGUUAUUGUCUAAAGUGUUCUUAAGUGCAAAAUUAUUGUAUUGAUUUAUCAAAAAUCUAAAAUAUUUAUAAUCUUACAUUAUUUAUACAUAAAGAAAAUAAAAAUAUGCAUAUAUAUUUUUUAAAAAUUUUAUAUGUUAUGAAUUGGUUUCAAACGCGGAUCUAAAAACUGUCUAAAUGGAAUACGUAUCUGAUAUGAACACACGAGACAUAAAAGUAUCCAUGGUCCAUAGAGUCCCAUGUUGUCACGUGGAAAGUUCAUGUUAUAUAUGGUGUCUUCCACUGGUGUCUUCCACUUAUGAUGGCUUGGUUGGAGAGAAAACUGAUGGAUAAACGACGUUUGGUUAGCACAUAUACCAGCUGGAGAAAUUGGACCGCAAGGUUCUUUUCAAGAUUGUACUAAAUUAUGUUGGGGCAAAAAAUAUCAAAUUACAUAAAAUAAUUAUUAUUCUCUUAUAGCAUAAUUUACUAGAGCACAAUAUUUUUUAAUAUUUAUAUUCAACUCAGAACAUUCUACUUUAAUAUUAUAUUAAAUUUUGUAAAACAAUCAUUGUGCUCCAAUAACUUAGACUAUCAAAUAAUAAUAUUUUUAACAUUUAUAUUUAAUAAAAAAAUACCUUUUUAUCUAUAUUAUUAUAUUAAAAAAUAUGUAAUUUAAAAAAUAAAUUUAUCAUCAUACUCACUUUUGACCGAAAUAGAAAAAUUGUUUUCUCACAUAGCUUGCAUUAAAGCCAACGGAAGCUGAACAUCUUAAAUUGCACUUUUUUCUAUUUUUUAAAUAUCUCCCCUUCCACUACUAGAAAAAAUUGCACUUAAUGAAAAAAAAAUUCUCACAUUAAUGCUUCAAACCACGUCUUUUGGCUUAAAGGGACCGCCACCAUACCUUAUUGUGGGAGACCGGGCUGGCUUAAUGACGCUUGAAAUAGCAGAAGACCGGGUUAGACCGAGUUAUGUUCCAAAGGGCAGGACGUCGAGUUGGGCCAAUUGAGAUCCGUGGGUACUAUGUCUUUAUGCUUUACAGUAAGUCGAAUUUGUUAAACAUUAAAUAUGCCAAAAAAAAAUCUAAUAUAUGUAUUGCUAUACUUCCAAAAUGAAACCAAAAAGUCCAAAAUAAAAUCUACUCUCUUGGCUUAAAGAGUGGUGUUUUUAAUUCUUGCUCAAAUUUUAUUUUGACCUCAUAUUUCACCUUCAGCUGCCUACAAAAGAAAACAAAUAUUAGAACAAUAUUACUAGAUAUAUUUUAUUUUUUAUUUUUCCUCUCAACUCCCUUCCAAGUAAGUUCUGUCUAGCUACAAGCUAAUUUCUGCCAUAUUUUUUGCAUAAAAAUCUCUCUUUUCUUAGAAAUAUAACACUAAAAAUCCGAUUGCGAUCAAUUGAUUUAACAAAUUUUGUGAUGUAAAUUAGAACUAAGUUAUAGAAAAGCACUAAAGAAAUCUAGAAAUUGCUAAAGAAAAAGAAGAAAAAAUAUCCAAUUUGGAAGCUUGCGAGGGAUUGUUCUAAAGUGUAUUUCUGUCCUUCAUGCGUUAUUAAUCAAAAACAUCACCCCAAGAUACAACUGAGAUUACUCCUCCUAUGAUCAUAGCAUUGACAGAGAUUAAUAGUGAUUCUAUCACCAUUUAGGCAGUACAGGCCGAGAAAAUCAGAAGAGAGAGAUGAAGAAAUUUUUUUUUUUUUUUGUGUAAAAGAUAAGAGAAUGGAAGGGGGAGAGAUAUAAAUAGUGAUAUUAGAAUGAAUGUUGGGCAACAUUGGACCCACAUUCCCAUAGCCACGCGAGAGAUGCGAAUUAAAGUUUUUCCCCCUAAAAAGAGAAAGAAAAUAUUAAAAAAUAUUUUUUAAUUCCCAUUCUUUCCAUAAGCAUGCGAGAGAUGCGAAUUAAAGAUUUUCCCCCAAAAAAAGGGAAAUUGAAAAUUUUAAAAUAUUCUUUAAUUCUCAUCCAUCUUAAAGUUUGAUUUUUUUUUUUUUAUCUCCUUCCACUACCGGAAAAACUUGCAUUUAAUGAAAAAAAAAAUCUCUCAUUAAUAUUUGGAAUCACAUCUUUUGGCCUAAAGGGACUGGCACCCUACAUUAUAGUUGGAGGCCGGGUUGGGCUUAAUUACGCUUGAAAUGGCAGAAAACCAGAUUAGACCGAGUUAUGUUCUAAGUAGCGGGAGGUCGGAAUAGGCCAAGUCAUAAUUGAGAUCCGUGAAUACUAUGUCUUUACGCUUUACCGCAAGCCAAAAUUGUUAAACAUCAAAUAUACCAAAAAAUCUAAUAUAUGUAUUGCUAUACUUCCAAAAUGAAACCAAAUUUAAAAGUCGAUAAUUAACUCUACUUUCUUGGCUUAAAGAGCGAUGUUUUUUAUUCUUGCUUAAAUGUCAUCUUGACCGCAUAUUUCACCUUCAGUUGCCUACAAAAGGAAACAAAUAUUAGAACAAUAUUAUAGAUCUAUUUUAUUUUUUAUUUUCCCUCUCAACUCCCUCUGAAGAACAUCCUGUCUACAAGCUAAUUUCUGCUAUAUUUUCCGCGAAAACGUUUCUCUUCUAUUAGAAAUAUAACACUAAAAAUUCGAUUGCAAUCAAUUGAUUUAACAAAUUUUGUGAUAUAAAUUGGAACAAAGUUAUAGAAAAGCACUAACGAAAUCCAGAAAUUGCUGAAGAAAAGAAGCAAAAAAUGUCCAAUUUGGAAGUGUGCGAGGGAUUGUUCUAAAGCGUAUUUCUAUCCUUUGUGUAUUAUUAAUUAAAAACACCGUUCCAAAAUACGACCGAAAUUACUUCUUUUAUGAACAUAGCCAUGACAGGGAUUAAUGAAGAUUCUAUCACCAUCUAGGCAGCACAUUUAGAGAGAAGCGGAAGAGAGAGAGGGAUGCCAAUUCCCAUAACCAUGUGAGAGAUGCGAAUUAAAGCUUUUCCUCUAAAAGGAAAAAGGAAAAUAUUUAAAAUAUUCUUUAAUUCCCAUUCUUCCCAUAACCAUGCGAGAGAUGCGAAUUAAAGCUUUUCCUCUAAAAAGAGAAAGGAAAAUAUUUAAAAUAUUCGUUAAUUCUCAUUCUUCCCAUAAGCAUGUGAGGGAUGCCAAUUAAAGCUUUUUUCCAAAAAAGAUAAAUUAAAAUUUUAAAAUAUUCUUUAAUUCUCAUUCAUCUAAAAUUGUGAUUUUUUUUAUUGGGUUACUUGCAUACACGUCCCUACAAACAUAGUGAAUUACAAAAAUAUCCCUGCAAAACGGAAACUCCAUAAGUUAUCCCUGCAACAGUCUAAAGUUAUACAGAUAUGUCCCUGCCGUUAAGGACUGUUAGAAAAUUUUCGUUAACCGCGGUUAAAAUACUUAACAAUGGUUAAUUAUAACAUGAAUUUACGGUUCUACCCUUCUUCUUCUUCCUCCUCUUCUUCUUCCCUCUUCUUCGUCGCCGGCAAGAGCAGCGGCGGCGGCGACGACGGCGGCGACGGCGAACCCUCUCUCUUUCUUUACCUCCUUUUUCCUCUCCCUCUUCCCUUUUCUCCCUUUUUCUUCCUCUCCCUCUUCCUCUUCCCUCUUCUUCAUCGCCGGCAAGGGAGAAGAUGCGACGGUGGCGGCGAACCCUCUCCCCUCCCUCUUCUUCUUCCUCUCCUUCUUUCUUUUCCUCAUCCUUUUCCUCUUCCCUCUUCUUCGUUGCAGGCGAGGGAGGAGAUGCGGCGGCGGCGCGCGGCGACAAACCCUUUCCCUCUUCAUCUUUCUCUUCCCUCUUCCUCUCCUUCUUCCUCUUCCCUUUUCUUCUUCCUCUCAUUCUUUCUCUUCCCUCUUCUUCGUCGCCGGCGAGCUCGACCCGCGCCGUCACCGCCAUCCGCUCUGGCGGCCCGAAGAGGAAGAGGAAGAGAAAGAGAAGGGGAAGAUGAUACUUUUGGAGCGAUAUAUUUGUGAGGGCAAAAUGGUCAUUUCACAAGAAAAUUGUUAAAAAAUAAACAGUUUUCUAACAGAUGUUAAUCAGAGGGACAUAUCUGCAUAAAUUAGGACUUUUGCAGAGACAACUUAUGGAGUUUCCAUUUUGCAGGGAUAUUUCCACAAUUCACUAUGUUUGCAGGGACGUGUCUGCAAAUAACCCUUUUUUAUUUCUUGAAUCUCCCUCCUUUCACCACCGAAAAAAGUUGCAUUUAAUGAAAAAAAAAAUUUCUCUCAUUAAUGUUUGAAAUCACGUCUCUUGGCUUAAAGGGACUGGCACCCUACUUAUAUUUGGAGGCCGAGUUGUGCUUAAUUACGCUUGAAAUGGCGGAAAGCGGGGUUAGACCACGUUAUGUUCAAAAUGGUAGAAUGUUGGGUUAGGCCAAGUAUUUUGGGCCGAUAGUUCGGCCUAAUUUAUGAAAAGUGAUUUUGGAUUAAAAAAUAAUUUUUGGCUUAAUAGAGCAUUUGGCAAUCAAAUUUCUAAAAUCUGAUUAUAAUUUUUAGAAUUAGUUUUCUGAUUUUUAAGGUUCAAAAUAAGAAGCAAUUAAAACCUACUUUUUGAAAAAUAAAAAUAAAAAUCAGAUUCUGAUUAAGGAGUUACACUUCAAACUUUAGUGUGAUUUUAGAUCAAAUUUUUUUAAAAAAAAAUUCAUUUUUUAAAUUUUAAAUUUUAAAAGUGUAUUUGAAUUUAAAUUUCGAAUUCUAUAUUUUAACUUAUAAACUUCAAAAUUUUAAAUUUAAUAUUUACAUAUUAAAUAUUAAAUUUAAAUUUUAAAUCUCAAAUUUUAAAAUUUUAAAUUAUAAAUUCAAAUUUAAUAUUUAAAGAAUAAAAUUUUAAUUUUGAGGUCUUAGAAUUUAAAAUUUAAAAGUUAAAAUUUAAAAUUUUAAAAUUUUAAAAUAUAAGUUUUUAUUUUCAAAUUACAAAUUUAAAAUUUUAUAAUUCAAAUUUCAAACUUUAAAAUUUUAAAAAGUUCAUUCUAAUUUUAAUUUUAAUUUUAAUUUUAAUUUUGAAUUUGAAUUGUUAGUUUUUAAUUUUUUUAGAUUUAAAUUUUAAUUCUAUAUUUUCAAAUGUUAUAUUUUAGAUUUCAAGUAUAAAGUUUAAAACUUUAAUUUUAAUUUUGAAUUUAAAUUGUUAGUUUUAAAUAUUUUUAUUUUCAUAUUUUAAUUUUAUAUUUUCAAAUGUUAUAUUUUAAAUUUCAAAUUUCAAACUUAAAUUUUAUACUUGAAAUUGAAAUUUUAAAUUUUAAAUUUUAUAUUUAUAUUCAAAAUUAAAAAAUCAAAAUUUAAAUAUUUGUGCAUAUUUAAAAUUUAAACUUUAAAAUUUUAAUUUUUACUUUAAAUUCAAAUUUUAAUUUUUAAAUGGUUAAAUCUAGUGAAAAAUAUUAUUAUAUGUCAACAUAAAAAAAAUUCGAUAAAAUAACUUUACAAAAUUACCUCAAAAAAUUGCUUUCCAUCUAAACUCGGCUAAAUAUCUACAGCUUUUAACCAAAAUCAAUUUUCCAAACAAAAUUAAUUUUGUAAAAAUCACUUUUCCAAAAUCUCGGCCAAACGGACCCUUUGUAGAAUGUAGGCCAAAGUGCUAUUAACUUUUCCACCAUUAAAUAUUUCUCUUUGACUAUUUCUACCUUUUGGAUUAUUCUAUUCUACCGAUCAUCGUUGCAUGCUAUGUAGAUCACUAUCAUUCUGAUGCUACAAUUAUUAAUCCAAGAGCUACUCACAAUCAUCAAUGAUUUCAAAUGGCUUUCUUUAUAAUUAUUAUUCGGAUUACUUCAUCUUUCUUUUUAAAUUUAUGUUUCUUCCAAUUUUGAAACUUCCAUACAUCUUUUUCACAUGCAUGUAUGUUGAUAAGUAAUCUAAUAUUUUUGAUAAGUUUAGAUUUAUUUCUGUCAAGUUUAUCUCUUAAUAUUUUGUUGGUUACACAUAAGAGAUAAGUUUAAAUCCGGUUUAGUUAUUGUUAUUAGGAUUUUUAUUUAUGCCCAUAUAUAGACGGUUAUAAAUAUGUGGAAAAUCAUCCACCAUCGAAACUUAGUCCAAGAAUAUUUAAUAAAGUUUUAGUUUUAUACUCCUCUCCUCUCAACAGGUGGUUUCAGAGCAAAUCACACUUCCAACAAGUGGUAUCAGAGCCGAAAAGUACCAUAUGACUUAUAAAACAGAUGACAGCAUAUUCGAAAAGAUCAUAGAUCCAAUGUAUCGGAUAGCUACAUUAAAGUCAAGCGACUCGUAGCAGAUUGACAAAGGUGACGUUUAGGUGAUACCAAAGCGAAGAAAUCGCUUUGAAGAAAUUGGCCUCCAAACAACACACGACAGCAGGUGGUUGUAACGCUUGACGCAAAGAGAGCGAGGAGAGCACGCGAAGAGAUCCAAGAAGACUUCACCAGAUAGCCAGGAGGGCUAGGCAAGCAAGUCGAAAUACAGAAAAUUCGGCGAGAUCUCGAUGAAUUAAGAACGUCAUUCAAACCGAAAGGUACAAAUUUGUUAUUUUUCGGAUUUUCAAAUUUUGUUAUGGAUUUAGAUAAUUGGUUUAUUCAAAUUUUGGAUAUAGAUAAUUGAUUUCGUGUGAAACCCCCUAUAAUUUAUGCGCGGAAUUUCAUGAAACUUGAUGGGUCGUGAUCCGAGCCUAUCAUACAUUCAUGGUCAAGGUCUUGGCUGAAAAUAUUGCAGUUUAAGGGAGUUACGCGCGAUUUACUCGUCACUAUGUAAGUGAGUUUCUAGGGUUUCAUUAUGGAAACCCUAACCCUAGCCCUCUAGCAAUCUCAACUGAGCCCUAGCCGCGGACCCCCCUCCUCCUGCUCAGCUCCCUGCGCGCAGCCGCCGCCGCCGCCGACAAAUCCCGGCCGGCCGGAGUGGUUGCCAAGCUCUUCAUCUCCAUCUCCCUCUCUUCUUCGGGUUGGAGAAGAAGCACAGGGCAGCAUUGCCUCAGUUGCUUGCCGCCGGCGUCACCUCGUGUCACACCCCGAGCCCGGUCCCUAUUUGGCCGAUUCGAGCAUGUCGAACAGACACCGAAUGGACAGAGCCUCCCCUGUCCGCCCAAGGCUAAACAACAAGUACAAAUAGAGUACAAAAUUUGCACAUGCGGAAGCAUACACAAUGGCUUGCACGAGAGCAAGCAAUGGCCAAAGUGAAAGUACUAACUAAACAUCAUACAUACGUUCAACUUUAAUAGAAUUCUAUUACAUUCUUUGCAUCAUUUCUUUUAUACAUCACAAUGUCCCCAAAAUAAACAUAAUGCAUUUCCUCCAAAGAUAAGCUUUUACAUUAAACCAUAAACUCUUUUACAUCAUUUAACAUGUUCAUAAUACUAAAAUCAUCAAAAUACAAAAGAUGAUAACUAAAGGGUAUGCAUCUAGCAAAAUGAAACCGACUCGGGUAGUCAUUGACUAAGGCGUGAUACCCUUACCGCGAUCGUCCGCCGGCUUGCUCGGUCCCGGCUCUGUGGAAAUAGUGGGGUGAGAACUACAACAAAGUUUCCAAUGGGUUCGGCAUCCGACCUCGCCGACUUUUUCACUGGGUCUAAAUCAGACAUAAUAGAAGAAAGAAUAGAUAGNAGCCGCCGCCGGACCCGCAUGCGUCGUCCACGUCCCUUCAUCCCAUUUCCACCGACCCCCACGCCGAUCCCGAUCCAAUCCCAAUGUUCCGAGGUUUGGGAUUUCUCGAUAUUUAUGUUCCACAUUGAAACGUUUAUUCAGGUGGUUUGGAGUCAUAAACUAUGACUCAGGAAGUGUCGCACACAUUUUGUGCGCUUGUGGGGAGAUGCACGCUAGGGUGCGCUUUGCCAUGUAUUUUAUAGCGCUGAAAACGCUUCAAUGGCAAAACGGUAAUGUCUGGAGAGGAGCUAGUUGCGCGUUAGAGGCGUCUAGGCAGGCAGUCUAAACGCUUACCUAACGUGGCCACGCUAGUCGUGGAGCCUCUGUUGUUUCGACGCUAAAGCAAAGUAGAACUAGCUGGUGCCUAAGUGCUGUUUUAGGUUGGGAAGAUGGUUAUCUUCUUUUGUGUGGAUUUAUGUAUAUCUUAUACAUAAAAACCUAAAAGAGCUUUAGGCACUCAGCUUGAGUUUUAGGCAGUCGCGGUAAUCAAGGUCUUGUCGACUUGGCUAGCUUUGCUCGAUAACCUGGCGAUCCUUGCCUCAGGCUAUGCUCGGACUUCGGUUGAAGUGUGGCACCGAGGAAGCUUUUUAGCUCAAUGAUAAGUGAAAUUCACUUUGAACCUUUAGCGCAUCUUAAAGGCAAAAUUGAGCAAAAGAAGGCUUUAAACUGCUCACGAAAACAUUAAUUUAAUGUGUGUUUUUGUAGCAGUUGACUCUCAAAUCGAUGUGACGUUUUUAGAGUCAGGAAUGUUGUUUAAAUUAUAUUUAAAAUUUAUUUUAAACUUAUCUUGAAAUCUAAAAUUUAAUUUAAAUUUAAAUUUAAGUUUAAACAUGUAAUCUAAGCUUUACAAACUAACUUAAAAUUAAAAAUUAAACUCAAGUUUAAUUUUAAUUUUAAAUAUUUAUAUUAAAAAUUUGAAUUUGAAUACAAAAUUAAUUUUUUAUUCGAAUUUUUCAAUUUAAAUUCGGCUUGUUUAAGUAAGACGAGCUUAAGUUAAAGGUGAAACCGGAGGAUCCGGCCUAACUUUUUUCCUCAUUAAUCUCCCUAAGGGUAAGUGGGCUCUCAAUCUUAGCCUUACUUUUAGGAUGUAUGGUUUGUGCUUGUUUACCUAAGCAAGUAAGGCUAAGGCUAAGGUUCCACUUUUACCCGCUUGGUUUGUUCGGGAAUUAAAUAGACUUGGCUUGAUUAUUAACAACUUAUUCUGAAGGUGGGACUUGGCCGAGUUCAAGAGAAAAAAAAAAAAACGAACUUAGAUUGGCCUAAAAGAAAAGAAACGAAUUUGGCUUGGUCACGGGGAGAAAGAACGAACUUGGCUCGAGCAGUUCGGACACGGGAGAAAGAGAAGAACGAGCUUGGCCAUGGUAGAAAGAGAAGCAGAAGGAAGCCGACAAUGGAAGUAACUUAGUAUCGUAGGAAUCCCGUGCUACGUAGGGAGGAGAGUGGCGGUGCAGAAGGCAACAGUAAAAGAGAGGACAACAGCAGCAAAAACCACGACCUUAGCUUCGUAGAAGGUUUACUUUAAUCCGUGCUUCGCAAAGUAGAAAGAAGCAUCAGCAAAAACCUAGACCUAAUUAGAUGGUACCGCUUCAGUUAGUAGAAGCCUAAACACCUUCUUCUUCAAUUAGCUUACCGUAAAAGCCAUUUCCUUGUAUCAACCUUGAGCUAGUACUUUCCGAGCUUCUCCAUUCAAACCCUUUCGUACCUUUGGGAUUAUAAUAAAAAAGAAAUAAAUACUUGUAAUAAACCUAGUUAAAACUACGACAUCUCUCAUAACUUGUAGUUUGGCUCAAACCUCUCCCGAGCGGUAUGGGACUACUAGGAUACUGCAAACGGGUGCAGCCGUAGGAGGCGACGAUGUACCGACUAAGCUGGAUGGUAAGCCGAAGUUGGGGCUAUAUAUAAUGCAACAUUAGGAGAAUUAAGAGAGAUGACUAAAUAAUAGAUUUAUAUAUAAUCCAACAUCAUCAAGUAACACAUUGGAACUUAAUCAUGCGUGACAUAACAAACGGAUCCAGAAAACAUUAAACACCAACCCUUUUAUAAAAAGCUAUUGUAAAGUAUCGAUAUUUAAAUCCUGGAUACACCGAGUCGAAGCCGAAAAAGGUUCGUAAAAAGUCAGCUCAACACAUUAUUAUUUUGUUUUUUCUUUAUAUUUUAUUAAUAUCAUUAAACGUCUUCGUUGUAUUCAACUAAUUUUAGGGAGGGAAAUGUUCGAACCAAAUUGAAAAGUAGUUUUGAUUAUCGUUUUCGAGAUUUAUUUAUCAAGUUGGGAGUGUCAUAUGUCAUUAUAGAUAAAUUACAUAACUAAACCUACUCUCCUUCUUUUUCGAAGUACUACGUUCUAAUAUAUUCCUAGACUCGGAAGUAAAGUGUCAAAGUAAGUAUAAUAAGCUAAGUUUAGAAACAAAAUAUCUUUAAAAGUAAUUCCUGUAAAAAAUCCUUUUUUUUUUCUUUUAACCGACUAUAAACAUAAUUAAAUAAUAGUUAUAACUACAUUUCAUACUAGUAUUUCAUAUAAAUCGUUUGUACAUUACAGAAGUAUACAAAAAACAUUCAAUACUCCUCGGGAUCCUAGUUAGAUCUAUCAUAGUUUGUGAAUCUUCCCCCACUUAUCCACAUUGCCAGUUUUUGGUGUUUAGAUUUACGUUAUUUUUAUUUACGCCUUUUAUUUUUAGUGUAGCUCUAAAUGCACCCUUUUGAGGUUGAACCUCAUUUUUUGAUCGUACUGGUUGUGCACUUUUUUAUUAAAUGAUUCUCUUUUCUAAUGUCCACUAAUAGCUGAGGUGCCUGAUCUGGAGAGAAUUGGAGGAUACUUAGAGCGCGUUAGGAGGUCCAACAGGUGCGGGAGUGCAAGCUUAGGUGCUUGCGGAGCGUGUGUAGACUUAGGUGCUUGCAGUGAGCUUAGGUGCUCGUGUGCUAGGCUUAGGAGCUUGAUGGAAGCUAGUGCGACUUAGGUGCUACAGUAGGUACUUCUUGUAAUACUAAUACCACUAGGAAGCGAAUCUCAUAGCUACUUUUGGUCUCUUCUUAGAGAUUCACUUCUCAUCUAGUUAAGCUGUAUAUCUAUAGUCAAAAGUUAUAGAGCUUAACUGGAUUUUCUACGAUGAAACAUCUUUUAUCCAAAUCUUGCUUUAGGACCAGAGAUCCCAAAGAGUUUAUACAUAAGAGCAGUACAAGUUACUCAAUCUCUUGGGAAUAUCGAAUAAAUAUUUAGAAUCUUAGUUAAUCUCAGCCUAAUAUUUCAAAAGGCUAAAAAUGUGACACAUGGCCAUGACGUAGUAUAAUCAUGGCCAUGGUUUUCUGCUUUCCUUUUUAAGGAGUCUGUCGUUUUGGCCAAUUGUCAAGUUAUGACAUGGCCUUGGUCGAGUCAUGGCCAUGGUACAGUUACGUCAUGGCCAUGGGAUAUGAUAAAAGUCGUUUUGAACUAAAGCCUAAAGUUUUCAAGGUUUCGUGAAAGAUUAGGUGAUUUAAAACUAAAAAUACUAAGAUUACAGAUAUUGAUUCAUACUUAGUGGUAAAGUACUUAAUUUUUAAAUGGACUCGUAGUACUAAGUACGAACCUAAGAAGCUAGAAGUUGCAGAACCUAAGAAGCUAGAAACUGUUAUACGUGGCUUGGGAAGUUCUGAGGCUGAGUUAAGUGCUUUGAACGGUUAUGUUUUUUGAAUUGUAAAAAUUUGACAACUCGUGUAUGUACAUCUAACGGAUGUGCAAACUUAUUAAAUCUUAGUUAGUUUAUACUUAAUAAAUUCUUAAAUACUUUUAUAUAUAGUAAUUAUAAAAAUUAAAAAAAAGGAUUAAAAAACGGGCAGCGUAGCGUGUCCAAUGAUGUGAUCAAAAAUGUUAUAUUCAACUUUAUCGCGGUGAACCGUCGUAUACCACGUUAUCGUUGGAUACGAAGAUUUUAAUACAUAUGAUCGUUACGUGGGCGCGAAACGUCACUCACACUAAAAAUUCAAAUAUUAAUAACAUAUACAAUACGUUUCAGUGCAUUAUUUAACAGUACGGAGCCCCACGCAAAUCAUUCGGUAAAACUUUAGCCCAGUAAAUCAUUUAGUCUCAGCUACUUUUUCACGGGUUUAAAAAAAAAGAAGAUUGGAACUGGGUCUCUACAUUAUCUGGGUGGUGUUUCCGUCUUUUGAGAGGCAAGGUUUACCUGUCUCAGAAAGGACAUAAACAUGCCGCAUCGUGUAUCAUGUUUACAGUUGAUACUGUAGGCGAGUGUGUUUGUUGUAAGUGCUCAGAGUUUCUAAAGUAAAGUGUUCAAAGUGUAGUAUGUCAAACGGCAAGAAUCAAUGUUGGUAAGGUGUAGUUAAAGUGUAAGUAAGUAUAAUCAAUUUUCGUGGAGGGUGUGCUUUCGAAGUGAAACUUUCAGAUCUAAAGGCUUUCAGGUGUUUUUCGGCUUUUUGGUGAAACUUUUAGUAAAGGGUGUGCUUUUGAAAAGAAAAUUUUUGUACGAUAGUGUUCCCCAUCUUUAGAUAGUAAGCUUUAGGUUGAAGUUUUGGUGUUCUUUGGCUUUGGAGUUCAAAGGUUUUAGAUGUUCAUAGGUUUUGGAGCUCAUAGGUUUUCGAGUUCAUAGGUUUUAGAAUGCCCAUUGGUUUAAGAGUGUACCUAUUUGUUGUCGACUUGGUGCUAACAGAUAGAUGAUAGGACACAUUUCCACAUCUUAGACCUGAUAGUUAUUACAGAUAGAUUACUAUAGACAUAUUUUGUACUCUUCUUAGGUUUCUAAUAUAGCAUUCAGUCUUGGAUAUAGUGUUCGAGUGAUAGAUGCAAGAGUGCGUAGCAGAGCUGUCGAUGGUGGGUUCAGUGGAUUUUUUUCUCCCUCAUUCUUUGGUUGUUUCCCAAAGGGUCACCCAUGGCGUCCGGCUGCUUCCGUUCACAUGAGUGACUAUUGGCUCAUAUACAUUUCGUCUCAGAUGUCAUCGUUAUAUUCACCUUCCUUUACCUUAAUGUUACGUUGUUUGCGAUGGCAUUGAUUAUACGCAGUUGGUCUGCUUAUCAGGGUUUUCAUGGGUUAGACGUGGUGGCACAGCCAGAUUUCUGGAAUCCGUUUUCGGUGCAGGACGAGCAGGUGGAUCGUAUAUUGGGAUCGUUACUGGCGACCCGAGUGCUCAACCUUCACGCUGGUAAAAAAAGCCUUUUCUUGUGGGAGAACGCCAUCUAGUAUGGCAACCACAUGCACUUUACGAAAGCUCGAUACCGCUAGCUACGUUUAUGCUAGUUAUCGGUAUGUAGCCGUUUAUCGGAUGUUAGACUGGGGAGUUCCAUGUGACUGGUUAUCCAGCAGCUCUGUUGUGACGAUAUACUCGUAGUUUGUGAGUACAGUUGUUCUUAUCUGACAUGUUCCAGUAGUUGUUUCGUAGCUGGGGAGUCCAAUUGUUCUUUCAUACCCCAGUUGUUGUUGCACUCAUAUUCUCGUAGCUGGCGAGGCCAACAUUAUGGGGUAUGAAAAUUUAGAGAACAAAACUGGGGAUAGAAUAAUUCAAACCUGGAAAAGCAUUAAAGGUUAGAAGCUCCCUGAGCCGCGAUAUAAUAAUGGAUUAAUCCGGGAUUAAAUUAAUCCAGAAGGAUACGGUUGGGAGUGGGCUAGAGAGAAAAGGGGGGCGUGCUGAGAGAGAGAGGAGGAAGUGGAGCAGGCAUACGGUGACGGCGAGGAGUGCACGCGCACGCUGCGAUAAGCUAGGGAUGGCAGUAGCGGCAAUAGGCACCGGCGGCGACGGCGUUGGGAAAAACGAACUAGAGAUAGCCGUAAAAACCAAGCAGCAGCUACCAUAGAGCAGCAGCAACAGAGGCAGGAACUUCUCCAAGAACAAAAAGUAGAAAAAAUAGAGAAAGUAAUUUAGAACUCUAGUAGGUUGGAGGAACAAGUACUAAUAUACUAAUAAGAACUUAUGAAUAGAAAACUACUAACCUUAAAUUUUGAUAGUUUUUAGACUAAACGAAACUAGAUUUAUACACAAUAAACUUGAUAGUAAAUAAAACAUAGAGAUAGACUAAAUCAAUAUAUAUUUAAGAGGUAUAAGAUGUAUGAAGAACAUUACGAGGAAUAUACAAACUAUUUUACGGAUUUUCUCCCACUUGGAAUAAAAAACAAAGAUUAAAACUAGGGUAGAUUAACGUUUAACAGUUAGUUAUAAAGUUGUUAACUUUUGGGAGCAAAGCUCGUAAUCUAGGAAGCAAAUAAUAAAUUUUGAAGUAAGUAUAAUAGAACAAAGAAACUUUGAAAUUAUAAACUUUGAAUAGUAGGAAAACUAACGAUUAACUCAAAGCAGCUUACAUAAGAUUUAGAGAAAGCACGAGGCAGAACUGGAAAAACGCGCGUAAACAUCGGCUAAAACAGUUGGAUACACUUGUAUAGACUUAAGUCUAAAAACAUAUUCGAACGAAAGAUUUACAUAUAUACAGUAGAAACAUUCAAAUAAAAUUCAUCGAAUAUCUCUUAGCAUAAAGAGAUAAAAUCCAAAGCCACUAAUUAAAAAGCACGUUAAAAGCUGACCUAUCGAAGAAUCGAAUCUUCGGCGAAAACUCCAUUCGCUGACCUGUGGGCAAUCAAAAAGCAUUCUAUUAAAUCCUUUUAUAAAGCUAACAUACUUUUAGAAUAAAACAUCUAAAAUUUCAAUUCCCAAUUCGUAUAAUAAUUUAUAAAGACAUUUAACUCGAAGUUGACACUAACUGUUCAGGAAAAUCGUUUUACUUAAAACUUUGAACUAUUAUACAAGACAUUUAAUCACUGACCUGCUAAAAACUUCAUACUACAGAGAACCAUAAGACGAUACGAUUACAACCGGUACAGCUGUACAUAAAACAAUAUCUUCGCUCGAAGCAGAAACAUAACGCGGAAGCCCACGGACGCGGAUAGGCGCGGGGAUAAAAUAAACGCGGAAGCCCACGGAGACAAAACAUGUACGUGGAAGUCACGGAGACGAAACAAACGCGGAAGCCCACGGAAACAAAACAAACGAGGAAGCCCACGGAAACCUAGAGCGGUUGCCUAGUAUACUAUAUCAAUCCACGGCCUCUGAAUUAUAAAUAAAACAAAUAAACGACUUUCUCUUUACGUAAACAUUUUAAUAUUAAAGUUAGGCUAGACCUAAAAUUCAAAACGGUUUAAGAACAAAAGACUUUAAAAAUGUUUAACUUUUAGUCAGCGAACUUAAUUAAAAACAUAAGUAAAUAAAUAAGCAUAACAUACGAAUUAGGCUGAUUACACUACAUACCAACGAAUGGGUCCAUGGCUCUAACUAAACGGCCCGCCCCGACUCUGGCUCACUUGAAAUCUGCAUCGACAAAACUAAAAUUAGGGAAAAUAAAAAGAUAGAUCAUAAAAACCUACACUUAGAAACCUGAUGCAUCUAUUAGCAACAAUAGACGAAAACAAAGCAAUAAAGAAGCAUGUGUGAAAACAAUGAAUACCAUGAAACACCUGGCUUAGAGAGAACACUAAGCAUCAUUCGAAAUUAAAAUAUCUGCAAUCUUAAAGCAAACCGAAAUCAACUUUAAUUUAAAGAAUCAGAGUAGAAAACCUAAUAAACUUAAAUCACUUUUUAACUAUUAGUAGAAAAGCGAUCAAAGACAGACUAAGACAUCGGAACAUAUAAACGAACAAAUCGUCCAUACGCCGCAGACAAUGCGGAGCCCAAACCCCGCACUGUGGCCAGUAGAUCCUACAUGGGUACUCUUGGCUGGUGUGGCCAGUUGUUACCACAUAGGUACUCUUGACUGACGGGUCCAGUUGUUAUUCCAUAGGUGUGCUUGGUUGGUGAGUCCAGUUAUUACCAAAUGUGCUAGUACAUAUUUGUUGGUGAUGGUGAGAUGAGGAUCCAGUAUCGUUUACCUUUGUCCUCAUAUUGAUUCAUCUCGUAUACAUAUUGCUUCAGUAUACCACAGUUCGAGUUUAUUUGAUCUAUAUAUACGGUCUUCAUUAUUCAUUCUCACUUCCCUUGUAGCGGCUCGUACGAGGUGUCAUGGCUGAAGCCUAGCUUCAUGGAUGUAUCCAGGCCAGCCGCUGAGAGCAUGGAGCCCUCGAUCCACGUCGCACAUCACAGGACUUUUAAAUAGAUAAGCUUACUAAUGUCAAACCCGCUGAGUUAUUCAUAAAUCCUGCUCAACCUUAGUAAAAGUGAGCUUAACCUACGAUGUUUGUUUAUCCUUAAAUUAAGUUGACCUUGUAUAAUCAUUCAAAACAGAAUAUCAUCGGUCGUCGAUCGAACUGAGGAAGAGAAGAGAGAAGAGGAAGAAGGGAAGAGAAGAUGAUAGGGUAAGUAAGGAACGGUGGGGAGAGGGACGCAUCGUAGGAAUCUUCGGCCGAUAAUGACGACAGUGUGAGACGUCGUUACCGUCUUCGUAACGACGGUCGACGUCACCUUCGAGGGGUGGUGGAUAUCGUCCGGAAGUGUCGACCUUGUUACCUGAUAAGUCGAUGUCGUCCUACACAGAUCGAAGUAGAUGAGGAAAACGAAGAGGGUGGAGUGAGCUCAUCGUUAACCGACGUAAUGACGGUUGAUGUGACGACGGUCGUACUAUUGACGUUGUAACCGUCGGUACUCUCUCCAGAACACGCCGGAUACCGACGAGGGUUAAGCUUCCACAACGGGAAAACCCUACUAACUUGUCAUCACCCCGAGUCCACAUUGGGAGGUAUUCGACUCUUAAGUCCAAACUUACUGAAUUAAUUACUCAAAUCAGGUAGUUCGACUAAAGAAGAUAACGUAACAUAACUGAAAAUAGUUGAAGCCAGAUUAGGAAGUUCGACCCUCAACCCAUCCGAUUUAACCUAAAUUCGACUCCUAAAGCACUUCUUACUCUCAAUAACUUGAGAACAUAAAUCGAUUUGAGUCGAAUCAAUACUCCAUUAAUCGCGUGAAAACUAAAGACACGACUUUAAAGUCAUGCAACUCUCAUAAUACUAUUAACUACCUUAACACCAACUGAAGCAUAGGUGAAAGAACUCAAUCUCACAACCACCCUGAGAUCUAAUGAAGAAGAGGUGGACCCUUGAGGUAGGAACGUUGUUUAAAGGAGGUUAAAGAAGUUAAUGGGAGAGAAGAGACGACCAACCGUCGUCUCAUAUACUCUCUUCCCUCGAAUUAACCUCCUCAAAACUUCGAGGUUUAAGCUUUAACUUAUAUAUAUCAAGACAUCCCCCUUCAACUUUACGUCGAACAUGAAGAGCACUCGUCCUUAAAGUUCAUUUAUCGAGAUGAAAACUACAAUUAGUUUCUACUACGUUACGACUAAAAGACCUGACUUGACCUGGUUAAAACCUGAAGCUAUUUUAGGUAAACUUAAACAGGAUCUUCGACUUGAAACCUUCCUGGCUAUCACUAGAACUGAAGUAGGAGAACACUAAUUUUAGAACAAACCUGGUUAAACCUCCAUUCUACUCGCUCUUAAAAUCAAAAGUAACUCCAGCUUUUGGGUUUUUGUCAAAAAUGCAGCUUUGGCUUAAGAAUUGGAGAUAAAGAAUAAACAUUAUCUAAAAGUACCACUUCAUAUCUAAAAGGAACAUUAUAUCUUCGGUUUCUAGUGAUCACCUAGCGGGGGAUCGGAAUAGAACGGGACCUAAAAGAACACCUCGUUCUUUAUGUAUCGUGGUUCCACAUCAAGUCGUCGAUGUUGUUGCGUAGGGUUGUCACCGGUAACUUGAACUCCCACUUUAACUACCUAAAACUGCGCAAUUCUACUAUUUAACCUUGGAUAAGAACCUGAUGGACUCACACUCCUCGAUCCCUUCGUUCAAUAAAUCGACUUUAACAACACCUUAACUCGAAGUUAACUCCAUUAAAACCAGCGUUACGACUAAAAGUUAUAACUUCGAGGUAGAAACGCUAAACACUGAGGUUGAAAGAACACUCAAUAAAAAUCCCCUAAGAUUGACUAGGUACGGAUUUAAGAUCAACUAAGUUUCAACGAGGUUUGACUUAACAUUCCAUGUAACCGAAACUUAAUUACUUUAAUGUAAGGUUCCAGCUUAAAUAUACAUUAUAACUGAAGGCAAUCUUUGAAAUAAGCCGAAAAUUCGCAAUUGAAGCUGUCCCCAAAAACCUAAAGUAGAAGUGAACGGAAAACUAACCUCGAUUCCUUCCACGGAUAUCACAAAGUCAAGCUAGGCACCAACCUAAUCGAAAAUUCCUCCCAAUUACAAUUAACUUCAGAAGCUUUAAGGAAGAUUCAAUAUCUCUAAUGUCGUAUGUAUCAAAAUAUAACUAAUAGAAUAAUCAUCGAGCUUAAGUACUUUAACGUAUAAUAAUGAAUUCAUACUAGUAACGCACGAUUUGUACCCUGAACCCUCUUUUAAGAGAUUUGGAUGUGUGGAGUGAAAAGUUUUUCAAUUGUCUAAAUCAAAGUCCUCGACUAAAGAGAAAACAUAGUGGCGACAAUCACGCAGCAUUUAUGAAUCUGAUCACAUCUGACUCUAAUGCGAGCACGAGUCUACAGCUCGAGUAAAAAUGUCAUUUUAAAUCCGACAAGGUGUGACAACCCAUGGCAGCUCCAACUGCCACCUGGGUUUAGAUAUGAACAACGUAGUCUAACACGACUCCCAUACACUUGAAACUAAGUAACUGGGCAGCUGGUAGACGUAACUAAUAUCGAACACACGGACGAACUCGAGUUAUCUCUCUGCAAACGUAUAAGUCAACCCAGCGCGGGUGCUCACGGCGAGGCCUCAGACCAAAAGAACGCAACUACAGCGUCGGUAGGGUAAACCUGUACAAUGAACCAAGCCGGUGGGGCUCCCACCACACACCACAUCGAAUCCGUGUCCGACCUGCUCGACAUAUCCUUCAGGGACAACCUAACCCAGACUCUACCAAUAAUAUAAAAAACACAAUCACUACGUACCCAUGUGUCUUUUGUACUAUACUGAUUUCUAUCAUAUCACUGUAUCAUCGAUAUUUCAAAGAAGGUCGAAUGGAAUGACAAAGAAAAUGGAUGAUGGAUAUAACAAUCAAAACAUCUGAAUCACCCAUCCGGCAACUCCAGUCACUACCAUACGUGACUUCUAAUGAACAAAAUAUCAUCAAGAGUGUGAGUAAAAAAAUGAAAAAGACCGUCUCGUCAGCUAAUGGUGACGACGAUGACUAGCUCCAUUCCCUCAGCGCUCGAUCUAGGGACAGGUGGAGCCAGCAACUCGAUCUCCUCAUGGUAAAACCUCUACCAUCAACAAAUAUCAGUAUAUGUAUGUCAACAUAGAUAAAACGACAAGUCUCAACUCCCUACUACUGCUACUACAUGAAAACCAAAUAUAAUAUGUGAAACCUAAUGUACAAACAUGUACACUGAUAAAUAAAAACAAGAUCCUCGAGACAAUGCGAGAUCAUCACCAAGAACAUGACAAUAUCCACGAAGAUAGCGAAGCACAUGUGUCCCGAAGGAUACAUACGCCGGCUAAACAACCACUCGAGCCCAUUUCGACUUGGGCCCCCGUACUGUGUCGCUAUGGUUUACAUUGAAGGGCUGAGCGAUCAUUAUUAUUGAGCAACCGGUUUUGGUGGCUGGGUUUUAUGAAUUCAGGUUAAUAAUAAUGAUCCCACCUCAAGAAAAUAUAUGGGUUACUGUUAGGGUAAGAGUAGGCUACACGUUGAUAAUCCCACAGUGUCUGAGGGGGGCAGAUCCGGAACUGCACGAGCAGUCGGGAUUUGCGUGUGUGUUGGGUUCUAGUGAUUCGAUAUACUCUGAACAGAGCGAUCGGAAACAGUAAAGCUGGUACUGAAUCGGACAGUUAGCGGUUAGGACUGAAUUAGAUAGUAAGCCUGGAAAGAGUUGGUUCUGAUUAGAGUUGAAGGCCGACCACUUGACCGAGACUAUGGUUUACAUUGUUGGGCUGGGCGAUCGUUAUUAUUGAGCAGCCCGAUUUUGGUGGCCAGAUUUUAUGAAUUCGGGUCAAUAAUAAUGAUUUCACUUCAAGAAAAUAUAUGGGUUAUUAUUGGAGUAAAGGUAGAUUACAUCCUGAUAACCCCCUUAGCCCCGGCCGGCCAACCGCCGCCGAAGCCACCUUCCUUCCCCCUCUCCCUCUCUUUCUCUCUCUCUCUCUCCUCUCGGGUUGUGAGGAAGCCCGAGACUGCCAUCUUCAGACCCUCAGCCAGGGUCGCCCCGUGCUCCGGCGAGCAUCCCCGCCGAGCGCCGCCGUCGCCGAGCGCCGCCGCUGCUGCCACUGCAGCCUGCAGCCGACUUGGCCGAGCCCUGGCCGAGCAGACCGUGCGACCUCUUCCUCGCCUUGCCGCCGCCCUGGGUGACUCCCGUAGCACCUUCCCGACGUCAGGCCGCCGGCCGCCGCCGCCCCGAGCCACCCAGAGUGCCGCCGCCACCGCCUCGGCCAGCCCGCAGCAGCCCCAGACCCGCUCGGGCCGAGGCGAGCGUGCGACUCCACCCCAGCGUCGCCGCCGCUUGGGGCCGCACCCGAGGCGUCCCUCCGGCCUCCUGCAACCCUCCUCCGCCGUCUCGGAGCUCCCCGGCCGCCGCCGUGGCUGCAGGUGCCCGCGGAACCCGUGCCCUAGCCAUGCGGGCUUGUCUUGUUCCUCCGCCGCCGCCGCCGCUUCCAGCCGCUGUCUGAGGUGAGCACCUCACUCCUCACCUCCCCCGCACCCAUCCCUGGCCUCCGCGCGCGUCGCCGUGCCGCCGGAAGUCGGCCGGAGCAAGCUUGCUCCGGCCAAGCCCGAAAUAGGGCUUAGUUAGGAUGGUUUACUGUUCCGAGCUUCUCGAGCCUCCCCGAUCUCUACAGAAGGGAGCACGAUGAUCCUGGCAAGUUGCUGAUCAUCGUGCUCACCUUGGUUUCUGUCGGGAAGGCCCCGUUCCGCUGUUUUGGCGAUGUCGCUCUGUUUCAGCCUUUUUGGCUACUGUUUCGGGGUUGUGCUUGUUUUUCCGGCGAUCCGAGGCUAUUCCGAUGCCUCCGGAGGUGAGCACGGUGACCGCUGGUCAGUGCUGAUCACAAUGCUCACCUUCCCUUGGAUCAGAAGUGUCCGGUUAGUCCUGUUCGGCGCGAUCGUCCCUGACUGCGCGCUAUUCGCUGAACCUUUGGGUUGCUCCUGCGCUUCCCACAGCCAGCCGCUGUGCUCCGGAUCAUGAGCACGGACUCCGGUACAUCGAGACCUGUCAGUACGUGUCUCUGCGUACUUCGAAAGUCCUCGGUUUGCGUGAACGAGCCGCUUGAUCGCUCAAAUUACAUAAAAUGAUGAGAUUUUAUGUAAUUAGAGGGUCUUUUAUGCUUUUGUGCUUUGCGUGGCUACUGUGGGCAGUGUGUGGGAGUUUGUAACGACCGCUGGACUGAUUGUCCAUGGUCCGUUAGCUUUCGCGGAAAUCUGUAGGUCGAUUUCGGUGCAUUUUUCGGCGAAAUUCGCCGAAAGAACGCGGUUUCGGUUCGGAUUUCUUCCGACGUGGUUUGGUUGUCUUGUGGGUGGUCGCUGAGCCUUGUUGGCUAGUCACCAUCAUCAUUUUGUGGGUUCGGUGAUGAUGGUGAGCGACGGUGGGUUCCGGUGUCGAAAUAGACACUUUCGGGAACUCGGAUUCGUACAAUUAUCCGGCGAUAAUUGUGUAGUGGUGUUAUCUUGUGUUUGCUGCCAAAACAUCCAAAUUGGAGUGUUUUGGGGUAGCAGGCGACUCGUGACACGAGUCGGUGAGUUUCGGGACACUUAGUGGGUCCCGACGGCGUCCCGGUGUGGUUUUCGGGACUUUCGUUGAGUUACGAUAAUCGGUAUUGGGAAACCGAUCUCCGUGGGUUUGUUUGUGGGUUGUGGAUACUGUGGUUAUUAGUUGUGGGUUAGAUACUAACCCGGUGGACCCUCUAUAGGUCUGGUUGUCAUUCUUUUGCAGUCAGGAGACAGACGCGACAUCCUUACAGGUGGGUACUUCGAUCCGACGUUGGUACAGUGGUGCACGCUCGGUGAUGGUUUCUUACCCUUGCUCUUUUGCUAUUAUCCAUGCUUAUAUUAUAUGUUGAGCCUUGCACCUCUAUUGUUUCAUUAACACCCACGUUGUUUGAUUUAUACUCUAUUACUCAGAUUUUCCAUACUUUAGUAUCAUGUGUAGGAGUAUAGUCUAUCUGUAUGGAUACCAUGUUUCCUUGUUGCUCUACCUUUAGCUAUUCCAUACCCUGUUUCAUAUUUAAUAGUAAGCGAUUCUGUGAUUAUCUGUGAGAUUAGCGAACUAUGUCGGUCGAUUCUAGUAUUCAGUAUUUUUGACCUAUUCGGUGAUUCUCGACCUUUGUUGUCUGAUGACCGUUGAGGUCGGUAAUCCUGAGGGUGAGAUUGUCGUUAGUUGCCGACGGAUGAUUAACUUUACUCAUAUCCUAUACUUGUGACAGAUUGGUGAGUUUCAUAUCCUGUACUUGUGACGUGAUUGGUCGAGUUUCAUAUCCUAGUUGAUCUGAGUGGUCAGUCCUUGUGGUUCAUUGAGCAUAUUUGCAUAUUGUUUGAGAGGAUAUCGAUGUUGUCCCAUUCUAGUUGACCUGAGUGGUCGGUUCUUGUGCUUCCUUAACAUUGAUGCCUAUACGGUCGGUGUGCCCUGAGCUGGAUUGUCGCUAUUGCCGAUGGACUGAUCUUUGAGCAUACUACUUGACCGCCACUGCAGGUACGCAUUUCACGAACACCAGCGGUCUUGAUCCAUACCGCAAAGGGUGUUUCUUUUCCGGAAAAGUGGUGGACUGGCCAACCCGUGAGCCAGGGCUUUAUUGCGCGAGGGUAUAUGCUUCUGACCCAGGGCUUUAUGCGAGGUCAGGUACAUUUUUUCUGACCCAGGGGUUUAAUUGCGAGGUCAGAACAGGUUGAGCAGUGUGGCAUGGGCCUGAGGUCCUCGGACCAAAGGCAUGACGAGAUUGGGUAUUUUUGAGGUUAUCCGUCAGUUGACGCAUGCAUACAGUAGCUGUAGUGUUUAUUUUCCAGUAUAUCCUUAUCUGUUUAUGUAGCUACUGUUUUAAUUUACCUGCAUCUAUACUUUGUCAGCUCCUUACAUAUCUCUUUUCGUUUACUAUUGUUCCUACUGUAUUUUCACACAUGAGCACCGUACUGUUGUUUAGCUCUUCCUGAUCUGGUGAGUACUCGCUCGCCUUCAUCGCUUGCGGUACCCACUGGAGGGGAGACAUGUUUACAUGUUCUCACCUCCCCACCCAUUUUUUUUCAAGGAUCGCAGCGAUGGGUAUUGAGACGAGACGUGAAGGCACGUACGUAGCGGUCUUAGAUCUUCCCGACCCAGGUUAUUUUCGAUUUAGUUAUUAUCCUUGUAUUUCUGUUGAUAUAGUAUGUUUUAGUUAGUUUAUGUGGUUCAGUAUUUAUUUACAUUUGAAAAUGUGGAUUUCUGGAUUUUGUAGAAUAAAAGGUUUUCUACCCCUCGUGGUAGCCUUUUUAAAAGAAUAAAAGUUUCUGUGUAGGAAACAGUUUUCAAAAGAUUUUUGUGGAUUUCUGUUUAAACCUUGAAUGUAAAACUGUGAUGUGAAUGGUGAAUGUAUGAAUGUAUAAUUAUCUUUAUAUUCAUCUGGUUGUGGUUGUAUCCUGGUUGUACUGUGUAUUUGAUCGACGCCGUGCAAAUACAGGGGAGACUCUGUCCGUGUGAACAGUGGAUUUUCUGUAUUUGUGGCGGAUCUGGCAUACUCUUGGGUCAGGUUUUCAAAAAAAAAAAUUCUGACGCUUUUCCGCUUUGUUUUAAACUGAAAAGGGACCCCGGGGCGUGACAACUUAACGCUUUCGGAAUGCACCACCCAAAUUGUAUGGUCACAAGGGUGCUACGGUUCAAUUCUUAAAAAUUUUGGGGGCCUAUUCGGCAUGCUGCGGCUAUCUGUACCAAAAAUGACGUUUUUGUCAAUAUCUUUGCAUACACUCGUCGGAUCACCGAACCGAGUUCAUAUUCUUGUUAAAAAUACCCCUAAUUAGGUUUCUUGAAGGUCAAUUUGCCUUUAAACCACUCUAGGGCAAAAACUCUAAUUUUGGUGCCCUAACAAUGCCAUUUGCAAAAUCUUUGGGUUUGAUCUCUAGAACAAGCAAAAGAAAGCUUGUUGAACCUAUAGGAACUCAUUUAGAACCUUUUCUAAGCCUUUCCAACCAUUUUUAGGGCAUACCACAUGAACCCUAGAAGUUCACCAUGAAAGCACAUGAAGCUAUCAUGGAUUUUCAUGGAGUUCAUUCCUCUACUAGGUUUCUAUACAUGAGAGAAAAUCAAAACCUAGCUUCCUAGGUCACAAAACCAAACUCUACACUCAAUCUUUCAUAAAACCUUACCUUAGCCACAAGCUCUCCAAAGUCCACCUUGUAGGAGAGUCCCCAAGCCUCCAAAACCCUAAGUCCUUCGAGAUUUCUCCUCCAAAUCCACCUCCUUUAGCUUUGGGAGAGAGGCUCUAGAAAGAGAGAGGAAGAAAAAUGAGAGGAGGGGUGUGUUUGGCUGUGGGAGAGAGAGGGUGUGUUAGGGUGUUAUUAUGUUGUAACAAUUGCAAUAAAACCCUCCCUUUUCUCUAAUUUGCAGCAGACUUAAUCUUGCUGUCGGGUCCAUUGUGUACCGGUACAGGCUGGGUGUUACCGGUUACACGAUCUCCCAGAGGCAAACCGGAGAGAAGUUGUUUGGGUUUUGCCAAAGUGUACCGGUACACACCAGGGGUGUCACCGGUAACACGACUUCGCAGAGGUAAACCCGAGAGCAAUUUCUCUCGAUUUGCAGUAUUGUACCGGUACAACAUCAAUGUUGUACCGGUACACAAUGCCCAGACUUGGGUUUUAGCUUUUGUUCGUCUUCUCUUUUGCGCCGAGCAAUGUCAAGACCCUUCUAACUCUUCCUAACUCACUUUUAACUCUUCCAACCUUAUUGGAAAGUUAAGUGGGACUUGUCCGACUAUUUCUUUCGCACACUUGAACCAAUUUGGUCAAAGUUCUAUAUCCUCUACCAAGUUUCGGUAUGUUACACCUCGACCCCAGUCGAGGUUUCCUCGGCCUCCGCGCCCCCGUCGUGAGGCGUCACUGCACCUGCGGCCGACUAGGAGUGGUUAGGGCAAGCGCGCACCCUAAGGCUUGCCCCACCCUCCUCUCGACCCUCGGCCUUCCCGGCGCACGACCAGAAUGAUCGCCCCCGCCGCCGCGCGCCUAGGCCGCCGCCGCGACCUUUCUCUAGUUGAGUCAAGCCUGGGCGGCCAAGGCUAGGUCGCGCGCCAUCACCGCCAUCGCCCAGUGCCGCACCUCCCUUCCCGCGACCCCGCCGCCGACAGACGCCAGCCCAUGGUCACCACUGCCGGAGAUAAAGCCAGAGCUUCUUCCCUAGAUGCUUGUGGGCUAGGGCAUCGCCGCCCGCCCCUCUAGUCGCCUUCCGCCGGCGGCCAACCCGCGCACCAUCUCCACUAGAUCAACCGCACUCGGCUGCCACCGGCACCUCCGCCACCAAAGCCCUUGCCAGCCGGAUCGAUGUUGAACCCGAGCCACACCCGUGUGGGCUGCUCCACCGCCCUUCCGGCCGCCUUCUGCUGCCGGCCAGCGCCAGCCCCGGCCCCCACUGACCGGUCGCACCCAUCCCCUACCAGCAUACGCGCCGCCGGCCAGCCCAUGCUCCCACUGGUUCUGGUAAGCCUGAUUUCAUAUUUUUUGCACACUGUUUCGAGUUUGGGUCACUCUUCCGGUGACCCGAGGGCACCCCGAGGCUCCCGAAAGUGAGCACAACGAUCCCUGAUCGGUGCCGAUCAUCGUGCUCACCUUCUUUGGGGUCAGCGAGGCCCCGGUUUGCGAAUCAAGCGCUGUCUUGGCACUGUUGCGCUGUUCGUAGGUUUUCGUGUCACUUUCACGCUCUCUACAGUGGACGGUCAUGCUCCAAAUUGUGAGUAUGGCUCCGGCACGUCAAGACGUAUCAGCAUAUGUCUCGGCCAAGCUCGAAAAUCACAUAAAAUAAUAUGAUUUUAUAUAAUCGCAGGGACUUGUAUGCAAAUGUACGCUCUGUGGCGACUGUGGGCAGUGUGUGCCGGCAGCGAGUGAUCUCUAAAUUGGUUGUCCAAGAUCCUAAACCUUUUCGAAAAUCGAAUGUCGAUUUUCGGUGCGUUUUUCGGCGAAAUCCGCCGAUGAAACGCGAUUUCGGUUCGGAUUUCAUCCGACGGUGCCUCACUAUAAUUUACGUUGUCGUUGAGCCCUAUUGGCUGGUCACUUGCAUCGUUUUGAGGAUUCGGAGACGACGAGUGAGCGACGGUGAGUUCCGGUGUAGAAAUUGACACUUUCGAGAAUCCGGAUCGGAAUGAUUAUCCGACGAUAAUCGUUUCAAUGUGAGUAUACGUGUUUGCUAAUAGGACACCUUAAUAAUAGUGUUGGGUGGCAGCGGUUGACUCGUGGCAUGAGUAGGUGAGUUCCGAGACACUUCGUGGGUCCCGACAGAGUCCCGGUGUGAUUUUCGAGACUUUCGACAAGUUACGGUAAUCGGUUUUGGGAAACCGAUUCCUGUGGGUUUACAGUUGGGAUUGUUAGUUAGUGUUUCUCAUUUGUGGGUUAGAUACUAACCCGGUGGACCCUUCGUAGGUUCGGUUGACAUCCUUCCAUAGUCGGGAGACCAGUGCUAUAUAUGCACAGGUGGGUACUUCGAUCCAAAGUUGGUACAGUGGUGCACGCUCGGUGACAUCCUCUCUAUCUCUUUCCUUUUAUUACCUUGCAUACUAUGUGUUGAGCCUAGCACCCACACUAUAUCGUUUUAUUGCUCUACUUAGUUUCUUUACAUAUUCAGCAUCAUGAUUUAGAAGUAGAGUGGCUUUGUGUUUCUUAUAUGAGAUCUAUGACCUAGUCGGUCGGUUUUUUAUAUCUCGUAUUAUGACCUAUUCGAUCGGUUCAUUGCAUCUGAUAUAGUGACCUACUUAGUCGAUUGGACUACUUGGUGACCUAUACGGUCGGUAUACCCUAAGGGAUAGGAUUGUCGAUUAGUUGUCGACGGUUGGUUAUUAAGCAUAUCAACAUCGAUCACCACUAGUCGUUCGCAUUUCACAAACACCAGCGGUCUGAUCCACCGCAGGCAGGUGUUCUUUUCCGGAAAGGUGGUUGGACAUGCAAACCCGUGAGCCUGGCGGCCUAGACUAGGUUAUAUACAGAUAGAGUGGCAGUAGCACAGGUCUGAGGUCUACAAACCAAUAUGGCAGGUUUCAUAUUGGGUACUUUUGGACUUAUCGUCUGGUUUAUGCAUGCAUAUAGUAGCGAUAUAUAUAUAUAUAUAUAGCGGAGCUGCUGUGCUCUCAGGAGCACGGAGGCCUCCGUGCUCCUAAGCCAUUUUCGAUGAUGGAGUUUCCAAAUCGACGAUCGGCUCCGUUAAACUUGAUCUAGCGUAUUUGAAGUUUUUAGAAAAUAAUUUUUGUGAUUUUUCGAUAUCAUUUACCUAGCAAUCAAAAGAAUUCAAAAUCAAUAAUUUUUAACGGCUAAAAAUAAAAAUUCUAUAAAAAGUGGUGAUAUAGCACUAAAAUUUUCGAUAAGAAAUAUUGAUUUUGUUGUAGAUAGUAUAAAAAAUUUUGUAUCAAAAUUUCAUCUGAUUUGAAUACUUGUACACCGUUAAACUUGAAAACGGCCAGAAAAGAAAAAAAAGAAGAAAACGAAAUUGAACUGUUUGAGUAUGAAGUUGCAUUUAUUGCGAACAAACUUGUUUCUUUGAGAGAAAGUUGUAUUUUUUGAGGCAAAGUUCUAUUAUUUGAAAGAAAAUUCACUCUCUGAGACACAAAUUACACUAUUUGAUAGAAAACUGUCAUUCUUUAAGGUAGAAUACCAUUUAAAAUAUUUAAGACUUAGUUGCACAUCUAUAUAAAUAAAGUUAUACUUUUUGAGGAAGACUUAAUGAUACUAAAACCAUUUAAGAUUAAGUCUCAAACAGUGCAAAUUAGUCUUCAAAUAGUUUUAAAUUGGUGUAUUUGAGUCUUAAACAGUAUAAUUUAUGUCAGACAAUGCAACUUCUACUCUACAUUGUACAACUUAGUCUCAAAUAGUUUAAGUUGUACAACUUUGCGAUCAAAGAAUGCAAUUUUGCCUCAAAGAGUGCAACUUUUAUCCCCAAAUAAUACAACCUUGGCCAUCAAAAAGUGCAACUUUUAUCCUCAAACAGUACAACCUCGUCUUCGUCUUUUCCUUCUCUGUUUCUUUGGCCUUUCAUGUAGCAAUCAUGAUUAUAAUGAUUUUUUAGAAAAAGAAAAAAAUUCUUUAUUUUUUCUUUUUAUUUUUUAUUAUUUCUUCUUCUUUUCUUUUUUCGCUAUCACGCCUACUCCCUACCCUCUACCACAACAUGCCACCCCCGGCUCUUCCCGACACGCUUUUCCUCUGCAUCCUUAAAUCUUGCGGCACUAUCGUCAUCGUCGUUAUCCACAGUCAUGCGCUUCACCGCAACCUCACUCUCCGAUAUGUUCAUAUUCGAACUGACAUCAGCGAAGGUGUGGCGACGAUAACAGAGAAGCGGCAACGUCGAUGUGGAAGGCAAUAGAAAAGGAGAGAAGAAGAGAAGCAAGAGAAAGAACAAAAAGAACAGCAAAGUAGAGAGAGAUGAACCAAGAGUGAAGAAGAAAAAACAAAAAAGAAAAAAAAAAAGAAUAUUUGGUUAAUUUACUAAAAUUCAUACCUGAAUCUGCAAAAUCUAAAAUGAUGGCUAAUUUUGGCAAAACGUAAAACGAUGAAUUUGUUAUGCAAAAAAAGACCAAUAAAAAAUUAAAACUUUUGCUCAUUUAUCCCAUUACUAUUAUUCAAAAUUUUUAAAUUUAUUCCCAAAUUAUCAAUAUUCCUUUCUAAAAUCAAUUUCAUUAGUAAAUCCAAAAAUAUAUGAAAGAAUUUUUUUAAAUCAACAAAAAAAGUAUUUUGGUCCUCAAAAUAAUAAAAUACUUUUGAAAUUUUGAAGAACAUAUUAAAUAUGGACAAUUAGUUAUAUACCCAUCAAAAGUUUUCCGAUUUUCUUACUUACUCCUUUUAGAAAGCUAAUGUUAAAAUAUUUUAUAAUGUUCUAAAUUAUUUUAAUAUAUUUUUAGAGUUAAAUUUUGUUAGUGAGCUUUUAAAACAAUCGUUAUUCUCUUCAAAAAAAAAUUACUAUUUUUUCUUUCAACAUACUUUCUAUCGUUCAUCAAUUUUUCUUAUUUGUUCUUAAGUUAAUAGCUAAAAAAAUAUUUUUAUUUUUUUGCUUUUCAAGUAUACUCUUUAUCUUCACAACUUUUUUAUUUGUCUUGAGUGAGGGGCAAAAAAUAGUUGACUUUUUUUUAAUAUUCUAGUUCUAGAAAUUUAAUCCGGAUUUAACCAAGAUAAUUUACCCAAGUACUAACAGUAAGUUAUUUUUGAAUAAUUUCAAAAAUAUCAAGAAAUAUGAAAUACGAAAUAUAUAUAUAUAUAUAUAUAAAUAUAUAUAUAUAUAUAUAAUAUAUAUAUAUAAUAUAUAUAUAUAGCCUGGGCUACUAUACUCUUAUGAGUAUAGGCCCCCUUGUAGCUCAUAAAUUUUUAACCGAUUGAUUUGAUGAAAUGUGUAGUUAGAUGUAGUGGUCCCCACUUAAAAUGAUAGUAGCCCGAGCAAGUUGAGUGGGUAGUUGGUUAAUGUAUGAUCUAACGGAUGGAAAUGAUCAGUGAAACAAAUCUAAGGACCGAAAACUUAUGAAUAUAAAGGAGUCAAUACUUAUAAAAGUAUAUAGUAGCGGAACUAUAUUAUAUAUAUAUAUAAUAAUAUAAUAUAUUAUUAUAUUAUAGUAUAUAAUAUAUAUAUAUAAUAUAUAUAUUAAUAUUCAAAAUUCUGAAUGAUAUAUUAGAUAUUAUUUAUUAUAUUAUUGCGAAAUAUUAUCCCAAAAAAAUUUUACCGUAGGCGAUCAACGGGCGGCACUAACAGAUCGCUUAGGUCGCCUCGUUUUACUCGCUAGCAGCCCAAUCCAGAAUUUGAUAUGAUAACAAAAAGAUUCUUUGGUAGAUUUAUUUGUUCAAAUUAUCACAUUUAGGGUUUCAAUUUGAAAUUUUGAGUUUGAAAUUCUGAAAAUUCAAUUCGGAAUGAAAUUUAUAAAUUCUAAAUUCCAAAAGUCCAUAUAUCAAAUUUAAAUUUUGAAAGCUUAAAAAAUCUGGUCCGUUCAUAAAAAAAAUCUCUAUAUUUCACUUCCACUGCUAAGAUUACAGAAAUUUAGACUUGGCCACUUAGUGUGAGAGACAGAAAAAAAAAAAAAGAGAAAGAAACAUAUGAAAAUUAGAAUUUUGUGAAAGAAAGAAAUAAAAUAUAUAAAUUUAGUAAAUUUUGCUUUUUUUAUGUUUGUCUAUUGGUUUAUUUUUAUGGCCAACAUAUUGGCUCAAUUUUAACUAGACAGAAUUAUUCACUCAGCCUAUAAUAUAAUUAAAAUAUUAUAUAUAUAUAUAUAUAUAUUAUAUUAUAUUAUAUAUAAUAUAUAUAUAUUAUAUAUAUAUAUAUAAUAUAUAUAUUCGAGCUUUUUGAGCUUUUCGAGCCUAAUUCGAACGAGCCGAGUAAUACUCAAGCUCGGCUUGAAAUGAAUUUCGAACUUUUUUUUUGUUCAAGCUCAGCUCAUUUAUUUUCGAGUCGAGCUCAAGCGAGCCAAUAUCGAGGUCGAACGCGAGUCGGCACGAUCAUUUGCCAGCCUAUCAACAACUGCAAUAACAUUGCGUCAGAAAAGGAAAAAUAAAAUAAAAUUACGGCGAUAAUGCGUUGACCACACACAUAAUAAACAAACACAUUGUAUUCAAGCAAGUACUAGUGUUAUGGCUUGUUGUGGAACAGCUAGAAAUGCCAUUCGUUCUGCUUCUGAUAAUAAUAAAAGGGCAGCAUCAAGCAGUUAAAGCAAAACAGAAUCAAUAGCGGCGAAGCACAUCCAACAUUUCAGCGGAAAAAAAGAGACAACCAAAUAGCAGAGUUCUCACAAAGUCUUAAGUCAAAUACGUACAAAGACGACGACGCAUUCAGGCCACCAGAAUGAUAUGAUGAUAUGAUGGAAUUGAUGGCAUUAAUUACUCCAACAAACAAAUUAAACAAUGCGGAGCAAUCCGUAUCGCUGGCCGAGGAUUUUAUAUCCAUUCAAUCAGUUGCAAAAAAAUGAAUAGGACUAAGGCCGGAUGAUUAGUCAUGAUCUCAAACUGAUCGAGUGCAAAGGCAAUAACCAGUGUAUUAUAAUAGUAUUUGUUAUAUGAAUAAUAGGCCGUCUUCCCCGCAUAACUAGUAUGUGAAGAAGAGCGUGUUAUCCAACAAGAUUUGAACAUCGACUUCCAAAAUUGCUAUAUUGCUAAGUAGCCAGUGGGUGAAGCACCACUCUCUCCUGAAUCAAAAAUAUUAUAAAUCCCGAGAAUGAACAGAAGAUUCGGGAAGAACAUUUUGGUAACAGGUUUUAAUCUACUAAAACGCAUGUAAUUACCAAAAAGCGCAAAAACUACAAGACCUGCAAAUACAACACCUUGCAUCAGCAGUGUUUAGCUACUCUGGUGUCAGACUAUCUUCAAACUGCAUGUAUGCUAUAUAGAUGAGAAAACCGAUCCCGGCACUUCUUGAGGCAUAAUAUUAGGAGUUAGAGAAGAUCUAUCAACGAAAAAAUAUUACAAAGCAGUCGAUGAGCUUACUCGGAAAACUUACACUAGUCAAUCACACCUUGCAAUUGGUUCUAAUAAAUCAACCGUUACAAAACUCUUGUUGAUGUCUCGUCUUUAUUUGCUAGAUUAUGAGAAGCAAAAACAUUGUUAUAGAGGGAAAUAUUAGCAAUUAAUAGAAAUUAUCACUUAAUAGGGAGCUAAUGUAUUGGAUAUCCAGAAGAGAGAGAUAUUUUUCCAGGCAUACAAAUAUCAAAUAGUCUAUCCGUUUUUUUAUUUAACAGGGAAAUCAAUAAAAGAACACCACAAAUGCUAUAUUUCCAGUGUAGAGUUCAUGUAAAAUUUCUAUAUUUCUGAGGUUGAUAAGUGGGAUUUACAUUACUGAUAGAGUGGGAACAAGCAUGCCUACUACCUCAGACUGAACAUCUAGGACCAUCAACCAUUAUAGAAUUGGACAUUCACAUUUCUAAUAAUCAGAUUAGGACAUACUGGUUACUACAGAUGACAACUUCACAGAUGCUGCGAUACUUCUGCUGCCACAAUAUGUAUGAGAAAUAAAACAACAGGUUAAAAAGUCAAAGAAAUCAGGGACCACCUAUUUGGAAGCACGGAAAAUAUCUAGAACCAAACUAAAUCAUUCAGAAACAAAAGAGAAUCUCAAAGAUUAUCUGAUUAUUUAUAUCACCUUUCUGAAUUCACAAAUAGUUCCUCAUAUACUGUAAUACCCAUCUGGAGGAAACUUAUUCUUUUAAAAUGCUUGUAUGCCAUAAUAACUUAUCCUGAUUGUUCUCGUACGCAACAAUUAAUUCGAGUUUUCCUAGUUGUUGAGAUGUGUUACAGACUUGUGUUUUUUUAUUAUAUUGGAGCCGAUUGAUCAUAAGCAUUAUGCCUUUUAACUAUUACGUGCAAGAUAGCAACCUUGCAGUAGGAUGGGCUCUUCUGGAGAGCGGGUCCGAUUGAACCGUAUAGGCUCCAAUUGGACUUGUUGUACCCAUUGAAAACUUUGUUAUGUUUCUCACCAUAUGUGAGGUAACGUUUUUAAGGUAUGCCUAGCGGGAUGAGCGUGAUGCAACAUGAGACCACAAGACUAGUUAGUAUUGAGCCAAGUUUCGGUUGAAUAAAAUUGACAAUGGAGUUGCUCGAAAUAAGUUGUAGCUGAAAUGAAUUUUAAUUGAGUUGCGAUUUAUUUGUUGGAUGAAACUGAAUCAUGUAUACUUAGUAAUUUAAUUUAGCAAUUUAUAUAUAAUUUUUAUAUCAUGUAUUAUUAUUUCAAGUGCUUUGUUCUAAUGCCGUACAAGCAUAAAGGUGGCAACCUAUGUGUUUGAGCAGGUCUACAACGUACCUGGCUAUGCAUCUGGCGGGGCAUGUUCGGCCGAAAUAAUGGGUGAUUCAGGGAACUAAUAAGCCAACUUAGUGUGCUAUAGUCCGUACAAGAAGAGAAAGAGGACACUUAGCCAAGUUACAUGCACCUACGCCACAGUGUGCACAACAAGAGAGAAGCCUUUGAGGUAAAAGAUGAGAGGACGCGAAAGGGAUUUUCAUUAAAGAGGAUUGGUUGAAGCUGCUCCAUACAGAGAAUAAUAUAUAAUUAAGGGAAUUGUAUGGGCCGUUGCUGUCGGAUUUCUUAAACAACGGCCCAGUCCAGAUGGCCACGAUGAGUCCUAGCUAACGCUAUACUUUUUCAAAUACUUUUAAAUUGCUAAAAUUAAAAAAUAUAAAAAGUUUAAAACACUUUUUAAUCUGAUAAUUUAUUCAAGAGGAAUAAAAUUAUAAAAAUAUUAAUAAAAAUAAAAUUUUAAAAAAAUUAAAGUUUAAAAUAUUUGACCAAACAUAACCCCUUAGGAGAAGCCCAAACCUUGACCUUGGGCUACUCCUAAGGUCUGCCAAGGUAUGCAGACCUUGGAAGUAGACAAAAGUUCCUUGGAGAAGGGGCCCUUCUCCAGGACCAUUAAAGCCCCAAGGCCGAGAGAUAGCUACUCUCGGGCCUUAUCAGCAGGCGACCAGCAAGCAUUGCCUAUAUAGCACGCCGUGCAUUCUACGAGCAACUUGUCGGCCCAACAUGGUCCUGGCUCGUUUCGGCCGUGCCUUGCCACGGCAAUGUGACGACCCCAAAAAGCUGGCCCGCACGAAAUAAGGACGGCAGGCCUGGCCGUUACACGUGCUUUACAAUGUCCAUGCCGUGCUCAGGCCUAGCGGCCAACAGCUUCCACGUCCGUUUUAAUCCUUAUGUGUAAUUCUUCUCUUGGUAGUGACGUUAUCGAUUUGUAUUGCGUAUAUUCGUGAUGGUCGAGUCAAGUAUCUGAAUUGAUUUUACGAUAAAAUUAAAAAGAUGACGAAAGACGUCGAAAGCCAAACUUGGAGUUCAUGACGUUUGUAAGUUAAUUUGAUUUUUGUGGCAUAUUUAACACAUGUUUAUAGUCGGAAAUCUAACGAUCAGUGAUUAAAUAUUACUCUAGAAACCGGUUAUUAGAUAUGUACCCAGAGAUAGGAUGUUGAAACUGUGUUUUUAAAGCAAUUUCUGGCACCAUGUUCUGAGAACCUAUUCGCUAUCCGGUAACAUUGAGUUGCUUUUAUGUUCCAGCGAACGGAUAUUUCAUGUGUCCGAAAUAAGGCAAAUUUUUAUAGAAAACGAAUUUUAAACUUCUAAUCUGACACAAACUUGUUCCUGAACAUAUAAUAUGAUGUAUGGGGCUUCUCACAAAUAGGAUCACGACCUAGGAACAUAACGGAUCAAAUUUGGUUCCAUUUUCCUUCUUUCAUCAAAGCCUCCAUUGAAUUUAAUUCAGGGUGCUUCGUUAUAUUUUCAUGUAGAAACUGAUUCAACAAAUCGCUUAGAAUCUUCUCUAUUAGUGAUUGCAUAUUAUUCUAAGUCGAGCAUCAACCACCAACACCUACUGUUCUUGCUCUGGUUGGAGUGCCCCCGUGGAUUCGAGUGGUGCGUCAUGGAUUCGCUGUUGUGUAGAAGCCUUCGUAGUUAGAGCGUGUGGGCUUUUCAUCAAUGGAACAUGGCUCUGUGGACUCAGAUGUAAAGAGAGGCUCUGCCGGGUGUGAGACUUUGAAGGCGUUUUACGUUUGUGUUAGAUCCGAUGCGGAUCGGUAAUCACCUUUGCUACCUUUUUCAUCAUUAGUGAUUUUUAUCACAUAAUCGUUCUCAUAUGUCUUGGACUCUGAGAUAUAGGAGGCUUUCCAUGUUAAAUCUCGUGCCUAUAUUAUUUUUUCGCACUUUGUUUGUUAUUUAUCGGAAUGUUUGAUUUUGAGCAUUUCUUGCUUUCACAUCCUCUUCUAGGUGUAAUUUGUUAUUUUAGAUUCUUAGGUUUCAUAACUUACAAGUGAAUCUUAUUAUAUCUAUAUUUUUCUCUUUGUUAUUUCUCUUAUUGUGGUUGUGCAGCUUUUGCUGGGAGGAAAUGUUUAUGAUAAAAACUCGAUUGACGUUGUCUGUCAGUGAGUCCCUACAACUAGUACCAAAUGACUAAAUUUACACAAUUAGUUCAAGCAGGUUGCGGAUUCUAAACAAAAGAAGCCAAAUCCACGUAACCACCUGACUGAUUGUCUCCAAUGCUUCCUCGACAAUCGCCGCAUAAUUCAUCAGUUUUCUUCAAUCCUUUCACAAAUCACUGCGGAACAAAUCGGUUGUCUAUACCUACGCCUCUUUGCCUAGCAAGCAUCAAUUAACACAUGGAAGUGAUAUGACCAUAAACAAACGGCGCAACCUACUCUGACAAAUCACCUCUAGCAGCUUCAGAAUUUCUUGUUUUCAAUAGACCGCUUUAAAGCACAAUUCCAUAGACAGCAAUUGCAAACAAAAUCUAUCUUAAUGCGUCACCAAACAAAUGAAUAUUACACAACAUUACAGAAGAUUUUUAAUAAAUGUAUUAAUGUGACUGUAUCUCUCUCAGCCACUUUACAACUUUCAAUAACAAUCUUGUUCUAGUUAAGGAUGUAAGGCAAACUCAUUGACUUUGCUGCUUCACCACUGAUAUAUGGUACACAAUUACGCCACCAAUAGUCCUCGUAUUUUUCUUUUCCAUACUGUCAUCUUUUUCAUCUUUAUAUUUCUAGUUAUUUUCAUAAUUAUUUGGUGUCAACAAGCAUCUGCUUCACUUUGCCAGAAGGCGAAUAACCCCCAAUUUAAGAAUCAUAAUGUAUGGUUGAACUAAUAUUAAUUGUAACAACUUAAUAGUUAUACUUUCUUUUGGGUCUUUCAGAUUCUCGAUAUUUUGGAUCUUCUAAUUAGUCACCUAGCUUAAAUUGCUAGCAACGCUUAGAAAUUUCUGGGUCCAUCAACUACAACCGCACGUCGAACAAAAUUGGCAAACAACCAUCAAGCAUUAUGCAGUCCUUCUGACAUUGGUUUGUACACGACAUGUGAGAUGAUUAUGUGGCCAAGCUCGCUCAAAUGCAGCCUAUAGGCUUUCUUUUACCAUUCUAUUGCAUCGGAUCUUGGUCGGUUUGGUCAUCCACCUAUUGGCCCACUCAUAGCUUUGCUUUCACCAUUCUAUUGCAUCCUCGACAAUCUCACUACACUUUCACUCUUAGAUCUUAGUUUUGAAUAGAAUCGGGAAUGUGGGAAUAAAAGUUGUUCUAAUAGGUUGUUCUCCUCAAUUACGCUAGUUGUCAUUCCUACGUUUUAAAUGCCUAUAUAUUGUUGACUCCUGUUCUAGAGUUAUAAGUCUGGUUUCAAUAAAUUGAAGUAUGAACAUUUACAAAUCAUACAGUGGAGUGUAGUAAUUGCUUGGACAGUGGAUGUUUUAGUGUUAUCUUAUUUUCAAAUUGCAAAAUCUCUAUUCAUAUCUAUUGAUGCAAUGAUAAAUGAAGGAAAAUCCUAAUUUAUCGUCUAGUGAGUGAGUACAAAAAUAAUAUAAAUAAAUUUUUGAAUUUUCAAAAUUUUUGACUAAUUACAAAUUUUCAAAAUUUUUAAGUUUUCAAUAUUUUUAAUGAAUUUUAAAUUAAUUUUUUAGAAAUGAAUAUGAUGUUCGGAGGGCAGCAGGGUUUUCCAUAUGAAUUGUUUAAAAGUUUUUAUUUUUAUUAUUUUUUAGAAGUUUAAGAAAAAGAAAAUAGUCUUAUAAAUAGCUAGUCAAAUUCAAAAGAACUUUGUCGACAAUUCCAGCAAUUAGAGAAAGAAAUUACAGAAAAUAUAGAGAGAAUAAAGAAGCUGAAAAAACAAAGAAAGAUUAGAACCUUUUUGAAUGAAAGAAUUUUCACCAAGUACAUGACAAGGAGAAUGAGAAAGAAAAAAACACGAAGAUAUUAAAUGUCGCAGGUCAAAACUCCAAAACAGAAUUAAUUUUCGAAAAAUAUAUGUAUAGGCUUUAUUUAUAGCCCUUGUAACAUAAUCCCACUCUAAAUCAAAUCUUCAAGAUUACAGAGAUUUUCAAAUCAAAGAUUAUCAAUAAAUCAUAAUCCAAAUUUAAGAAGCUAUAACCAAAUCCUUAUUUUUUAGGGCAUUUUUUAUGCUGAAUGAAUCCUAAUACCUUAAAGAAUCACUAAAGACAAAUUAGAAAAGAAAACAUUAAUCCACAAAUUGAAACAAAUAAAUUUUAAAUCAUAUUUAUUUUAUGGGCGCAUCAUCUGCAUCGGCAAUAAUUCGAUACACAUCAUUUCCAUUGUUGAUGGUUAUGAGAAACUUAGCAUUCCUUAAAAUAUUGUGUCGGCAAACAAGUAUCAUACGAAUAUGAUUUCAUAUCUACUUCCAUGCAUAAAUCCGAUUCAUAUCUUGCAUCCGUUUUGAUCGAAAUAUGGUAAUGCAAUUUAGCAUCGUUUUAACUACUCAGGUCAAUUAUAUUACAAAUUAGUGUAUUGGCGUGGAAUAUGGUUCUUCUAAUGUCAGGACAGUAUCUGAAUAUAUUACCGCCUAUCUGACAUGUAUCGAAACACGUCACUUAUUUUUAUCUACCAUCCAUGUUACAUCUUGUGUUGUUCAUCAGAUGUUCAGUUUUCUAACCUUGAGCAAGUUCAUUCUUUGAUUAACUUUUAAUUAGGUGGACUGGCAAUUCGGAAUUGUCUAGGAUGCUUGAAGGAGGUUGCAUGACAACAAUUUAAGUGUUUCAAUAUUGAGAGCCUCAACAAAGCUGAAAACUAGUUUUUCAAAUCUUUAUACCUAAUAAUUGUACACUGUUUUUAUGUGUAUAUGCCCUUCCAUUAUUUCUCAUCGUAAUUUAGAAAAGAAAGUCAAAAUAUUUCAGAUGACUUGACAAAAUUUAAGACAUAGUCAACAUAUAAAAGAAAAAACCAAAAAUAUUAUACAAAUUUAUCAUACAUAUUAUUAUAAGACCAUAAGUAAUCGAAACUGUAAGCAGCGUUUCGGGUCGGAUUAAGGAGGGGAUAAGGGGUUAUGGCCACCCGAAAUAUAGUUAUCCCAAACACCUUUUUGUUGGGUGGUGUUAUACCCCACCCAAACGGUGUUAUCCCGAUAACGGGGUGGGAUUAAUAAUCCACCCAAUUUAAUUUUUUAAUUUUAAGUGUUUGUGAGGGUUUGUAGUAGAUUUUUUAUAGAAUAGAAUUUAAAUUAAUAAUUUAAAUUUUAAAUUUAUUUUAUUUUAUUUAAAUUUAAAAUUUGAUUUUUAUAUUUUAAUUUAAAUUUAAUUUAAAUUUAAAAUUUAUUAAUAAUUUUAAUUUUUGAAUUGAGAUUUUAAAAAUUUUAAUUUAUUCUUGAUUUUCAAUGUUUAAAGUAUAUAAUUUAAAUUUAAAAUUGUUAUUAUAAAUUUAAAGAUAUAAAUUCCAAAUAUUAAGUAGCCAAUAUAUUCUUAUUUUAUUUAUAAUACCCACUAUUCUUCUUAUUUCAUCUUAUUAUACAAAUAUUUUUUUCUUAUUUUCAGGACAACUCAUUUUCGGUAGGCCGUUUAGGUUCGGGUAUAAGUAAAACUGCUAGUUCUAGGAUAUUACAAGUUCAGGUAUAACAGGAACUAGACCAAUUUUGCGUGUUGGAUGAAAUUUGGGUGUUCCUAGGAAUAAGGGUAAAUGUGUGUGUGGUUGGUUAAUUUGGAACAAGAGAAAAGAGUUAUAAUGAAAUUAAAAUUAUAUUAUGCUAAUUAAUCAGUAAUAAAAUAUUACUUAAAAUAAAUAAAAAUUAUUAAUAAUUAAUUAUAAUAUAAAUUAAUAUAUGGAUGAUAUAAUAAUUAUAUAUUAUUAUUAAUUAUUAAUAAAAUAAUAAUAAUAAUUAAUUAUGCUUGAUUAAUUAAUUAUAAAUAAUAAAUUUUAUUAAUUUAUUAAUAAUAUUAAUAUUAAUAUUUAUUUAGAUAAUAAUUAAUAAUUAUUAUUAUUUAAUAUAAAUAAUCAUUAAUAUAAUAUCCAGUUAUCUAAUAAUAGAAUAAGCAUUAUUAAUUAAUUAUUAAUUGUAAUAUUAUAUAUUAUUAAUUAAUAAUUAUUAUUAUAAUAAAUAAAUUAUUAUAAUAUCGUAUUAUCAUAUUAAGAAUAAAAUUAUUAUAAUUAAUAAUAAAUAUGAGAUCUGAGAUUGAUGUAGUGUGUAGUGUAUAGAGUAUGAUGUGUGAGAGAUUAAAUAAUAAUAAUAUCAAUUGUCAUUAGUAAUUAUUAAUAUUAUUAAUAAAAAUAAAUAUGAUUAAUUAUUUAUAAUUAAUUAUAAAUAAUAGAUUAAAAUAAUUAAUUAUCUAAUUAUUAAUAUUUAUUAUAUAAUAAGAUUAUUUAAAUAUUUAAUAUUAAAGCUAAUUUUAAUAAUGAUUAAAUAUAUUAAUUAGAUUAUGUAUAAUUUAAAUUUAGAUUUAAUUAAUCUUGUUGCUCAUCAAGGAUACAAGCUUGUUCAGAAAAACGGGUGGACAGCAGGUCAGAUUUAUACCAGCUAGUCCGAUUCCGGACUACUGUUUCCGGAAACAUACAUUGGUUUGAACAAGGGGAUAGGGCUUAUUCCCCCUUGUCCCGAACCAAACACUACUUGUCUAUUCCAGUAUAAAUUCGGACUUUAUCAAUUUUGAAAUAACUAUUUUUUACUAACUCCGAACCAACGAAGCCUAAGAGACCUGGCAUUAGAAGGAAAUCAAAUCAUACAAUUCCAAACAACCACCUUACCUCAAUCCUUUUUUAGAUCCGCAGCGAACGCAUCUAAACAUUCACGCAGUUUCAACCACGCAGUCCUGCUCCAAAAGCGGUGCAGAGCAGCCUGUAGAAUCCAAUGAGCAAAGAAAGUCAGUAACACAUACUCUGCUUCCCUAAAAUGAAAUGCAUUAAGCCAAUGGUCAACCAACACAAGUUUCUUUUCGAUCUUUGUGAAGCAACCUGAGUAUUCACCUCUGUUUCGCGCACUCUCUCGCGCACGCUCUUCUCCUCCUCGAAUACUCUCGCCGGCCGGACAAUCCGAGGAUCCCAUAAGACGCUCUCCCGCACUCUCAUGAGACACUUUAUCAUCUCUCUCAAUCAAAACAUUCAAACGCUUAUUCCGCCGCCCUCAUCUGGCACUGGCACUGCCCCUGCCCAUCACCGACAGGGUCGGGACAACUCUCUUCUCGAUCCUCGAUCGCCAGAUCUGCGAUUCCUCGCAACUUUCCCCCCCAAAAGCCCCCUUUUCUUUUUCCGGAAAAAGGCCCCGGGGCCGCCUCAUCCUCACCGCCUCCGCGCCACCCUUCUUCUUUUCCCAUCCUCCUCACUGCUGCUGCUGCUGUGCCUGCUGCUCUCUGUAAUGCAUAUGGCUCCAGUAUCAUCCUUGGAAGCUCUCAUCAUUGUAUGGACUGUCCUUUUUUUGCUGUUGUUAAAAAUCUUUGGCCAAGGUGAGAGAAGAAUAUAGGUAAGGUAAACCACACAAAGAUAAGGAGGAAGAAGGAGGAGAGGAGGCAGGAGGAGGAGAGAGAAAGGAGAGGAAGAAGGAAGGAGAGGAGAUAGUGUUUGAGAAGAUGUAGAGGGAAUAGUAUAGUAGUAUUUACAGAAAACAACCUUGAGAGGAAAGAGUGGCAGCGAGAGUGAGUUGUCUCUUUCAUCUUUUCUUUAUCCUUCUGUUUCUCGUUCUCCAAUGCUUUCUCUCUCUCCUCCUUUUUCCUUCUUUUGUGCUUCCUCUUCUGGGACCUGAGGGCAUGGGAGGAGAUGAUGAUGAUGAUGAUGAUGAUGGAUGAUGAUAAGCUCUUGCUCUUCUUCAAUGAAAAACAAGAGGCUUUUGAGGAGGUGAAGAAUAAUGUGGAUGGAGAAGGAAAGAUGAAGAUUGUGGUAUCAGAACUGAAGAGAGAGAUGAUUCGUUUUUUGUGGUUUGAGAGGAUGAUGAAGAUUCGAUAUUGCCUCCUCUCUCCGUUUUUUCUUCCUUGAUUCUUGCUUUAUUUUAUUUUUUGUCAUCUGGUUUUUGAUUUUUUUUUUAUAUAUAUGAAUUGUUUUGUUUUUUUUUGUGAGAGAGAGAGCAUUAAAUAACAUACUAUGCAGUUUAUUUAUUUUAUUUAAAAUAAAUCUAAUUAAAAAUAUAAUAAUUAAAAUUUAAAUUUAAAAUUUUAGAUACUAAUCAAUAAAUUUUUGUCCGGUUGCAAUAGAUACAUCGAUCGCAUUAAUAUGAAUUGUCGCUUGUUUUUGAAAUUGAUGGUGCGUACUGAUGGACUGGCGUUUGGUGGCCGUCGUUGGAAAGGAACGGUGGGAUCGGAGAGGUGGUAACAGGACGAUUCAAAUCCAUUGGAAGGAACAAGUGCAUGAAUGCAUCUGAGCACCAUCUAUACAUCAGUUCUUAAAAAUAUUUUUCAAGAAAAAGUUAGGAAAUCCGGCCGUUUGUUUGCUGUAAAAAAAGAUUUUCGCAAAAAAAUUUUACGAAUAGUACAGAAAAAUGUCGUUUUCGUUCGCUCGAAGCAAGCGGAAAACAGAAAUUAUGCCGCAAAAAUAUGUAGAGCGUUGCGAGGGGGCGGAGUGAGGCCACGCAGUCUUGUGGACCGAGGAGAGAGGUCACUCUCCCUUGUUCUUCUUUCUAUAUAUAAAUAUCUAUAAUAUACUAUUUGCACGUGCGCUGCCAGCGUAUUAAUUGCAUGUUAAAUAAAAAAAAUAUAUUUAAAUUAUUUUAACAUUAAUUAAAUUAUGUAUUAUAUUAAAAUAUUCAAUUUAUAUAAUAAUAAAUAAAUAUAUUUUUUUCACAACUAAUAAAUAGUAUUUUAUAUAGAAGCCUUGACCUAAUAAUAAUUAUAAUUAUAUAAGUUAUAAAUUGAUAAUUUUUAAUAUAAGUAAAUAUAAAAUUUUAAUUUAAAAAUAAUUAAAGUGAGAAUCUCAGCAAAAAAAAUAAAAAUAUUAGGGAGGCAAUUUAGAAAUGGUAGAUCUCCAUGCAUUUUACUAAAAGAUAAAAAUAUAAAAGUGAGAUGCCUAUUUCAUAAUUGCUUAUUAGUUGAAGGAUACUAUAAUUUUUACAUUAAAAGUGUAAAAAAAUGCCUGCAGGUUGACGUGUAUAUAUCCUUGUCCCUUCCUCUUGUGGUGAGUUGAGUCAGUAGCCUUUUCUAUAGCUCGAUUAAUCUAAUAUUCAAGUUAACUAUGCGUUACAAAUAUUUUAAUAACAAUAAAUAAAAUUAAGAAUUUAAAAAUCGUAGAAAAAUAAAUUGAAAUUUUAUAAAACUAAAUUAAUAAAAAAUAUCACUAUUAUUAAAUUCUAAUGGAUCUUAAUAAUAUUCUAAUCUAACUUUAGAAAACUAUAAGAAAAAUGUUAUGCACAAUAAACAGCGAUCUCAAUUUCAGAUUUUGCAAAUCAAUCAUUUAUGUCUAUUUCUAUUUUUUAAUAUAUACAUAUUGGUAAAAAAGAUGAUAAUUAUUAUUUUAAUGUUAUUAAAUAAUAACACUUAAAAGAUUCAACAGAUAAAGCUAAAUAUCAAUAUAUAUUAUAUAGGUCAAAUAAUUUUUUUAUGUGAAACAAAGUGUUUAUAUAGUGAAUUCAUCACAAAUUAUAAAAUAAAUUUAUUGAAAUUCAUCUCUCUAAAUAGUUAUAAAUUCACAUAUACAUUUGUAUAUAUUUUUUAAUUAUAUUUCAUACAACCAACCUUCUAAACAACCCACAUAGGUAUAAAGACAAAGAGCACUGUGUAUUUUAAAAGCAGAUCCAGUAUAAUUAUUAUUAUUUUUUAUUAAGAGAAUUGUCAGAUAUAGAUGUCCAAUAAUAUGCAAAAAAAGAAAUGUAAAAAUAAAUAAUUUGAUUAAUCACACAAUUAAAAAUUGGAAAGCAAGAAAAUCAAUCGACAAUAAUAAUUGCACCAUAAGAUAUUAGAAAUUUUCAAAUAUUUUAUAAGCCUCCACAAAAAUACCUAUAUUUAGUAUAUCAUAAUUACAAUAAUUUAAAUUCAGAUAAUAAAUUAAAACAAUAAAAAAGAGAAAGAAAAACUUAUGAUUCAAACUUAUACAUUUCUCAGCUGAUAAUCCCUUCUCCUUCAAUUUUAAAAUCCAGUUAAUAUCCGAUCAUCCCGUAGUAACGAUUACUUCUUGCUCUUUUUUUUCAAGAAACAAAUUAUUACAAAUAAGAAAAAAUUUGUAAAUUAAACCCAUUACUUUGUUUGUGGUAGAACAGAGAAUUAAAAAAGAAAUGUCUAAAAAUAUUCUUUAGACAUGAAAAGGCAUUACAAUUACAAUGUUUCAUGUCUUUUAUUGCUUAAAAGAUGAAUAUUAAUUGUAAGAAUUCUAAAACUCUUAUUAUAUGGAGAUAGGCUUUCCACUUCUCCUUUCGUUUUCAUAAAAGAAUGAUAAUAAUUUUUUUCUUUCUCACUAUUAUUUGGAAGAAUGAAAGAUUAGUUGUAAAUAAUUCUAAAAUUUUUCAUUUAUAGAUUAGGCCUUUUAACCUUUCCUCUUCGUUACUCAUCCAAUGUUAUAUUUAUUAAAUUUCAAAUAACAUUAAUUGAACAUCUUAAUUUGAACCGUUAUUCAUAAAGAAUGAUUAAUUAUUUUUUUCUUUUCUCAUUUAUGUUUUGAGAGAUGCAAAGCAAUUAGAUGUAAUAAUUCUAAAAAUUUUUCAUUUAUAGAUAGAGGUCUUUUAACUUGCCUCUUCCUUACUAUAUAUUUAUAUUAUUAAAAUUAAAAAAUGAAUUGAACAACUAAAUUUUGAUUACAAUAGACUAUUAUUGAUAAUACUAUGUAAGAGUGAUUCUAUGCAUUAUUACAAAUAUAUUUAUUUAUAGAUAGAUUUUCAUUCCCCUUUCCGGUUCUCAUAAUUUAAUUUACUAAAUAUUCAAUAAAUUUAUUAACAACUUAAAUUGAAUUCACAAGAAUAAUUAACUGAUAACUGACUAUUAGAGUGAUAUGAGGUUAUUUUGUAAUUUACAAUGGAUCGAAAAAAAAGGGUGAGACGAAACAACAAACAUUAUUUGCCUUAUAUAUAGAAUAUAUAUAGGCUGAAGGUUAUACUUUAAGUAUAGAAUCAUCUGUACUCAUAUUUUAUUAAUUAAUUAUUGAGAACCACAGUAUAACUCGAAGGAGUGAGAAAACUUUCAUAAAAAAGGUUCUAUGGUUCGAAAAUAUAUAUUGGUCCGGCAUUUGGCUGAGUUGUUGGACAUAUCCAUCAAUUAUUUCUAGAAGGGCGAGAGAUCACCAUGUUCAAGAUUGGAAUUUGGAUUUUAGAAUUGUCACAAGGCCAGGGACGGACAGCGGGCUACAUUUCAGCUUUCGCUUGAGUAAUAAGCACACGAUUGCAAAUAUAUCUAUAUUCUUUCUUUUAACUAUUCAAUGAUAUCGAGAAAUUGAUCAGAGACAUUGAAAGAGCAUUUGUUGGCAUCGCCCGCGCCUAACAGGAAUAUUACCUUUGCAUGCAGAAGCUCUCCUUUUUUUUUUGUUUUCCCGAUCUGAAGAGAAAAGUUAUAUAAUGUGAGAUUUAAUUUGUGUUAGACGUGGCGGCAAGUGGGAAAACAAUGGGAAUAAUUAUAACACCAAGUGAUGAUGGUUAAAUAAGUUAUUAGAAAGCCGCACUGCACCGCAAAUAAAUAUAAAUAUUUCAGACAUUACAUAUAUAUACUAUUAAAAUUUUAUAUUUGAAAAAAACCUUAAACUAAAGAAAUAUUUUUAAAAAAGCCUAUAAAAUAUCUUACGUACAUUAUAAAAUAAUUUUUAUUAAAAUUCUUCUUAAAUGUUCACAUUUAUAAAGUUAAAUUAUCAUAAUAACUGUUAUUCAAAAAGUAAUCAAUUUAGUUUUGAUUGAUUAUUCUAUAAAUAAUUUUUAAUUAAAGUUAAAGUUAGAGGAUUUACUUCAAUUGAAAAAUAUGGGAGGGUGCCCUUUGCCUUGUUAAAUUAGUAUGAAAGAAGAAAACUUAUUACAUACUCCGGUGUAUAUUAGUAUAUCUGCGGUUAAUGUUCUAUAUUAAAAAAUUUACUAAAAAUAUAUAUAAUCAUGAAGUUUAAUAAUUUAGAUUAUGUUUGUAAAUUAAUUUUAAAUCUCUAUUAAAGGAUUUAGGUAUUGGUGCUAUCAAAUAUAUACUUACGUCUAGGAGAAAUAUUAAUAAAAAGCACUAAUUCAAAAUAGUGGAAAAAUUUUGCUUGGACCUGGUCGCUACUUACUUCAUGCACUGACAUAGUAUUAGAUGAUUUAAUAAAAUAUUUGCAUAAUUAAUAUAUAAAAAUAAAUAUUAUGAUAUAAUAUAAUUGUAGUUACGAGCUGAAUUCCUUCGACCGGCUUACUCGGUCAUCAAAUGUCCUCCCUCAGAAACGCUGCGAGGCAGUAGAGCGGUCUACUGCGCAAUAACCCUUCAGCAGAAAUUAGCAUUAGAAUGUUUAGAUUUGCAGUAGUGGUCUCCUAUGUUGGCUCGGAAUUGGUGUAAUUUGAUCUGACUUGGAGCGCUCCUUGAUUUCUUGACCAGCCUAAUCUUCCUUUUGGUUAAAUAUUUCUGCAGAGCGCUUAUCUCCUCAAUAUUUCUCUUAUUUAGCUCAGCAUAAAACACUUGUCUGCCGGUAUCUUAGCUUUAGAUAUACCAUAUUUUUUCGCCGAGCGACUCUUCUCAAUACGAAGGUACUGAAUAGUUAGUUCCAUUAAAACGACCUCACAAGUAUGAUGACUUUUGAAGAUAAAGAUCAACCUUCGGCAAGCACAUUACUAGUAGGAGAUGUCUAAUGGUAUGAUAUACGACAAUUUAUCCGAACCGAAUCGAAUUUAAACGCGUAUAUCCCGAUGGAUAUGGAUAUGGAUAUUGAAUUGGAUAUUAAAUAAACCACAGUUUGGAUCUCGGAUAUGGUAUUUUGACUGUAACCUGACCCGAACCCGGAACCCUGUUACCCGAACCCGAAUUAUUUUGUUUUAAAUAAUAUAAUAUAAUAAAUAAUUUAUAUAUAUAUAUUAUAUAUAUAUAUAUUUAUGUUAUAUUUGAAUUUGUAUUUAAAAUUUAAAUUUAAUAUAUAUAUAUUGUUGAAAUAUUGAAAAAGAAAUAAUGUCGUCGGGUUCAAAUUUUUUGCGAUUCGGGUUUCGGAUUUUUGUCGGGUUCGGUUGGAUAUGGAUUUUUUAAAAUCGUCGCGAUUCGGAAUUUGGGGUUCAGGUCUCGCGUUUGAGGUUGGGGGUCCGGUUCGGGUUUUUAAAAAUCCGCCGCCGAAUCGACCCUUGACAUCUCUAAUUACUAGUCUCAAAAGAUCUGUGCACCAAACAGAGCCACUUAUAUAUUUUCUUCUUUAAUCCUCUUCAGACAGGUAUACGUCUUACUUCUUGAGUUAAUCUACCGUCUUCAAUAAACGAUCAAAAAUUAAUUUCGUUUUUGCCACAUCAAGAAUAGCAUACACUGUGACGCCGCGUUUAGCCUCGUAGCCUUGCUGGCUUUAACAAGCCACUUAAAGGUGAAGUGACGUUUUUAACCAUCUUUGCUGCGUAUAUUCGCCUCAUUCGUGCAACUACUUCUAUCACUGAGGUUUCAGCUCGUCUUGAGCCAAAGUUCUCAAUGAAAGAAAUAUUUUUUUCUUUUUCUUUAUUCAUCCUUAUUUUCGGCUCCAUCUUGGCCGAUAUCAUUAUUUGCUAUUUCAGACCUUAGUGUAGCGUUCGAAGAAGAUAAUGGAUCGCGGAUAUAAUAAACAUCUACCCAAAUGAUGUGUAUAGUGGGAACCACAGGAGCAAUUUGUCAUAUAGCAGACUGUACAUGGAUAUAUGAGGUGGGCGAGGCCGACAGAAGUUAUAUUUUUAUUUUGGAGUUGUUAUGGCAAGUGAGAUGAUGUCAUGCGCAUGUUGCAUAUUUUUUGAUAUUUCUAUCAGGACUUUGAUAUAUUUAGCUGGAGAGUAGAACUCCAUGGCAUGUUCUUGUUUGUACGGGUAGUUUUCAAUACUUCGUGAUGUAAAGAUGGCACCCUUGUGCAGUUGCCGCACAGAUAUUGUGAUGCACCGGAGAUUUCUUCUAUCGCCUAUGGCCAUACAAAAGUAACUUGACGAGGUCAAAUAUGUAUUCAUUUCAAAACACUUGAUCAUACUCUUCAUUUUAUCAAAUACUGCAUGCUUCUUAAGGUAAACAAAAGGAGAUAUACCGAAUAAGUGUUCUGUAUCAAAGCAUGGCUUUAGCUUAUUUUAUAGUGAAUCAUUUUCUUGGGGCAUAUUGACAUUUCACUUUACGAUCACUAAAGUUACUUGUGUGGUUGAGUUCAUGAUUUAAGGUGAUUCUAUGUGUCGUACUGCUAUUAUCGUUAGCCGUUUUCUUCCGACAACUUCUCGGUACUUCAUCAACUCCAACACCGAUACAUCUAAUAUUUCCUUAUCACCAGAAUGCGUGAGUAAGAUAAAAAAAAAAAAAACAGUGACACACAGAUAUUCAUACAUUCAAAUAUUUAUCCUUUAAAAAAUAAAGAAUAAAAUAGAAAUAACGUGUUGAAUUUUAUAUUUUUCACCUCGCAGACGACGUUAAGAAAAUGCGAUCAACACACCUGGUGAACAUAUCACUCCAACUCUUAUUCGUGCAGACCAUAUAAAAUUUAUUUCCUCAAUUUUUUUUUGCUUUCACUAGUUCCUAUUGAGCCAAUUAAAAAAUAAAUGCAAUGAAUCAAAUCAGCACAGUAACUUCACUUGCCAACGAGAAGUCUAUCAAGAUUCUCCUAUUCCUCCAUGGAUGGCAAGGAUGUAGAUAAACUGUUAGCUGGAAAGUAUGAUUCGACAAAUGCCUCAUUGUUCUCUGAAAUCAUAUCAAUUUCUUAUAAUUAUUUGUCAAAAUAGAGAUCUUUCUUUGCAAGCGUUCACGCUGAAAGAAAAAAAAAAAACAAAAACAAAAACAAAAGCAGGAGGACUUAAUGGUAUGCCCGCCCAAACGUUUAUAAGAUUCAACACACUUUCAUGAAUUAAAUGGCCCUCUUUUGGUUGACGCUCUUUCACUUUUGAUGCAAUUGAGUUAUUAUCAACUGAACCGAGAUUUUAUUAAAUCAAUGAGUUUUUAUCAAAUUAUGUUGUUGUCAAACUUUUACAUAAAAUUAAAUUAAACAUAUAAUAAAAAAUUAUUAAUUAAAUGUAAAAAAUUUUCAACUAGAUUAAAAUGUUCCGACAAAACAUUUAAUAUAUAAUAUUAUAUAUAUAUUCUAAUAUAUAUAUAUAUAUAUAAAAUUAAUAAAAUAAAGAAAAAAGUAUCUUACCAGGCGUGCAUUUCUUCCUUCAAAAGCAAUUCCUUAAUAGCAAAAUGCCAUCUAAAGUCCAGAGAAUUAGAAAAAAAAAAAAAAAAAAAGGGAAAAAAUGAAAGAAAUAUACAUUAUAACCAAAUUAAAACGUCGGCACCAAUAGCGUGAAAAGUAUGGAGAUCCCAUCGUUGUAAAAUAGCCCCUCAACAUCAACUUUUUAAUGCAUUCCCCUCAGAUUUUGAUUUUUGGAUUUGAUGAUUAAUUAGCAAUAAUAGAACUUUUCAUAGCUUUUAAUUGUAUUUGUCCAUUUAAAUAGUUAAACAAGUGUUUAUAGCGAAUAAAUCCAUAGACGACUGGAUCGCUAAUCAGCUACUUAAUAUUGUUAUUUUAGAAAAAAAAUCAAUGAAUAACUUACAAAAACUCAAAAAAAUAAAAGUUAAAAGAAUGUCAUGUAAAUUUCAACUUAACGGGUCUCCACACUUUUUAACCCAGUUAUAUAUAUAUAUAUAUAUAUAUUAUUAUAUAUACUUAUAUAUAUUAUGAGUGAAGGCAAUAUGCCUUUGGAAGCCACAGAGCCUUCGUACUUCCAGGUCAUUGUUUUUAUGGUGCGCUUCGUAAUCGUCGAGCGCGCUCAGUUACACUUGAUCUAGAGUAUUGACGUACUAGAAAUAAAUUUGGACGUUUUCGAUAUUAUUGCCUAGAACGAAGAGUGUUCAAAAUCAACGUGUUCUGAAUAUAAAUUUAUCACCCACUUGGAGGGAAUGCAUGUGUACACGUUCUCACCCCCCAUCCCCUUUCAUGUGACGUCGCGAGUCUCAGUGGGGAUGGUUCGUGAGGCGCGUAUUUUAGCGAUCGAUAGAGCUACCGACUCGUCGAUUUGGUUUAAUUCUUGAAUUGGCUUUCUCAAAAUAAUUAACUUAAUAUUUUUGGUUAAGUUGGUUUUCGUUUAUUUGGACAAAUGUGAUUUUGUGAAUGUAAUAAAAUACUUAUGAAUUCUUAUGAGAUGAAAACGAUUUUCUACCUCUCGUGAUAGUGUGUUUUUUUAAAAAAAAAAUCUAUGUGGGAAACAGUUUUAAAAAGAGUUUUCUAGUUUUCAUGAAUAUUAGUACUUCAAAAUAAGUUUUCGGGUGGGAAACGUUUUAAACUAAUAGAUGUGGAUUUAUGAAUAUCUGUGAUGAAAUGAAUGGUGAAUGUGAAUAGUGAUUGUAUGUGGAUGUUCAUACUAUGUGGUUGUAUCUUAUACUUGUGCAACGCCAAGCAAAUAUAGAGAAGACUCUAUCCGUGUGAAUAGUGAAUUUUCGAUAUUUGUGACGGAUCUGACGUCCUCUGGGAUCAAGAUUUUUAAAAAAAAAAUUUGAGCACUUCCAUAUCGGUUUUAAAUUUAAAAAGAGACUCCGGGACAUGAGAGAGAGAGGAAAAAAUAGAGAGAGAGCGAGAGAGAGAGAGAGAGAGAGAGAGAGAGAGAGAGAGAGAGAGAGAGAGAGAGAGGAAAAAAAAAAAGAUGAGCCCCACCGAAGCCCGCGCACGGGAAGGCUCCGGUUUAGCUCCCCUUUUGUUAUAUUUAUUUAUAGGUACUAAUCCCCUAAUCUUUGAAUAUCUAACCAAAAACACUAAGAAAAAGAGCCUCUAUUUAUUAAUAUCGUCGUGAGACGCAAAGUGCGUUGAUGGAUAAUGAGAUGGAUCGGAUAAGCGCACACAAAUACAAGAUCCUCAUCCACACACUUGUUUCGAUAUACUCUACAUAAAGAAUUAUGCCGGCGCCUACUGCCUACGCGAACGCCGGCGCCGGCACGGCACUUAUCUUCUCAAGUUACUAAGUUAUUGUGCUUUCAAUGCUUUAAUUAAUGGUUCGAAAACACCACGUUUGAUUAAGGGGGUGUUUGGUUCCCUGUAGAAGUACACCAAAAAUUAAUUUUCAGUUGAAAAUAUUUUUUCUGAUGUUUGGUUCUCUGUAAAAAAAAUUUCUCGGAAAACUCCUUUUACGAAUACGCGGAAAAAUUUGGGGUUUUGUUUUCCGCUCUAUUAUCGCAGAAAACAAAAAGCUACAGCAAAAAUGGCGGGGCUUAUAGGCCUCUUUGCAUGCGGUCCACGAGGUGGGCUUCACCUCGUGGACCGCCUGAGAGAGAGAGUAGUGGACCACCUACAGUAAAAUGGCGGGGCUCAUAUGUGCCUUUUUGCAUGCGGUCCACGAGGUGGGCUUCACCUCGUGGACCAUCUGAGGGAGAGAGUAGUGAACCUCUCUCUCCCUCUUUAAUUAUAUAUAUAUAUAUAUAUAUAUAUAUAUAUAUUUUAAAUAUAUUUUUUUAUAAAUAUAAAUUAUAAUAAUUAAAUAUAUUAUGAUAAUUAUUAUAUAUUAAUACUAUAUAAUAUAUAUAAUAGGAAAAUAUAUAUAUAAUAAUUUUUUAUAUGCAGUAUAUUAAUUAUUAUAUAUUAAUAAUAUAAUAAUAUAAAAAAUAUAUUAAAUAGUUUUUCAUCGAUUCUUCUUUUCCUUUCAACCAAACACAGGCAUGGAAAACUAUUUUUCUUUUUCUACAAACCAAACAUAAACAACGUAAAACAUUUUUUCCACCGAAAAUUUUUUUUCCACCAAAAACUUUUUUUCCAUAGUUUUACGUGAAACCAAACACACCCUAAGGAAAAAACAACAGUAUCCAUUGAAGAUUCCCCACCACAUACAGCUUUUUAAUAUGAAUUCCUGUAGACUAAAAUAAAAUCUAGAAGUGUUGGUGGACCAGGUCCGACUUGAAUAGUUGAUAUAUUAUACCCAAACCCUAAAAAGAAAUAGGUAGAAAAAAAUAAAGAGAGAGAGAGAGAGAGAGAGAGAGAGAGAGAGAGUCUGGCUAUAAUGCUAUCGAUAAUACCGAGCACUUGAUGCUACCAAAUUUUCUACUGUUAAAUCUAUCCUAUCGAUAAUACCGAGCACUUGAUGCUACCAAAUUUUCUACAGUUAAAUCUACCCUUUUAAUCAUUUUCACCCAUUAAUUAUACUAUUCAACGAACUACCCACUCAAACCUAGAGGACUACUAUCAUCCUAACCGUACAUCGUUUAAUUCAAAGGAUAAAAACUUAAUAGCACCAAUGACUUGGUGCUAUUAAUAGUAUUCUAGUCUAAUUAUAUAUAUAUAAAGAAGAAGAAAGAAUAAAAAGAUAAAGUAAAGAAAAAAAAUUAAAAGAUAAUAAUUUUCUUCUCCUAAAAAGAUCCUCAUUUAUCGUGACCGCUACAAGAAAAGCCAAAAAACAGAAAAGAAAAAAAAAGAAGAAAACGAAAUUGAACUGUUUGAGAUGAAAGUUGCAUUAUUUGCGACAAAACUUGUAUUCUUUGAGAAGAAAGUUGUAUUUUUUGAGGCAAAAGUUAUAUUAUUUGAAAGAAAAUUACACUCUCUGAGACAAAAAUUACACUAUUUGAUAGAAAACUUGCAUUCUUUAAGGUGAAAUACCAUUUAAAAAUAUUUAAGACUAAGUUGCACUAUAUAAAAUAAAAGUUAUACUUUUUGAGGAGACUUAAGUGAUACUAAAACCAUUUAAGAUUAAGUCUCAAACAGUGCAAUUUAGUCUCAAAUAGUUUUAAAUGGUGUAAUUUAGUCUUAAACAGUAUAAUUUAGUGUCAGACAAUGCAACUUCUACUCUACAUUGUACAACUUAGUCUCAAAUAGUUCUAAGUUGUACAACUUUCGACUCAAAGAAUGCAAUUUUCGCCUCAAAGAGUGCAACUUUUAUCCCAAAUAAUACAACCUUGGCAUCAAAAAGUGCAACUUUUAUCUCAAACAGUACAACCUCGUCUUCGUCUUCUUCCUUCUCUGUUUCUUGGCCUUUCAUGUAGCAAUCAUGAUAUAUAAUGAUUUUUUAGAAAAAGAAAAAAAUUCUUUAUUUUUUCUUUUUAUUUUUUUUAUUAUUUCUUCUUCUUUUUCUUUUUUCGCUAUCACGCCUCCUCCCUCACCCUCUACCACAACUGCCACCCCCGGCUCUUCCCGACACGCUUUUCCUCCUGCCAUCCUUAAAUCUUGCGGCACUAUCGUCAUCGUCGUUAUCCACAGUCAUGCGCUUCACCGCAACCUCACCUCUGCGAUAUGUGUCAUAUUCGAACUGACAUCAGCGAAGGUGUGGGCGAGAUAACAGAGCAGAGCGCAACGUCGAUGUGAAGGCAAUAGAAAAGGAGGAGAAGAAGAGGAAGCAAGAGGAAAAGAACAAAAAGAAACAGCAAAGUAGAGAGAGAUGAACCAAGAGUGGAAGAAGAAAAAACAAAAAAGAAAAAAAAAAGAAUAUUUUGGUUAAUUUACUAAAAAUUCAUACUGAAUCUGCAAAAUCUAAAAUGAUGGCCUAAUUUUGCAAAAACGUAAAACCGAUGAAUUUGUUAUGCAAAAAGGCCAAUAAAAAAAUUAAAACUUUUGCUCAUUUAUCCAUUACUAUUAUUCAAAAUUUUUAAAUUUAUUCCCAAAUUAUCAAAAUAUCCUUCUAAAAUCCAAUUUCAUUAGUAAAUCCAAAAAUAUAUGAAAGAAUUUUUUAAAAUCAACAAAAAAGUAUUUUGGUCCUCCAAAAAUAACUAAAAUACUUUUGAAAUUUUGAAGAACAUAUUAAAUAUGGGACAAUUAGUUAUAUACCCAUCAAAAGUUCUCGAUUUUCUUACUUACUCCUUUUAGAAAGCUAAUGUUAAAAUAUUUUUAUAAUGUUCUAAAUUAUUUUAAAUAUAUUUUUAGAGUUAAAUUUUGUUAGUGAGCUUUUAAGAACAAUCGUUAUCUCUGCAAAAAAAAUUACUAUUUUUUCUUUCAAACAUACCUUUCUAUCGUUAUCAAUUUUUCUUAUUUGUUCUUAAGUUAAUAGUAAAAAAAUAUUUUUAUUUUUUGCCUUUUCAAGUAUACUCUUUAUCUUCACCAACUUUUUUUAUUUGUCUUGAGUGAGGGGCAAAAAAAUAGUUUGACUUUCUUUUAUAUAUUCUAGUUCUAGAAAUUUAAUCCGGAUUUAACCCAAGAUAAUUUACCAAGUACUAACAGUAAAGUUAUUUUUGAAUAAUUUCAAAAGAUACAGAAUAUAUGAAAUACGAAAUAUUAUAUUAUAUAUAUAUAAUAUUAUAUAUAUAUAUUAUAUAUAUAUAUAUAUAAUAUAUAUAUAUAGCCUGGGGCUACUAUACUCUUAUGAGUAUAGGCCCCCUUGUACUCAUAAAUUUUUUAACUGAUGAUUGAUGAAAUGUUGUUGUUAGGAUGAAGUGGUCCCCAUUAAAAUGAUAGUAGCCCGUAAGGUUGAGGUGGGUAGUUGGUUGAAUAGUAUGAUCUAACGGAUGGAAAUGAUCAGUGAAACAAAUCUAAGGACCGAAAACUUAUGAAUAUAAAGGAGUCAAUACUUAUAAAGAGUAUAGUAGCCGGACUAUUUAUAUAUAUAUAUAUAUAUAUUAUAUAUAUAUAUAUAUAUAUAUAUAUAUAUAUAUAUAUAAAUAAAUUUCAAAAGUUCUGAAAUGAUAUAUUAGAUAUUAUUUAUUAUAUUAUUCCGAAAUAUUAUCCCAAAAAAAUUUUACCGUAGGCGAUCAACGGGGGCACUAACGAGUCGCAGGUCAGCCUCCGUUUUACUCGCUAGCAGCCCAAUCCAGAAUUUGAUAUGAUAACAAAAAGAUCUUUGGUAGAUUUAUUUGUUCAAAUUAUCACAUUUAGGGUUUCAAAUUUGAAAUUUUGAGUUUGAAAUUCUGAAAAUUCAAUUCGGAAUUGAAAUUUAUAAAUUCUAAAUUCCAAAGUCCAUAUAUCAAAUUUAAAUUUUGAAAGCUUAAAAAAUCUGCGUCCGUUCAUAAAAAAAAUUCUCAUAUUUCACUUCUCACUGCUAAGUUACAGAAAUUUUAGAGCUUGGCCACUUAGUGUGAGAGGACAGAAAAAAAAAGAGAAAGAAACAUAUUGAAAAUUAGAAUUUUGUGAAAGAAAAAUAAAAAUAUAUAAAUUAGUAAAAUUUGCUUUUUAUGGUCUAUUUGGCUUUAUUUUUAUGGGCCAACAAUAAUAGCCCAAAUUAAAUUAAAGCCUAUAUAUAAUUAAAAUACAUUAUAUAUAUAUAUAUAUAUAUAUAUAUAUAUAUUCGAGCUUUUUGAGCUUUUCGAGCCUAAUUCGAACGAGCCGAGUAAUACUCAAGCUCGGCUUGAAAUGAAUUUCGAACUUUUUUUUUUGUUCAAGCUCAGCUCAUUUAUUUUCGAGUCGAGCUCAAGCGAGCCAAAUAUCGAGUCGAACGCGAGUCGGCACGCUCAUUUGCCAGCCUAUCAACAACUGCCAAUAACAUUGCGUCAGAAAAGGAAAAAAUAAAAUAAAAUUACCGGCGAUAAUGCGUUGACCACACACAUAAUAAACAAACACAUUGUAUUCAAGCAAGUACUAGUGUUAUGGCUUGUUGUGGAACAGCUAGAAAUGCCAUUCGUUCUGCUUCUGAUAAUAAUAAAAGGGCAGCAUCAAGCAGUUAAAAGCAAAACAGAAUCAAGUAGGGCGAAGCACAUCCAACAUUUCAGCGGAAACAAAAGCAGAGCAAACCAAAUAGCAGAGUCUCACCAAAGUCUUAAGUCAAAUACGUACAAGAAGACGACGACGACGCAUUCAGGCCACCAGAAUGAUAUGAUGAUAUGAUGGAAUUAGAUGGCAUAUUAAUUACUCCAACAAACAAAUUAAACAACUGCGGAGCAAUCCAGAUCGCUGGCCGAGGAUGUUAUAUGCUCAUUCAUCAGUUGUAAAAAAUGAAUAGGACUAAGGCCGGAUGAUUAGUCAUGAUCUCAAACUGAUCGAGUGCAAAAGCAUAACCAGUGUAUUAUAAUAGUAUUUGUUAUAUGAAUAAUAGGCCGCUCUUCCCCGCAUAACUAGCUAUGGUAAGAAGAGCGGUUAUCCAACAAGAUUUGAACAUCGACUUCCAAAAUUGCCAUAUACUUGCUAGUAGCCAGUGGGUGAAGCACACCACUCUCUCCUGAAUCAAAAAUAUUAUAAAUCCCGAGAAAUGAACAGAAGAUUCGGGAAGAACAUCUUGGUAACAGGUUUUAAUCUACUAAAAACGCAUGUAAUUACCAAAAAGGGCAAAAACUACAAGACCUGCAAAUACAACACCUUGCAUCAGCAGGUGUUUAGCUACUUCUGGUGUCAGACAUACUUCAAACUGCAUGAUGCUAUAUAGAUGAGAAAACCGAUCCCGGCACCUUCUUGAGGCAUAAUAUUAGGAGUAGAGAAAGAUCUAUCUAUCAACGAAAAAAUAUACAAAGCAGUCGAUGAGCUUACUCGGAAACUUACCACUAGUCAAUCAACAACCUUGCAAUGCUUCUAAUAAAUCAACCGUUACAAAACGCUCUUGUUGAUGUCUCAUCUUUAUUCUGCUAAGAUUAGAAGCAAAAACCAUUGUUAUAGAGGGAAAUAUUAGCAUUAAUAGAAAUAUCACUUAAUAGGAGCAUCAAUGCAUUGGAUAUCCAGAAAAGAGAGAGAAUUUGUUCCAGCAUCACAAAUAUCCAAAUAGUCUAUCCGUAUUUUUAUUUAACAGGGAAAUCAAUAAAAGAACACCACAAAUGCUAUAUUUCCAGUGUAGAGUUCAUGUAAAAUUUCUAUAUUUCUGGAGGUUGAUAAGUGGGAUUUACAUACUGAUAGAGUGGGAACAAGCAUGCCUACUACCUCAGACUGAACAUCUAGGACAUCAACCAUAUAGAAUUGGACAUUCACAUUUCUAAUAAUCAGAUUAGGGACAUACUGGUUACUACAGAUGACAAUUUCACAUGCUCGAUACUUCUGCUGCCACAAUAUGUAUGAGAAAUAAAACAACAGGUUAAAAAGGUCAAAGAAAGUCAGGGACCACCUAUUUGGAAGCACGGAAAAUAUCUAGAACCAAACUAAAUCAUUCAGAAACAAAAGAGAAUCUCCAAAGAUGAUCUGAUUAUUUAUAUCAACCUUUCUGAAAUUCACAAAUAGUUCCUCAUAUACUGUAAUACCCAUCUGGAGGAAACUAUAUUCCUUUUAAAAUGCUUGUAUGCAUAAUAACUUAUCCUGAUUGUUCUCGUACGCAACAAUAAUUAAUUUUUCCUCCGAGUUAUUAAUAUUGUUGAUGUGUUACAGACUUGUGUUUUUGUUAUUAUAUUGGAGCCUUGAUCAUAAGCAUUAUGCCUUUUAACUAUUACCGUGCAAGAUAGCAACCUUGCAGUAGGAUGGGCUCUUCUGGAAGAGCGGUCCCGAUUGAACCCGUAUAGGCUCCAAUUGGACUUGUUGUACCCAUUGAAAAACUUGUUAUAGUUUCUCACCCAUUGUGGGUAACGUUUUUAAGGUAUGCCUAGCGAGGAUGAGCGUGAUGCAACAUGAGACCACAAGACUAGUUAGUAUUGAGCCAGUUUCGUUGAAUAAAAAUUGAACAAUGGAGUUGCUCGAAAUAAGUUGUAGCUGAAAUGAAUUUUAAUUUGAGUUGCGAUUUAUUUGUUGGAUGAAAACUUGAACUCAUAUACUUAGUAAAUUUAACUUAGCAAUUUAUAUAUAAUUUUUAUAUCAUGUAUUAUUAUUUCAAGUUGCUUUGUUCUAAUGCCGUACAAGCAUAAAGGUGGCAAACCCUUGUGUUUGUAGCAGGUCUACAACGUACCUGGCUAUGCAUCCUGGUCGGGGCGAUGUUCGGCCGAAUAAUGGGUGAUUCAGGGAACUAAUUAAGCCAACAUUAGUGUGCUAUAGUCCGUACAAGAAAGAGAAAGAGACACUUAGCCAAGUUACAUGCACCUACUGCACAGGUGCACAACAAGAGAGAAGCCUUUGAGGUAAAAGAUGAGAGGAGCGAAAGGGAUUUUCAUAAAGAGGACUUGGCUUGAAGCUGCUCCAUACAGAAGAAUCAUAUAUAAUUAAGGGUGUAAUGUGGGCCGUGCCGGGUCGGAUUUCUUAAACAACGGCCCAGUCCAGAUGGCACGGGAUGAGCUCCUAGCUAACGCUAUAUUUUUUCAAAUACUUUUAAAUUGCAUAAAAUUUAAAAAUAUAAAAAGUUUAAACACUUUUUUAAUCUGAUAUUUAUAUCAAGAGGAAUAAAAUUUAUACAAAUAUUUAAUAAAUAAUAAAAAUUUAAAAAAAAAUUAAAGUUUAAAAAAUAUUUGGACCAAAAUAACCCCUUAGGAGAAGCCCCAACCUUGACCUUUGGGCUACUCCUAAGGUCUGCCAAGGUAGCAGACCUUGGAAGUAGCCAAAGGUCCUUGGGAGAAGGGGCCCCUUCUCCCAAGGACCAUUAAGCCCCCAAGGCCCGAGAGAUAGCUACUCUCGGGCCUUAUCAGCCAGGCCGACCAGCAAGCAUGGCCUAUAUAGGCCACGCCGUGCAUUCUACGAGCCAACUUGUCGGCCCAGCAUGGUCCUGGCUCGUUUCGGCCGUGCCUUGCCACGGCCAAGUUGACGACCCCAAAAAGCUUGGCCCGGCACGAAAAUAAUGACCGGGCCAGGCCUGGCCGUUACAGAUGCUACAAUGUCCAUGCCGUGCCUCAGCCUAGGCGGCCAACAAGCUUCCCAGUCCGUUUUACAUCCCUAUGUGUAAUUCUUCUCUUGGUUAGUGACGUUAUCGAUUUUAGCAUUGGUAUAUUUCGUGAUGAGUCGAGUCAAAGUAUUGAAUGAUUUACGAUAAAAAAAUAUAGAAAAAGAUGACGAAGACUCGAAAAGCACAAAACUUGAGUUCAUGACGUUUGUAAGUUAUAAUUUGAUUUGUGGCUAUUUAAACAUGUUUAUAGCUCGGAAUCUAACGAUCAAGUGAUUAAAUAUACUCUAGAACCGGUUUAGAAUUGUACCCCAGAGAUAAGGUGUUGAAACUUUGUUUUUAAAAGCAAUUCUGGCACCAUGUUCUGGAACCUGAUUCGUAUUCCGGAACAUGAAGUUGCUUUUACUGUUCGCGAACGGAGAUUUCAUGUUCCGAAACAUAAAGCAAUUUAUAAUAAACGAAUUUUAAACUUCUAAUCUGACACAAACUUGUUCCGAGAGCCAUAAAUAUGCAUGUAUGGGUUCUCAACCAAUAGGAUCACGCCUAGAGGAACCAUAGAGGAUCAAAUUUGGUUCAUUUUUCCCUUCUCUUCAUCAAGCCUCCAUUGAAUUAAUUCAGGGUGCUUUCGUUCUAUAUUUUCAUGUAGAACUGAUUCAACAAUCGCUUAGAAAUCUUUCUAUAGUGCUUGCAUAUUAUUCUAAGCGAGCAAUCACCACCAACACCUACUGCUCUUGCUCUGGUUGGAGUGCCCUCGUGGAUUCGAGUGUGCGUCAUGGAUUCGGCGUGUAGAAGCUUCGUAGAUUAGAAGCGUGGGUGUUUCAUCAAUCGGAACAUGGCUCCUGUGGACUCAGAUGUAAGAGAGGGCCUCCUGCCGGAGUGUGAGAUCUUUGGAAGGGUUUACGAUUGGGUUAGAUCCGUGGAUUCGGUAAUCACCUUGUACCUUUUUAUCAUAUAGUGAAUUUUUAUCACAUAAUCGUUCUCAUAUGUCUUGACUCUUGGAUAGGAGGUUUUCCCAUGUUAAAUUCUCGGUGCACUAUUUAUUUUUUCGCAUUUGUUUUUACUUAUCGAGAAUUGUUGAUUUUGAGCAUUUCUUCUUUCACCUCCUCUCUAGGUGUAAUUGUUAUUUCUAGAUUCUAGGUUUCAUAACUUACAAGUGAAUCUUAUUAUAUCUAUAUUUUCUCUUUGGUUAUUUCUCUCUCUUGUGGUUGUGCCAGCUUUUACUGAGGAACAUGUUUAUGAUAAAAACUCGAUUGAACGUUUCUGUUAUGAGUCCUAACAACUAGUACCAAGAUACUAAAUUUACAACAAUUAGUAUCAAGCAGGUUGCGGAUUCUAAACAAAAAGAAGCCAAAUCCACUAAACCAACUGCUGAUUGUCUCCAAUGCUUCCUGAAUCGCCCGCAUAACAUUCAUCAGUUUUUUCAAUCCUUCACAAUCAACUGCUGAACAAACUCGUUGUCUAUACCUACCGCCUCUUUGCUAGCAAAGCAUCAAGUUAACACAUGGUGUGAUAUGAAGCUAAACAAAAGCAGCAACUACUCUUGACAAAAUCACCUCCUAGAUGCCUUAGAAUUUCUUGUUUUUCCAACUAGACCGCUUAAGCACCAACUUCCUAGACAGCAAUUGCAACAAAAAUCUACUUAAUGGUCACAACAAAUGAAAAUCAUACACAACCAUUACAGAAGAUUUCAUAAUAAAUGAAUUAAUGUGACUGUAUCCUCUCCUGCACUUUACCACUUCAAAUAACAAUCUUCUUCUAGUUAAGGAUGUAAGGCAAACUCCAUCAGACUUUGCUGUUCACCACUUGCCAUAUGGUGACACAAUUACAAGCCACCAAUAGUCCUCGUAUUUUUCUUUUCCAUACUGUCAUCUUUUCUUCCAUCUAUAAUUUCUAGUUAUCUUUCAUAAUUAUUUGGUGAUCAACAAGAAUCUGCUUCACUUUGCCAGAGGCGAAACCCCCCAAUUAAGUAUCAUAAAUGUAUGUGUUGAACUAAUAUUUAAUUGAACAAACUUAAUAUUAAUACUUUCUUUUGGGUCUUUCAAAGAAUUCUCGAUAUUUUGGAUCUUCUCAAUUAAGUCUACCUAGCCUAAAUGCCUAGGCAACGCUUAGAAAUUUUAGGGUCCAUCAACCUACAACCGCCACGUCGACAAAAUUAGGAACAACCAUCAAGGCAUUAUGCAGCUUCCUUUGACAUUGUUUGUACACGACAUUGAAGAUCAUGUGGCCAAAGCUCCUCAAAUGCAGCCUCAUAGCUUUGCUUUUACCAUUCUAUUGCAUCCAGGAUCUUGGUCGUUGGUCAUCCACCUAUUGGCCCCUCAUAGCUUUGCUUUCACCAUUCUAUUGCAUCCUCGACAAUCUCACUACACCUUCACUCUAGGCUUUAGUUUUGAUAGAUUGGGAUGUGGGAAUAAAAGUUGUUCUUAAUAGUUGUUCUCCUCAAUUUACCAUAGUUGUCAUUCCUAGUUUCUAAUGCUAUAUAUUGUUGGCUCUGUUCUAAGAGUAUAAGUCUGGUUUUGUCAAUAAAUUGAAGUAUGAACAUUUACAAAAUCAUACAGUGGAGUGUAGUAAUUGCUUGGGACAGUGAUGUUUUAGUGUUAUCUUAUUUUCAAAUUUGACAAAAAUCUUAUUCAUAUCUAUUGAUGCAAUAUAAAUGAGGAAAAUCCUAAUUUAUCUUACUAGUGAUGAGUACAAAAUAUAUAUAAAAAUAAAUUUUUGAAUUUUCAAAAAUUUUUGAAUAAUUUACAAAUUUUCAAAAUUUUUAAGAUUUUCAAUAUUUUUAAUGAAUUUUAAAUUAAUUUUUAAGAAAAUGAAUAUAGAUGUUGGAUGGGCAGCAGGGUUUCCAUAUAGAAUUUGUUUAAAAUAUUUUUAUUUUUAUUAUUUUUUAGAAGUUAAGAAAAAAGAAAAUAGUCAUAAAUAGGUCAAAAUCCAAAAGACUUGUCGACAAUUCCAGCAAAUUAGAGAAAGAAAUUUACAAGAAAAAUAAGAGAGAAUAAAGAAAAGCUGAAAAACAAAGAGAAGAUAGAACCUUUUGUGAAUGAAGAAUUUCACCAAUGUACAUGACAAGAAGAAUGAGAAAAGAAAAAAAACAGAAGAUAUUAUGUCGCAGUCAAAACUCCAAAACAGAAUUUAAUUUUUCGAAAAAUAUAUGUCAUAGGCUUUAUUUAUAGCCUUCGUAACAUAAUCCCACUCUAAAUCAAAUCUCAAGAUUACAGAGAUUUUUCAAAUCAAAGAUUAUCAAUAAAUCUAAUCCAAAUUUAAGAAGCCUAUAACCAAAUCCUUAUUUUUUAGGGAUUUCUUUCAUGCUGAUGAAUCCUAAAUACCUUAAAGAAUCACUAAGACAAAUUAAGAGAAAAAAAAUAAUUCCCAAAAUUGAAACAAAUAAAUUUUAAAAUCAUAAUUAAUUUUAUGGCCGCAUCAUCUGCAUCCAGGCAAAAUUCGAUACACAUCCAUUUCCAUUUUGAUGGUUAUGAAACUUAGCAUUCCUUAAAUAUUCGUGUCGGCAAACAAGAUGUCAUUACGAAUAUGAUUUCAUAUCUACUUCCAUGCAAAAUCCGAUUCAUAUCUGCAUCCGUUUUGAUCAAAUAUGGUAAUGCAAUUUAGCAUCCUUUUAACAUCCACGUCUACAUUCAUAUCUACAAAUUAGGUAUGGGUGCGAAUAUGGUUUCUUCUAAUGUCAGACAGUAUCUGACAGUUUUCAGCCCUAUCUAUGACAUGCUAUCGAGCAAACACAGUACUUAAUUUUUAUCUACCAUACCACUGUAGCAUACAUUGGGGUUGUCUCAUCAGAUGUUUCAUUUUUAACCUUGAAGCAAGUCAUUCUUUGAUUAACUUUUACAUUAGGUGGCUGCAAAUUCGGAUUGUCUAGGAUGCCUUGAAGGAAGGUUGCUAUGACAACAAUUAAGUGUUUCAAUAUUGAGGAGCCCUCAACAAAGACUGAAACUAGUUUUUCAAUCUUUAUACCUAAUAAUUGUACACUGUUUUUAUUUGUAAUAUGCCCUUCCAUUUAUUUACUCAUCGUAACUUUAGAAAAGAAAAGUCAAAAUAUUUACAGAUGAGCUUGACAAAAUAAGACAUAAGUCACAUAAUAAAAGAGCUAUAACAAAUUUAUCAACAAUUAUAAAGAACAUAAGUAAUCGAAACUGUAAGCAGCCGUUUGGUUCGGGAUUAAGGAGGGGAUAAGGGGUUAUGCCCCUCUUAUCCCCAAACACCUUUUUGUUGGGGUGGGGUUUGUUAACCCCACCCCAAAAAGGGUUAUCCCGGAUAACCGGGGUGGGAUUAACUAAUUCCACCCCAAUUUAAUUUUUAAUUUUAAAUUUUUAAUUUUUAAUUUUUAAUUUAAAAUUUUAAAUUAAUAAUUAAAUUUUAAAUUUUUAUUUUAUUUUUUUAAAUUUAAAAUUUGAUAUUUUAUAUUUUAAAUUUAAUUUAAUCUUAAAUUUAAAAUUUAUAAAUUUAAAUUUUUGAAUUUGAGAUUUAAAAAUUUAAUUUUAUUUUGAUUUUUCAAUGUUUAAAGAUUAUAUUAUAAAUUUAAAAUUUUAAUUAUAAAAUUUAAAAAUUAAUUCCAAAUAUAAGUAGCAAUAUUAUUAUUUUUAUUUAUAAAUACCCACUAUUCUUCUUAUUUCAUUUAUCUAUACAAUUAUUAUUUUCUUAUUUUCAGAACAACUCAUUUUCUUAGCUGCGUUUGGUUCGGGUAUAAGUAAGAACUGCUAGUUCUAGGGAUAGUACAAGUUCAGGUAUAAGCAGGAACUAGACCAUAUUUGCGUUUGGAUGAAAAUUGGGUUGUUCCUAGGAAUAAGGUAAAUAGUGUUUGAUGGUUAGAUUGGAACAAAGGAAUAAGUUAUAAUUUGAAAUUAAAAUUAUAUUAUGUAAUUAAUAGUAAUAAAAAUAUUACUUAAAAAUAAUAAAAUUAAUUAUUAAUAAUUAAUUAUAAAUAUAAAUUAAUAAUAUGGAUUGAUUAAUUAAUAAUUAUAUAUUAUUAUUAAUUAUUAAUAAUAAUAAUAAUAAUUAUUAUUCUUAUAUUAAUUAUAAAUAAUAAAUUAAUAAUAAAUUGAUUAUCUAAUUAUUAAUAAAAUUAAUAUUAAUAUUAUUAUAAUAAUAAUAAUUAUUAUUAUUUAAUUAUAAAUAAUAAAUUAAUAAUAAUAUCCAUUAUCUAAUUAUUAGAAUAAGAUUAUUAAUUAAUUAUUAAUAAUUAUUAUUAUUAUUAUAAUAAUUAAUUAUUAUUAUAAUAAAUAAUAAUUAAUAAUAAUAUCGAUUAUCUAAUUAUUAAUAAUAAAAUAUUAAUAAUUAAUAAUAAAUAAUAACAAUUAUUAAUUAUUAAUAUUAAUUAUAAAUAAUAAAUUAAUAAUAAUAUCAAUUGUCAUUAGAAUAAUAAUUAUAAUAUUUAUUAUAAAAAUAAAUAUUUUAAUUAUUUAUAAUUAAUUAUAAAUAAUAAUAAUUAAUAAUAAUAAUUAUCUAAUUAUUAAUAUUUAAUUAUAAAUAAUAAAUUAUUUAAAUUAUUUAAUUAUUAAAGUAAUAAAUAAUGAUUUAAAUAUAUUAAUUAGAUUAAUUAAUAAUUUACUGCCAUUAAAAUUAAAUUUAGAUUUUAAUUAAUCUUGUUCUCAUCAAGGAACAAGCUUGUUCCAGAAAACGGGUGGAACAGCAGUUCCAGCUUUAUACCAGCUAGUUCCAGAUUCCCAGGAACUACUGUUCCCGGGAACCAAACAUUGCGUUUGGGAACAAAGGGGGGAAUAAGGGCUUAUUCCCCCCCUUGUUCCCGAACCAAACACUACCUUAGUCUAUUCCAGUCAUAAUUCUGAACUUAUAUCAAUUUCUGAAAUAACUAUUUUUUACUUAACUCCGAACCAAACGAAGCCUAAGAAGACUGCAUUUGAAGGAAAUCAAAUCAUACAACUUCCAAACAACCACCUUACCUCAAUCUUUUUUAGAUCCGGCGAACGCAUCUAACAUUCCACAGCAGUUCCACCACGCAGUCCGGUGCUCCAAAAGCGGUGCAGGAGCAGCCUGUGAGAAUCCAAUUGAGCAAGAAAGUCAGUACACAUACUCUGUUCACUAAAAUGAAGCAUUAAGCAAUGGUCAACACAACACCAAGUUCUCUUUCUCAUCUUUGUGAGCACCUGAGUAUUCACCUCUGUUUCCUCACUCUCUCGGCAGCACGGCUCUUCCUCCUCUCGAAUACUCUCGCCGGCCGGACAAUCCGAAGGAUCCCAUAAGACCGCUCUCUCCGCACUCUCAUGAGACAACUUAUCAUCUCUCUCAAUCAAAACAUCAAACGGCUUAUCCGCGCCCUCAUCUGGCACUGGCACUGCCCCUGCCCCAUCACCGACAGGUCGGACAACUCUCUUCUCGAUCGCGAUCGCGAUCGCGAUCUCCUCCGCAACUUUCACCUCUCCGACCGCCGCCUCAUCCUCACCGCCGUCCGCCGCACCCUUCUUCUUUUCCCCAUCCUCCUCACUGCUGCUGCUGCUGCUGCUGCUGCUGCUGCUGCUACUGCUGCUCCCAGUAUCAUCCUUGGAGCUCUCUUCAUUGUAGUGGAUGUCCUUUUUGCUGUGGUUAAAAUCUUUGGCCAAGGUGAAGAGAAGAAUAUAGAGUAAGGUAAACCACACAAAGAAAAGGAGGAAGAAGGGGAGGGAGAGGAGGAGGAGGAGGAGGAGGAGGAGGAGAGAGAAGAGGGAGGAGGAAGAAGGGAAGGAGAGGGAUAAGGGUUUGAAGAAGAGGUAGAGAGGGUAAUAGUAAUAGUAGUAUUUUACAGAAACAACCUUGAGAGGAAGAAGAGGUGGCAGGAGAGUUGAGUUUCUCUUUCACUUCUUCUUUAUCCUUCUGUUUCUCUUUCUCCAACUCUUUCUCUCUCUCCUCCUUUUUCCUUCUUUGUGCUUUCCUCUUCCUGGGACCUGAGGGCAUGGUAGGCGAUGAUGAUGAUGAUGAUGAUGAUGAUGAUGAUGAUAAGCUCUUGCUCUUCUUCAAUGAAAAACAAAGAGCUUUUGAGAAGCGUGGAAAAUAAUGGUGGAGGAGAAGGGAAGAUGAAGGGAUUAGUGGGGUAUCAGAACUGAAAGAGAGAGAUGGAUCGUUUUUUUGGGUUUGAGAGGAUGAUGAAAGAUUCGAUAUGCCUCCUCUCUCCGUGUUUUUUCUUCUGAUUUUGCUUUUAUUUUAUUUUUGUCAUCUGUUUUUCUGAUUUUUUUUUUUAUAAUAUGAAUUGUUUUGUUUUUUUUUUUGAGAGAGAGAGAUAAAUAACAUACUAUGCAGUUCAUUUAUUUUAUUUAAAAAUAAAUCUAAUUAAAAAUAUAAAUUAAUUAAAAUUUAAAUUUAAAAUUUUAGAUACUAAUCAAUAAAUUUUUGUCGGUUGCAAUAGAUACAAUCGAUCGAUUAAUAUGAAUUGUCGUUGUUUUUGAAAUUGGAUGGAUGCAGACUGAUGAUGGCGUUGGUGGGUCAGUUGGGAAAGGGGAACGGUGGGGAUCGGAGGGUUGGUAAAGUGACGAUUCAAACUCCAUUGGAGGGAACAAGUGCAUGAAUGCAUCUGAGCACCAUCCAUACAUCAGUUCUUUAAAAAAAAUAUUUUUCAAUGAAAAAGUAGGAAUCCGGCGUUUGUUUGCUCGUAAAAAAAAAUUUUCGCAAAAAAAUUUUACGAAUAGUAAAGAAAAAUUGUGUUUUCGUUUUCGCUCGAAGCAAGCGGAAAACGAAAAUUAUGGCCGCAAAAAAUGUGGCGUUGCGAGGGAGGGCGGCAGUGGGCACGCGGUCUUGUGGACCGAGGGAGAGAGGUCCACUCUCCCUUGUUCUCUUUUAUAUAUAUAUAUAUAUAUAUACUAGUUAAUGCACGUGCGCUGCACGUAUUAAUUUGCAUGUUAAAUAAAAAAUAUAUUAAAUUAUUUUAACAUUAAAUUAAAAAUUUAUGUAUAUAUAUUAAAUAAUAUUAAAUUUAUAUAAUAAUUAAAUAAAUAAUAUUUUUUUCACAACUAAAUAAAUAGUAUUUUUAUAUUAGAAGCCCUUGACUAAUUAAUAAUUAAUAAUUAUAUAAAGUUAUUAAAUUUGAUAAAUUUUUAAUAUAAGUAAAUAUAAAAUUUAAAUUUAAAAAAUAAUAAAAGUUGAGAAUCUCAGCAAAAAAAUAAAAACAUUAGAGAGGCCUAUUUAGAAAUGGGGUAAGAUCUCCCCAUGCAUUUUUACUAAAAGAAUAAAAUAAUAAAAAGUUGAGGAUGCUAUUUCAUAAUUGCUUAUAGUUGAAGGGAUAUCUAUAAUUUUUACAUUAAAAUGUAAAAAAAAUGCCUGCAGUAUGACGUGUAUAUAUCUUGUCCCUUCCUCUUGUGGUGAAGGUUGAGCAGUAGCCUUUUCUAUAGCUCGAUUAUCUAAUAUCAAGUUAACUAUGCGUUACAAAUAUUUUAUUAAAAUAAAAUAAAAUUAAGAAUUUAAAAAUCGUAGAAAAAUAAAUUGAAUUUUAUAAAACUAAAUUAAUAAAAAAUAUCAUAUUAUUAAAUUCUUAAUGGAUCUUAAUAAUAUUCUAAUCUAACUUUAGAAAACUAUAAGAAAAAUGUUUAUAGCACAAUAAACAGCGAUCUCAAUUUCAGUUUUUGCAAAUCAAUCAUUUAUUCUAUUUCUAUUUUUUAAUAUAUACAUAUUGGUAAAAAAAGAUGAUAAUUUAUUAUUUUAAUUUAAUUAAAUAAUAAACGACUUAAAAAAGAUAUCAACAAUAAGCUAAAUAUCAAUAUAUAUUAUAUAAGGUCAAAUAAUUUUUUUAUGUGAAACAAAGUCUUUAUAUAGUGAAUUCAUCACAAAUUAUAAAAUAAUUAUUGAAACUCAUCUCUCUAAAUAGUUAUAAAUUCAAACAUAUUACAUAUUGUAUAUAUUUUUAAUUUAUUUUCAUACAACCAACCUCUAAACAACCCACAUAGGUAUAAAGACAAAGAGCACUGUGAUUUUAAAAAGCAGAUACCAGUAUAGAUUAUUAUUAUUUUUUAUAAGAGAAUUUCAGAUAUAGAUGUCAAUAAUAUGCAAAAAAAGAAAUGUAAAAAUAAAUAAUUUAUUAAAUUCACACAAUAAAAAUUGAAAGCAAAAAAUCAAUCGAACAUAUAAUUGCACCAUAAGAAUAAAAUUUUCAAAUAUUUUAUAAGCCUCCACAAAAAUACCAUAUAUUUAGUAUAUAUAAUACAAUAAUUUAUAAUUCAGAUAAUAAAUUAAAACAAUAAAAAAAGAGAAAGAAAAAACUUAUGAUUCAAACUUAUACAUUUCUCCUGAUAAUCCCUUUCUCCUUCAUUUUAAAAUCCAGUUAAUAUCCGAUAUCCCGUAGUAACGAUACUUCUUCUCUUUUUUUUCAAGAAACAAAUUAUUAAAAAUAAGAAAAAAUUUGUAAAAAUUAAACCCAUUACUUUGUUUGUGGUAGAACAGAGAAUUAAAAAAAAAUGUCUAAAAAUAUUCUUUAGACAUGAAAAGGCAAUACAAUACAAUGUUUCAUGUCUUUAUUGCUUAAAGAUGAAUAUUAAUUGUAAGAAAUUCUAAAACUCCUUAUUAUAUGGAGAUAGGCUCUUCACUUCUCCUUUUCGUUAUUCAUAAAAGAAUGAUAAUAUUUUUUUCUUUCUCACUAUUAUUUGGAAGAUGAAAGAUUAGUUGUAAAUAAUUCUAAAAUUUUUCAUUUAUAGAUAGGCCUUUUACCUUUCCUCUUCGUUACUCAUACAAUUUAUAUUUAUUAAAUUUUCAAAUAAAUUAAUUGAAACAUCUUAAUUGAACCGUUAUUCCAUAAAAAUGAUUAAUUAUUUUUUUCUUCUCAUUUAUGUUUUUGAGAGAUGAAAGAUUAGAUGUAAAUAAUCUAAAAUUUUUCAUUUAUAGAUAGGUCCUUUUAACUUCCCUCUUCCGUUACUCAUAUAUUUAUAUUAUUAAAAUUAAAUAAAUGAAUUGAACAACUUAAAUUUUGAUUACAAUAAUAUUAUUGAAUAAUUACUAUUAAGAGUGAUUUAUGGCAUUAUAAAAAUAUUUUAUUUAUAGAUAGACUUUUCAGUUCCCCUCUUCCGUUCUCAUAAUUUAUAAUUUACUAAAUAUUCAAUAAAUUUAAUUGAACAACUUAAAUUGAAUUCACAAAAUAAUUAUGAUAACUACUAUAAGUGAUAUGUAGGUUAUUUUGUAAUUUAAAUGGAAUGAAAAAAAAGGGUGAGACGAAACCAACAAACAUAUUUGCUUAUAUAAUAAGAAUAUAUGAUAGCUGAGGUUAUACUUUAAGUAUAAAUCAUCUUGUACUCAUAUUUUAUUAAUUAAUUAUUUGAGAACCACGAGUAUAACUCCGGAAGGAGUGAGAAAACUUUCCAUAAAAAAGGUCUAUGGUUCGAAACAUAUAUAUUGGUCCGGCAUUUGGCUGAGUUGUUGGACAUCAUCCAUCAAUAAUUUCUAGAAGGGCGAGAGACUCACCAUGUUCCAAAGAUUGGAAUUUGGAUUUUAAAUUGUCACAAGGCCAGGGACGACAGCGGGCUACAUUUUCAAGCUGUCGCUUGAGUAAUAAGCACACGAUUGCAACAAUAUCUAUAUUUUUCUUUUAACUAUUCAAUGAUAUCGAGAAAAUUGAUCAGUAGACAUUGAAAGAGCAUUUGUUGCAUCCCCCGCCUACAGGAAUAUUACCUUUGCAUGCAGAAGCUCUCCUUUUUUUUUUUUUUCCCGAUCUGAAGAGAAAAGGUUAUAUAAUGUGAGAUUUAAUUUGUUGUUAGACGUGGCGGCAAGUGGGAAACAAUGGGAAUAAUUAUAACCACCAUGAUGAUGGUUAAAAAGUUAUUAGAAAGCCGCACUGCACCGCAAAUAAAUAUAAAUAUUUCAGACAAUUACAUAUAUAUAGCUAUUAAAAUUUUAAUAUUGAAAAAAUUAUAACUAAAGAAAUAUUUUUAAAAAAUAAGCUAUAAAAUAAUCUUACGUACAUUAUAAAAAACAAUUUUUUAUUAAUAUUUUCUUAAAUUUCAACAUUUAUAAAGUUAAAUUAUACUAAUAACUUUAUUCAAAAAGUUAAUCAAAUUUUUAGUUUUGAUAGUUAUUCUAUAAAUAAAUUUUUAAACUUAAAAAGUUAAAGUUAGAGGAUUUACUUCAAAUUGAAAAAAAGGUGAGGGUGACCUUUGCCUUGUUAAAAUUGAUGAAAGAAAGAAAACUAUUACAUACUCCUGGUGUAUAUUAGUAUAUCAGAUGAUUAAUGUUCUAAUAUAAAAAUUUAAAAAUAUAUAUAUAAUUCAUGAAGUUUAAUAAUUUAGAUUAUGUUUGAUGAAUUAAUUUUAAAAUCUCUAUUAAAGGAUUUUAGGUAUGUGGUACAUAUACAAAUAUAUACUUAGUCUAGAGAAUAUUUAAUAAAAAGCACUUAUAAUUCCAAAAGAGCGGAAAAUCUUUGCUUGCACCUGGUGCAUGCCAAUACUUCAUGCACUGCACAUAGUAUUAGAUGAUUAAUAAAAUAUUUGAUAAUUAAUAUUAUAAAAUAAAAUAUAUGAUAUAAUAUAUGUGUUACGAGUCGAAUUCCUUGGCCGUUGACUCGGUCAAAUGUCCUCCCUCAGAAAACGUGCGAGGAGUAGAGCGACUACUGACGAUAACCCUCAGCAGAAAUUAGAUGAAUGUUUGAGAUUGUACGGUAGUGGUCUUCCUACGUUGGCUCGGAACUUGGUGUAAUUUGAUCUGCUUGGAGCGCUCCUUGAUUUCUUAGACCAGCCUAAUCUUUCUUCUUAGGGUAAAUAUUUUGCAGAGACUUUAUCUGCUCAUAUUUCUUCCUUUUUAGCUCGGCAAUAAACACUUUCUACCGAGUAUCUAGCUUUAGACGAUCAUUCUUCGCGAGCCGACUCUCUCAAAACGAAGGCUACUGAAAUAGUAGUUCCAUUAACCGACCUCAACAAGUAAGAUGACCUUUUGAAAGAUCAAGAGUCAAUCCUUCGGCAGCACAUUACUAGUAAGGAUGUCAAUGGGUAUGGAUAUCCGAAAUUUUAUCCGAACCCGAACCCGAAUAAAACGGAUAUAUCCAAUGGAUAUGGACAUGGAUUUGGAUAUGGAUAUCAAAAAUAGAAACCCGACGGAUAUGGAUUUGGAUAUGGAUUUUGAUUGUACCCGAUCCGAACCCGAACCCGAAUUUAUUUUGUAUUAUAUAUAAUAUAUAUAUAAAAAUUUGAUGUUAUAUUUGAAUUUGUAUUUUAAAAAUUUAGAUUUAAUAUAAUAUAUUUUGAAAUAUUGAAAAAAGAAAUAAUUGUUUCGGCUUCAAAUUUUCGGGUUCGGGUUCGGGUUCGGGUUCGGGUUCGGGUUUUGGAUUUUUUGUCGGGUUCGGGUUUGGAUAUGGAUUUUUAAAAUCCGUCGGGUUCGGGUUUGGGCUCGGGUCUCGGGUUUGGAGUCGGGUUCGGAUUCGGGUUUUUAAAAAUCCGCCCCGAAUCCGACCCGUUGACANNNNNNNNNNNNNNNNNNNNNNNNNNNNNNNNNNNNNNNNNNNNNNNNNNNNNNNNNNNNNNNNNNNNNNNNNNNNNNNNNNNNNNNNNNNNNNNNNNNNNNNNNNNNNNNNNNNNNNNNNNNNNNNNNNNNNNNNNNNNNNNNNNNNNNNNNNNNNNNNNNNNNNNNNNNNNNNNNNNNNNNNNNNNNNNNNNNNNNNNNNNNNNNNNNNNNNNNNNNNNNNNNNNNNNNNNNNNNNNNNNNNNNNNNNNNNNNNNNNNNNNNNNNNNNNNNNNNNNNNNNNNNNNNNNNNNNNNNNNNNNNNNNNNNNNNNNNNNNNNNNNNNNNNNNNNNNNNNNNNNNNNNNNNNNNNNNNNNNNNNNNNNNNNNNNNNNNNNNNNNNNNNNNNNNNNNNNNNNNNNNNNNNNNNNNNNNNNNNNNNNNNNNNNNNNNNNNNNNNNNNNNNNNNNNNNNNNNNNNNNNNNNNNNNNNNNNNNNNNNNNNNNNNNNNNNNNNNNNNNNNNNNNNNNNNNNNNNNNNNNNNNNNNNNNNNNNNNNNNNNNNNNNNNNNNNNNNNNNNNNNNNNNNNNNNNNNNNNNNNNNNNNNNNNNNNNNNNNNNNNNNNNNNNNNNNNNNNNNNNNNNNNNNNNNNNNNNNNNNNNNNNNNNNNNNNNNNNNNNNNNNNNNNNNNNNNNNNNNNNNNNNNNNNNNNNNNNNNNNNNNNNNNNNNNNNNNNNNNNNNNNNNNNNNNNNNNNNNNNNNNNNNNNNNNNNNNNNNNNNNNNNNNNNNNNNNNNNNNNNCCCCGGCUCUCUAAACGUCACCGUUCGAUUCUUACAAUCGAUGGUGGCAAAAUACUUGGUCAACCAAUCCAUGCCCAACACAACAUUAAACUCCCCGAGUUUAUGCAAAGUUAGCAAGUCCACGGGCAUGAUCCAAUCUCCAACCCGAACAGGGCAACUGGGGCAGAACUCUCGAAUAUCUAGAGAAUGAUCGGGUACAACAACUCGUCCCGGAUGCAACAAAGAUACAAGUGGGAUGCCAUGCAACUCGGCAAACAGCCGGUCUAUGAAUGAAUGCGAUGCACCGGUAUCAAACAAAGCUCUAACUCGAAUACUAUGAAGUAAAAUGAUACCUGCGACCACAUUCUCGGCUGCCGCCGCCUCCUCAGUUUGGGCCGCGUACAUGCACCCGCUCGGGGCCUGUCGUGACCCCUCCACCUACCGCUGAACUGGCGGCCGUCCUGCCUGGUGAUGCGCAGAAGAUGUCCCCUGACUGGGACCUGGCGAUGCUGGUGCAGAUGCCGAAGAUGGCACUGACGCUGAACCUCUCGGGCAGUCUGACUAGAAGUGGCCCUCCUGGCCACACAAGAAACACUUGCCCCGGCUGCGUGAACACUGUCGUGGGUAGUGGGGACCACCACAGAUCACGCAACGGGGAGCCUGGCGAUGAUCGAGUCAUCCUCGCUGAGUAGACGAGCCACGUCUCCAUGACUGGCUCCGGCUCCUGGGGUGCCUCGGCUGCCUCCGUGAGUGCGUCUGACUCGCACCCUCAGCCGCGGGCCUCUUUCCCUUCCCUUUCUCUAAGCUCUCGUGACGCUCCUGCAAAUCCGCCGCUCCUGCCUCCACUAUCAAUGCUCGAUCCACAACCUCCCGGUAGGUCUGGAGGUUGGAGGACUGUACCAACCGAAAGAUAGAAGGCCGCAAUCCGCGCUAAAAAAUGCGGGCCUUAUACUCGUCAUCCCUCACAACAAACGGUACACAGUGAAGUAGCCGGGAGAAUUCCCUCUCAUACUCGGCCAGUGACCGCUCGUCCUGGCGCAAGCUGCGCAAAUCCCGCUCCAUCUUCCUCUUGACGCUGGUCGGAAAGUAGUGCGCGAGAAGGAGCUCCUUGAACCUCGUCCAAGUAAUCGCUCCCAAGUCGGUGUUGGGGUUGUCCUGGAUAUCCAACCACCAACGGUAGGCUUCGCCGUCGAGAAAGUGAGUGGCGAGCCAAACUCUAUCCCGCUCCUCCACAAAGGUGUCUCGAAAAAGCUUCUCCAUGUGCAUCAACCACUUCUCAACAAUCCAGUAGUCGACGUUCUCGCCAUCAAACGUCCUCGGGCAGCACCUCCUGAACUCACUGAGGCGAUCCAUGAGCCGAUCCCGCUCGGCUCCCUCGGCCCUCACGGGGAAAGCUGCCCCCGUGGCCGGUCUUUGAACUGGGGGUACCGCAGCCACCUCCUCCCGAGGUGUGGUCGCCGGCGCCGCACGGGAAGAACUGGGCGCGGGGGACUGCGCUCUCGGUGCGACGUCCACCACGGGUGCUAGCGGUGUGGGACCCUGGGUCUCCCUCGAAGCUCCCGCCUGCUGAAGUAGGAGGUCCUCCAGAUGCUUCAUCCGUGCCUCCUGUCGCUGAGCCACCUCAGCCUGUCGCUGCGCCGCUGCCGUCUGCUGCGCCAACAGAUCAGUGAGGACCGCAAGCUGGGUCCUUAAGUCACGGACCUCACUAGAUCCGGAAGUAGCGGAGGUCUCGACCUCCUCGGGGUGUGCCGCAUCAUCCGCCCCGGCAGACUGGGAGCGUGUAAUCGGCAUCGUCACUAUAAAACAUAAAAGCGCAAGUUAGUAACCCGCGCUACCGCAUCCCCGCUCAAGAAGAUAAAACCACAAAUCAUGCGAAAGUAAGGAAGUGUUCUUCACUACUAACUCCCGAUGUUACGUUGUCGGCCGCCAACGUAACCCUCCGCGAAGUUAGAAGCCACACACUCCGAUCGAACUCUAACUUUUUAGAGUUACCAUCAAACCUAAUCGAAAUACUUUCGCUCACAAGUCAAGUAGACCUCGUCUCUCACGAGCCUAAUUCCUAUAGUCCAACCUGCCUAAGGUUUGCUAGGUCCACUAAGACUCAACCCUAGUCUCUGAUACCAAAUUAAUCUGUCACGCCCCAGGAUCGGCGGAGGCCCUCCCGGUAGCGCGCCCAGACCCGCCAUAUGUCUACACAUAUAAGGCGUCUACAAUAAAAGCGGAAGUGAAAGCAAGGAAUACAACAACUAGGAAUGAAUAACAACUAAUGAUAUUAGAGCGAGUAAAAAUCUAUCUUCUAAACAAGAAUAAAGGAAACAUACUAAUCCAUAAAAGUAAAGCACAAGGUGAUACAAUACUAACUCCUCAAAAAAAAUACAUAAGUCCAAAAGGAGGGUGGUCUCUAUACAUAUACGGGUACAACUCUCAACCUCUCACAAAGUAAAACAACGAGAGGUAGACCACCUAUCGAAUCGUCCUCGAAGGAAGCUAGCUCGAAGCAACUCCCUUCCCGCGGUCCCUAGCCUCUCCCGGCGUGGAAGGCUCUGAAAAUAUCAAGAAAACAAGGGUGUGAGAACUAUAAUUUAUAGUUCCCAGUGGGCAAUUACUGACCUCAGCUCAAUGCACCACUAGGCCCAAAGAAAGGGUAAGUACAAUAGGCAAUAACAGUAAUGAUAACAGCAAUAAGAAAGCAUGAUGGAAUGCUAAGCUACUAUGCCUCAAGUAAACCUGAUGCAAGUAUGGUGUACAUCUACUCUAUCAUAAGCAAGUACGUCCAAUGUGUCCUACAUAAGGAAUAAGUUCUAUCAAGCAAGCAAGUAUACUAUGAUGCAAUAAGUGAAACAGGCAAGUAUACUAUAUAUCCCAAUGCUAUAUCAUGAGCAUGUCCAAGUAAUCCAACUACUAAACCUAUCUAGUAGUCAUUAUUCAUUCUCAACACUGUGUCGAUUUUCAUUUCCAAUUAGGGACCUACCAAAGGUAGUCCAGCUUGUGCCGCCUAAGUGCUUGUGGUAGCCCAACAUCCCUAUUCUUGGAAUGUGUCUAUUCCACUCGACCCCGUAGGCUUCUCAAUACCGCACGAGCGAAUAUAGGUCGCGUAGGCUAACUCCGGAGUGCCGGCUUGUAGGGAGCGACCCUCACAAGCAUGUGCGAAUGAGCACAAAUGGCAAACAAGCGUAGUCAAAGCUCAAGUAUCCAAUCCUCAUGUCUCUAACAUGGCAAAAGCUACUAGUAACCCAACGGUUUAGGUCUAUGUCACAAUGUAAUAACUCAACACUCACUUGCUUAGUGCCUCUUUAUGACACUUAUGCAUCACCACUAAUCAAGUUCAAUUCAUAUUCUAUGUUCCAAUUAGGACAUUAAUACCAAUGUUCACUAUAGCCCGGGGCCCAAUGCCUCUUUAUGACAUUGAUCCAAAAUCCCAAAUAGUCUAAGUCCCCAAGCCUUUCUAGGCUUCCAAAGCCCCUAAUGUCACAAUUAGGCAUAAAGGUUAAAUGCAUAAAAGUAAUGUUCAUUUUCAUAAUAGGAAUCAUGGUUCCAUGUCUCAACUAGAAUGCUAUAUCCCACAUGCAUGCACUCUACCACAUAGGGGUCCAAAGAAUUUACUAUACAUAACAUAUGCAUGUUAAGCAUUCUAAAAUUCAUAAUAAAUAUAUCUAACAUGAUUAUGCAUGCUUUUUCAAUUAACGAUACUCCAAACAUCACAAAUGAGAUUUUCUCAUUGUGUGACUAGGUCAAACCCACCGAACCGUCGCGGUGUCCCUCGAUUCGCCGAACGGAGUUGUCCACGAGUCUCAAAAUAUCCUAAAAGUAUUGAGUGAAGAGAUACACGGGCGUUACGAUCAACUAUAAGAUCAAACAUUAACAACCAAGGCCAAAGGGCUAAAACUCACCUAAUGAGUGAAAAAUCUCUCUCAAGCUCCAAAAAAAGGCUAGGAUCCUUCCAAAGCAACCUAAACCAAGGUUCUAAUCUCAUUAGAUUAGCUCAAAAAGCCUUCAAUCAAAAAGCCCCAAAUAAAUCCUAGAUUUUCCAUUCUAGGGUUUCAUCCCCCAAAAUCUACCAAAGAUAGGUCUAGAGGGAAGAAACAAACAACCAACCUCAAGAGAACUCCAAUCCAAGCUCCAAGGGUGAAGAUCUUCUCUCUUGCAAGCUUCAAGUCCAAGCUCCAAGCACCAAGGAAGAAGAGAGGGUGAGGAAGAUGCUCCAAGUCCACUAGUUGCUCUCAAUCUUCUUCUUCUUCCUUCCUUCUUCUCCUUCUCCUUCUUCUUCUUCUUCUCUACCAAGGGUGUAGAGAGAGUUGAGAGAAAAGAAAUGAGGAGAAGAGAGAGUGGAUGGGUCAUAUAGACCAUCUAUUGCAACAAAAUCCAGCUAGGUCCCUCAAAAAUCCAAAAUUGCAUCAGCCCGGUCUGGGCAAUUUUCGCCCAGAGGGACCGGUCUCUCCCUGCAAGGGACCGGUCUCUCGUGUCGAACCCGAGAAACCAUCGUUCGGGAACCGGUCUCUCCCCGCGCGGGACCGGUCUCUCAGUGCGUAGACGCGCUCGGGGACCGGUCUCUCCUGCCAGGGACCGGUUGCCUCGCCGGCGGUCCCCGAGAGUAAAAACUCUCAGGACUCGUCCAGAACUCAGGUUUUCGAACUUUUUAGGUCGGCAAACAUUCUACGACCCUCCACCAAGUGUGGAAAAGCUCGAAACACAUCCAAUCACUCGAACCUCGCAAUUUGCAAAGGUCCAGUGUGUUACAUUCACCCCUCCUAAAAAGGAGUUUCGUCCGCGAAACUCAAAAGCAAAGUACCUCAAGCCUCCAUCUGAAAAAGAUGGGGAUAGCGCUCCCAGAGUGCGCUCUCCAACUACCAGGUGGCCUCGCGCUCGUCGUGGUUGCUCCACAGCACCUUCACGUAGGGAAUCUCACGGUUCCGCAAUCUUUUCACCUCGCGAGCCAAAAUCCUCAACGGCUGCUCCUCGAAGCUCAAAUCAUCCCUCAGCUCCAUAGGCGUAGCGUCCAACACGUGAGCCGGAUCGUGGAUGUACUUCCGAAGGACCGAUACAUGGAAUACAUUGUGUACACCCGAUAGGUUUGGCGGUAGAGCAAGUCGAUACGCUACCGGGCCUACACGCUCCAAAACCUCAAACGGUCCAAUGAAUCGGGGGCUCAACUUGCCCCGGAUUCCAAAUCUUCUAAUUCCUUUGGUCGGCGAGACUUUCAAGAACACAUGGUCUCCAAUCUGAAACUCCAAGUCUCGUCGACGCCGAUCAGCAUAACUCCUCUGCCUACUCUGGGCUGUCAACAAUCGCUCCCGAGCAAUGCGAACCUUGUCCUCUGCUUCCUGGAGCACAUCUGGGCCUAAAGCCAAUCUCUCGCCAACUUCACUCCAAUGAAGUGGCGAUCUACACUUCCGUCCAUAGAGUGCCUCGAACGGUGCCAUCUUGAUGCUUGCUUGAUAACUGUUGUUAUAAGCAAACUCUGCCAUCGGUAGAUGCUGCGACCAUCCUCCCUGGAAGUCAAUCACGCAGGCUCGAAGCAUGUCCUCGAGAGUCUGUAUAGUACGCUCCGACUGCCCGUCACUCUGAGGGUGGAAAGCUGUACUGAAGUCCAAACGCGUACCCAGAGCGUCCUGUAAGCUCCUCCAAAAGUGGGAUACAAAACGGGGGUCUCGAUCUGAUACUAUAGAAGUAGGUACCCCGUGCAAUCGCACAAUCUCAUCCAAAUAGACCUGUGCGAGUCUCUCACCAGUCCAAGUAGUGUGGAUAGGUAUGAAAUGUGCUGAUUUCGUCAAUCUAUCCACGAUCACCCAAAUAGCGUUAUGCCCGACCUGUGAGCGAGACAAUCCCAUCACGAAAUCCAUAGUGAUCUUUUCCCAUUUCCAUACCGGAAUCGGUAAGCUCUGCAGUUUCCCCGCGGGAACUCGGUGCUCAGCUUUCACCUGUUGGCAAGUUAAACAUCUAGCAACAAACUCACCAACAUCCUUUUUCAUUCCGGGCCACCAAUAAAGUAAUUUCAAAUCCUUGUACAUCUUGGUGCCUCCCGGAUGUAUAGCAUACGGUGCUCGGUGUGCUUCUUGAAGAAUGUCCUCUUUAAUGCCCAAGUCUGCCGGUACACAAAGUCGUCCGCGAAAACGGAUCAAUCCAUCACUGUCUGUAGUGAAAUCACCAGUGCAACCAUCAACUAUCUUAGCUCAAAUCCUUUGCAACUCCGAGUUGGAAGCUUGCUUUUCUUUAAUCCUUUCUAUAAGUGUAGGUUACACCACCAAAGUCAUCAGCCUCAAAGGUUUAUCAGGAGCCACCACCUCAAACUCCAACCACUUUAUCUGCUCGAUCAACGGCGGUUGAGUAACCAUGAGCAUCACUAAGUUUUUCUUCGAUUUCCGACUUAGCGCAUCCGCGACCACGUUAGCCUUGCCUGGGUGGUAAAGAAUAGUCAAGUCGUAAUCCUUGAGCAGCUCCAACCAUCUGCGCUGCCUCAGGUUCAACUCCUUCUGAGUGAACAAAUACUUUAAGCUCUUGUGAUCCGUAUAUACUUCGCAUCGCUCGCCGUAUAAGUAAUGGCGCCAUAGCUUCAAUGCAAAAACCACGGCCGCCAACUCCAAGUCGUGAGUAGGGUAAUUCCUCUCAUAAUACUUUAGUUGGCGAGAAGCAUACGCGAUCACCUUCCCGUCCUGCAUCAAAACACAUCCAAACCCAUUAAAGGAAGCAUCGCUAUAAAUCACAUACCCUGCUCCAGCAGUCGGCAGGGUUAGGAUCGGGGCGGUUGUUAAUCUCUGCUUCAACUCUUGGAAACUUCUUUCACACACAUCAUUCCAUAUAAACUUGGUGCCUUUGUGCGUGAGCCUCAUGAGGGGAGUAGAUAACUUAGCAAAUCCCUCGACGAACCGUCGGUAGUAGCCGGCUAAACCAAAGAAGCUCCGUAUCUCUGCCACACUCGUCGGCCUCGGCCAAUCCUUGAUAGCUUCAAUUUUCCUCGGGUCCACGGCUAUGCCUGAUCGUGAAAUCACAUGGCCCAAAAACGCCACCUCUCUAAGCCAAAACUCACACUUUUUCAACUUGGCAUAGAGCUUCUUUUCCCGAAGCACUUGAAGUACAAGUCUCAAGUGUUCCUCGUGAUCCGCAUCACUUCGGGAAUAGACCAAAAUGUCGUCGAUGAACACCACGACAAACCUGUCUAAAUAAGGCUUGAAAAUACGGUUCAUUAAAUCCAUAAAAGCUGCCAGAAUAUUAGUAAGCCCAAACGGCAUAACGGUAAACUCAUAAUGUCCAUACCGUGUUCUAAAAGCCGUCUUCGANNNNNNNNNNNNNNNNNNNNAUAUAUAUAUAUAUAUAUUCAUAUGUACCUGGGUUACGUACGGUUCCUUUGACAGUGUAGCCCCUCUCCAAGAGGAGCUUGACGAGCCACGAUGCGAUGAAGCCCCCCGCGCCGGUGACGCACACGGUUCGGCCGUUUCCGGGGGCCGCUAAAGCCGUCGUGUCGUCGACGGUCAUGUCGUUUGAAGAUCUACCAAUUGAGAGCAAUUAAUUACCAAAAAAAAAAAAAAGAAAGAAGAAGAAGUUUUAGAAGAGAAGGGUUAUUGCUUUGGUGGGAAACUAUGGUGGUGUAGUUGGAGAAAAAGGGAGAAGGGGAGGUGGUGUAUAUAUAAUAAGAAAAAGAAAGGUGGUGGGGCGUGUAGUGUAUAUCUAGAAGGUGAAAGUGAACACUACCUGUUUGGAUUCUCCCGAAUUUUAUAGCAGCAGAGUAUUUUUUUUUUAUUUUGUACAAGCCAAUAUUGACAUCUGUAUAAAAGUGUGUGGAUGUUUUUCUAAAAAAAUGUCAAAAUGUAACAAAAAUAUCAUAAAAUACAAUAAACUUUUUGAAAAUAAAAAGAGCUCACAAUUAUAUAUGUUUUAUAAUUUUUUACUAUCAAAAUUUACCAAACUCAUAUUGCCCUUUCACAUAAGCACGGAAUGUUCUAGUAAUAAUAAUUAGUUUACGUAUUUUUAGUCGGGGGUUUAGAUACAAUAAGUUAUUAAUAAUUAUCUAUUAGAACAUUAAAUAUAUUAUAAGACAUUAUUAUACUACUAAAAAAUUUUAAUUUACUCAAAUAGAAGAUGGGAAAAGGGGGUAAGUAGGUAGCAUGGUUGAUUAAAUUUUGAUUUAUUCAAAUAGUGGGGCCCACUGUAAAAAUUGGAAAGAUUUUGAAGUUGUGGAUAUGGAAGCUAAAGAUUUGCAAGGUGAAGGAAAAAUAAGAAAUAAAAAAAUAAUAAAAAAAAAAGCAACAAUGCGCGGCAAUUUAUCAACCAGAGGAAAAUGCUUUAAUUUCAAAAAAGCGGGCACAAGGUGCAUCAUAUAUUUCGUGCGCCACAUCAUGGUUGGCAUUAAUUUUACAUCUACCCAUCUAACAGGUGUCAUUCUGUACUAAUUUUAUUAUUAUUUUUUAAUUAAAAAUUUAUUUAAUAUUUUAUGAAUCAUAGAGAGAGAGAGCUAGAGAGUCGGAAUCACCGUUAGAUUUAACCAUUUUAUUAUUUUUAUCCGUUAGAUUAUACUAUUCAACCAACAACUCACUCAACUCUAGGGUACCCAUAUUAUUCUAACCGUACAUUUCUUCAUCCAAAGGCCAAAAACCUAAUAGCACCAAUAACUUGGUGCUAUUAAUAACAUUCCGGCCUAUAUAUAUAUAUAUAUAUAUAUAGAGUGAGGCUACUAUGCUUCUGGAAGCACAGAGCCUUCCGUACUUCCAGGUCGUUUUUUAUGUUGCGACUUUCGAAUCGUCGAUCGGCUCAGUUAAACUUGAUCUAGAGUAUUUGAAGUACCUAGAAAAUAAAUUUUGCGAUUUUUCGAUAUUAUUUGCCUAGUGAACGAAGGGGGUUCAAAAUCAACGGGUGAAAAUAAAAAUCUUACAAAACGUGACAAUAUGACAUUAAAAUUUUAAAUCAAAGAUAUUGAUUUUGUUUUAUAUAGUAUAAAGAAUUUUCUAUCAAAAUUUCACGUGAUUUGGAUAUUUCUAUACCGUUAAACUUGCAAACGGCUCACUACGGCCAUUAAAAAUUAUUGAUUUUGAGCCCCUUCGAUCACUAGGCAAAUGAUAUCAAAAAAUCAUAAAAUUUAUUUUCUAGGUACUUCAAAUACUCUAUAUCAAGUUUAACGGAGCCGAUCGACGAUUCAAAAAUCGCAACAUCGAAAACAACCUGGAAGCAUGGAAGGCACCGUGCUUCCAAAAGCAUAAUAGCCUCACACUAUAUAUAUAUACUAGUGUAGUUACCCGCACAAUGCAGCGGGCAGAUAUUAUCGAAAUAAUUUUUAUAUUAUUAUUGAUCAUCGAUGAUAGUUUGAAAUUAUACAUAUACAAAAAAAAUACGGGGAGAAAAUGAAGAAAGAAAUAAAAAGAAGAGUAGAAAAGAGAAACGACAAAAAAUGUCAGAGUUAUACAUUUAUAUAUCUAUAUAUGUAGUAUAAGACCCGCGUUUCACGGCAGUUAAAUAAAAUUUUAGCCAGUCAAGACAUAUAGUUAUUAAAAAAUAUUCAAAUAAUUUAUCAUACCAUCAAAAUUUUAUUUUUGAUUUAUAUCUUAGAGUAAAUUUAUGAUGCACUGAACACAUUCAAAAUAUUAAUAGCUAUGUAGCAAUCCUUCAUUGGUUAAUGAGUAACCUCCUACUUCUAAAAGAACGAAAAAUUAUUUAUUUACACUUGAUGCGUACUAAUUUUUUAUACAGCGCACAUAAUAUUAUAUAGUUGAUAGAGUAUUUGAAAACUAAUAUUGUAAAAUAAAUAUGAGAUAAUAAAAAAUAUUUAAAUUAUUUAUUACAUCAUCAAAAUUUUAUUUUGAUGCAUAUUUUAGAAUAAAUUUAUGGUGCAGUAGUCUUGUUUAUUACUAUAAACAACUUUCAACAUAUAUUCUAAAAAAAAACUGAUUAAAUGCUAACUUUUUAUUCUAGAGCUGAAAACACUCUAAAAAUAUAUGUAAAAAGAAAAAAAAACUAAAAGUGUUGUCAUAAUUUUGUUAAAAAAUUUAUUUAAAUAGUAUAUUAUCAAUCUGCUGAAACAUACCUAUGUAUGAUUCAUUGCUCCUAUGGAGUACGUGUUGAGCGGCUUUGUUGAAUCUUCUAUAACUUUUGCACUAAAAUAAAUGAUGGUAAAAACACUUCUCUAAUUUUGGGGAAGACUUUAUAGCUAUAGCAAAUGAAAAAUUUUAAAAACAAAGACUCCUAGUAUUCUCUGUUAGCAAACUUUUUACUAUUCUCAACAAAAAAUUUUAAGUUGUAAUGAAUAAGAAGCAGUAAUUAAUUUAGGUUACAAAGUGUUCGGAAUUUAAAAAGGGUUAGAAUAAAUUGGAUAUUAAAAUUAGAAUAAUAAUAUAGAAAAGUUGGAUCGAGAUUUUUAGUAAUUAUUAGAUACCCAUGCAGGUCAAAUAAGAAAGUAAUAAAAUUAAAAAAAUGAAUGAUAAUGGCAAUAUUAGUUUAUAGGAAAAAAAAAAUUCAUGAGUAAUAAAGAUUAUUAAUUAACUGAAUUAGCUAAUUAUAUUUAACUUGAUAUAGAAAGUUGAAAGCCACUUACAAAAUUAUAACAACAAAAACUACUUAAAUGAAAUGUUCAUAAUAAUAUCCCACUAAACUAAAAGAGAAAAUUAAAUUGUAGAAAGUUAAGUUAUAGGAGGUAGAUGAGGGGACAAAUUCACUAUUAAAAAAGAAAAAAAAUUUAAAAAAUUAAGAUUUUGCCACAUCAGCUAUAGUAUUGGAGAUUAAUAUAUAGUUAAUAGAUAUAUGUAUAUGUAUAUGUAUAUGUACGUACCCGGCAGCCAAGAGGGUGAGAAACCAUGUAAUGAUAGCAGACGAAGCAGCGGGCUGCAGGCUGUCAUAGUUCCAGAAUCUAACGUGGCUGAAACCCGCGACUGCCGAAGCCGCCCCGACAGCUCCAGCAAUCACUGCGAAGAUCGCGAAGAAGCCGGUGGCAAAGUUCCCGAUCGGAAAGAAAAUCGGCUUGAAAUGUGCUGGGAGUACAAGCUCUGGACCUGCCACAAUUAAUUAAUAUUCCAGGACUUUAUGCAUGCAUGCAUGCAUCAUAUGGUCUGAAAUGAUACGUAUAUACAUAUAUAGAUAAAAAAAAAAAAAAGGUUAUACAUAUAUGUUUUUUUUUUUUUGUUUUUAAACCUAUGAUGAAGCCUCGAUCGAUGGCGAUAUUAAUGGCCCAUCCUCCGAUGACCGCUACAAUGACAUACAUGCAGAAAUUGAGGAAGAGAAGAAGGGAGACGACGGGCCUUAAUCCGUCGUUCGCCAUCGACUGCGAACCGUUGAGAUGUUGUUAAUUAGUAGUAAGAAGUAGUGAUGGUACAGGAAAAUUGGUGAAAGAAUGAGUAGAUUGUUGAUUGUUGCAUGGUUAGGGUUCCUUAAUUGCAUGCAUAUAUAAUAGGUAUAUUGGUGUUGCAGCUUGGGCUUGGGUUUGUUCUUUGCUUGUGGUUCAUUAAUUGGAGCAAAAGCUGCUGUAAUUAAAGGGCUGUAAAGAGGAAGCCCAAAGCCUUGAGGCCGAAGGAAAGGAGCUAGAAUCUUGUGACGAAGGGCGACAUGCAUCUGUGUGUUUUCUUGGUGCACAAAUUAAGAAUAGCUUGCUGUCCCAAUUAGUUAAGCCUGUCAUGUAUAACGGCUUCCGAUCGAUCACUACUUUAUAUAUACCUUACUCCUUAAUUAAUUUGUUCCCUUUUGCUAGAGGCAAUCAACAUUCUUCUCUCUUGAUUUUCUUUUAAAUUUUUUUUUUAUUCAUCUCUUUAUUUGGAACAUGCAUGUAGCUUUCAGUGGAACGGGAGUUAGUGGAAAUUGAAAAAAUAUAUACAUAUAGAGAGAGAGAGAGCCAAAAGUAAGAGCCUAAGAGGUAAUGUUAUUAAGCUUUUACCUACUGGAGUAAGAAGUUCAUUGACCUACACAUGUAAAUUAGUUUUAGGCCCUGUUUGGAUGUACAGUAAAAAAAAUUCCAUGGACUUUAAAUACCGUAGUUUUGGUCCAAAUAAAAUGAGGAAUCCUGUAACUCCAAAAAAAUUCCACGGAAUUAUUUUAGAAGCUGUUUGGAUGCACAUUAUACAAUUCUACAGAAUUUCUGACAAUCUUAAAAAAAUUAGCUAUUGGGGACUUUGAAUUUAAAUUAUUAGUUAUUAACUGGGUUAAAAUUUUCAAAUUAGAGUAUUAAAGAUAUCUAAAUAUUAAUUGUUAUUUCAAAUUUAAAAAAUUAUGAUAUUAAACUACUAAUAAAUUUAUUCAAAUUUUGAAAAACUAGUCGUCGGAAAACUUUAUCUCCAAAACUAGCCGUUAGUGAACUAAAAAAUUCAAAUAGUAGCCGUUAGAAAGCUAAAAAAUUAAAAAACUAGCAGUUGGAUACGUAUCAUGAAGUUGUAUGACAAUAUUAUAUAUGAAUGUCAUUUCUACUUAUGAAUUCAAUCAAAAUUCUUUCUACUAUGUAUUAAAUAUACAAACAAAGUCAACCACCAUGGCAAAAAAAGGAGCAAGAAACAUCAUCCAUGAAGUUUAGCAUUACAUGAAAUAAGCCAACAAACAUCUAGAUAUCAACAAAAAUCUAUUUAGCAUUAAAGAUACCAACUUGCUAAAUAGACUAUAAAGUUCAAUAUACCAACAAAUGUCAACGGUAAGGUUUAACAUGACAAACAAAAUGAAAGAAACUUAAUAAAAAAGUAUAGUAAAGAAACUAAGCAACAAGCUUAAGAUUUAACUCUAAAUUCCUUCUUCCCAUGCCUUUUUUAUCCAAUAAGCCCUAUGUUCAUCCUUCAAUGAAAGCCAAGCUUCACGAUUCUUUUUCUUUCUUUGAAAGACUCUUGAAACUUUAAAUACCUCGUCCGCGGUCCAUGGAUCAGGCAAUGCAUAAAACACCUCCAUACAUUUAUCAAUAGAAUAUUUAUCAUCAUAAUAACUUCUUGUUUGUUCCUCUGCUACGGUGACAAUAGCUUUAGCAAGUUUAUCAUCACCCCUCUCCUUCACAAUGAGUAAAUUAUAGAAAAAAGCAUAUAAAUUAAACUAUGCAUGAACAUGUAAUUCCCUACAAAACCUUCUAAAACUAUGCAUGUAAAUUGAAUUUUGCAUUUAAUGUCUCUGAAUUCAUUCUAUUAAUACUAACAAAAUUCCAAAGUAUAUAACCCCAUAUCAAAAGUAAUGGAGUGUGAAGAAUCAUGAUACUAGUGUCAAAUUACUUGAACAUAAUUCUUAAGAAAUGAAGCAAUGGAGUAGCAGCAGCAAACUGCAUCAAUACAUGACCAGCAUAGUUGAUCAAAAUUAAAGUUUUCGUGAUAAUUGAACUAAAGUCGAUCUACGCUGAUAACUGCAAACCUAAUGUAACAAAGGCAUAGAAAAUUAGUAUAAAAAUUUAUGCAUAUCUACUUUCUGUAGAACAGAGCUUGUGCGGUCUUAAUCAUCUCAUUUGGGCAAAAUUGAUAUUACCACAACUAUUCAACUGUAAAAUAAAACAAUAAAUAAACCAUGAUUUCUGCAAUGUCUUAGGCACCCCGUCCACAGUAAAGAAAUCGUCCAAAAUUAACAAUCUCUGAAAUUUGGAUACAAGUGAUAAUAUUACGACCAUCCAAAAAAAUUAAUUUUGAUAAAAAAAUUAACUAUGAUAGCAAAGAAUAAAAAUCAUCUUGACCACAUCAGAGUCCUAUCCAACACCAUUUUGCCCUUAUAAAAACUCUUCUCCAUGACAAUUUGUCCUCAACUUAUUAACCUGAAAAUCAAAAUCUACUAAAUAUUCCGAAUUAACAUAUCUCGACUUUGACCUAGUUAUUUCUAUUUUGACUACUAAUAUUUUACUGUAACAGCUCCUCUAUAUGGAAGGAGUUAAAAAAGAAAAAGUAUUAAACUUUCUAGAAGACCAUUUACUUAGACUGAAACUAGAACCCUUACAUCUUCUUGAAGAGACAAACAGCCUUAGAAGCUGUGCAAAUCUUAGCCUCUUCAGUUCAUGUGAAGAAAAGCGUAACAUAAUCAUAUCAUCAUGGAAAUUUUUCAAACUAUACUCUAUCAAAUGUAGCAUUUGGAUCCUCUCGUUCUCCGGUAUCCAUCACCACAACCAAAAUAAAGGUAACAUAGAGCUAGCAUUAAUUUCUUUCUUUACCUGUUGGAGGAGGAAAAGCGUGCGACGCCUCUCCGGCCAUCGCAAGGUGCGGAGCGGUAGGGGAGGGGUAGCAAGAGUACAGCGUCGGCGAGAGAUGAGUAAAGCGAGUGCUCAACGGCAGCGGCGACCGUGGCCGAGAUAAGUGAGGCGGACGAGGUGAAUGUACCACCGGAGGCGGCGGACGAUAUGAGUGCGGCGGCGUCGGCGGCGGCCGAAGUGAGUGCGGUCGAGUAGGCGACGGCCGAGAUGAGUGUGGAGACGAUAAGGGCAAGAAAACCCUAUUUUUUUGGUUGUGGAGAGGGUGGAGAUUGCAGGGAGGGAAACUCUGAGGAAGAGGGGAAAAAAAAAACGUUGGGCGGGUGAGUGGAGAAGCAACCCAUAAAAUAGAGUUUAGUUUUUAAGAGAAAAUUUUGGAUUUUACUUUUACCCUACUUUUUAGGGUAUAGUUUAACUAUACCCUAUUUUGUUGGUAUGUUUGUAAACCAUCCAAACAGUUCUUAGAAAAUUUUUCCUACACCCAUAGCAUAGUUAUACUAUGCUCCAAAAAAGUGAGCAUCCAAACAAGCCCUUAGUGUGGAUUCAGAGACAGAAAAUUAGCAAGAAUUAGUGACAAAGUGACUUUAUAAGCUAGGCAUGCGGUUGAAAUCAGUUACAAGAUAUACUUUUAAAAAAGGGAUAAUUGCUUAUAUACUCCUGAAAAAUUUUUAACUUUCUUAUUUACUUCUCUUAGAAGACUAAUAUUUUUUUUUUUGAGAAAAAAGUAGCGAGCUACCUGUUUCAUUCAUUAAGAGGAAUGAACUAUACUUACAGGAUGGAUGCAACUAAGGCAUCCGAGGGCAAGUCGAAGACAAAACAAAAAAACUAAAAAGAAAGAUAAAGAGAAGGGAAAAAGUCAAAACACCUAAGGGGAAGGGAGGGGGGAGGAGGGAGGGGGGUCCACACUCAACAAAAAUUGCUCAGUUGGAUAUAAAAACUUUGAUGCGGUCGAGCGAGCGCAGAGGGUUGGGGGAGGUUGAUUGAAAGAUAGUCUUGUUUCGCUCAUUCCAGACGACCUACCAAGUUGUUAUUAGUAAUGAUAGUCUCUUCCGUCUUGUUUCAUCGUUUCCCUGGUUGGAGAUCAUAUCCCAGAGAACUCGGGCUGUUUUCUGCGAGUUGGCUAGCAGGAUCGGGUCUUCGGCCUUGAAGAGUAGGUAUUUUACGUACACACAGUUUCGGAAAAGGUGGUCACGCGUUUUGGGGGCGUCGGCACAAAAGGACACAUACGUUCUCCUCGGGCCGUCUUGGGAGGCAUAAUUUAUCCGCAGUGAGAAGUCUGUUACAAAGCAGCAACCAAAUGAAAAUCUUGAUUUUAAUUGGAAUUUUUAAUUUCCAUAAGUACUGGCUCGUGGAGUCGCUUCGACCAACGUUUGUAAUGAACGCAUAGAGUGAUUUGACCGUAAAGAGUUGAUUAGAUGUCCAAUGCUAGUUGAUCCAGUCUGUCAAGUUGGUUGGGAUGCGAGAUUGUAGCAUAUCCUUUAACAGCGAAAGUAAGUUGUGUCUAUUAGGGGAAUGGGGCAGUACAAAGCCCUGGCAGAUAUACCUCCAUCUCUAAUCAUUGGCGUUCUAGCACUGGGACACAGUGACCUCCUUAUGCCUAAUGUUGUCGAAGAUAGUCGGGAAUUGGGUGCGGAGCGAGGUCUCUCCUAUCCAAAUGUCCAUCCAAAAUCUAAUGUCGUUGCCGUCUCCUAGCGUGUAGGUUAUACCGCAUUUGAACACGUCGCGGCAUUGGAGUACGCUCCUCUACCAAUGCGAGUAGGGCACGAAAGCUUUUCCCUCAUGGAGCGGCCAUCUUUUGCUGUAAUAUGUCCUGAUCAGUUUGGUCCAAGCUAGGUUAUCCUCGAUAAAGAGUCGCCACCACCAUCUGGAAAGGAUGGCGUGUUCAUUGAUUCUAGAUCUUUAAUCCCCAACCCCCCCUCUUUCUUGUUUUUGCAAACGGUUUUCAAAUUAACUAGACAUGCCCCCCCACUAAUUUUGUUACAUCCUUUCCAGAAGAAGGCCCUGCACAGGGCCUUAGCUCUCUGAAGGACCCAUUUGGGGGCCUUGAAGACGGUAAAGUAGUACAACGGCAAGUUCGUGAGGAUGGAGUUAACUAGAGUCAGUCUCCCUCCUUGAGAUAGUAGCUUCGCCAUCCAGCCUUUGAUUCUCUUAUCAAUGCGAUUAAUGACUGGAGUUCAGUCCUCCUUCCUAAGCUUCUUGGAGUGUAGAGGCAGUCCUAAGUAGCGAAAGGGGAGGGAGCCCACUUUGCAUCCUAGAAUAGAGACGAGACGGACUGCUUUGUGUGGGUUCGGUCCUAAAUAGAACAGUUCGGAUUUAUCUUUGCUAAUUUUAAGACUUGAAGCGCAUUCAAAUAGUUUCCAGAUGAAUCCUAGAUUGCGCAGAAUGUUUUUUCUGGUUUGCAAAAGAAUAAAGUAUCGUCAGCGUAUUGGAUAAUGACGGUCUGACAUUCUUCGGAAGGCCCAAUACUGCUGAGGAGGUUGUUUGCUUUGGCAGUUUUAGUCAACCGAGUAAGACAAUCGGCCACCAACAGGAAAGGGAAAGGGGAGAGGGGGUCUCCUUGCCUGAGCCCCUUGCGAACUUUCAACCAGUUGGAAGGUGUGCCGUUGACAAGGAUGGUCACCUUAGCGUUGUAGAGGCACUAUUCUAUCAAAGUCCAUCAUUUCUCAGUGAACCCGAGCCAAAAGAAUAUUUUCUUCAGAAAGCUCCAUUUUACAUUGUCGAAAGUUUUUUCGAAGUCUGCCUUGAUGCACGCACAUUCCCUGCCCGUCUUGGUGCACCAGGCUACUAGUUCGGAGGCGGUGACAAACAAAUCGGCCAAUAGCCUAUCUUUGCGGAAAGCUGAUAGUGACAACGAUAUGAUAGUCGGCAUAACUUGUGCGAGCCUACUGGCGAGGACUUUGGAAAGGAUUUUCUGAAUUUCGUUAAUGCGAUUGAUCGGUUUGAAGUCGUUUGCCCUACAGGCUCAUUCUUUUUUAGGGAUAAGGCAUAUAAAAGAAUAGUCAGUAGGGUCGGUGUUGAGUCUGUUCUCCUGAAGAUCGAUGAAGACGUUAAAGAUGUCAACCUUGGUUGAUUCCCAAAAGGUUUGGAAGAAGAGUAGUGGGAAACCGUCAGGCCCCGGCGCGUUGUCGGCUCCCAGAUCAAAAGUUGCUUUUUUAAUCUCCUAAAUGGUGAAGAGGGUGGUGAGUAGGUCGGGAUUAGACAGUUUGUUUUCCUGGUAGAUCCCACUCCAAUCGCCUGAAGAUUGGGAGUGGUCUUCGGUUUGACCAAAUAACUGUUUAAAUUUUCGAUGGAAGUAGGAUUGUUUAUAUUUUUCUUGAAGAAUGUGACUACUAUCGUCGUCCAAAAUGGUGUCGAUGAAGUUGGCCCGCUUAUGUCCGUUGGCCACUACAUGAAAAAAUUUGGUAUUACCGUCGCCUUCCUUAAGCCAGAGCUCUUCGGCCCUUGUUCUCCAGAGAAUCUCUUCCUCCUCGUUGAUUGUCAGAAGGCGCUUUUUGAGAUCGGCCUUUCUGUCUGAUUCAAACAGGGUUAGGUUCGUCUGUUCCUCCAGAGUGUCGAUGGAUUGUAUUUCCUCUAGUAUGGACUUCUUGGUGGUGGAUAUAUUGUAGAAGGUGGUCUUGCACCAUUCCUUGAUUCUCACUCUGCAAUGCCUAAGUUUGGCUGAUAGGGUAAGGAUAGCUGUGUCUUUGUUCGGUAUUUCGUUCCACCAGAAUGGUACAUUACGACGGAAGUCUUCUUUGGAAAGCCAAACUCUUUCUAACCGGAACAUGCGAAGUCGGUUUUGCCGCCCUGUUGAGAGGAGGAUUGGUGAAUUGUCGGAGGUGAUUCUAGGGAGUGCUUUGACGCUGCAGAGUGGGAAGGUUUGGUCCCAUUCAGUGGAAACGAGGAAUCUGUCCAGCUUGGCCAAGGUGGGAUUAAGUUGCAUAUUUGACCAAGUGAAGGCUUGGUUCGACAGAGGUAGAUCGAUAGCUUCUAGAGUGUUGAUGAGAUUCGAGAAUAAGAUCAUAGCUUUUCUGCUCCACGGGUUACCUUUUCUUUCCGAUUGGUUUUUAGUAAGGUUAAAAUCCCGCAAAUUACCCAGUUGUUGGAGCAAAUUUCUUUAAGGGAGAGUAGUUCCGCACAAAAGGCUUCUUUUCUAUCCCAGGUUGGCGGGCCGUAAACAUUAGUUAGGUAAAACGCUUUCCCACUUGCAAGGUGUGUGAGGGAUAACGUAAAAGUGUGAGCUCUCGAGAUGACCUUGCGGCAGGAGAACGUAGUAGCGCGCCAGCAAGUAAUUAAUGUUAGUUAUAUGCCCUAUAAGCCAAUCUUAUCAUAACUUAAAGGGUUAAUAUCAGUGUACUUUUCUUUUAUGAUUAAAUCUGGCAUUCUUCAUUCAUAUUAUUGCCAAAUGCAUAUUUAUGAAUCGCCCAUAGAAUUAAUAGUAGAAGAAUUAACUUUCUAAAUGAACGGUAACACGAGUAAGCGUGUACGAACACUCCCAGCGAGGGAUGUUCGGCCGUGAGGCCUCUACCGGUAGCGCUAUGUAUAAGCGGCACGCCCUAACCCGCGGCUUCACCUAACGGCACCCUGUCCGAGUAAGGGUCCCACCCCUACUACUGAUGGUGCCCCGGUAAUCCGAGCCGUGGCCGGUCUGUCGGAUGUCCACCCAGAGUCCCGGUAUCUGUCGGAAGCCCACCCAGAGAAGUCUAAACUGAAACACAUAGGUAAUACUAUACACCUGUCUACUACUGAAUCAUAUGAUGAACCUAUAACUGAUCUUAUCAUUUGUUGCCUUGAAAUGAUAAAACGUAGCACUUGUAAUACUGUCAACCUCUGUAAAAUGAAGUACGUAUCAACAAAAGUAUGAAUACGAUAAACAUGAUUCAUCUCUAUAGUACAACAUCAUUCAAUGUGUAAAUAAAUGGAAAGCGAAAGGAUGCAAUAUCAGUGACUGUAGAUAACAUCGAAACCCGGAACACCGCGUAAGUGACUUCAGUCAUUAACGGGUGACCCUUGAUAAGAAUUAUCAAGAGUGCGGGGACAAAGAUACAAAGGAAAAGUCUCGGAAGCCGUGGCCGCCUCCGUGCCCUAGCGCCGUUCCCCUAGCGAAUCGAUCGAUCGCUCCUCGCUAUGAAACGGAUCCACCAAUGAGAAAGAAAAUAAAAACUCUCUCACACUCUAAAAACAUAGGCACAUAUCUCUGGUGGAUACAUGGAUGGAUAUCGUGAACAUAAACCCUAAAGGAUAACAUAAAUGAAAUACAGAAUAAAUCGCUUAAAUGUCAAAGUAGGAAUAGAGAACAACAUCGUAAAUCUGUAAAUAAUGCGAGACUAUGUGGAUCUACAGAUAAUAAUACCGAAAUAAUAACAACAAGAAUCUGCGGAAUAUACAACAUCUGUAUACCGCCCAGACCCGUGCGCGGCCCGCCCGAAGGCGACCCAGGGCGCCGCACUGUGUCUCUGUAAGAGUAACUCGAGAUAAAAGGAGGGUGAUGGAAGAAGAACUUAUUUAACAAAGAGUUCUUUUCUCCGCACGGCUGAGUGUUAUUAUAAAACUAGUACUCCUUUUAUCUUUAUCAUAGGGUUACUAAGAAACCCUAUCGGUUGUUUAGAUGGAAAUAGGCUGGAAUGAAGGUUAAAUAGGUAGAAAACGAAGAAUUGUAUUCGGCCUGUAGGGGUUUAGAACUCCACUGGUUCUCAACCGAAAGAUGGUUUGGUUUAGAGUAUACCUCAUCAUCUUUGUCUAAACCUUCCGUGAGACAAAUUCUAUAUACGUCGUCAUUCCUCUCGUAUGGGGGUUUCACUAUAUCCGUUUAGACACUUUGAGUAGUACCUAGCGUGGUAUAGAUUAUUUCACGCUAAAGAGGCAAGUCUAUGAGGUAAUUCAACACCUCACGGUCCUCCUCAGGUAACUCUCUACUACGGCAAAAGAAACUCCAUUAAAUUUUUCAGACUUGAAUUCAUAAGGGGAGGAGCUAGACUAGCUUCCUAGAAUUAUUUGAAAGGCCAAACAAAAAGAUGAAGUACAGAUUUAAGAAACUUGAAAAGUUUUCGAAGUCUGAAAACAGAGUAGUUCAUCUGUAUGGGUAUGGCGCUUAUCAGCAGUCAUUUCCACUACUUCAUUUGUAUUGGAGGGAACCGAACAUGUAGUUUACCAGGCGUAUGUAGUCAUACGUGGUUCCGUUCAUAGAGUCACCGAGAAAGGGGAACAGAUUAUUUCCCAUUAAACCAGUAGAAAGGAACUUCUGUACUAAGUGUUUAACCUAUGCCGAGUUUUCUGUUACUUAAGUUCUCGGGUAGAAAUUGGUUAAACAAUUAGGCUAGAAGUGGCUACACUGGAUUAGAUUCUACGGUGUAUAUGAACACUAAAUGGAGAAGAGAUCCAGAGAAUCUGGGAUGCCGUAAAUGAAGGACGAGUUAACAUAAAUAUGAAUGUAGAUAUACGUUCACUAUAUUAAACAGUUAGUAACAAGGUAUCGGAUAGUUAAAUAAAGGAUUUAUUUAACUCGUUCAUAAAUAAAGUUUUUAUUUAAAUAUUGGUCAGUUACGAUUACUCCUUUGUCUUUAAUUCAAAGAUGAUCGUAAUCCUUGUAUCUCUGUUAGAAGAUUAAGAUUUUGAUACGGACUGCCAUUAUCAUAUCCUAUCCAAGGAUGCCGAUUACGUCGUUGAAAACGAGGUAAUGGGUGAGCAUCCUACUAAAGAGGAAGGAAAUCGGAAGAUGAAACAGAAUUUGGGACGUAGCUCCACGUGUUCACUCUUCACGUACGUCUUAGUUAAUAGGUUCAUCAUCAUCUUGUAUGGCUGUCUGAUCAGAGUUAUUACUCGUUCAACCUGAAUGGAAGUCUUCCGAACAGGAAACGGAACAGGAAAUCCGAUCGUUCCAUAAGCCCCGUCAAAGAGAAGGUUACCGGUAGAGGUAACGUCACCUUUGUAAAAGGAAAUCACCGGAAGAAUCCUUGAACAGAAAAUAAUAGCCGGAAACCGAAGAACAAUCUAAAGAAUAAAGAGGUAAAUCUAAAAGAAAACCUCUUACUUCGGGCAAGGUAUCGGUUCUAGCUGGGGAAUAAUGGAAAAUAACAAGGGAGGCGACAAUGAUCGUAUAAGUUCUCGAGACUCUCUCACGUGACUUAAAAUAAGUAAACUUUUAAGUACUGUUUGACACUUUUACUCAGUCCAUUUCUGACGUCUUAAUUUAGACAGACGUUCAGACGUAGGUAAGCAUCCGGCUCGAAGGGUUCGAGGAGAUAUAGGAGUUAGUAAAAGUUUGUUACUACUAAUUGUCUAACCGGUAGCCUGUAAGAACGAGCUUUGUCGGCAAAGCUAUAGAGUAUAGCUCAUCUCGCCGAGACAAGUGGUAUGUCAAGAACAUCCACUUCAUCUUACCGGCUACGUGAUAAGUACACAAGUACAACCGCAACGUUGAGUAACGAGUAGUUGCGGUUGUACAUUGUGGACUGAGAUAACAGCAGUAGAUAGGUAAAAAGUAUUCGUCGAGAGAGAACGAGUAACAGUAGUCGACCUUCAAGUCCUCGUCCUCAUCAGUUUUAUAUCCGUUAAAAAAGUCUUAACUCUUGCUAAGAGUUCAAGGCAUCGGUUAGUCUUUUUAAUCCCGGCCAGUUCGCUAACCGUAGUUCUUAAAAUCAUUCUCCCAAUCUUCGUCGGUAUAAGACGUAUUCCAUUUCUAUAAGUCAAUCAAUACAUGAAAAGUAAUAAGGUAAACUAAUACCUGAAAAUUAGUUUACCACAGAGGGUGAUUCAAAACGCCUAGAAGUGUGAGGGAAUAACGUCUUUGCCUUUGGAGAAAUAAACCAAAGUUACCCCUAACGCCAGAGUGGUUAAAACGUUUAAUGGAGUGGAUUGUCAAUAACCAUUAAUCGUUUAUCUACUCACCUAUUGAGAAUAGGUUACAAGGUCUUUGUAUAACGUUAAUAAGGAACCGGAGAUCCUGUAUUUUCGGAGUGGAUUGUCAAUAACCAAGGUGUAGGGUCAAUUCAAACUGGAUGGCAAGUUAUACACACAUUUUGAUUAUAAUUUGGGAGUGGAUUGUCAAUAACCCAUGUUAUGAUUAAAAUGGUGUAUUGUAGUUUACAACUAUUCCACCAACGCGAAAGAAGUACGUUCACCGGGUACAUUGGUACGCAUGGUGAGUUGUAAAUCUUUUUGCGGUUGUGGAAUGUUGCCAUCUUCCGGUGUUAUCCCACAAGUAUUGUGAGAAACAAUGUUGAAUUAUAAAUAUUAUCCCUCAAAACCGGAAAUAAAGUUAGAGUAGUCUAGAAUGAAAAUUUAACGUAGAUUACGUUAAUAAAACAUAGAUUAUGUUUUAUUAUAAUUUGUAACUACUGAUUUAUUAGAGUCUGGUAUACUACUUUAGUGUAUCACGUAGAGUACGGAGUUGUAUACAUUAAACUAAAUCGGAAAUAUAUAUUGGAUAGGUCCAAUUAUCUAAUUCAAUAUACAUUAAUUUUAAGAAAAUAAUUAACGUACGAUUGAAUUUAUCAAUUGGUGGUAUUCUAUUACUGUAUAAUUAAUACAGUGGACCCUAAAUACUAACAGUGGUUAAUGAACGUAUAUAGUUUAUAUACUUUUACGAAAGCGUAAUCCCAAUUUAGUAUGUUGGGGUUUAGGUUUAGUUACUGUUCUUAUUAAAAACACCACUGUGCUCCCACCGAGACUAUGGUGACAUUCCUUUACAUACGUAGAUGUACACGUAAAUUACGUCGUCUUUAUUUAAAAAAAUUAAAUAAUUUAUACUAGGUUAGUACAUAAAAAUUAUAGUAUUGUAAAUACUAUAAUCAUAUAUAUAUAUAUAUACAUGGUUCUAGUAGAGCACACUGUGUGUUUUUAACAAUAAGAUUAGAUUAAUCUUCUUCCCAAGCUUAAAGUUGGACACGUUUAAUGGUUUUAAUAAAGUGUCAACUAAACCUAGACUUGAAGACCAGGAAACUCGGCGCGUUCACAAGCCGGAGAUGCACAUAGGUGUGUUCCGACGAGGCCCUAGACACGAAGUGUGUUAGUGUCACAUUAGAGCUUUGAGGAAAGCACUAAAGAACACAAUUACACCUUUUUUUUAAUUAGGAGUUUUAACACGAUCGUUAAACUUCUCCUAAUUGAUAUCUCUGAUUAAUUAUAACCUCCUGGUGAUAGAAUAAUAAUUUUCUCUCAAAAUAUACUAACCCUCUUAAAAGAGAGAAAGAGAGCGAGAAACGAAAAAGCAACACUAAUAUCUCUCUCUAAUAAGGGUUAGAGAAAAUAUCCGUAUUCCGGGUAUUUACUCCACUCUUAUUUGAGAGGAAUACCGCUCUUUGUCUCGCUUCUCUUUUCUUUCUUUUGGUGACAGUAUUUACUCUCCUUUCAUUUGAGGAGAGUAAAUCACUGCUUCGCCUUUCACUCUCACUUUUCUUUUGCUUUUGAGAAGAGGUGAAUUAUGCGGUUAAUUAUGCCUCUUUUCAAAAGAAAGAAAUUAUUUACAUACUACGUACCAAAAGAAAAAGAGAUGGAGAGGAGAAUUAAUUUCUUGGGCUUUUUCUCUCUCAGUAUUCAAAAGAGAGAGCAAACAACGUUGAAAACGUUAUUCAAGAAUAUGAUUUAGUUUAAAUCAUAAUCCAGUGAGGCAUGUUUAAAAUAGGAAAGUUUAAUCUCAAAGACGAUUGGUGGAAUCGUUUAUUUAAGAACGAAAUGAUGAAAUCGUUUUAUCAGAGAUAAUUAAGAGGUUCGUGGUCUAGUGUGCGUCGGAAAUAACACACACUGGUGUAUCCAAGUUAAGAUGGAUCAUCACUCUACACUGUCAUUUGAGAAAAUUACAGUGGUAGCCUUGAGAAGAGCUACCUGGUUUUGUAAAAACCGAGAGGGUUGACUCACAUUAAUUGAUAGAAUUAAUGAGAGUACCCAGGGUGUUAGGUGCUCACUGUGUAUCGUCAUAUAGCACCGUUAGGUUCAUCUUAAUUAUUAUCUGCCUUAGAGAUCCACAUCAAUGGCACACUAUUUUAGGAAGAUAGUGAACAGGGCUAACUCGGCUCCAAUACCUAAUGAGCAGUUUGGGGUAAUGAGUUAGUAUACAGAGUAGACUAAUUGUUAUACCUUUGAGAAAAGGUAUUUUAGUAUAACGGAACCAGUUCCUGAAAAUAUAGAACAUUUUAUCUAUCAUAUCCUGUUAAUGGAGAGAUGGCUCCCACUAUCUAAGGUAGAACUGUGUGUGGAUGGAGGUGCAUACUGGGUGACGUCGGUUGUACACAACUGAAUUGGGUACUAAUCCCAUAUUCAUAAAUGUGUCAGUUUGAUGUUAUUGGGUGUGCGUUCUAUUGGCACCACGGAGUCCAGUUUCCUAGUGAGUGUGAUGAUGUCAUACCUUGUUAAGUAACUGCUCACUCAUCUGUAGGUACACUAACAAGUAUCAACCAGUGCGAGUCACUUUAACAAGAGGUUGUAAGUGGACAUACGAAUGAGAUCACAGUGGUGUGAUUACUGAACUCUGAGUAGUAGGGUAUUCCCUUCAUGUCGUAUGUGACUAGAUAGACCUAAAUGGUGGCGGGAGCACUAUUAGGAUACUAGUCCUCGUAAAUUCUUAAUUAAUGUCUUCUUAUAUACAGAGUUUAAAGAUUGAAGNAACUCUUAACCCGGCUUAAGCAUUUUGGGUGGUGGUAAGGCCCAAGAGGUUAAGAGAGUUAAGCGUGCUAGGACGGGAGUAGUCCUAGGAUGGGUGACCGCCUGGGAAGUCGGGGCGUCACAAUGGAAGCCGAAUAUAUUGCCGCAUCAGAAGCCUCGAAGGAGGGUGUUUGGAUCAGAAAAUUUAUUACAGAACUCGGUGUUGUUCCAGCUAUUGAAGAACCAACACCGCUUUUUUGUGACAAUAAUAGCGCCAUAGCGUUAGCUAAGGAGCCAAGAUCUCAUCAGAAAUCCAAACAUAUUGAACGGCGAUAUCAUAUCAUCAGAGAUUAUAUUGAAAAGAAAGAAAUAUCCGUGCAAAAGGUUGCUUCUGCUGACAAUAUAGCAGACCCACUAACCAAAGCACUCACUCAGCAAAAGCUAGAAGGCCAUCUUGAGAAGAUGGGAAUGCACUAUAUGGGUGAUUGGCUUUAGUGCAAGUGGGAGAUUGUUAGUUAUAUGCCCUAUAAGCCAAUCUUAUCAUAACUUAAAGGGUUAAUAUCAGUGUACUUUUCUUUUAUGAUUAAAUCUGGCAUUCUUCAUUCAUAUUAUUGCCAAAUGCAUAUUUAUGAAUCGUCCAUAGAAUUAAUAGUAGAAGAAUUAACUUUCUAAGAAGUUAGAAAUUUGAGACAUAUAUUCUUCUGUAAUUAAUUCUUAAAUGCUCCUGAUCAUAGGAUUAUCACGAGGGCGGUGGUAAAUCCAGAUAGAUCAGUGUAUGCUGUACUUCCCUUAUGGGAUGAUGAGUCUCAAGUCAUUAGUGUGGUGACACUAGAGUAAGCAUACAGGUGAAUGUUGGAGAACAAUUUCACUGAGCGUGACCAACUAUGAACAAUCACAUGGAUGUCUACUCACUCGUCAGUGAAUUGUUCCAUACUGUAGUAGUGUGAGUGAUCCUUUGACCUGAGGCACCACGGUUAUCUUGCGUGUGGGUUAUUGUAGUUUGACUGUGUAAAUACUUAUACCCUAAUCAUGGGUUAAGUCAACACAUGUUGGCUGCAGUGGGUCAUACGUGGAGGUAGGUGUGUGUCAAGAUGGAAUCUAUCACCCUCGGUAGAGAGGUAAUUGUCCUAUACUAUCUAUUUUACAAGAUAUAAAAGUCCUUGGCCAAGGCAAUAUGAUUUUAUGGAAAAGAGUUUCCAUAUUGUUAAUCAGAUGAGACAUAUGAUUGAGUAAUGGGGUUUGACGAGUAAUCCAUAACCUCGGCUCAAUCGGGACAAGUGAUAGAAGGAUUUUAUCACACGGUAACUACACCUAGAGAUUCCGUCUAUUAUUAAUUCUACUUGGAUUGCCACGAUAUACUGCUAUGUGUCACUCGUGGAUUGUGGGACCCAUGAGAGUAAUUAAGAUAGUUAAUUACACUCAGUUGGGAGAGCCAAAAAUGUUUUGGUCCAUCGAGAAGAGUUCCGAUGGUGACAUUAAAAGAGUUUACUGUCACAUCUCACUACUAGGUAGAAUUGAACCUAUGUGGUCACACACAAUAAAGGCUGCGUGUGAUCUGGUGCUUGGAGAAUUAAUAGAGACUAUUUUGCUAAAGUAGUAAAGCAAGAAUUUAUUUGCUAAGGUGGUUAGCAGAAACUCUAAUUUGAAAGGAUAAAAUUUGUACGGAGUGACCUAAUACUAAAUUUGAUUUAGUAUAAGAACUUAUUGCAAAAGUUGCAACAAACGAGAGAGAAAACUUAUGACUCUCUCUUUUUCGGGUUCUUUAAUUAAGAGGAGAGGUAGAGAAAAAGAAAACCAUGCAUCAUACAUUUAUUAAAGAAAGAAAACUUUUCUCCGUAUUAAUUGGCGUAUUAAGUGGAGAAGAGUUUUCGUUUUCUUUUCACUCUCACUUUCCGCUUCGUCACUAAAUGAGAGGAGUUUACUUUCCUCUCAUUUAUGACAGUGGUUUUCUUUCUUUUCUCUUCGCUCUGUUUCUCGCCAUAAGGAGAGUUUAUUCUCACCUCAUUUAUGGGCCUUAUGCCUAUAAAAGAGAUUGGGAAUAAUCUCUCUCUAUAAUCACAACGAAAAAGCAAAGAGCGAGAGAAAGAGAGAAAAUUCUCCCAAUCAUAUAAAACUCUCUUUUAAUAAUAAGAUAGUGGUCCUCCAAUAUUAAUUAGUCUCUAUAGUUAAUCCUCUUCAAAUUGCUAGCACAAUUUUGAGGAUUAAUUUUUUUUCCACAUUAACACAAGAAAUCACGAAAGGAGUUUCGAGAUUACACUGUGAUUGUGUGAAGCACAGAUCCCGGAGCAGCCUUGUGUGGAUACACGUAGAGGCCGAACACUUGCGCGGCUCAAAGGACCAGAAGUUCAUAUCCAAAUCAACUGUGAAAUAAUUUUGGUAAUUUGCACAGGUUGAAAUUCGAACCCUUCUUCUAAUUAGAUUAGAAUAACAAUUUUUGUGUGUCACACGAGAUGAUCUUGGUACAUAUAUAUAUAUAUAUACUAAUAUCAUAAAUGUUAUGAUAUUAAAAAUACAUGAUUGGAUCAUAUUUAAUAAAUUAAAAAAAUUUAUUUCCGCUGCAUUAAAUGCACAUGUAGAUGCAUACAUUUCCUUACAAUUAAACCCCCGGAUACCCCGGCGGCCGGAACAAAGUGACAUUUGUCGUAGUUGGAUCCGCAACAAGAGUGAAGAAAGGAACGAGACACUGAGUCAACCUUAGAUUCUUGGAAGCACACUACUGCUUGACAGAGCUUGGACACGACUGACUUAACAAGACAUCUCUUACGGGGGUAGUUGAGACCUCUAACAUUCCAACUUAGAACAUUAAACAUAAGCAAAAGACAAAAACACAAGAACAUAUAGGAGAGGACAUCCAAUAGCUAAGAAGCACAAGAUGCAGAAGAAGACAGCCCAGGAGUUAAGCUCCAGCAGUCAGGAACAGGUAGAGGUCUGCCAUCUCGCCGUCGGAGAGAUUGACGCCACAGAGAGUGCUCUUCGAUUUGAUCUUCUUGCGGGAUAGCUUGCGUGCCGGUUGGGCGACUCCAGUCGUAUCGCCCUCACGGUGUUUGGCUUUACGGCUCAUAGCUUUGUUUAAGAUGUUGUCCUUCGCGCCCUUAUGCUUCCGCCUGCUGACUCUAGGUGAAGUCUCGACUUCUGUAAUAGCAAGGUUGUUGAAGGAAGGAGGCUCCGUCGAGAAAGCGAUGGCGGAAGAGACUUCAGCGACAAAUCGGAUGCUCCGAUCAUGGUGGGUGCAAGUGACAACCUGGACAGAUGGAAAAGAAUUGCUCCGAUCGUGGUGCGCACAAGAGACUAUCUGAACAUGUGGGAAAGAAUCGAUGCCAAGGAGGUCUGAUGCGACCAUCUGGUUCGGUCCGAGAGAAGAGGGCUGGGUUGACGGGUGACCCAAAACAGAAAGGGCCUGGGGCUGNNNNNNNNNNNNNNNNNNNNNNNNNNNNNNNNNNNNNNNNNNNNNNNNNNNNNNNNNNNNNNNNNNNNNNNNNNNNNNNNNNNNNNNNNNNNNNNNNNNNAAACGAGUUCCUAAAUGUCGAACAAGCUCUCUUUUGCUUGUUUUAGAGAUCAAAAUCUAAGAUUUAGCAAAUGGCAACAUUAGGGCACCCAAUUUGGGAUUUUUGCCUCCGAAUAUUUUCGAGGCAAAUUGACCUUGCGGACACCUAAUUGGGGGUAUUCCCGACACGUUGGGCAACUCGGUUCGAUGUUACGGAAAGGUCUAGAUAAAGUUAUUGAGAAAAAGCCUAAUUUGGCUUCGUUUUGCCGCAGGCGAAAAAGUAGGGCUUCAAAAAUUUUAAGAAAUUCACCGUAGCACCUUUGCAACCAUAUAAGGUGGGUGGUGCAUACCGAAGACCUCGAAAUUUCUUUUAUAUUUAAAGUGCUAUAUUUGAGCAUUUGUAUGUAUUGAGUAUAUUGCAUAGUAAGGUUAUUGUGAGCUUCUUAUUGCAUGUUGUGAGUUCAAAUGCAUGUGAAAUACAAGUGAGAAUCUAUAAACCCUAUGUAUGCAUAAAAAAUAACAAGAACUUAGUGAAUUAGAAAAUAAGUGUGACAUGUUGACAUAAAGGUAGUAAGUGACAUUAAAGAGUCAAGAACACUAGAGUUGAACACUUAGAAAACAAGUGUGACAUGACACUACAAGAAAAAGGCUUUUUAGUGACCAAUUAUUGAUGACCAGUUUUUUCACCUACCCCUUCUCUUUCCCCUGAGGUGUUUUCUCAACCUCUCCAUCUUCUCCCUCCCCUCUACCACCAGUCUCUCAACCUAGCAUCUUUUCCCUCCCCUCUCCCACCACUCCCCUUUUCCUCACCCUAAGAUCUGAAGCAACUCAUCAACAUCAGACCCUAGUGUGUUGUAUUUGGGCCUGAAACUAAGCAACGUGUUGCAUUCGAGCGAUUAAAGCUUAACCUUUGGCGGCGCUUGUGGUUGGCGGAGCUUGUGGUUGGCACCUGCGUUUGUGGUUGGCGCAGCUUGUGGUUCAACGCUUCUUCUCGACCUCGAGUUAUUACCAGGUAGAUAACUUCUAGGUUUUUUUUUCUUCUUUUUUAUGAUCUUAGUGAAAACCCAACUUGUUAGGGUUAGUGAAAAAUCAAACUUCAAUACUCCAGGUUUAAGAAGUUUAUUUUUUUUUCCCCUCUCUUAUCUCUGUUUUUUUUUGUUUGGUUGGUGGAGGGUUUAGGGUUUAGUUGGUAGGGUUAUGUUCCAUUUACAUUCUUGCUCCAAGUCAAGUAUCAAUUAGUAAAGGCUAAAGGAUUAGAGAGGGUCUCCUAUUCGUUCUUGUUCUAUUACCUCUAGUUUUGUGUAUAAAAUCCCUAUUUUAGAAUUUAGGUUUGUAUAUAUAUAUAUAUAUAUAUAUAUAUAAUAGUUUUUGUUAGCAGUCUGAUAGUGAGAGCUUUGUAAAGCUCCAGGCAAGCAUCUACAAGCAUGAAAAUUCACCCAAAUUUUACUGGCAUCUUGCAUAUUCUUAUCUAUUUCUUUGCAAGAAUUAGUCACCCAUUUGAGUUCCGCAUCUACUGAGAUUUUGGUACAUUUUUAAUUAAACUCUGUUUUAAACUUUGUUCAUUUGGUAUUGGUUCAUCGAUAUAAUUUUCUUUGUAUCUUCAAUCUAAUUAAGUUUUGUGUUUCUAUAGGUUCUAAUUUGGGUUAACAAUUAAGCCUUAUAUUCUUUUAUGGAAAAACUGAUGGAUUGAAAACUUUAUUUUGGUUUCUCCAUGAUAUUUUUUUUUGUCUAUGAUAUAUGUUUUUUAGCUUUAAGUUGGACUCAAUCCCACUUAUGAAUCUGUUUUAUAUUGUUUUGUUUGAAAGCAUAAGAACUUUUAGGAUUGAUUCCUAUGAUUAUCUCUUUAUUUGAUUGCCUGCAUUUUGGUGAUAGCUCUUAGAGAAUAUCAUUUUUAGGAGAAUUGGACAUGCAAUAAUUAAUCAAGGCUAUUUUGCUAUAGGUUAUUCCAACUGCUACUUUCUAUAUUUGUACUUUAAAUUUAUUUUCUAAUUUUUUUUCUCUAUUUAUUGAACUUGACAUUCUGAUGUAGCCAAUUCAGCAUUAGAGUUCCUAAAAAAAUAUGACUUUGUAAAGUUAAAUUGAAAAUUUUGUUUUGUUUGCAUAAUUUUACAAUCGGCAUGAGAANGUUAGAUUAUAUUAUUUAACUAAUCACUCACUCAAUCUCAAAACAUUACUAUGAUUCUAGCUGCACAUCUUUUCAUUCAAAUAUCAAAAAUCUAAAUGGAUCGUGUGUUUGGUAUUAUUAAUAGUAUAGCCUAUAUAUAUAUAUAUAUAUAUAUAUAUAUAUAUAUAUUAGUUUUUGUUAGCAGUCUGAUAGUGAGAGUUUUGUAAAGCUCCAGGCAAACAUCUACAAGCACCAAAAUUUACCCAAAUUUUACCCAAAUUUUACUAGCAUCUUGCAUUUUCUUAUCUAUUUGUUUGUAAGAAUUAGUCACCCAUUUAAGUUCUGCAUCUACUAAAAUUUUGGUACAUUUUUAAUUAAACUCUGUUUUAAGCUCUGUUCAUUUGGUAUAUAUAAUUUUCUUUGUAUCUUCAAUCUAAUUAAGUUUUGUGUUUCUAUAGGUUCUAAUUUGGGUUAAUAAUUAAGCCUUAUAUUCUUUUAUGAAAAAACUGAUGGAUUGGAAACUUUAUUUUGGUUUCUCCAUGAUUUUUUUGUUGUCUAUGAUAGAUGCUUUUUAGCUUUAAGCUGGACUCAAUCCACUUAUGUGUAACAUAUCGAAACCCGAAAACGAUAAUCGAACUUUGACCAAAUUGGUUAAAGCGUCGAAAGAAAGUGAUAGACAAGUUUCUCUUGCAUUCCAAUAAGAUUGGAAAGGCUAAAAAUGAGUUUGGAAAGACUUAGAAUGGUUUUAGCAUCGACCGAUGCGAGGUAGAGUCGAAUCGAAGCCUAAAACAGCAUUCUGGAGCUGUUGUACCGGUACAAGGUGAUGGUUGUACCGGUACAACCAGCGCAAUCCGAGCUGAGUAGCUCUCGGGUUGGUGCAGUCCAGGCCUUGUACCGGUAUAAGACCUCUUGUACCGGUACAGACCCUGCGAACCCGAGAGCAGCUCUCGGGUUGGUGCAGUCCAGGUCUUGUACCGGUACAAGACCCCUUGUACCGGUACAGACCCUGCGAACCCGAGAGGCAGCUCUCAGGUUUGGCUCACUGUUUGGCCUUGUACCCGUACAAGAAUCCUUGUACCGGUACAAGAGACCCCAGACAGCCCAGUGAGGUUUGAUGCAAAUAAAAAGAAACGGAGGGCCUAGUUGCAAUUGUAGCAACAUGUUAACUCCCCAACACCUCUCUCUCUCCCUCCCACAGCCACACACAUCCUCCUCUCUCAUUUUCCUCUCUUUCUCUCUCUAGAAAGCAAGCCCUAGAGCUUGGAGAAGGUGGAGAAGAGCUUGGAGAAGUGGAUUUUGGUGGCUUUGGUGUUCCUAGAAGCUCUCCAACAAGUCGGCUUUGGUGGAGCUUGGGCAAAGGUGAGUCCUUAUGCAAAAAUGAGUUUAGGGUUUGGGUUUAGACCUUAGAUUUUUGGGUCUUGAUCUCUCUACAAGUGAGGAAAUCCUCUAAGGACCAUGACUCCAUGAAAAACAUGGAUUUCUUGGACCCCUCUCAUGGUGGAUCACUAGGGCUCAAAGUAGAUGCCCUAGGGAUGGUUCUAAAAGUUUAGAAACCUUGUUAGAAAGCUUCCCAAGUGAUUCUAAGCUUUCUUUUGCUUAGUAAUGAGAUCAAUCUAGGAAAAAUGCAAAAAUUGCAUGUUAGGGCAUCCCAAAGAGGGGUUAUGCCCAAGUUAGGUUUUGAUCUAUUUUGAUCAUGUAGAAACCUAAUUGAGGGUAUUUUAAACGCGUUGGAACGCUCGGUUCAACAAUCCGACGAGUGUAUGCAAAGUUAUUGACAAAAACGUUGUUUUCCGUAUAGAUAGCCGUAGCACGCGGAUUAGGGCUUCAAAAAUUUCAAGAAAUUCACCGAAGCAUCCUUGUAACCAUCUAAGGUGGGUGGUGCAUUCCAAGGACAUUGAAAAUCUCUCUAUGUCUAAGUGUCAUAUUUUGAGCAUAUGUGCAUUUUUGAGCAUCUUGCAUAAUAGGGUUAAUUGUGAGUUUUGUUAUAGUUUAAUGUAAAUUUAAAUGCAUGUUAAAUAUUUGCAAGGGUGUGAGAAUGAUGAUCCCUAUGUAUGCAUGAUUGUGACAAGAACCUAGAAGGGUUAGUAAACGAAAAGUGACACUUUGACAUAGAUCUAGCGAGUGACAUCGACGAGUCUAGAAUCCUUAGUAAACAAGUGUGGCAUUUGGCAUGAGGACAAGAAUCUAGCAUUUAGAGAACAAGUGUGGCAUGAGUUCAAGAACUUGAUAGUNNNNNNNNNNNNNNNNNNNNNNNNNNNNNNNNNNNNNNNNNNNNNNNNNNNNNNNNNNNNNNNNNNNNNNNNNNNNNNNNNNNNNNNNNNNNNNNNNNNNNNNNNNNNNNNNNNNNNNNNNNNNNNNNNNNNNNNNNNNNNNNNNNNNNNNNNNNNNNNNNNNNNNNNNNNNNNNNNNNNNNNNNNNNNNNNNNNNNNNNNNNNNNNNNNNNNNNNNNNNNNNNNNNNNNNNNNNNNNNNNNNNNNNNNNNNNNNNNNNNNNNNNNNNNNNNNNNNNNNNNNNNNNNNNNNNNNNNNNNNNNNNNNNNNNNNNNNNNNNNNNNNNNNNNNNNNNNNNNNNNNNNNNNNNNNNNNNNNNNNNNNNNNNNNNNNNNNNNNNNNNNNNNNNNNNNNNNNNNNNNNNNNNNNNNNNNNNNNNNNNNNNNNNNNNNNNNNNNNNNNNNNNNNNNNNNNNNNNNNNNNNNNNNNNNNNNNNNNNNNNNNNNNNNNNNNNNNNNNNNNNNNNNNNNNNNNNNNNNNNNNNNNNNNNNNNNNNNNNNNNNNNNNNNNNNNNNNNNNNNNNNNNNNNNNNNNNNNNNNNNNNNNNNNNNNNNNNNNNNNNNNNNNNNCAAAGCCAUUCCGGCCAAGUUUGGUACCCAAAUUUAAUUGUUUCGGCCUCCAUUUUUGCAUUUUUAGGUUAUUUUUUAAAAGUUCUAUUUUUUACCUAUUUUUCGUCUAAUUACGGUUAGAAUUUCACUUGAGAUAUAUUAAAAUUUUUUAUUUUUAUUUAAUUAUCUCUAAUCUAGUAGGAUUUCUUCUCUUUAUAUUAGAGAUCUGUAUGUAUAUAUAUGUGUGUGUGUGUGUGUUUGUAUACACGUGUAUGUAUGUGUGUGUAUCUAAUUCUCUUGUCAUAGAAUUACUCAAAACAAAAUAUUUUCUCUUUGCAUAGGAUAAUUUUAGCUUACUAUCAUCCAUUCAUUACCAAAAAAUGGCACCUAGUAAGCGUUGGAUGGAUCUUGUUGAUGAUCGGCUUAGCGAGGCAUAUGAAAUGGGAGUUCAAAGUUUUUUGAAUUAUGCUUUCAAGAGAACUGGAAAGAAUAAGGAAAUUCGAUGUCCUUGUGUAAAAUGUGGUAAUACAUAUUCUGGAACUCGUGAGCUAGUUGAGUCACACUUGAAGGUUUACGGAAUAGUUCAAAAUUAUACCUUUUGGUAUCAUCAUGGCGAAAGGUCGGGUGAGCCUCAAUCUGAGUCAGAUGGCGAUGAUGGGGAGGAAAUUGAAGAAGAUGAGAGUGACAAUGAGAUGCAUAAAAUUAUAAGAAAUUUAUAUCCUGAAUUUAGUGAUGUGGGUAGAGACUUUGAGAACUCUAACUCCAUGAGAAAUGACGAGAUUGAAGAAGAACCAAAUGAUGAAGCAAAGAAAUUCUAUAGGUUAUUAAAAGACUCCAAUCAACCAUUAUAUGAUGGUUCCAAAAGUUCAAAAUUAUCUUUGCUAGUCAAAUUACUUCACAUUAAGAGCCUUGGUGGGUGGAGUAAUGCAUCAUUUACAAUGUUAUUACAAUUAUUAAAAGAUGAUCUUCUACCAAGUGAAACAAAUUUUCCUAAUUCAUACUACGAGGCAAAGAAGAUUAUUCAAGAUCUUGGUCUCUCUUAUAAGAAAAUUGAUGCAUAUAAAAAUGAUUGUAUGCUAUAUUGGAAGGAGGAUGCAAAUUCUAACUUGUGCAAAGUUUGUUGUGCUUCUAGAUGGAAGCAUGAUAAGCAUAGUGGUGAAACCAAGCAAAAGGUAAGUGGUAAAAGAGUACCUAUGAAGUCAUUAUGCUAUUUUCCACUAAAGCCUAGACUUCAAAGGUUGUUUAUGUCCAAAAAGACAGCCUCCUUAAUGCGAUGGCAUGUUGAUCAAAGGGUUGAUGAUGGAGUGAUGCGACAUCCAGCUGAUUCAAUAUCUUGGAGAUCCUUCAAUGAACUUCAUGAAUCAUUUGCAUUGGAGCCUCGCAAUGUGAGACUUGGUCUUGCUAGUGAUGGUUUCCAACCAUUUGGAGAUUCGAGAAAACCAUAUAGCAUUUGGCCAGUAAUAUUAAUUCCAUACAACUUGCCACCAUGGAUGUGCAUGAAGCAAUCUAAUUUUAUUCUAUCGAUGCUUAUUCCCGGACCCGAGAGUCCUGGAGAUGCAAUUGAUAUAUAUCUCCAACCAUUAAUAAAUGAGUUAAAGGAGUUAUGGGAUGAAGGGGUUGAAACAUUUGAUGUAUCUAUUCGACAAAAUUUUCAAUUGCGUGCAGCUCCACUAUGGACUAUUAAUGAUUUUCCAGCUUAUGGUAACUUAUCCGGAUGGAGUACGAAAGGAAAAAUAGCAUGUCCUUGUUGCAAUAAGAACACAUUUUCUAUUAGGUUAACUAAUGGUGGUAAGCAAUGUUACAUGGGCCACCGACGCUAUUUGCCUAUUAAUCACAAAUGGAGGAAUGAUAAAUUCUCUUUUGAUGGCACUAAAGAAAGGGGUUGUGCACCAAAGCUUCUUACUGGUGAUGAAAUUUUAGGACAGGUGCAAGAUCUUGAGGGGAUUAUCUUAACCAAAUAUGCCAACAAGAGACAAAAAAUAUCACAUAGUGAUCGUGGUGAUAAUUGGAAUAAGAAAAGUAUAUUCUUUGAACUACCAUAUUGGAAGACUCUUUUGUUGCGCCAUAAUUUAGACUUAAUGCACAUUGAGAAGAACAUAACGGAUAGCAUACUUGGUACCAUCAUGAAUAUUAAAGGAAAAAAAAAGGACACUAUUAAAUCUCGUCUUGAUUUGCAAGCAAUGAAUAUAAAGCCUGAAUUACAUCCAAUUAGAAAAGGAGACAAAUUGGCACUUCCACAUGCUUCCUUACAUUAUGUCCAAAGGAAAAGCACACAUUUUGUGUUUUCUUUAAACAAUUGAGGGUUCCUGAUGGCUUCUCAUCGAAUAUAUCUCACUCGUGUUGAACCUUAAAGAGCAACAAUAAUAUCAGGAUUGAAAAUCAUGAUUCGUAUGUAUUGCAUAAACCUACUCCUUAUCAAUAUCUGGUCUUCUCGCUAAGCAAGUUGUUGUAACCACUAAUUGAGAUUAGUCUUCGUUUUUCAAUCUGGUGUGGUCUAAUGACUACAAAAUUGGAUGAUGCAAACAGAUUGACGGCCCAGAUUCUAUCUAUGAUCUUUUGGAUAAUUUGAAUGGCAGGUAUUUGAGGCCCAGAUUCCUAUGACUCUUUAAAGCUAAGAGAGUAUUUUCCUCCCUCAUUUUUCGAUGUUAGUUACAUUUACAUUCAUUUAGCAAAUGAAGCUAAAGAUGGUGGGCGCGCUGCAAUACUAGAUCAAUGCUAAUUUAUAAAACUAAUACUUGUAUUAGCCUAAAGGAAUAACAUCGGCAAUAGAGCUGUCCAGAGGGUUCGAUAGCAGAAGGCUAUAUGGGGGGAGAGGGAAUGAUGACUUUGUAUCAAGAUAUCUUCAUUGAGAGAAGAAAAAACAAGUUAAUGCGCCAUGAUAGGAUAUUAUGAUUGUCGAGAUACCACCAAGCACAUAAAGUUUAUUUAUUCUUUUGUCACUCUGGGAGAGGCGAUAGGACUUGGUACUAACACGUUACUGGAUACAAAUGUCAAGCAAGCACAUAUUUAUGUCUUUGAAGAUACGCCCUGAAGUUCAACAAUUUUCAGAGUACGGAAAUUAAUUUUAUAUCUUUACAUGUUUCUUUUAUUGGAAUUCACAGCUAAUGUUUUUUUGAUGUCAUUAAUCAUCGUCAGUUCUCCCAAAUUAGUAGGAGCACUAGAAGCUAAUUGAUAAACAAUUUUAAUGAUGUUUAAGAUCGCCAGGUAAUAUAAAUUCUUUAUGAAAUGUUUCUUAAAAAAUUUAUGUAAUAUAUCAAUCUAAUUAUCUCUAUUCAUAACAUUCAUCUUGUAGGUUGGCACAGAUUCAAGAAGCAGAUCAACCACUUGAUUAUGAAGACUAGCUUUUUGCACGUGGAUCCUAACCUAAAUAUGUUACAUGUUAUAAGGAUAUAUAAUAAAUGAUAUAAGAAUUUCCGAAUAGAAGAUAUUGACAUAAGGCCUAAAACACAAAAUAGAUGAGCAUGGUUGUAUUGGUGAUCACUGUAGUGGAAAACUGAAAAAGAGACAAUGGUCUUAAACGGGAGAUCAUUGAUUACAAUAUCUUGGUGGUCUCGAGUAGUAUUGUUUCGAAUUGUAAUUUGUGGGUAUAAUAUUAACAAAGAAAAGAUGAAAUAGAUGAAUAAUGGGUAUAUUAGUGUUAAUUGCCAAAGAUUAUUGAAAACAAAAUUGAACCUUUUUGUAUUGGCUCCAAUCAAGCAUCGCAAAGUAUUUUAUGAUCUGACAAUGAUAAUAAAGUUGGCAUAUUGUAAAAGACUCAACCAUCUUGACAUAUAUGAAUCCUUUGAGAGAUGGAUGAGCGAUGUCUAAUGAUCUCAAAUAUAGUUGAGUGCAUAUCAUACAAUUGAAUCAUUCAUUCCCAUCAUGCGCAUCUAGCAUCACAAAAUAUGAUGAUGAAGUCAAUUGGAAAUGCAAUAGAUAUGAUCAAUGAUUAUUGAUAAUAACUCCACAAGAAAGAAAAGAAAGCAAAAAUCAUAAAGUUAACUUCGGCCGGAUGAUACAAUGACAGUAACGUAAUUUUACUUUAUAUUUUAUUAUUAAUUUUUUUGAUAAUGCCUUUCGAAUAAUUUUGGAAUACUUUCAAUUCUAGACACUUUUUAAUUCUCCUUUUGUUCUUAAUUUAUAUUUAAUCUGCCAGCAGGUAAAUAAAGCACCAAUCAAAAUCAAACGAAAUGCUAACUCCACGCCCUAGAGCUGACAGCAUAUUUUUCAUAUCAACCCGAGCAUUGAGUACAGGGGCGUGUACAAUAGGUUAAAAGCAUGUUCAUUUCUUGUUGGCUCAUCAUCACAUUAAGUACACUUCUAUGAUAUGUCAAUGAUGUUACAACCACCUGUUGAGACACCUAUUAUGCAUUCAAAUGAUGUCUUUGUCCCCUCAGAUGUAGAGCCAAUGGAAGAAUUAAGGGAAACAGGUGUGACCUCUCAACUUUUACAUAAUGUUGCAUUUCUAUAUGAAAAAAAUUUAAACAUAAUUAGAUAGAAUGCAAAUUCUUUCGAUAUUAUAAUAUGUUUUCACUUUCUUAGAUACUAAUAGUGCUCAAAAGAAGAGAAAGGUGCGAGGCAAAAACAAGUGUAAACAAGUUGCAAAACUAAAAAGUGGACAAAAGUUGGAAGUGAAAUUUUAUAACAACCGUGUUGUUGGAAAGAAUCAUAAAGCAUUUUCAAGACAUUUGGGAAGAAUUGUGCGUGAUCGCAACAUUUGUCCUCUACGAGUGCACUCAUGGAAGGAAAUCGAUGUUGAAGAGAAGAAACAUAUGUGGGCCGCUGUGACGGUAACAUUUUUCAGUUUGAUAUUAAGUUGAGUAUAUGAAUUACUAUAUGAAUUACAUAGAAAUUUCAUACUUGAGGACUUAAUCUAGUAUUAUAUAUGCAGGCUAUAGUCUAUAGUCUAUAGUCUAUUUUGUAUAUAUGCAGGCUAUAGUCUGUAGUCUAUUUUGUAUAUAUGCAGUCUAUUUGGUAUAUAUGCAGUCUACUUCUUGUUAUACAUGCAGUCUAGUUUUUAUGAAUAAGAAUGCUGAAUUUUAUAUGCAGUAUAGUAUUAUAUAUGCAGAAUGCUGAAUGAUAUAUAUGUAGUCUAGUAUUAUAUAUGCAGAAUGCUGAAUGUAUAUAUGCAGUCUAGUUUUUAUACAUUCAAUUUGAUAUGCAGUCUAUUUUGUAUAUAUGCAGUAGGCUAUAGGCUAUAGUCUAGUUUCUAAGAAUAAGAAUGCUGAAUGUAAAUUGCAUAAAAUUAUUUCUAUCCUUCGCAUUUAAAUAUACUUAUACAUAUGGUUCUGGUAUGUGCAUAACUUUUAGGACAAAUUUAAGCAUGAGAAAAUGGAGGAUUAUCGUGAUGAAAUCUUGGCUCAUAUGAAUGAUUUGUGGAAUAAGUGGAGGGGGGAUUUGCAUCGCAAAUUUGUGAAGCCUUGUAAGACUAUACAAGAAACUCUAAAACAAAUUCCUGAAGGUGUUGAUCGAGGAGAUUGGGAAUGGCUAGUUAAACAGCAUUUUUCAAGUGAAAAAUUUAUGGUAUGUUGUACUUAUGUUGUGUCGACAUUUGAUUUUAUUUUUUAUACUUAAUCCUAAUUUUCAGUUACAUUCUACUCUUAAAAUAUAGGCAGCAAGUAAACGAAACUCAAACAAUAGGGCAAAAUUAAGUAUGCCUCACCGUACAGGUAGUAAGCCAAUUCGACAAGUUAUAUGAAAAAAGGUACUUAAGAUCUUACAUUGUACAUUUUCCAAUAUUCUUAAUGGAUGAUGAAAUUUGUUGAUGUUAAUUUGUUUAUCUUAAAAGGGAGGAAAAGUUGGUCAACCACCAAGCUUGGCAACUAUAUUUUUUGAGACAAGAAAAAAGGUUGACAAGCUAGUUGAAAAAGGCACGAUUAGCAGAUAUGUAUGUCUUACAUAUUUAUUUUUGUUAUACUCAAUCUUCUUUAAUAGAUAGAUACUCAAUUUUCUAUUACUUAUUUCAUUAUUUUUUGUAGGAUAAAAUUGUUGAAGUUACACAAGCUGAGCCCUCCUUAUCCAACAUCGAACUAGUUGAAAAGUGCUUUGGGCCGCAACGUCAUGAUCAUGUAGUUUGCUAUGGUGGUGGGUUGAAACCUAAUGCUAUGAGGACUAAUGGCUCUAAGGUUGAGCUUCAAGCUAAACUUCGUGAAAGUCAAAGAGAAAAUCAAUCACUCAGGAAUCGCAUGGAUGAAAUGGAAAAUGAAGUAAGAAUGAUUAAGGAAAUGCUUCAACGUCAACAAUCAAACACCUCUCCACCUCCAUCAAAUAGGCAAUCAAUAUGAUCAUACUUAAGUUAGCGGAAUUCAAACCAAACAUGAGUUGCCUUAUUUUUUUUACUCUAUGAAUCUUCUCUACUNUGGUAUAUAUGCAGUCUACUUCUUGUUAUAUAUGCAGUCUAGUUUUUAUGAAUAAGAAUGCUGAAUUUUAUAUGCAGUAUAGUAUUAUAUAUGCAGAAUGCUGAAUGUAUAUAUGUAGUCUAGUAUUAUAUAUGCAGAAUGCUGAAUGUAUAUAUGCAGUCUAGUUUUUAUACAUUUAAUUUGAUAUGCAGUCUAUUUUGUAUAUAUGCAGUAGGCUAUAGGCUAUAGUCUAGUUUCUAAGAAUAAGAAUGCUGAAUGUAAAUUGCACAAAAUUAUUUCUUUCCUUCGCAUUUAAAUAUACUUAUACAUAUGGUUCUGGUAUGUGCAUAACUUUUAGGACAAAUUUAAGCAUGAGAAAAUGGAGGAUUAUCGUGAUGAAAUCUUGGCUCAUAUGAAUGAUUUGUGGAAUAAGUGGAGGGGGGAUUUGCAUCGCAAAUUUGUAAAGCCUUGUAAGACUAUACAAGAAACUCUAAAACAAAUUCCUGAAGGUGUUGAACGAGGAGAUUGGGAAUGGCUGGUUAAAGAGCAUUUUUCAAGUGAAAAAUUUAUGGUAUGUUGUACUUUAUUUUGUGUUGACAAUUGCUUUUAUUUUUAUACUUUACCUUAAUUUUUAGUUACAUUCUACUCUUAGUUACAUUCUACUCUUAAAAUAUAGGCAGCAAGUAAACGAAACUCAAACAAUAGGGCAAAAUUAAGUAUGCCUCACCGUACAGGUANNNNNNNNNNNNNNNNNNNNNNNNNNNNNNNNNNNNNNNNNNNNNNNNNNNNNNNNNNNNNNNNNNNNNNNNNNNNNNNNNNNNNNNNNNNNNNNNNNNNNNNNNNNNNNNNNNNNNNNNNNNNNNNNNNNNNNNNNNNNNNNNNNNNNNNNNNNNNNNNNNNNNNNNNNNNNNNNNNNNNNNNNNNNNNNNNNNNNNNNNNNNNNNNNNNNNNNNNNNNNNNNNNNNNNNNNNNNNNNNNNNNNNNNNNNNNNNNNNNNNNNNNNNNNNNNNNNNNNNNNNNNNNNNNNNNNNNNNNNNNNNNNNNNNNNNNNNNNNNNNNNNNNNNNNNNNNNNNNNNNNNNNNNNNNNNNNNNNNNNNNNNNNNNNNNNNNNNNNNNNNNNNNNNNNNNNNNNNNNNNNNNNNNNNNNNNNNNNNNNNNNNNNNNNNNNNNNNNNNNNNNNNNNNNNNNNNNNNNNNNNNNNNNNNNNNNNNNNNNNNNNNNNNNNNNNNNNNNNNNNNNNNNNNNNNNNNNNNNNNNNNNNNNNNNNNNNNNNNNNNNNNNNNNNNNNNNNNNNNNNNNNNNNNNNNNNNNNNNNNNNNNNNNNNNNNNNNNNNNNNNNNNNNNNNNNNNNNNNNNNNNNNNNNNNNNNNNNNNNNNNNNNNNNNNNNNNNNNNNNNNNNNNNNNNNNNNNNNNNNNNNNNNNNNNNNNNNNNNNNNNNNNNNNNNNNNNNNNNNNNNNNNNNNNNNNNNNNNNNNNNNNNNNNNNNNNNNNNNNNNNNNNNNNNNNNNNNNNNNNNNNNNNNNNNNNNNNNNNNNNNNNNNNNNNNNNNNNNNNNNNNNNNNNNNNNNNNNNNNNNNNNNNNNNNNNNNNNNNNNNNNNNNNNNNNNNNNNNNNNNNNNNNNNNNNNNNNNNNNNNNNNNNNNNNNNNNNNNNNNNNNNNNNNNNNNNNNNNNNNNNNNNNNNNNNNNNNNNNNNNNNNNNNNNNNNNNNNNNNNNNNNNNNNNNNNNNNNNNNNNNNNNNNNNNNNNNNNNNNNNNNNNNNNNNNNNNNNNNNNNNNNNNNNNNNNNNNNNNNNNNNNNNNNNNNNNNNNNNNNNNNNNNNNNNNNNNNNNNNNNNNNNNNNNNNNNNNNNNNNNNNNNNNNNNNNNNNNNNNNNNNNNNNNNNNNNNNNNNNNNNNNNNNNNNNNNNNNNNNNNNNNNNNNNNNNNNNNNNNNNNNNNNNNNNNNNNNNNNNNNNNNNNNNNNNNNNNNNNNNNNNNNNNNNNNNNNNNNNNNNNNNNNNNNNNNNNNNNNNNNNNNNNNNNNNNNNNNNNNNNNNNNNNNNNNAUGGUCACAAAUUGUUAAUUUUAUGCAGUUGUUACUUAUGUUUUAUUAAAGAUAAUUUGCUUUGCUUAUUUUCUUUACUCGAUAAAUUUUAUAUAUUUUUUGUUGUUAGAACUAUUAAAUUUGUUUUCAUGUUUGUAUUUUUCUCUUGUAGGUAGUCUGUAGCAGUUUUGGGCAAGGAAUAUGGCUAGCAGAUGAAGUGCAAGCUAUGAAGUUAUAAUACUUUUUUGGCUUCUUUUUGAAACUACGAUGAAUUACUAAUUUCAUUGUAACUUUUGGUAAAUGUAUAUAUGCUACAUAUGUUGGUGACCUCCUUCACACAUGUAGUGUAUGGACUUUCACACAUGUAGUGUAUGGAUAAUUUAGAACUACGUUUAAUUUGUGAAUGCUACUAGUAUAUAUUAUUAAUGAAAUACUAUUCUAAUUUGAAAACGAUUCAAUUCUUUUGUUGAAGCUUUGGUUUUAUACAUAUUUGUGAAUGUGAAAGAAGAUCAUAUAGAAUUUAAAUAAAUAGCAUAUUGAAUUAUGAAAUCAUAAUAUAAUUUUGUUUUUAGCGACAGGAAGACUGGUCGUUAUAAUAACGCUUUAAAAUUAAUUAUUAAAUGGGAUAUUUUUGUUAGCGACGAAAAAAUUGGUCGCUAUUGCAUGCUAGUUAUUGGUAAAUUAUAUUACUAAAUCUCAACUACGUCGGUAAGAUUGGUCGUUACUGUAUAAUUUUUUGGUCAUUAAUACUACUCAUUAACGACGGGAAGGUUCCCAUCGGCUUUUGUUACUAACGGCGGUUACGUUUAUCAGGUCGUUAACACUUUUAACGAAUGAAGCAAUAACGACGGUUGGCGACGGUUUUUAUGACCGUCGUUAUUGUUUUUUAACGACAGGAAAUCAAUCUUUAACGACCGUUUUUCCCUUCUUUAUAUAUAAUAUUUCCUGUAGUGUAAGUAAAUGAGUACCAAGAACAAAGUAGCGUGUAUGACACUAGUGUAAGUCAAAGAAUGUAAGUGAAAAGAGAAAGUAACAUUGUGACACUAUGACAUAGCAACCUUAGAGUUAAAGGUCAUAUGUAUAUUGUUUCCUUAUAGUUAAGGAAUGAAUUGAACUUGACAUCCUCAUAAUUAAGGAUUGGAUCAUACUCACCUGUAAGCCUUGCUCGAGGGUGGUAGCUCUCCCUCGAGCGAUGUGCUCCGGAGUUGUCAUCACUGGAUCGUAGUAGUCUCCCCAGAGUACGGUCCCGUCGGGCGUAGUAGUCUCCCCGAUACUUGGGAUUUGAGUUGGUAAGUCUAUUGAGGGUGAAACCUACGGGCUAGCCAAGAGAUUGGGUAAUGAAACUGUGAUCUUGCAUUCAUCAUGAGUAUUCUAUCGAGCAUCGCAUUACUUAUUGUUCAGGCAUAUUAGCUGCAUUUGUUUAGUUGGUUACUAUUGAUCUAUUCUUCUAUUAUGCCUAAUUUAGAUCUAGUGGGAAAGUCGGUGUGGUUGGUUGCCGAACACACUGGGAACAUUGUUGUAGUUCUCACACCCCAUUUUCCACAGAGCAGGGACCGAGCAAGCCGGCGGACGACCGCGGUAAGGGCAUCGCGCCCUAAAUAGAGACCACCCGAGAUGGUUUCAUAUUUUGUAGUUGCAUUCCCUUUACUAUCAUCUUUUGUAUCUGACGAUUCUAGAUGCUUAUGAGUAUGAUGUAAAAGAUAUUUAUUUUAAAUGUCAAAAGUUAUAUUUUGGAGCAUUGUGAUGUAAAAAAAGAAAUGAUGAAAGAGCAUGUAAAGGAACUUGAUUAAAGUAGUAUACAUGUAUGUGAUUUAAAGUUAAUCAUAUUACUUGUUGAAGUUUAGUUUAGUACUUUCAUUUUGGCUAUUGCUUGCCCUCGUACAAGCUAUUUUGUAUGCUUCUGCAUGUGCAAAUUUUAUACUCUAUCUGUACCUAUUGUUGAGUCUUGGGCGGACAGGGGAGGCUCUGUCUGUUCGGCGUCUGUUCGACGCACUCGAACCGGUCAAAGGGAUCGGGCUCGGGGCGUGACAUGGACUGUUGAAAAUUAGAAAGUAGCGGAAACUUACAAACUAGAUAGCCAACGUAUCUAGGAAUCGAAAUCGGAUCGAUUUAUUUAUUUUACUAGUCUGCGUGAAUCGUCUUGGUCUCGAUGCUUCUAUAUCUAACACGCCUACGCCUCGCGUCACGGAUCGGAUGCGUCGGAUACGGAUGGAGUGCAAAUCGAAUACGACGGAUGCCAAUCGAAGAGGGCUACCGGAGUCCUUUUCUAUGUCCACACUCCAAGAUCAUGAAAACGUAGGUGAAAAUCCUAGAAAGAAAGAAGGGAGAGAAGAAGGUCGUGGAUUCUGUUAGAUCGAAUUAGAUCAUAUAUGAUACGAAAGAGAAAAAGAGACUAUUUAUAGAACAUUGGAAUCCCUAAAUAUUCUGAAUCUCACGUAGAGAUUAAGAUUAGGAUAUCCAUAAUAGAUAUCCACUAGGAGAUACAUUUCUUAACUAAUAAGAAACGUAUAAUCCAUCCUUAUCCUUAACUUAUUAGGAUAAAUCUCAAUCCACAUCUUAUGUAGAUCGGGUUAAAUUAAGACUCGCCAAUGUGGACACACCACAUGGCAACAAUCUCCCACUUGGCCACAUUGGCCAAUUCUUUCUCACUUAUUCUUCUCUUCAUACGGGUAAUGGAGCGUGCAACCUAACGAAAGAAACACAUACAGGAGUGCUAUAUUAAGUCACCACUCAACUAACAUAGCACAUCACUGACUUAAUUCGUCUAUGCCCUAGACAUUUCAACACACACCGAAUCAAGCAUAUCACAAAGUCCCCCUCCUGUAAUGACAAGGCUCAACCCCACAUUUAUUUCUCGUACUCAUGAUUAUCUCAAGUAACAUAACCGAGAUAACUGCUUGGGCAAUGGAUCACAAGACUUACGUGGUAUGUUAUCGAAAUAUUUUUCUCAGCCCCUCACGUUAAUCUGUAUCAGUCCAAGCACUUUACUUGAUAUACUCCACGAGAUCGUAUUUUCUCAUGACCUUGAGAUCCACGCUAAGUUAGUUACUUUAGACCUCCACUUCAUAACGUAGUUCUAAGUCGAUGGCACAAAAAGGUUAGUGCUCACACAGUGACAUGGAGGGAAGAACUUAUAUCACUCUACUAACUAGUUGACAAGCACAUACAAUAUAAUAUGUAUGCUAUGGCGGAGCUUCCACUCAAUGGGUCGUGUCACGCUCUAAAAACGUCAUAUGAACAUUGAUCUAGGUACCACUAAGGUAUCUAACCAUCAUAACUCAAAUCAUCUCUUUAACCUGAGCGCUUAGGUUCAGCUACUAUAAAGGCUCGAUAUGAAAUUUCACAGAAAAACUUUUAUAUCCAACUCUUUAGAAUCUCAUCUUAAACUAAUUAAGGCGACUUUAAAUUAUGUCAACACUUUAUUCAUAAUGUAUAUGAACAAAGCAAUUAUAUUACAACUACUCAAGUUUAGUAUGAUUAUCUAGUCUCAUCCUGCUCACCACCUAGAUGCCAGGGCGAUCACCUAUGUGAGUGGGCUGAUCUGAGCCUGGUGACUAAUCUAACAUUUGCCUAUUAGUAUCAAUUAUGCAAUCACAUAAUGGAAAAGUAUAUUUCCAUUAAGAAACUAUAAGAUACAAAAGUAUUAAUAAUGUCCAUACAUCAAAAGCUAGGAAAACCUAAACUCCUAACGUGGGUCUGGAGCAUAUCCCUAGCUAUCGGCUUGGUCAACGGAUCAGCCACCAUUAUAGUGGUGGAGAUAUGUCUAAGAAAGACCUCACCUAGCCUAAUCAUGUCUCGAAUGUAGUAAAAACGGAUAUCUAUACGCUUGGUCAUGCAAUGAUACUUAGAAUCUUUCACAUAUUCUAGGGCAGCCAUGCUGUCAGAGAACAUCUCAACAUGUUCAUCAGCUUGAGUCACAAUGUCGAGGUGCUGGAGAAAUCUACUCAGCCAAAUAGCCUCCUGAACAGUCGCUGAACAAGCAACGUACUCCGCUUCCAUGGUUGACAAGGCAAUGCAGCUCUUCUUCUUACUGUACCAGGAAACUGCCCCGCCUCCAAACACAUAGCCUGAGGUGGACCUGCACUCAUCUCUAUUACCGCUCUAACUAGCAUCGCUAUAUCUUUUUCAAUCUUAAGUCCCUAACUUGAAAGUAGAGAGCGAGAUCACUGGUUUUCUUUAAUUAUCGAAGGAUUCUCUUGACCACUUAUCAGUGAAUAGCUCCUGAGUUGCUUUGGUAAUGAUUUACCAAGUCAACAGCGAAGCAAAUGUCAGGCCGAGUACACAUCAUAGCUUACAUCAAGCUGCCAAUUGUACACGCAUAAGGAAUUUACUUGUUUGCUUUUUUUCUUUAUUCGUUUUAGGGCAUUGAUCAAGACUCAGAGUGUGAUUUUUCUCCACUGGAGUGUCAACGGGUUUACAGUGAUACAUCCUAAAAUGCUCUAGAAUUUUUUGAAUAUAAAAUUUUUGAGACAAAUCAUGAAGCCUUUUAAAGCUGAGGAUGACUUUCACUUCGAGCACAUAGUCACCUCACCCACAUUUUUUAUCUCAAAGUUGAGAGACAACCACUCCUUAGGAUAUUAAUCAACUCUAUGUCAUUUCCAGCCAAUAAUAUGUCGUCAACGUAUAGGGAGAGGGACAAAAUCCCCUUCUAUGUCUUAUGGCAUAUACGCAGUGGUUUUCCUCUAUCAUGGACAUACCGAUAGAGAUGAUGGCUUCAUGAAACUUGAAAUACCACUGUCUCGACGGCUAUUUGAGACCGUAUAUGGAUCUUUUAAGGCGACAAACCUUAUUUUCUUGACCUUCAAGUACAAAACCUUCAGGUUAAUCCAUGUAGAUCUCCUCAGCUAAUUCUCCAUUGAGAAAAGCUGUCUUUACAUCUAUUUGGAAUAAUUCCAAAUCUAAAUGUGCCACUAAGGCUAAAAUCAAACGUAUAGAGGCAAAUUGCACAAUGAGAGCAAACGUCUUAUUAUAAUCUUCCUCUUGCCUCUGAGUGUAGCCCUUGGCCAUGAGCUGAGCUUUUUAUUGGUCGAUUGACCCAUCCGUCUUACGCUUAAUUUUUAAAACUCAUUUAUUUUCAAUAGACUUGCGUCCAGGCGGAAGGUUAACCAACUCCUAUACUUGGUUCUUGCUCAUGGAGUCCAUCUUAUCUUUCAUCGCAGCCAUCCACUCACUACAAGCUGACGUCUAUAGUGCUUCUUUAUAAGAAGCAGAUUUAUCAUCAUCGAGCGGAGUGCACAUGAAAAUAUCCCCUUUGAUAUCAGAAUAUCAACGGGGAAUAUAUCCACGUUCACUUCUACGCCAUGGAGGGUCUGAACUGCCGACUUUCAAGGGUAUGCUCUUAUUUAAGGAAGCGCUCCCACUAGCCGAAGGAUCGCUACCACUUCCUUCAGAGACUUCGGGAAGUGAUCGAUCACCCUCAAUAGCAGAUGGGGUAGUGUCGUCCUGUAACUUAUACAAUCCGACGUCUCUUCGCAUUUCACCAAUGCUUAAAAAUUUCUCUUCUAGGAAUUUCACAUCACGAGACUCAAUCUUGGUCCUACCACCAUCUGGGUGUUCACCAUACAUCACAUAGCCCUUCGAAUUUUCAGGGUAUCUAAUGAACACAUGUUUGUUCGCUCUAGGGCUGAGCUUCUCAAAUUUAUGUGAGGGGCUGUGAACAUAUCUUGCCGAAUCCUAAGGGCGUAAAUAGUGUAAACUCGGCUUUCUAUCACUCCACAACUCAUAUUAGGUAGAAGGCACUGAUUUGCUAGAGACUCGAUUAAGGAUGUAGGCUAUAGUCAAAAGUGUAUCUCCUAAACAAUUUAUAGAAAGAUACGCUAGUGCCAUCAUUGACCUAACCAUGUCUAAUAGAGUAUGGUUCUUUCGCGCUGCAACACCAUUUUGUUGUGAAGUACUAGGAAUAGUGAGCUGUCUAUUAAUGCCCUUUUGCUCACAAUAAGCCAUGAACUGAUCAGACAAGUACUCACGACCUCGGUCAGUGCGAAGCGCCUUUACACUUCUUUCUAUUUGAUUCUCAGCCUCCGCAACAAAGCACUUGAAGCAAUCUAAAGCUUUAGAUCGGCAAGAAAGCAAAUACACAUAUUCAUAAUGGAAAAAAAUUAUCAAUGGAUGUGAGAAAAUAGCACGCACCAUGCCGGGCCCUCAUAUUCAUUGGCCCACAAAUAUCUGAGAGGAUUAGCUCCAAAGGAUGAGAGGUAUGAGUAGCCUUACAAAAAGGCUUUUUACAUGUCUUCCCAGCCAGACAAUUAAGGCUCGCACACAGAUAGGUCAACUUUGGCGAAAGGCCCCAAAAGGCCUUCUCGAGCCAGUCUAUUCAUUCUUUCUUGACCUAUAUGGCCUAAUCUGGCAUGACAUUUAACGGAUUCAUCACAAAGAUUAGAAGAAGAAGAAGAAGAAGCAAAUGCAAACGAAUUAUCCUCCAAAUCUAAUUUAAAAAACCAUAAUGUAAUGUACCAUAUCCAAAUAAAGUACCAUGAAAGAAAAUGUCUAGGCGGUUUCUAUCAAAAUGGUUUUACAAAACUUUCCAACUCCACCACAUGGAGCUUGAUUUUGACCUUUCUGUGCUUUAUUGUUGUGACACUUCUUGCGCUUGGGUAUGAUCCCACCGCGCUUUUGAGAGCGUGCAACAAGAGCGAGAGAACGGUUUGCUUCCAAGCGCUCUGCCUCAAGCUCGAGAUAGCCCGAGAUGUAAUUAAACAUUUUAAUACUCUCGCUGUGCGUCAUAAGGAGCUUCAUCUGAGACCAUUCAGAAUCCCGCAGUGAACGAAUCACUACUAGAACUUGUUGCUCAUCAGUGAGCUCGUUUCCGCCAGCCUUAAGGUCCCGAAUCAUGACACUCAUCACACGGAGGUGCUCAUCCAUUGAGUAUUUCGGAUCCUUAAAGUAUUGCCGAAACUUCAAAUUUAAGACACGUAGCCUUAUAGCUGAAGUUUGCCCAAAAAGCAAUCUUCAGAUUGUCCCACAUGUACUGAGCAGUCUCGAAAGUCUCAAACUGUCCAAUGAGGUCAUCUUGCAUAGCACACAACAUAGUAUAUCGAACAGUUCGAUCCUCCUUGAACCACUUGUUAUAGACCUCUUUUUCAUGCUCAGAAGUUAUACCUUCAACAGGCAUGACUCUUUUGACAAAGAGAGUUUCAAGAACCCUUUGUUUAUUAAGUAGGUAUUGCAUUUUUCUAUGCCAAAUAUCAUCGUUCUUUCCAUGUAGCUUAUCACCCCUGGUGAGAUCAGCCAUAAUAUUUUUGGAAGUCAUUUCAUUACAUUCGAAAAAUAGGUUUGGACAUUAGACACAUUUUCAAAAAAAAAUAACAAGAUUGAAACACUAUCCCCGACAUAACGGGAUCGAAAACUUCGUUAUGCUCAUAAUCAUCACCCAGUGUUAGUUCAAAUUUUGCAAUCUUAUUAAUUUUUCUAUUAAUUUUGAAACUUAUCCAAAAUAAUUGAAACUUAUCCAAAAUAAUUGAAACUUAUCAAUUUUAAAUGAACACAUCCUUUUUAAAAAAAAUAUUUAGAGAACUUAUCUCCAUAAUAUCAUCACACAGAUAAAAAAAAAUACUUAUACCAAAAAUUAAUUUGGAAAACAUCGACACUGCGAAAACACAUUCCUUUACAUGACCUUAGUUAUUACAUCCUAUUUGCAUAAUAAAACCUACUACAUCACUACAGAGAUGUACAUCUGUAAAAGAAAUGUACUACAGGAAUGUUGCACAUGCCGAACCUGUUUUUUUCAAAAAUUAAAUUUUGUUGAAAAACACUUAAAGAACAUAAGUACUUAUGUGCCAAAGAAAAAACACAAGCAUACAAUGUAAUAUAUCGAAACCUCGGUAGAGAUUAUCGAACUUUAGCCAAAUUGACUAAAGUACGCGAAAGAUAUAGUUGGACAAAUUCUAAUUGGUAUUCCAACAAGAUUGGAAGGAUUAAAAGUGAGUUUAAAAGAGUUAGAAAGGUUUUUGCAUUGAUUGGAGCAAAGUAGAAACGAAAAGAUGCGAAAAACUGUAGUCUGGGCAAAGUGUACCGGUACAACAUCAAUGUUGUACCGGUACAAAACGGCUCACCGAGAGAAGGCUGCUCUCGGGUUUGCCUCUGCGCGAUCGUGUUACCGGUGACAGGAUGAAGUGUACCGAUACACUUUGGUUUGGCAACAAUAUUGAAGUCUGUUGCAAAUAGAAGUUGUUGGGGGGCCUAGUUGCAAUUGUUACACACUAUAUAUGCCCCAACACUUCUCCCCUUCACAGCAAACAAAGGAACUCUCUCCCUCUCUCAUUUAUCUCUUUCUCUCUCUAGAGAUCUUGCUCUAGAGCAAGGAGGAGGAGGAAAAGAAGGCUUGGAGAGGAGAUUUUGGUGGAGUUGAAGGUUUUAGAAGCUCUCCUACAAUGUGGACCUUGGAGGAGCUUGGGCUAAGGUAAGUUCUCUUGCAAGAACACUUUUAGGGUUUGGAUUUAUACCCUUAAUCUUAGUGUUUUGGAAUUCUUGCAAACUUAGAAACCCUUUUGAAACAUGAGCUCCGUGAAAACCCAUGGAAGCUUCAUGUGCUCUAAUGGUGAACUUCUAGGGUUUAAAGUAGAUGCCCUAGGAAUUGUUCGAAUGGCUUAGGAAUGGUAUUAGAGAGCUUCCUAGAUGAUUCUAAGCUAGUAUUUGCUUAGUUACAAGAUCAAUCUAGGGAGAAACCAUAUAUGGCAUUGUUAGGGCACCAAAUUUGGGGCUUUUGCCUCUGAUCGUUUCUGAGAUAAAUUGAUCUCAUGGAAACCUAAUUAGGGGUAUUCCCGACGCAUUGGGAAACUCAGUUCGACAAAACAAAAAUGUUUAAGUAGAGAUAUUAAAUAAAAAGCCUAAUAUGGCUCAAUUUGGUACAGAUCGUCAUAGCACGUGGGAUAGGCUUCUAAAAAUUUCGAGAAUCGAACCACAACUCCUCUACUACUAUUCGAGGUGGGGGGUGCAUUCCAGAAUCGUUGGAUUUCCUUCUAUGUCUAUUUCACCUUUUAUUAAGCAUUAUGUCAAUAGUCAUUCAUGUAUGAUAGGAUAAAUUACAUGUGAAUAUUGGUUGGACUUCAAUUAUAUGCUUCUAACGUAGAUGAACAUUGAGAUUGAUAUAACCAUAGUGGACAUGUAUGUUGGAACCCUAUGCUUGUAUGUAUGUGAGACCGGGACUAUGAUAAUAGUAAACAAAGGUGACAUGGACAAUAGAGACAAGAUUAGCAUUGAGACAUGAACCGUUAAACAGAGUUUAACCAUUAGUGGCAUUGUGACAAGAGUAACUUAGAAAGUGGCAUGAAUAACAAAGUAAAAACCUGUUAUGAUAGUGACAUUGUGACUAGUGGCUAUACAUUCCCAAUUUGGAAAUUGGAUCGAUACUCAUGAAAAGUCUUGGCUUGAGGGAGAUAGCUCCCCCUCAAGCGGUGCACUCCGGAGUUUGUCACCAUAGGGAUAGUAGCCCCGAAGACGGUCCCUCGAGUCCUGCAGUGCUUAGAGCCUCUCCGAACAAAAGGGAUUUUGGGUUGUGAGUUAUUGGGGUUAACAUGGUUAACCGGUAAGAUUGGGUAAAAGCCAAAGCAAAAUUAUGGAAAAAGCAUGCAUGCAAAAUCAUCCUUUAUUUGAUUAUAUAUCUACUGACAGUUUUCUUACAGGCAUAGUAUUAGCAUUAGUUUGGCUACUAUUUCUCUUUCUUUGAAAUACUUAUGCCUAAAUAGACCUAGUGGGUAAGUCGGCGAGGUUGGUUGCCGAACCCACUGAAAACUUCGUUGUAGUUCUCACACCACUAACCCUACAGAUCCGAGCGCGAGCGGGGCGACUGAGGAUCGAGGCAAGGGUAUUGCGCCAUAACUAGUGGCCAUCGAAGUACUUGCAUAUAGUAAUUCCCUUUUUGGUUCAUGUAUCAACUUUCUUUUGUUGAUCUAGAGAUGUAAAAGUUGUAAACAUUCAGGUAUUUUGGGAGAAUGAUUAUGAUGUAACAAAGAUAUUAUGAAUGAAAGGAAAUGAAUGUAAUAGUUUUAGUUUACUAGUAUGUGGUUUAAAUGUAAUCAAAUAUUAUGUAUGGUUGUAUGUUGUAGCUUAGAGCUUUCGCUUCCGUUGUUGCUUGCCCUCGUGCAAGCCUUGUAUAAUUGUAAAUCUCUUUAUUUGAUUGCUUAAUUAUACUUGAUGCUAGAGCCUUGGGCGGGCAGGGGAGGCCCUGUCCGUUCGGGGUCUGUUGACGUGGCCCGAAUCCGACCAAAUUGGUGGGGAGCGGGGCGUGACAUACAACAUUAAUAUGCUACAUAAGCAAUUAAAAUUCACCAACAUAGGAUAAACAACACACCAUUGCCACACAAGAAUAAAAAAGAAUGUACCGCACAAGAACAUAAAAAAAUGUGUGUUGUUGUGACGAAAUUUUUUUUAUAUUCUAGAAAAGAUAUUACCCUACAGGAAAAAAAAAAUUUCCCGCAGAGAAAAAUAUGCAUCACAAAAUAUAUUAGUAGUAUAUAUAUAUAUAUAUAUUAUAGUAUAUAAUAGUAUAUAUAUAUUAUAUAUUUAAUAGAGCAAAAUAAAUAAAUAAAUAAAUAUGAGUGGCAGUUGCAGCCUGAGCACGGGCGAUCUGCAGCCGCGCGGGCCAGGCCAAGCUCUGGCAAGGCCCGGGCCUGCGCAAGGGGGCACAGCCCUGUGCGGGCCGGGCAACGUGCAGCGCACGUGCGCAUGGGCCUGCACAAAUCCUGGCCGAGCCUAACGACUACACGAAGGCGGGUAGACCCGCGCGGGCCGGGCGGCUUCAGCGCAUGGUGCGUGCUUGCGCCAGCCGGGUCGGGCCCACCGCCCGCGCAGGGCUGUGUGGACCCACGCCGAGCCUUGGCUCAGGCCGAGCCCAUAGCCCGCGCAGGCGCGCGCAAGCCCGCACAUGUCGGGCCGUGCCAAGCGCACGGUGCGCAAGCCGGCGCAGGCACGCGUAGGCCGGUACGGGCUAAGUAGUGCUGAGCACAGGGCGCGCAUGCUUGUGCUGGCUAGCAUAGGCCCGUGCAGGCAGAGCCGCGCCCAACGCAGGGCACGCGUGCCCGUGCAUACCCGUGAGGGCUGAGCCGCGGCCAAUGCAGGGCGCGCGUGCCUGCGCAGGUGUGAAAUGCGCAGCGCCCGCGCCAUGGGCCCACGCGAGUGAGAUUGCUCCCAUCGCAGGGUAUUGAGUUACGCGAGCCGGGCAGGGCCCUGCGUCGUAUCCGCGGCAACGCGUGAUGGACUGGGCCCGAAAGCCCACCUGUUGGGCCCAACCGGCUAGCCAGGCCCGCAGCCACGCAGGUUUGCACCCACGCAUGCUGGAUUGGCCGGGCUGGGCCGGAUACGCACGCCUACCAGCACCCGUGAAUCCACCUGCAUGCUCGACUGGUUGGGCCGGGCGCACUUGCCCAACUACGGUGCACGGGUCCACCCGCGCGCGGCGCGUGGCGCACCUCAUAGCAAUAUUUAUUUUAUUUUAAUUUAUUUAUUUAUUUUUGAUGCAUAAAAUUUAGAAAGGUACAACUAUGUAAAAAAAAAAAAUUUGCAUGUCUCGUGAUCAACUUAAAAGGAAAACUAAAACUAAUUUGGUUUUUUUUAAUCGAUUUCACAUAGAAAAUGAAAAAAAUUGUAGAACUAAUCUACAUAAAAAUUGGUCAACGAAGCAUGCGACCCAAAAACACGCAUCACAGGCAUGAUCAAAGGCGAAAACAAGAAUACCGCUCUGAUACCAAUUGUUGGAAAUUAGAGAGCAGCAAAAACUUACAAAUCGGAUAGCCAACGUAUUCAGGAACCGAAAUCGGAACGGAUUGCUUAUUUUACUAGCCUGCUUGAAUCGUCUUGGUCUCGAUGCUUCUAGAUCUCAUACGCCUACGCCUCGCGUCACGAAUCGGAUUCGUCGAAUAACGAUGGGGUGCAAAUCGACUGCGACGAAUGCCAAUCAAAGAGGGCUACCAGAGUCCAAGACCCCGGAAACGUAGGUGGAAAUCCCAGAGAAAAAGAAGAGAAAGAAGAAGGAAGAUUGAUUGUGGAUUCUCUUAGAUCGAAUUAGAUCAUAUAUGAUACGGGAGAGAAAAUGGGACAUUUAUAGAAUAUUGGAACCCCUAAAUAUCCUGAAUCUCACAUAGAGAUUACGAUUAGGAUAUCCAUAAUAGAUAUCCAAUAGGAGAUACGUUUCUUAACUAAUAAGAAACGUAUAAUCCAUCCUUAUCCUUAAUUUAUUAGGAUAAAUUUUGUUAAGUCUUGUGUGUUGGCAAGUUUCGUGAAGUGAGUCGGAGUCUUGAAGAAUCGGUGCAUAUUGUCGAAGAUCGAAGAAUUCAAGAUUUUGAAGAAGUUGGAAAACAACUCACACUGUGAAUCACGAUGUCUAGGUAAAGUGUUAAUUCAUGAUUAUGGUGAUUCAUACUUAGUUGUAGAAAUUAGAAUCAUAAUAUCAAUGUCUAACAGAUUAGAAAGUGCAUCGGAACUUUGCAAAAUCCGAAAUGGCGAAAAUUUGCAAAGUGUACCGGUACAGCAUCAGAAGUGUACCGUACAAAAUGUGUACCGGUACGGCCAUGUGGAUGUAACCGGUUUCACUGUUUCGUCAGGUUUUUCGUUCCGUCAUCGUGUAACCGGUGACAGCCUAAAGUGUACCGGUACACAGUGUAAAAUUGUGAAAACUUUCUAAUCUGACUCCAAUUGAUUCUAAAGUCUAUAAAUAAGCUAUUGGGCUUCUCUAACAGAGGAAGCAUCACGAAAAUACAUGUUUGAGAAACCCUAGAGGCUCGGAUUCCAUCUAAAACCUAUUUUCUACAUAAAGCCUUUUUUAGGUCAAAUCGAGAUAUUGAAUUUUCAUAUCUAUAUGUCGAUUUGAUCUCCGCUUCGCUUGGAGUUUCUUUUCCUGGUUUUCAUUGAUACUCUAAGCGAAGGAUCACCAUAAUCAUGAUGCUCUUCAUGAACGGCGUCGUGGAUUCGGCGUGAACGAAGGCGGUUCGUGGAUUCGGAUCGUGGGCUCGUAGAUUCGAGUGGCGUCGUGGAUUCGGCGUGAUUGAAGCUUCGUGGAUUCGAAGUGGAGGCGUUCGUGGAUUCGAACGUGAGGGCGUGGACAACCCGGAGGGUAGCGCGAAGAUUCAUAGGAGGUUAAGAGAGGUUGAGUCCGUGGAGUCGGUAAUCACCUUGUAAUCUUUUCUCUUAGUGAAUUGUUUUUUCGCGUGUUGGUCCCGUGGGUUUUUCUCCAAGUUGGAGUUUUCCCACGUAAAUCUCGGUGUGCUUUUUAUUUUCCGCAUUUAUUUUUAUUACAUCGAGAUUUGUGGUUUUUGGCCGGUACACCUAUUCACCCCCCUCUAGGUGAUAGAAACAAUCUAGAUAGAUCCUUGGGCUCCUCAAAACUUUCAAUUGGUAUCAGAGCAGGAUCUAGAUAAAUUGUCAUCUAAUGGCCGAAGGCGGAAACAUUAAUAAACCACCGCUCUUCGACGGCACAAAUUAUGCCUAUUGGAAAGUUCGUAUGAGAGCUUUUUUAAUUGCAAUCGAUGAGCGCGUUUGGCAAUCAAUCAAAUUUGGAUAGAAACAUCCUAUUGAGAAGGUCGAGAAUGUUGAAACGCCAAAACCACGGAACAAGUGGACGAAAGAAGAAAACGAGACAUCUUCGUUUAAUGGCAAGGGCAUAAACGCUUUAUUUAAUGCAUUGUCUCAAACGGAGUUUACUUGUGUUUCGGCAUGCGAAACGGCAAAGAAAAUUUGGGAUACUCUACAAGUUACGCAUGAAGGAACGAGCUUAGUAAAGGUCCAAAAAUUGCAAAUGCUAACAAGCAAGUUUGAUUCUAUUUCUAUGGAUGAAAACGAGACCUUUACCGAGUACUAUACACGUCUACAAGACGUUGUGAAUACAUGUGCUAACUUGGAAGAUAAAAUCCCGAAUUCAAAGGUUAUUAGAAAGAUUCUUCGAACUCUUCCAGAACGCUUUCGGGCAAAGAUUGCCGUGAUCAAAACGGUUAAGCAUCCGGACGAGAUGAAAGUCGAAGAAUUAGUAGGUGCUUUGCAAACUUAUGAGAUGACUUUUCCUACUAAUCAAUCUUCUUCCAAAUCUUUCUCUAAAAGCACAAGGGUUGCGUUGAAAUCGACGAACGAGGAAGACGGAGACUCGAAUUCCGAUGGGGAGAUCUCAAUUGCCGACUUCAAACAUCAAAUUGGCGCUCCUAACGAAGAAGUUUCGUCGGAAUUUUCGAAAGAAGAAUAAAUCGAAUAAACCUUCAUCUUCGAAGCAACAAACGUUUCCUAAGUCUUCAUCUUCUAACGAGAAGAAGCGUGCAAAGGCUUCAAAAGAAAAUGAAGAAUUUGAAGGCAAGAUCCAAUGCUACAAGUGCAAAGGCUACGGCCACAUCGCGACGGAUUGUCCUUCAAAGAAAGCUUAUAAGCAAAAGGCUUUGCAAACAAAGACGUGGGAUGAUACAACUUCAAGUGAUUCAAGUUCAAGUGACGAAGAAAAUAAUGGAAAUCUUGCUCUAUUUGCUAAAUCAACCUUGCCUUCGUCUAACGUUGUGUGUUUAUCCUCUAUUGCUACUAAUUCCAAUAUUUCUCUUUCUUCGCAUGAUUCUUCGAGCGACAAUGGCGAAAGCGAGGAGGAAUCAAAUGACGACGACAUUGCGGAAGCAUACAAUCAGCUUCUUAUCGAAUCAAAGAAGAUGGCUAAACUGAAUAAGAAGUUGAGGCGUCGUUUGUUGAAUCUUGAAGAGGAUAACAACAACUUGAAGACCACGAACAAAGCUCUCGAGGAGGAAAGGGAAUCAAUUUUGAAGAAUAAUUCGGACCUCCAAGAGAAGCUCAAUGAAGCGGAAUCAACAGUCAAAUCAUCUAAAGACAAGAUUGAAUUUUUGGAGCAUCAAUUUCAUGAAUCGCACAAAUCCAAUCAAUCCUUGACCAACCAAGUUCGACAACUCCAAUCCGACAUACAAAAGUUCUCAUCAGGAUCGAAGAAAUUGGACCAUAUGCUCGGGUUGGGUCAAACGGAUAAAUUAGGCCUCGGAUACGAAAGAGUUUUUGUUGAGAAGAAUUCUAAAUCAACUUCGAAAGUCUCAACAACUUUAAAAUGCAAAGUGUGUCAUCGAUGUGGCAUCAAAGGACACAUUAAAAGAAAUUGCCCAAAUAAAGGAAAGAUGAAUCAAUCAGCAAGGUCUUCACAUCAUUCGACAACUCCUAAAGCUCAAGUGGCAUUAUCUACAACUCGACUUCCCCCGCGGAAUCAAAAGAAAAAUCAAGUGAGUCGAGUACCUCAAAAGAAUCGGACUUCUAAACCGCAACGCCAAGUUCUACCUAAGCCUCAAGCGAAGAAAACACCAAGGGUUGAUCUAAAAUCUAAGCUUAUGGCACCAAACGUCGACAAGUCGAGAAAACCAAAGAUCCGACAAGUUUGGAUCCGAAAAUGUGAUAUCUUUCCUUACUUCUCGUCUUAGUUGUUUUUGAAUUCUUGUGUAGUGCAUUGAUAGGUGCUUGUUGCAUAAUUUUAUUCAUUGCAUUACAUAUUUAAAUGAUUUUUGGUGUUUCGAAUUUUAUUUAUUUAAAAAUUAUUUUAAGGAAAGGUAUUUUGGAAUUCAAAAUUUUUGAAAGAGGAGAUGAUUGAGAAUCAUUAUUUUGAGGAGAGAAAUUUUUCAAAGUUGUUUAAACGGUGUUUAACAUCACAAUCAUAUUAAGUUAAAUUCAUAUUAAUUAUCGUUUUUACUCCAUUCUUUAUUAUUUUGACGAUAAUUUGAUACAUGAUUUCUUAAUGCAUAUAUUCAUCAAAAUUUUGUAAUCAAAUUUUAUCUCUUGGUGAUUAAUCUAUCUCGGUUGUGUGUGUUGAAUAUGAUAGAUGGAUAUUCGCUAAUAGACUAAAAUUUGUCAAAAUAUUUUCGAUUGUGAGAUUGUCUAAUUUAGGGGGAGUUUAAAAUUAUUAAAAAAAAAGAAAAACUCCUAUAUUUAAAAGAUGUGGAAAGAGUUACAUUCAAAAGGAGUGUGAAAACUACCACCACAUGUAGGAAAGAGCUACCACCCCGGUCGUCCGGCAAGUGUGUGAAGCUACCACAUGAAAAUUGAAUUGAUAAACCGAAAAAGUUUGAUAAAAAUAAAUAUUUUAGAAUUCUCGGAGUAAUAAGGUGCUAAUUUGAAAAAGAUGCUCAAUGAGCCAUUCCCGGUAUUAUAUUAGUUAAAUCUCUAUUUUGAACAUAUUGUGAUAAAUUGGUGUCAAUUUUGUUGAAUUUCUAAAAAUCAUUUUUCAUCAGCCUACAUCUUGAUCGUUCUGAAUCAUUAAAUUAUUUUAGAUAAUGAAAUUUUUGAUGUUUCGAUGUAUUUUGAAAUUUUAUAAUAUAUUAUUUUCACUAUAAUGAUUUUUGGAGUAAAAGUUUUAAUUUAUAUGAAAUUAAUUUAAAUUUGAUGAAUUUCUUAGAGUUAAACAUGUUAAGAUGAAAAUAACCUUAUGAUGGAUAACCUGUUGAAAUAUUGGGACGUCACAUUAUCUAAGAAUUGAUACGACUUCCUCAAAAUUUAGUUUUUAAAAAGAUAUUAGUAGGACAAGCGAAUUCAUGUGGACCACAAAAAUUUUAUGGAUAUUAAUUUUAUACCGGUGUAAAGGAUUAUAUAAAAUAAUUCGAGUGCACGUUUGAGAGCGGGUUUCUGAGGAGGAUUCGCAUUGACGCAAGUACGUACACGUUGAAAUAAUUUGGGGUAGUGUGGAGGAGAUGCGUCUUGAAUUUGGAGAUCACGAUCGAUGCGCUCACCAUUUAUUAUACAGCGAAGUAUAAAUUAAGGAGAAAAAUAUUUGUGCGUAUAGAGUCUAUGUACAGUGCUUUCUCCUAUUUCUUUUGGCUCUUGCAAGGGCAUGCAUUAAAUAAUUAUUUAAUAAUAAUAUACUGAUAAGUACAAAUGGGUGGCAGAUGGAGGCUAGAUGUAUAAUUUUCGGUGCAUAAUUAAUGAAGAAGUAGAUAUCAAGUAGACUCGAUCGCAAACUAAUUUUUUUGGACGGGAUUUUCUUCUAUGCAUAAGCAUUAGAGGUGUUAGAGAUUUACAACUUCUGAUUUGUAGUCCUUUCAAAUUGUUACCAUGCAAAUGUACUUUAACAUUGUCCCAUCAAAAUAAUCUUUUAUUAAGUAAUAUGAUAUUAGAGAUGGUCCUAAACCCUUUUUAUUACUUACUCUUAUCUUGUGCGGAAUGUAAACCACAUAGUACUCAUUCAUAAAUCAAAUCCCAAUUUAAAGUCUUUCUGAUUUGGUAUUAAGAGUACGGUGCGCGGUACAUCAAGCGCAUCUAAUAAUUUUUGCAGCAGUACGUGACUAGCUAGGGAAGAUGAUAGGUUAAACCAGAUCUUCUUAAAACCUUAGCAAUGUACAAUAUGUGGGAGGAUAUAUUCCGAUUCUUGACAGUGACUCGUCCAUCGCGGAGUGCAAAAUAUAUGUAUUAUUUAUUUUUUUCUACGUUCGAGGACAAAAAAAUAGAUAGGAUAAAAUUUUUUAUUCCUUUUCUAUUUUGGAUUUUUCUGUUGCUCUCCCAAGUAAUUAAUAAGAGGAUUAGUUGGGGUUUUGUUGGGUUGCUGCAGGGUUCAGAUAUCCCCAAGUAAAGAGGUCUCUUGAGAUGAUCACAUGAUUUAUAAUUAAUUAGUCUUAGCAUCAUCAUGAGUACCACAUUAAUUGGGCUUUUGAUCUUGCCUUGGUUUCGUAUUUUUAAUUAAUGAUUGAAUAAAAUAAUGAGAGUUUAAUCUAAAUUGAGUUCUGAAAAGUUUCGAGAGAUCAGAAUCUCUUUAGUACAUGUUAAUUUAGGUAUUUCAAUGCCUUUUCUCUGUACAGUAGUAAAAAAUUGUGAAACAAUUAUUAUUAUUCAAAAGCUUAAACUGUCAAAAAAAAAAUGGUAUUUCUAAUAUAGACAUUUGACUCUCUCUCUCAAGUCUGGGUUUGAGAUUUUUAAUAGACCAAAGAAGUUAACUUAAAAUUAAAUGGGAGGAAACUAGAUAACACUAGGAACUUGUAGCUUAUGAAACCAAAAAUUUAAUAGGUUAUGUUAACAUCUGCAGGAAGGUGAAUAGGUAUGAAGGCCAAAAAUAACAAACCUUGAUACAAUUAAAAAUAGAUGUGGAAAAAUAAAAACCACAUCGAUCGAGAUUUAGGGUGCGUUUGUUUGGAUGGAAGUGAGGGGGAAGUGGAGAGGAGGGAAGUUGUUUAUGCCGUAAACUAUCACUUCCGUUGUUUGUUUUGCCAUAAUUUUAUUACAGCCGAAAGUCGAUCGAGUUCACCCAAAAUAGGGUAAUUGACUUCGCCCUCCCACGGGGCGAAGUCAAUUCCGCGGCCACUCUCCUCUUAGCCGUACGGACUACAAGCAACUUGAAUUUAAUUAGUGCAUGGCUUCUUAAUUUGGUCGUGGUGGCUUCUUGAUCGUCCGGAACCAACAUGCAUUGCUUGCUUAAUUAGAACGUGGCAUCUUAAUUUGGUCGCGGCGAUUAAUUUGGCCGUAGCAUAUAUUUAUAAUACAUGUCUCCUAAAUAGAGUCUAAUCCUAAUUCAAUUAUAAAUUAGAUUCCGACUCAUAAUCCAUAUAUGCCAAAUUAAAUCUAAAUUAUAUCCAAUCCCAAUUAGAUUAGGAUUUAAUUCCAAUUUAGAUAACUACAAAUCUAAACCAAAUAUAAUAAUCUCCACCUUGGUUUAAUUUGUAGUUUAGCCGCCGCUAUGUCGAGAUCGCCGCAAAACUCCACCUUGAAUUUAAUUCGCCUCAAUGCUCCUUAACGCUCCGUGUUCCGUCUUCUCCAAACGCCCCAUAGGGCCUCAAAUGCUGCUAACUGCCACCAAGUCCAAACAAUGUUUGAACUUGGCAAUAGUAAGGGACUUAGUAAGCAUAUCCGCCGAAUUGUCCUCAGUACCAAUUUUCUUAACUGUCAACGUGCGUUUCCCAAUCACAUCCCGAACAAAAUGAAACUUUACAUCGAUGUGCUUUGUCCUCUCACGAAACAUUUGAUCUUUAGAUAAAUGAAUAGCACUUUGACUGUCCGAAUAAACAAUCGUCGGAUCCCAAUAAGAAGUAAACUCUCCAAAUAAGCCUCUUAGCCACAUAGCUUCCUUCGCACCCUCUGUCAUAGCAAUAUAUUCCGCCUCCGUCGUAGACAAGGCGACAAUAGGUUGUAGUGAAGCUUUCCAACUAACUGCACAUCCGCCAAUAGAGAAAACAUAACCUGAAAGUGAUCUCCUCCUAUCCAAAUCACCUGCAAAAUCCGAAUCAACAUAUCCAACCACACCAUCUUUACACCUCCCAAACUCCAAACAAGUGCUAGUGGUACCUCGUAAGUAUCUCAGAAUCCACAUAUCAGCCUGCCAAUGAGCCUUACCAGGAUUGGUCAUAUAUCUGCUAACCAUGCUCACUGCGUAGGAGAUGUCCGGCCGUGUGCAAACCAUGGCGUACAUAAUGCUCCCGACAGCACUAGAAUAGGGAACAUGUGACAUGUACUCCCGUUCAUUAUUGGACUGCGGUGAUAACUCGGCGGAAAGUCUGAAAUGCGCCGCAAAAGGAGUGCUCACUGGUUUUGCGUCUGUCAUCCCGAAACGCUUUAAAAUCUUCUCUAUAUAUUUCUCUUGUGUCAAAUGCAGUAGUCCUGACUUGUUGUCCCUCUUAAUUUUCAUACCAAGAAUUUUCUUAGCAGCACCUAGAUCUUUCAUCUCAAACUCAUCCUUUAGUAAAGUCUUCAAUUUAUUUAUCUCAACUAUGUCGCUAGAAGCAAUUAACAUAUCAUCGACAUAAAGCAACAAAUAUAUGAAAGAUCCCUUAUCAAGCUUUCUGAAAUACACGCAACUGUCACGCUUGCUUCUGGAAUAUCCGUGACCGGUCAUGAAGGAGUCGAACCGCUUAUACCAUUGUCGAGGAGACUGCUUUAAGCCAUAAAGUGAUUUCUUUAACAGGAAAACAUGGUCCUCCUUCCCUUCAACAAUGAAUCCCUCUGGCUGUUUCAUAUAAAUUUGCUCAUCAAGUUCUCCAUGCAGAAAAGCUGUCUUAACAUCAAGCUGCUCAAGAUACAGGUCAUUCAUGGCUACUAACGAUAAACGAACACGAAUAGAAGUAUGCUUUACGAUAGGUGAGAAAAUAUCAUUAAAGUCCACACCUUCUACCUGACUGUAGCCCUUAGCAACUAAACGAGCUUUAUACCUUGUAUCUUUCACGCAGGGGAUUCCGUCCUUUUUCUUAAAGACCCACUUACAGCCGACAAUUUUCUUGCCUGUAGGCAGUUUUACCAACUCCCAUGUGCGAUUCUUAUGGAGAGACUCCAUCUCCUCAUUCAUCGCCACCAACCACUCUACAGAACUGGCAUCGAAAAUAGCUUGAUUAUAUGUCGAAGGUUCACCUUCUUCUUCUGUAUCUUGUGCCACUGAAAGAGCGUACGCAACCAUAUCUUCAUAACCAUAUCUCUGCGGUGGUUUCAUCUGUCUCCUCGCUCUCCCUGUAGCAAUGCUCUGCCUCUCAACUUGUGGGGUUUCAGUUACUGAGGUGUCUGUCGACUGAAUUUGUUUUGAUUGAGAAGAAUUCUGCGACUGAACUAUACCAUCGGUCUCUACCUCUACCUGCUUGCUAGCACUCGGGGUCUCAUCAGAAGAAUUACGGUUAGGAUAUAACAUAGCAGAUUCAUCAAAUGUGACAUCCCUACUAAUAAUUAAUUUAGACGAUUCAGGAUACCACAAUCUAUAUCCCUUAACCCCCGAUGCAUAACCAAUAAAAAUGCACUUUUUAGCCCUAGGUUCUAACUUGCCUUCAUUAACAUGAACAUAAGCAGGACAACCAAAUAUUCGCAAAUUAGAAUAAUCAGAAGGGCUGCAAGACCAUACCUCCUCCGGAGUUUUGCAAUCAAGUGCUGAAUGUGGAGAUCGAUUCACCAGAUAGCAUGCCGUAGAGAUCGCCUCUGCCCAGAAACUCUUCGCUAAGCCAGUAUUAGAGAGCAUACAGAGGGCCCUCUCCAAAAGAGUUCUAUUCAUUCGUUCGGCCACCCCGUUCUGCUGUGGAGUAUGCCUAACGGUCUUAUGUCGAACGAUCCCUUCCUUCUUGCAGAAUUCUUCAAACUCUGACGAACAGAAUUCCAAACCGUUGUUGGUCCUUAAUCUCUUAAUUUUCUUUUCAGUUUGCUUCUCAAUCAUGACCUUCCACUGCUUGAAAUAAUUGAACACCUCAUCCUUACAUUUCAGAAAGAACGCCUACACUUUACGAGAAUAGUCGUCAAUAAAAGUCAACAUAUAUCUAGCACCACCAUGAGUAGGAGUACGAGAAGGUCCCCAAAGAUCAGAAUGGAUGUAGUCCAGAGUACCUUUUGUUCGGUGAGCUGCGGCCUUAGACUCUCUUUUGUUUGCCAAGAACACAAUGCUUGCAGAAAUCCAACUUUUCUAAACUCUGACUACCAAGUAAACCUCUCUCGCCGAACUUCAUCAUGCCAUAUUCACUCAUAUGGCCCAGUCGCAUAUGCCAUAAUCUGGCGCUAUCCGAAUCUGACAUAGAAGAAGAAGUCACCGCUACUGAACCUGUCACAGUGGAAUCCUGUAGAACAUAUAACAUGUCGGACAACUUGGCCUUCAUCACUACAAGAUUUUCUUUAGCGACCUUCAUUAAUCCAUCAGCUGAAGAAUACUUAAAGCCUUUAGUAUCAAGUGUACCCAAUGAGAUCAGAUUUUUCCUCAUAUCCGGAACAUGCCGAACCUCAGAUAUAGUCCUCACUACUCCAUCGAACAUUCGUACCCGAACAGUGCCAAUUCCAAUAACUGUGCACUUAGAGUGAUUUCCCAUCAAUACAUCUCCACCUUCAAUAGGCAUGUACGUCGAGAACCAUUCUCUAUGUGUACAGAUAUGAAAAGAACAUGCGGAGUCCAUAAGCCACUCAUCCUGUCUGCGUGUCUUAUCCGUAACUGUAAAGACGAUAUCAUUUUUAUCUGAUUCUCCUGCUGCAACACUUGCUUCUGCUUCAGUAUUGGUGUUUUUCUGACCUUGAUUUUUAUCACCGUUAUUCUUCCGCUGCUCUUUAUUUUUCAACUUGAAACAAUCAGCUUUUAUGUGACCCUUCUUCUUACAAUAACCACAAAUCAGAUUCCUGUGCUUUGACUUUGAUCUAGAUGUACCUCUAUUACCGGAACCCUUCUCCCGAGACCUCCCUCUAGCGACCAAACCUUGUCCUGAAGCUCCACCUGUCUCGUUGCUUAUCUGCAUGUCAAUUCUCUCUUUUGAAAGUAAAGAGGAUUUAACAUCAUCGAGACAUAGAGUAUCUCGUCCAAACAAGAAAGUCUCACGAAAAUUCUUAUAAGAGGGCGGUAGAGAACAUAAUAAUAAAAGGGCUUCAUCUUCCUCCUCGAUUUUAACAUCUAUCGAGCGGAGAUCCAUAAUGAUAGAAUUAAAUUCAUCUAAAUGCGACUUAAUAGAGGUACCUUCCGCCAUGCGCAACAUGAAGAGACGUUGCUUCAAAUAUAACUUGUUGGUGAGAGAUUUCGUCAUAUAGAGAGACUCCAAUUUAAGCCAAAGCCCUGCAGCGGUCUUUUCAUCCAAGACCUCGCGCAAUACCUCAUCGGAUAAACAUAAUUGUAUUGCCGUAAGAGCUUUAUCAUCAAUCUCCUCCUUCUGCUCUGCCGUUAACGAAUCGGGCAUCUUUUCUUUUCCCAACAGUGCCUUCUGCAAUCCUUGCUGCGUCAAUACUGCACGCAUCUUGACUUGCCAUAAUGCGAAACUGUUGGUCCUGUCAAAUUUCUGAAUCUCGAACUUCGUCGUCAUCUUAAUCCUCAAAGGGAAUAGAAAGGCUCUGAUACCAGUUUGUUAAAAUCGGAACGGCGAAAAAUAGAUCCAGAAAAUAAUUUAAUGCAAGAAAAGAAAAGAUAAGGAAAGAACACGCCGAUAUUUACGUGGUUCGGCCAACAACCUACGUCCACGGGCGAAGACGGAGCAAAUAAUUUAUUAAUACCGAAAGGCGGAGUACAAAGAGAAUCUCCCAAAAAACCAAAACUUAAUUAGAUCGGAAACACCGCAACAAGCAACUCCGGAAAAAAACUUCUCUCUCACCAAUCCGUACGGACCANACAUAUAUAUAAUUAUAUAUAUAUAUAUAAUUAUAUUAAUUUUUAUUUAUUAUAAUUUAUUAUUCACUAAGUUACAAAAUAGACAAUGAUAUCACUUCGGAGAUAUGUAUACUGGGGGUGGAGAGCUAUACUUUUUACGUCAUCUAUUUCCUACCAAACAAACAACAAAACUCACAGAACUGCACUUCUACAGUUAGUAACAAACAGCGAAAGUGAAUUAAUUUUCACCCCAACUCCACUUCAACCCAAAAUCCACUUCCACCCCAAGUCUACUUAUAUUGAAACAAACAGGCCCUUAACGUAGAAAAAUCUUCAACUUGAAGUAAAAACCUACGAAACCAAUCAUACGAUAACAAUCCAUUGAGAAUAAAAAAAUUAUGAAGUGAUUACUGAUUCUAUGAACUUAAAAUCUCUCUA